rnacentral:lncRNA from 1 species
UUCAUCUUCAUCACCAUCACCGUAAUCAUCUUCAUCUCCACCCUCCAUCUCCCUCAACUCAACAACAUCCUCUCUAUCAAUUGUCCUUACAUCCACCUCCACCACCAUCCAAAACCCAUGGCCCCCACUCCUCUCUACCACCUCCUCCAUAAACGAGGUUGUUCUGGGUAUCAGGUAUUUGAAGACGGUGCUCCCAAGUUCCAAGCUGGCCAGAAAGUUUGAUACAUAGAGUUGGCGCAGUAGGGGCAGAUGAAGCACUUGCACCGGCACUCCAAACACUCUGACGACUUUGGGACUCACAACAUCCUCUGCCGGCAUCUCCUCCCCUUCCCUCGUGUCUGUGCCUACUACCCGCUGAUAUCGGUGUUUGAUAUGGAUUUCCAUGAUCCCAAUGGCUUCAGAUAUGGAAUGGAGACCGUAAAAGGACAAAUCGCACAAAAGGGUGUUGGACUUCAUUGUGGGUGAGAGUAGCCGAACUACAAUUUUGUAUGAGAGGGUUUUGCUAUAUCCAAAUAUUUAUAGAUAGACACGAAUGAGAAUUAGUAACCGAUUGAGCUUUGAACUACAUGUUGAAGAUUCUCCUGGUUUGGUUUGGUUUCUAAAACCGGUGGAAAGUAAAGCUUGAAAGGAGAGGAGAAGAUAUAGGAUCGCUACACGUAGGUUACCGUUGGACAAUAAAAGGAAAUUUUAUUCUCUAUUUCUAAACAAUUGGAUUUCCUUUGGAUACGUGAUUAUUUGGUUUCUUUUGUCGCUAACAAAAUUAGAGAACACCUUUUUCCAAAAUACAGAAAGCUUUGGAUUAGUUGAUAAGAAAUAUAAUCACUUUCUAUUAUUAGUUUGCAAUUUUAGCCACGUCAUCGACAUUUGGAGUGCUUUUUGAAAUUUUGAAUUGGGCUUCCAUGGACCGGCCCAAGGGACAUCCUGCACACAUUCACAGUAUCUUUUAUGCCCAGCUUACCCCACCCCGGCACAUUGGAUGCUUUCCAGCACUUUGUAUAAAUAUCUUGUUGCCGGCCGAUGUGGGAUGACCUCGGCGCACCAUUAAGCCAACCUUGCUGUUGUUGUCAUAUCGUACAUGUUUUCUAUAUGUAUUUAUAUUACAAACUAACAUUAUAUCUAAGAUACAUGAAUGUAAAUCCUACACUUAAAUGUAAUUAUAUUAUAAAUAUUUCAUAAUACAUAUAAAUUAAUUAGAAUAAAAUUAUUAUAAAUAAAUUAUUUUAAAUAUAGUGUAUUUUACAUAAUAUUUAAAUACAAAAAUAAAUAUAAAUUUAUAAAUAAAAUUAUCAAUGUUGAUACAUAUAUCAUUAUUUUUUUUUUUUAUAUCAUUGAACACAUCCUCUAAAUGUAUAUUUAAAUUAUGAAUAUAAUCAUUGAUUAUCAUAAAAUAUAUCUUUUAUAUAUAUUAAUAAAACAAUCUCAAAAUAUCUAUUAUUACUUCUUAUAUAAUUUCUUAAAGUUUUUCUCAACAUUUUCAUAAAUUUUAAUCAGUUUUUAUCUCAUUAAUAUCUUAUGUCAAAACAUCCAUCAAUAUUUUUCGAUAUAUUCCGAUACAUCCAUAAAAUUAGAUUACUGAUAUAUUUAUAAAAAUGAAUAUUUUUAUCCUUGAUCAUAGUCAUAUAUUUUCAAUUGUCUUACACAAAUAAAUUAUUCAUUUUAUUUUUUAAUAAUAUAUUCAAAUGUACAUUUGAUAUCAUCCAAUCAUUUGAUAUAAAUCAUCCUCCAAAUAUCAUUAUGAUCCAAAUAUCUUAAUUCUACAUGUUGAAGAUUCUCCUGGUUUGGUUUGGUUUCUAAAACCGGUGGAUCGUUACACGUAGGUUACCGUUGGACAAUAAAAGGAAAUUUUAUUCUCUGUUUCUAAACAAUUGGAUUUCCUUGCAUUACGUGAUUAUUUGGUUUCUAUUGUCGCUAACAAAAUUAGAGAUUAUUUUUUUCCAAAAAAUAGAAAGCUUUGGAUUGGUUGUUAAGAAAUAUAAUUACUUUCUAUUAUUAGUUUGCGAUUUUAGCCACGUCAUCGACAUUUGGAGUGCUUUUUGAAAUUUUGAAUUGGGCUUCCAUGGACCGGCCCAAGGGACAUCCUGCACGCAUUCACAGUAUCUUUUAAACUACUGAUAUAUUCAUAAAAAUAAAUAUUUUUAUUCUUGAUCAUAGUCAUAUACUUUCAAUUUUCUUAUACAAAUAAAUUAUUCAUUUUAUUCUUUAAUAAUAUAUUCAAAUAUACAUUUGAUAUCGUUCAGUCAUUUGAUAUAAAUUAUCCUCCAAAUAUCAUUACGAUCCAAAUAUCUUAAUUCACCAUCUCUCAGCUCUUUUGAUUUCUCUUUUUUUUUUUUUUUUUUUUUUUUUUUUUUUUUUUUUUAAAUCUACAUAUUAUCCUAUUUAGGAUUUUUUUUAUUUUCCUUUUUUCUUUCACUUUUAUUUCCAUUUUACAUAAAUAUUUAUUUAUUUUUAUUUCUCAUACAAGUAUAGAUACAAAAUGAAUGCAUUAAUAAUACCCAAUUUUAAACACAUAAACUUAAUACUUUUUUAUCACAAUUUAGACAUAUAAUAAACCUGAAAUUUAUAAAAUUUAAAUUAACACCAUUUCAUAAUUCUAUAAAUAAUUUUUAUUAUUUAUCAUAUUAAUAUGUCAUUAACUAAGAAUCCUAAAUUUCACACAUCAAAUUAUUUUAAAUUUGAUUCCUUAUUAAUUCCAACCUUUCUGAUUUUAUAUAUUAAUAUUCCGAAAAAUAAAUUUUAUUUUAUUUUAUUUAGUCAUUUAUUUAUAUCCCAAGCUUCUAUAUUUUCAAAGAUUUCUUCUCAAUAAUAAUUUCAACUUGAAUCUCUAAAGGUCAAGCAUCUUUGUAAGUAGCCAUGUUUUUAGAGUUUUAUCUCAAUGUAUGCUAACGGAUAGGCAUUUGUGAGACUUUUUAGGAAAUCCAUGCAAAGCCAAAGGGGAAUAUGUGAAAAUUGAUUUUUUAAAGAAAAAUGUUUAGAAUAAUUAGAGUUUGUUUCAAACAAAGCCCAAGAGAAUAUAUGUUUAGUAUAAAUUGAGUAUUUGAAAGGAAUAUUUAAAUAAAGGAUUUUCUUAGUGGAUGUUUGGUAAAUCAAGCCAACUUAAUAACUUAAAGAGAUUUAAUAACUUAAUUUAAGUUUAAUGUGGACCCCGUAUUUUCGCACGAUGCUUUCCCACUCAAUGGCAAAACUCAAUUUUUAUUUAUUUAUUUAUUUUGUGAAAAAAAAAUAUGAUUUUUAGAAAAGAUUUGGAGUCGCCACUUAUUUUUGUUUCAUUUUUAAAGAAAAAACAAAAUAAGAAAGAAAACCCUAAGUGUGACUCCUUAUUUGGAAAAGAUGGUCUAUGAAAAACCAAAUCUGGGCUUGGGGGUCAAGUUACUUAUUGGGAAGGUACGAUAAAAACCGUAGCACCCCUCUAGACCCUUAAAAUGAGUCUCUACUAAAUAUGAUGAAGCAAACAUGACAAUUAACUAGUAGAUCAAGGGAUACCCAAAAUGAUAUUACACUAGAAGCCAAACAUGCAUGGAUAAUGGUCAAAGUGAGAGCGUGUGCGUACCUUAGCAACAAACGAUAAUGUGCUAUCAUGAAAUGGGGUUAGUGCACAAUAAUGAGCAUAAAAUAUGUCACUAGCAUCACUAAACAGGAUAAGAAACUACCAAUGACACACAUGACACUUCACUCAAAUUUUUUUUUUAUUUUUUUAAGAAGAUGUCACUAAUGUUGGGCCCCCACCAAAGCCCAAUUUAUUUUUUCAUGAAUCAAUUCCAUAAAUUCCAUCACUUUGAAAUUACAGAAUUUAAUUCAUACUUAUUUUAAAACAUUUAAAAAUCAAGGAAAAUAUGAAAUGAAGCUUGCCGAAAAGAAAAUGGCAGUAAAGUUUAUUGAAAAAUGGAUUUUUGGGGCCUAAAAAAUCUAUGGAUGAAAAAUUGAAGAGUUGAAAUGAUUUGGAAACUAGAAUUUUCUAAAAUUAGUUUUGAAGGACAUGGGCUUUGACAAUGGGCUAGGAAGGUGUACAUGCAAAAAUGGGGUCAUGCACGUGGACCCGAGGUGCAACUAAUACUACAUUGGUGGUUGAAUGUAGGAUACCAACAACAGAGAGAGUUGAGGUGGACUGUCCAAAAGCAAAAGUCGUCUCCCAAGAAAAGGAGUUGAAGAUUGGAACAAUGGUGAUGAUUGAGUGUUACCAAAAUUUAAGCUAGAACCAAAUGCCAGAGUUAUUCCCUAAGUUGAAGUGGAACCAAAAACUGAAGGUGAUGACCCAAAGCCUAAUGAGCUUGAUACUCCAAAAAAAGACGGAGAAGAACUAGCUUCAAAUGGAGGAGUUGAUGAUGUUCCAAAUAUAGAAGUGUUGCAGAUGAAGUCGAUCCAAGAAUAAGGGUGCUUGGAGCUCUAAAUGCUCCACUAAAUGAAAAGACUAGGGAGCUUGAAGCACCAAAUGCAUUGCAUGUGCUACCAAAUGUUGAAGUUGGCAUUGAACCAAAGGCAAAAGUGUUUGUAGCACUAAACGCGGGCGUAAUACUAGCAACAUCAAAUGCUGGUGUGCUUGUGGCCGCAAAGGCCGAGGUGUUACUAGCAUUGAAUGCAGCUUGACUUACACCAAAAGACGUAGAGGAACCAAAUAGACUGCUUAUAAAUGUUGGUUUCGCCUAUUGAAAAGCACUUCCAAAAGGACUUGUUUGAAUAGGAGUGGACCCAAAACCUCCAAAACCUAGCUUGUGCCCAAAUAUAAAGAUCAACCAAAUGAUGAUGACAUACUACUAAAAGCAAGAGUUAAAGAAGCUCCAAAAGCAGGCAUUGAACUUCUAAAAGCCGGUGAGGAAGAAGUGCCAAAUGUUGUUGUGGAAGGCAAUGGGGAAGAAGAUCGGGUUGCACCCAAACACACCAGUUAAAGUGCCACCAAAUAUUGAAGACACCAAGGUUGGGAACAAGCACGCACAGGCUACACGCGCAUGAGAAGGAAAGUGAAGAAAUUCAAGUGAAAGAAAUAGUGAGAAUAAUGGGAUUGGAGGUGGGAUGAAUGGGAAAGGUGGUAAGAUAAGUGGGUUUAUAGGGUUGGGUGUUGAGUGAAACUGUAGACAGUGAAGGAAGUGGGUUCGGUGAUGGAACUAGCUGUUGGCAGUGGGCAUGAUAGAUGAGGAGUGAUUGAAUGGGCAUAGUGAUGGGUGUGUUGGGUAUGAAGGGUAGUAAGUUUUUCAAAGGUUUUAUGGGGCCAUGCAUGCAUGAUUCUUGUGCAUGUGGGUAGGAAACGAAUAGCUGGGCAAAAGGUUGGGCAGGUGUGAAUGAAGUUGAAGGUGGGAGUGUGGUGACAGGUUCAGUGGAUUGGUGGAAGGUUGAUUAGUGGAAUGACCUGUCUCCUUUGCGAUUGCCAAUUGAUCACUUGUAAUCAUCUUAACACAAACUCCAAGGUUAAGUGCCCUGCAGAAGGUCAUAGCACUAUCAUGUCUUGGAGGAUCAAACAAGGGAAACAACCCACAAAAUGUCCAAGGACCUCUAGAACUUUCUUUAGUUUGUUCUGGAAUCUCCUAAUAUGCAACCCCAAGAGAUUGCAAACCCUUUUCAGCGAACUUGUCAAUAAUGGCAUGGACUUUUCCAGCAAUUUCUUCUUUUUCUUGGCAACGAUUUAUAAUCUGUUCAAGAGCUCCUUUGCUGGCCUGAAUCUAGUUAGUAAUUGUAGUACGCUUGUCCAUGGGAUUAAAAGGCAAAAAAUGCAUUUCUAUGAUGUUUGUGCAUGCCUCCUUUUCGAACUAGCAUCAAUAACUCUCCAUUUCAGCCAAGUUACAAGCUUGGCAUAUUGGAAUCAGUAGCCCAGUAGAGAGAGUCAACUCACGUCAGUCGCUUUGAUCGAAAGUUCUGUCAUUAUUGUUGCCCAAAUAUAGACUUUGUACAGUGGCUCAUAAUUUCCAACUUCAAAGUGUUGUUAAGGCGAUGCCCUCCAAAUCCCACUUUGAGUGUCAAGAUGGUUGUGUGAAGAUUGGCAUCUGAUUGCAGACUCAUCAAGCUUGAGCAUCCGAAGCUGAGAAGCUCUGGAAGAUAGCAAAUAUAAGGACUUUGAGAAUCAACCAAUCACUCAAAUGAAGCAAUAACAACACCCAUGCGGUCAUUGGCCAACUUAGGUCCUACACCUAGUAACGGUGACUCAGAAUAUAUUUCCACUAAACCCAAUCCCAAAUUAUAGUAGUUGUCUUCUUAAGCAAACCAACAAACUUAGAUCAAGCCCAUGUUUGACAGUGAUUAGAGACUUUUCAUAUGAAGAAAAUUGCUAGCAGAUAACUUUACCAUUCUUGGUCCUAUGCGACAAACUUUAGCAAGGGUUGAAUCAUCUUAAGAAAGUUGACAGCAUGUAGCUUUCCCGUCUGAUUUGGGACUCCUUUUAUGCUUAGUUGUGUCAUACAGAUCCUUACAACCACUGUUAUUGAUAUAGUGGUUACGUUCCAGGUUCAGCUGAUGGGGUGCAUCUAUCAGCAUGGUAGAGGCUUCGACCAAAGCAUUCACAGCACCAACCUUCUCAUAAUGAUUUAACUCAAGUUUCUUUUCUCUAGACUUUCCAAUGCGGUCCAUAUAGUUCUUUAGGCAUCCGAAAAUCUCCAACCCUAAGUGAGAUAUUUAACACCCUAAGCACAACAAAAAUAGAGGAAUAAAAGCAAAGAUAGGAAUCAAAAGGAACAUUGAGGUUAGAGUAAGUAGGAGAACAUGAAACACAUAGAUGUAUAGGGCCUCAUUUCAUGUGACGUCCAUGGGCUCAAAAUAGGUGGGAUUAACAAAUCAAAGAAAACCCAAAAAUAGAGUAUGUAUAUAGAAGACUACAUUCAACUAAAACAAACAAAUAACUUUUCCUACCCACACCAAAACAACAAAUUAAUGCUUAAAACUAGAGCUAGAAACGUCAAGAUGAGUUUAAACAGGAGUUAAAACAUGGCUCCUUGAACAUCAGUCGGCAAACAACAUUCAAGAGUCAACAGAAACAUUAAACAACGUUUAUCAUCCAAUAAUAAAAAAGAUAAGAGAAUAAUGGAAGAUGAAAUGUCUAAAGUUCAUACUAGCAAAUUGCCUCCCUACCAAUAAGACUAGCUCGGCUUCAAGCAGCUCUAUUUCUUCUUUCAAACCUCCAGCGAACCAUAGCAAAAUCAGCUUCCUUUUCUCUCCCCUGAACCGAAUCAUCCUACUAAUGCCCAGCUCAACACCUCUCUGUACUCUUUUUUUCUUCUUUCAAAAUCCCUCCAAACACUCUCUAAUCCCUUUCUCUUUCUUUCUUUCCUCUUCUUCCCAAUUGGUUCCUCUCAAGCCUUUCUCUCAUAGUCCCCGUUUCUUCUCACUCUAUUCUCAACUGUUUUUUUUUUCUUUUCAGCCUCCCUUUCUUCCUCUCAGUUGCCACCUCUUGUUCUUGCUAAAAAAAACCUCAUUUUCCUAUCUCUACACUAGCUCACUUUUCUUCUCAAAACGUCCCCUGUUUUUUGUCCAGCUUUCAAAACACCCACCUGCUGAAAACCUCUUCAAUCACGCUCCCUCUCUCCAUCCCGUUUUCAGUUUUUUUUUUCUUUUUUCUCUUUAAAUCCUUUUCUCCAAGCUUUAGUUUUUCUCUUAAAAAAACUCGUCAUCUCCUAGCCUCAUCCUUUCCCUCAAAACAGCUCACCCAUGCUUUGUUUUUAUUUCACUUCUAGUUUCAUCCUCCACCUGUUCCAUUGUUCUCGGUUCAGCAAAUACGUCACCAUCCUCAACCACUACCAUGGCAAGUUGGUGAAGUCUUUUUCCAUGUAUCUCAAUCAUGCAACUUGGCCACCUCAUGGAGAGGUCGUCCUCCACUCUUUUCCCAACUCACUCUUAAGGUGGUAAGAAAAAAAAAUUCUUCCAUCCGACGGGUCUACAAAUAUGCUCCUCUUCAGUAGAGUUCAUGAGUGUAAGGAAUAUGAACACUAGAGUGAAAAGAAAGUGUGACUAGUGAGUGAAAUGAAGUGAACUCUACCGAAGUAAAAGAAAGACCCCUAAAGGUACAUAAGUAGAACACAAACUCACUCAAACCAAAAAGGAACAAAAGGGGUUCUAAAAUAUUAAGAGAAUGGUAGCUCUCGGAGUGCCUCUAAAGUUGCGCUAUGGAUCCAAACUCCCUCUAAGAUGUCUCCAAAAGUGACUCGAAGAUCAAUGUCAAAGUUGAGUAGUAGUCAAACAACUUAGGAGCAGAAAGAUGAACAUAUAUAAAAGAAAAACUACACAUGCACCACACAAGAGCACGAAGUGAGGGGCUCCAAUGAUACAAUCAAAACACAAGCUAUGAGCUCAAAGAGCUAUAUCACACACAAUGGAGGAGGACAAACUCUGUAAAAUCACGACUUCGAAAUGCCUGAAAUAUGGCUCUAAACGCCAAGACUAAGACGAAUGAUUUUGAACAACUAAACUAUGACUUUAAAAGCCUGUGAGAGGAAUGGCUCUGAAGGCCUAUGAAAAUGGUGGCUCUGACCACCUAAAAUUGUAGAAGUGAGUGGCUCUAAACGCCUAAAACUUGAAGAGAUGACUUUGAACACCUAAAUUGGAAAAGAUGGCUCUAAACGCCUAAAUUGGAAGAGAUGGCUCUAAAUGCCUGUACUGAAGACAUGACUUCGAAUGCCUAUACUGAAUACAUGGCUCUGAAAGCCAAACUAUGGAGAGAUAAUAGCUCUGAAUGUGUGAAACUGGAAGAGAUAGCUCUGAAUGCCUAUGAAGGAAAAUGGUGGCUCUGAACGCCUAAAUAGUGAAAAUGGCUCUGGAUGGUGAGCUCAGGGCUUUAAAUGGUAAGAAUGAUUCUAGGUCAUAAAUAAGAAGAACGACUUUGGGUCAUGAGCUCAAGGCUCUAACUACUAAGAAUGACUCUAGGUCAUAAAUAAGAAUAAUGACUCUGAAUUGUGAGCUCCAGGCUCCAAAUGCUAAGAAUGACUUUGGGUCAUGAACAAGAAGAAGGACUUUAAAUUGUGAGCUUAGGGCUUUAAAUGUUAAGAAUGACUCUAGGUCAUAAAUAUGAAGAACGACUCUGGGUCGUGAGCUCAACGCUCUAAAUGCAAAGAAUGACUCUGGAUCAUAAAUAAGAAGAACGAAUCUAGGUCGUGAGCUAAGGGCUCUAAAUGCUAAGAAUGACUUUGGGUCACAAAUAAAAAGAAUGACUCUGGGUUGUGAGCACAGGGCUCUAAGUUCUAAGAAUGACUCUGGGUCAUAAAUAAGAAGAAUGAAUCUGGGUCGUGAACUCAAGGCUCUAAAUGCUAAGAAUGACUUUGGGUCAUAAAUAAGAAGAACAACUUUAGGUCGUGAGCUUAGGGCUAUAAAUACAAAGAAUAACUCUGGAUCAUAAAUAAGAAGAACGACUCUAGGUCGUGAGCUCAGAGCCCUAAAUGCUAAGAAUGACUCUAGGUCAUAAAUGAGAACAACGACUGUAAGUCAUCAGCUCAAGGCUCUAAAUGGUAAAAAUGACUUUGGGUCACAAAUAAGAAGAACGACUCUGAGUUGUGAGCUCGUGGCUCUAAAUGCUAAGAAUGACUCUAGGUCAUAAAUGAGAAGAACAACUUUAGGUCGUGAGCUCAAGACUCUAAAUGCUAAGAAUGAAUCUGGCUCAUAAAUAAGAAGAACGACUCUGGGUCGUGACCUUUGGGCUCUAAAUGCUAAGAAUAACUCUAGGUCAUAAAUAAGAAGAACGAAUCUGGGUUGUGAGCUCAAGGCUCUAAAUGCUAAGAAUGACUUUAGGUCAUAAAUAAGAAGAACGAAUCUGGGUCAUGAUCUCAAGGCUUUAAGUGCUAAGAAUGAGUUUAGGUCAUAAAUAAGAAAAACGACUAUGGGUCGUGAGCUCAAGGCUCUAAAUGCUAAGAAUGACUCUGGGUCAUAAAUAAGAAAAACGACUCUAGGUCAUGAACUUAGGGCUAUAAAUGCUAACAAUAACUCUAGGUCAUAAAUAAGAAGAACGACUCUAGGUCGUGAGCUCAAGGCUCUAAAUGCUAAGAAUGACUCUAGGUCAUGAAUGAGAAGAACAACUCUAGGUCGUGAGCUCAAGGCUCUUAAUGCUAAGAAUGACUCGGGUCAUAAAUAAGAAGAACGACUCUGGGUCAUGAGCUCAGGGCUCUAAAGGCUAAGAUUGACUCUAGGUCAUAAACAAGAAGAAUGACUCUAGGUCAUGAGCUCAGGCUUUAAAUGCUAAGAAUGACUCAGGGUCAUAAACAAGAAGAACGACUUUAGGUCGGGAGCUCAGGGCUUUAAAUGCUAUGAAUGACCCUGGGUAAUAAAUAAGAAGAACGACUCUGGACCGUGAGCUCAGGGCUCCAAAUGCUAAGAAUGACUUUGGGUCAUAAAUGAGAAGAACGACUCUGAGUUGUGAGCUCAGGGCUCUAAAUGCUAAGAAUAACUCUAUGUCAUAAAUGAGAAGAACGACUCUAGGUCGUGAGCUCGGGGCUCUAAAUGCUAAGAAUGACUCUUGCUCACAAAUGAGAAGAACGACUCUAGGUUGUGAACUCCGGGCUCUAAAUGCUAAGAAUGAAUAUGGGUCAUAAAUGAGAAUAACGACUCUAGGUCGUGAGCUCAAGGCUCUAAAUGCUAAGAAUGACUCUGGGUCAUAAAUGAGAAGGAUGACUCUAGGUCAUGAGAUUAGGGCUCUAAAAGCUAAUAAUGACUCUAGGUUAAAAAUGAGAAUAACAACUCUAGGUUGUGACCUCAGGGCUCUAAAUGCUAAGAAUGAUUCUGAGUCAUAAAUAAAAAGAAUGACUUUGGGUCGUGAGCUCAGGGAUUUAAUUGCUAAGAAUGACUCUGGGUCAUAAAUUAGAAGAACGAAUCUAGGUAGCUCAGGGCUCUAAAUGCUAGGAAUGACCCUAGGACAUAAAUAAGAAGAAUGACUUUGGGUCAUGAGCUAAGGGCUCUAAAUGCUGAGAAUGACUUUAGGUCAUAAAUAAGAAGAACAACUUUGGGUGGUGAGCUCAAGGCUCUAAGUGCUAAGAAUGACUCUGGGUCAUAAAUAGGAAGAACGACUCUGGAUCAUGAGCUCAGGGCUCUAAAUGCUAAGAAUGUCUCUAAGUCAUAAAUAAGAAUAACGAAUCUAGGUCAUGAGCUCAGGACUCUAAAUGCUAAGAAUGAAUCUAGGUCAUAAAUAAGAAGAACGACUUUGGGUCGUGAGCCGAGGGCUCUAAAUGCUAAGAAUGACUCUGGGUCCUAAAUGAGAAUAACGACUCUAGGUCGUGAGCUCAGGGCUCUAAAUGCUAAGGAUGACUUUGGGUCGUAAAUAAGAAGAACGACUCUGGACCGUGAGCUCAGGGCUCUAAAUGCUAAGAAUGGCUCUAGGUAAAAAAUGAGAAGAACAACUUUGGGUCGUGAGCUUAGGGCUCUAAAUACUAAGAAUGACUCUGGGUCGUGAGCUCAGGGCUCUAAAUAUCUAAAGUGAAGAAGAUGACUUUGAAUUCUAUACUAAAAGAAAAUGACAACUCUAAAUGCUAGCCAUGUAGCUCUGAACGCUGAACUAAAGGAAAAUAAUGGCUUUGAAUGCCAGGCUGACUAAUGGCUUUAAAUGCUAAACUGAAGAAAUAUGGUGGCAUCUAAAUGCCAAGUUGACCAAUGGCUCUGAGUGCCAAACCGUGAAAGACAGUUGAAGGGGAAUAUGGCCCAGUGUGGCGUGUUGGCACAACUUUCGAUCCACAUAUCACAGAGCCUUUAGCUCAAGAUACUCUACUGGAGGAGCACAUUGUAGUCUCAAAUGAAUGACCCACUGGGGAGUCUCAGGAAAAAUAGUCCAUUGGGAAAGCUAUCACCACAUCAACAUAACAAUCUAUUAAAGAGUCAUAUGUACUAGGACUGUCAAAACUCCUCCAAAGGCUCAUCUCGACAAAAUCAUCAAAACUAGGACCAACAAAGAAGACUAUAAAAGCUAAGUAAGAAAUCAAUCAUCUCGACAAUAGAAAAAAUGAGGAAUAUGCCCCAGUAUAGCAACUGAUGCAUCCCGCUAUGUAGGUAACCAAAGAAAAUAUGCCUCAAUAUAGCAACUAGUACAUCUAAUCUGUCCUGAUGACUUGAGCAUAACUCAAUGGGGAUGUAUAAGAGAUCUGACAUGCACUCCACUGAAAUGAUGAUAGGCCUAGAAGCUAAUUGAGUCAACAAACCACCCUCCAUGAGCUUCUGGAAAGCUCGGUUCAAAGGCAUACCUAGCUGGGAGAACUGUCGUGUCGGCCUCUGCACAAAAGGAUUAGUAGGUUGUGGGGCUCGGGGCCAAGGGUAUAAAGUGGGAGGUCUCUUUAAGACCUGUGUAGUAAAAACAGACUCUGAGGUCGGGUGUAGGUAUGUAAGAGUCAUGGUCCUGGAAAGAGCGGGCGGCCUAUACUGAACAUAAUGUUGUGGGUAGUAAGCUCCUGAAGUCUGCCCAACUAUCUAAUAGCGUUUAGGAGGUCUAAGUCCUGUUGAAUUAAUAAUACCCACAUCUCUUGGUCUCUGUCCUCCUAAGGGCUUCUUCCCCUUUGAAUCAGAAGGAGAAGACUCAGGUCACAAUCCUUUAACAACAUAAUGUUGUGGGUAGUAAGCUCCUGAAGUCUACCCAACUAUCUGAUAGCGUUUAGGAGGUCUAAGUCCUGUUGAAUUAAUAAUACCCACAUCUCUUGGUCUCUGUCCUCCUAAGGGCUUCUUUCUCUUUGAAUCAGAAGGAGAAGACUUAGGCCACAAUCCUUUAACAAUGACCUCUUCUAUACCAUACAAUGCCUACACCAAAGAGCCAAAGUCCACGUGUGGGAAUCCCAUCAAAUGCCUAGCAAAUCGAGACAACAAGCUCCUCAUAAUCAUGUUGAUCUGAUCCAUCUCAGAUGGCCUAUCAAUGAUCUGGGCAAUCUUCUCACUCCAACGGGAAAUGAAUGAUGUGACUGUCUCAUCGGGCUUCUACCUCAAGGCUUCCGACUCCCUCCGUGAGACAUCUAUGAUAGCGUUAAAUGCAAACUAUCGUAAGAACUCUUGGUUUAAAUCAUCCCAUGUACGAUGGUGUAACACAUCCAAAGAAGCAAACCAACGGUGGGCCGCCCCACUCAAGGACUUGGGGAAUAGCAUAAUCAUUUGAGCAUCAUCUAAAUCAUGGGCCCUCAUCACGUACUGUAUAGUCUCAAAUGAAUACGGGGGCAUCCAAUCCCCGUGUAUCGCUCAAUCUCUAGCAUCUCGAACUUGGUCGAUAAACUGGCCACUGGUGCUCCAUCAAAAUCCUCCCAGGUAAUAGCUUCGUUUGAAGUCCUCAUCUAUUUCAUCAUCUACUUAAGUCUAUCCAUAUGAGCAUGUGGGUCCUCUAGGAUUAGGGUAGGCACUAUGACAGGAGGCGGGGCAAUCUCGGUCUGACUCUAUAAAGUAAAUGGAGUAAGCUAUGGAACUGUCUAACCAAGUAGAGGAGGUGGCAGAAUAAUGAGACCAUACUGCACACCCAUCAUGAACUAGAACCUGUUGGGCCUGCUGCCCAUUCAUCCUCUAACCAAGACUAGUUAUGGCCUCAUAGAUCGAAGCCAUAACAGUAGUGAAUUGAUCAAUUGUAACCACCUGUGAAUCCAUAUUUUUCUGAUCUAAUUGGUCUGACACUCUGAUCAAUCUACCUCCAACUCUAAUCCAAGAAGCUGAACCCAGAUCGAAUGUAUCAAUACUUCUACAAUAGUGGAAAUACUAUAUAAGAUACAGUGUAAGGGAAACUCUAUGAGGAAUGUCUAUCAACUAUGCAGGAAGGUAACCUGGAAGUAUUCAAACUAAUAUCCAAUUUUGAGCAAAUAUAUAAGAGACUACUACGAAGAUAACUAAACCUAUCACUAUUGACCUGACUCUGAAGGCCCAUAGAUGCACCCACAUGUAAGAAGAGAAUCCUAAUAAGAGGAUUUAAGGCUCAACCUACAAGGCCAAAGGUGGCUCUAAAAGGAAAAUGGUGGACUUUAAAGGAUCCCCAGCAGAAGCGAUCAUACCCUCCAACGGUACACAACUCUCUACACACCUCUGAAAAGACGGGGCGCUUCCAUGCAAGAUGGUCAUCACUUCCACACAUGCACUACCUCGACAUCCUAGGGGGGUUUCCUAUAGUGAAAGUUUUUGCAACUCUCAGCACUCGAUAGUCAACUAAAAUGCACAGUGAGUGGUGUGGGUACAUCUGAAAAGCCUAUAAAGCUAAAGCAUAAAAAGAAACACACUGGUCACACAAAAUAUCCAUGAAACCUAGCUCUGGGCUAUAUAGGUCUUCAAAGAUCGAACUCCUAUCAACACCAAUGUGUCAGUCUCCUCCAGAAUGCUCCCAAACAUUGAUAUAGCUCGUCUUUAGACCCUACUCCUAACCUCUAGCUCGGUCAGAGAAAUAAGCACACAUAAGGCCUCAAACUUGCAAAUGUAAGAACUGAAAGAAAAUGAAAUGACCAAAACCAUAGGGUUAGAGGUAAAGGGAUAGAUAUGCGAUCCACAUGGACAAGCAACAUGAAAACACACAAGAAAAUAGCAGUCAUGCACUAAGCAGCUAUGAAAAGAACAGGUAUAUCACCCAUGUCCAUGAUUCGUCCCUAGCAGCGGCAGUGGCAAAGGCACCAUUUGAUUCGAGGUUCAAUCCCCGGCAACGGCGCCAUUUGAUUCAUGCCUAGUUGGUGUCUCAGCUGAUUCGUGUCCAGCUGGUGCUCCUUGAUUGAGGGAGUAAUCAACAAAAUUUAUAACCUAUAACACCAUAUACUAGGGUAGCAAAGAAAAAGCUACUAUAGUAUAGUGGCUCUAGGAUCGUUCACUGGGAAGGAUUAACAAGCUAUCAAUGAUACCAAUUCAAAGUGAAUUGGUCUUGUUUCAUUUCAAGGUUAGCUUAAGAAAUAAAACACAAACUUUGGUUGGUAAAGAUUUAAACUAACUAACAUAACAAGUACUCGGAAUAACUUAGGAAGAAAAGCAUUCCUUGGAGAGUUAGGUUCACUGGGGUGGUUCCUCAUGCAAAAGACAUAGCUCCGGUCAGAUGGUUCAUUUCCUCGCGUUAGAGAUUCAACCUAUAGUCAAUUCUCUAACCGGCGUUUUACAGAUACAUCCUUCAAUUAGAUUUCACUUUAAUUCUCUCACUGAUGCAACUUGCAAUGAUUUAAGCCUCUCACUAAGCCGUAACCAUUCAAGGUGAUCUUUAACCUUGGAUUACCCGUCAAAAGCUCGCAAGAGAUAACUAAUGGAUGUCUCCUUGAAGUCCAAAAGCUUACCAAGUGUUGGCUAUUCUAGAAAAUCCUACCCUAAAGUCACCUCCCAGAGGCUCGCAAGGGGUAAACUAGUGCAUUUCCAUGGUUGGAAAUCACUUGCCUUACCAAGUGUUGGCCCAGGUGACUCUAAGGUGUUUUAAUUUAACUAAAAACAUAGAAAUCACUAAAGGAUUUCACUUCCUUUUCAUUAUUAGCUAAAACCACAAAGCUUUGCAUUCUUGCACUUGGAACCUUCCCCGGCAACCUUAGCUCCAAGGAACUAGAGGUUUAGUUACUCAUUCUCUGGGGAAAAUUCCUCAGAGAGUUCAUAACUUAGCAAUAAAAUAAAAAUACAAAGUGAGAAGGUAAGGCAAUACAAAGAACUGAACUUUACUUGCUUACCCAAAACUUUACAAAAGGAUCUCCUCUCUGAGAACAGGCUCCCGAGAGGUAUAUAUAUGAACAUAAUUUAAAACUAAUUAUUACAUAGAUAUUUACUCUUUUUACUAACUUAAAAGCUAAGGAAUCUUGUAAUUGGUGGCUCACAAGGAGUAUUUUGGUAUUUAGACAACAAAAAUCUAAUGUAAAAUAUCUCCCAAUGUUGGUAGCAGAUAUCGGGAUGCUCCAGGAACCAUUUCGCAAGAGAAAAUGGUGUCUGCGAGAUUUUGCAGACACUCAAGAGGGCUGCGAAAUCAUUUCGCAACAACAUGCUAUCUUCGCAGGGCUGCGAAGUUGGCUUCCACCUUGAGGUUCCCAGCUUCCCUCUUGCGGUAUAUGUCGGGCAUCUUCAGGAGGGAAUCCACAACACUGUACAAAAAGGCUGCGGAAUCACUUCGCAACAAAAGGGUGAUUUCGCAACACUUUGCAAAAUGCUUCCUUCAGCUUGGAGUGAUUGGAUUGCAAUGGCUGCAACUUCUUCGUUUCAACUCCGAAUUGCACACUGUUUGAAGCAGUGGAUUGUUGACUUCCUGAACUUUGAAAUGGUAUAUAGCAUACAUCAAUUGGACUUCAGAAAGUGCUCCAAAAGUGGCUGCUACGACUGUCAUCAAGAAUAUGCUUCAUGGCAGAUUCUCUUUACUUUUUCUCCUUGCAUUCCGGAUUCACUCUUGGCAAAUGACUUCUAAGCUUUGCCCAAGAUUCCUCAUAACUCUCCUCAGUCUUGAUUUGCUUUGGUGAUCAAAAUACUAACCAAAACACCAAAACUUACACAAAGUAAUUAAAAUUGCUUUCAAGGGUCCUUAACAUGCCAAUUGAGUUAAAAGGCCUAAACUACUACUCAAAAGUGUUUAAAAGGAUUAAUUAUAGGCUAUCAAAUAGCACUUUUUGAGUAGUAAUCACUCCCCCCAACCGACAUAUUGCUAGUCCCUUAGCAAUAUAGGAGAGAAAAAUGAAAAUAAAAAGCAAACUAACCUAUAAUUUACAACAUCAUGCUGAAAGAAAAUAAUUCUCAAGUGGCAUGAUGAUCUAAUUCUCACAUGAAAAAAUUAAAGAAAUACAAACCCAAAUUUCAACAAGAGUUAUAACAAACUAUGCUAAACACUGUCAAUCAAGGGAGUGCAUUAUGCAAACUGAAGUUUUAAAAUCAUUUCCACUUUCAAGGAACCAAACUUUAAUCUUCCACAAAAAAUCUAUGUGUAUUGGUUCCUUAGGUUCCGAGAAUAAUAUGCUAAACUAAUCUCUCCCCCCAACCUAUCUCUUUUCAACACUUAGCAAACUGACCAAAAUCAAUAAGAAAAGAACACACUUUCAUUUUUUUUUUCUUUUUUUUUUUUAAGGCAGCUUUAUGGGGUACUCUUUCUGACUUGUCCAUGUAAUGGGGGUCCAUCGAUGACUUCCAACCAAUUAAGGUUUAGGGCACCAAGCUUUAAGGAUCUUUCAACCACUAACUCCUCGGAUUUUUCCCCGGACUUUUAAGAAUGAAUUUCUACUACCCAAGCACCUACCAUAUGCUAACUCUACCUAUUCACCCUUAUAACGAGCAUUGAGGUCGGUGACUCCCAACCAAUUAAGGCUUAGGGCACCAGGCUUUAAAGAUUUUUACCAUAUACCCCUCAGACCUUGCUCGGGUUUCAAGGCAAGCAAACAACUUUCUUUAUUUCAAAGGCUCAUUGGCCUUUUGCAGGGUGUUUCAAUUUUUAUCAAAUGAGGUCAAGUAUACCAAGUCCCAAAAUUAUCCUAAGUCAAGAGGGAAAUAGCUUUUCAUAUUAUAAUCGGAAUCUAAUGUGCACAGUGUGUGAAUAGCUUAAAGUGGAAGAACUAAAUUCAAUUUCAAUAGAAGUUUCAACAAUUGAACCACUUUAGUGAGCAUAAUCCAUACUCUAAGUCAAGUGAAAAACAACAGUUCAAUUUCUCUUGGUUUAAUUUGAAAAUUUUUCCUCAAGAUUCAUGGAGAAUAGAAUAAAAAGAGUAAAAAGUAAAAACUACAACUAAUUAACCAAUAUAAUUGCAUUACCAAAAAGACUUAUCAUACUUCCUUCCUCAUUCCCCCCAACCGAACUGAGCAUUAUCCUCAAUGUGAUAUGAGUAACUGUAAUUAAAGGAAGGAAGUGGUACCUCCUGACUGAUAUCAAAUUCGAAUAUUGAUUGGGGAAACCAUAUGUUUCAAAAAGAAUAGAAUAUGUGAGAAAAGGAAAUAAGAAUAAAUUAAUGCUAACUGGUAACAAAAAAUAUUAAACUUGUAUUACUUUAAAUUCAGUUGAGUACAAUGUAAAAGAAAAGUAAUACAAGCAAUCCCAAAUAUAGUACCAAAAUAAUGGGAUUUCUUUUCAACUAAAAAUAAAAAUAAAAAUAGUAGAUAUAUAAUAGUCUGAUGAGUGGGUGGUGCUGGGGCUAGGCAGAUGGGUCUGCCUCUUCAGUAGGUGCUUCAGCUAGGGCUUGGGGCUCUGGAGGAUGAGACUCUGAGGGAUGAGAGUGUGGCACUGCUGGAGGAGAAGUGGAGGGCUCUACAGCUGGUGGCAGAUCGAAAUGAAGCUGGAGCUGCCUUAAGAUGGCAGCUUGUUGAGCCUGAGUGGCCAACAUCUGCUCUUGGCAUGCUCUAAUGGCUGCCAUCUCUUGAGCAAGACUGCUCUGAGAAGCUGUGAGAGUCUCCAAUGCACGACACAACUCUUGAUAUUCAGAUAUAGGAAUGGCCAUCCUCGGUUCAGCUGAUGUGGAUGGCUGAGAUGAAGCUGGAGCAGCUGGUGGAGCUCUAGGAAUGGCAGGAGCAGCAACUGUUAUACCCUCAGGUAUGUGUCGUGGGGAUGCUCUCCUUGCAGCUGGCUGAGGUGGCUCUUGCUGAUCAAUUUUAUAGGUCGUCAUGUUGUUCCAUUUAUCAAGAGUGAAUGGCUCACGGCAAAUGCGCUUUCUCUCCAGCUGAGGCUCAGAAGGAUAUCCCAAGUGCUCCAGAAUUUGGCAUAGCAGCCUUGGAAAGAGGAGGGAUUCGCAAUCAGCUCUCUGAAGCUUCUUUUUGUGCACCUUCUCUUCGAAAUAGAGAAGGGCUGCCAAGAUCAGAUGAUGAGGCCCAAAGAAAAAUCCUUCUGACAUCUUGUAAAGGGCUUUUAAGAGGACUCCCCUUCUUUGAGUCCAAUGCUGCAAUGGGUAGAGAUUAUGACGCAAAAAUGCAUCAAUCAGAAACAUGACUGGAGGAAGCUCCCCCCUCAACAAAUGUGAUCAAUUUGCAGCUCCUCUGGAAAGGGUGCGCACCAUCUCCAGCUCAGUAGGAUUGGUCCAAGCUCUAAAAUCAUCGAAUUGGGUUGGCUCAUAGGGAAUUUGCAGGGCUUCAGCAAUAUGGCGUGCUCCCAAUAUGCCAUGCCUCCCAUCAAUAGUGAAAUGAAUUAAAGUUGGAUCCCUGACCUGGUUGGUUGUCAUGGAUUGAUAGAAAUCCAUGGCUACCCUUGGGUAGAAAAAGUCUCUCGGAGUCAGCAGAUGCUCCAUAUGGUACCUUCUCAGCAGGUUGAAUGACUGUGCAAGCUCCGGCUGCAAUCGGAAUGUAGCUAUGUCAAAGCCUAGCUCGGAGUGGAAUGGCCGAGUUCUACAAUCCAAAUUUCCCUCAAUUGGGGGCUAGGUCAGCAUCGGCCUGCUGAUUACUUCUUCCGGAGCUAUUUCAACCAGAAUUUGGGGCUCUGGAAGUGGCGGCUGAGGCUCUUGAGAUUUUGCUUGCGACGCCAGAGAUGGCACCGACGACGGAACUGGCGAGGAUACUGGAGUUGGAGUCGGUGAUGGAAUCGGAGAAGGCUCUGGAGAUUGCUCAGUCAAAUCGAUGGGUUCUGAGCUCUCCACCCUGGGUCUCUUUUGCGAUGGCCGACCUCUUGACCUGGUUAGGUAUCGUUUUGCAGGAGGUUUUGGCGGCGCGGGCUUCACCGGAGGAGGAAUUGCUUUCGGCUGCGGAGGAUUAGGAAUAGGAUCUGGAACUGGUUCCUUUCGCAGGCUUUUCUUGCGGCUCGAAGGAGAUGAAGACUUAGCCCUUCUUGUUCGCGCCAUUUCAGAUUACCGAAGUUUGGCCGACAUUGCUGAUCGAAGAAGAUGACCGGAGACUUGCGCGGUGAGGCUCGAGGAAGAAGAUGAACAGCCUGCGAGAAUGGCGUGCUCUGAUUUUGAAACCCUUUUCGCAGCUCAAAUGACCGGUAUAAAUAGGAAUAACGGAAGACUAAGGGUCAGUUUGAGUUUCGCAGCAAAACGCCAAUUUCGCAGCAAAAUGCCAUUUUCGCAGCAACUUCGCAAUGCAUUUCGCAGCUGCGAAAUUAAUGUCACUGUGCUGCGAAGUGGCACACGUGUGCCAAAAUCUCUUUCGCAAUUGCGAAACACCCUGCAGAAUGGGACUUUUGUUGUGAAAUCUGGGCUUUAACACUUCGCAAGUCGUUUCGCAGCUGCGAAAUGGGGGCCCCUGUGCUACGAAGUGGCACUCGUGUGCCAAACUCGCCUUCGCAGCUGCGAAAAUUCUCGCAGAGAAUCACAAAGUGUUGCGGAAUGGUUUGGCAACGAAAUACUCAUUUCGCAGAAGUUUCCUUCAGCCUGCGAAAUCUCGCAGAGCUCUGUUUUUCCUCUGUUUUCACUCUGUUUUUGCUCCGAUUUCGAUCCGAUUUUUUUUUCUUUCAAUUUCCUUGAAAUUUCUUCCACCUGAGAUCAUUCAAAAAGAUUAAAAUACACCUAAAAACAUGAUUUAAGAUAAAAAAAACUAAGAUCAAAUGUAUGGAAAAAACUUGAAAAUUUACAAAAUUUACAAAAAUUUUGGACUGUGGUAAACCACGUCCAGCAAACCCUUCUUUGCUUAGGCUUUUUGAGGCUCAAGGAGGUUGAUUGCCUCAUUUUCUAGUUUGAAUGGCUCCAUGAAUGGCUUGAGACGAUAUCCAUUGACUCUAAAGCUGUCAUUGCCAUUUGAAUUCAAUAAUUCCACCACUCCAUUGGAAUAUACUCGGUGAACAACGAACGGGCCUAUCCACCUUGACUUGAGCUUCCCAGGAAAGAUAUGGAGUCUUGUGUCAUAUAGUAAAACUCUUUGCCCUUCCUGAAAUUCCUUGUUGGAGAUGAGUUGAUCAUGCCACUUCUUCAUCCUCUGUUUUGCAACUUUGGAAUUGAUAUAAGCAUUAUUUCUUAAUUCCUCCAUCUCAUUAAGGUCUAGAUAUCUCUUUUCUCCGGCUCUGAUCAAGUCCAUGUUCAGCUUCUUUAUUGCCCACCAAGCCUUGUAUUCAAUUUCCACAGGGAGAUGGCAUGCUUUGCCAUAGACAAGACGAUAAGGAGACAUCCCAAGAAUAGUCUUAUAAGCUAUUCUAUAUGCCCACAAUGAAUCAUGAAGCCUAAUAGACCAAUCUUUUCUACUGGAAUUCACCACUUUCAUCAAUAUGUUCUUUAUUUCCCUGUUAGCUAGCUCAACUUGCCCGGAAGUCUGAGGAUGAUAAGGUGUAGCUACCUUAUGCUUCACUCCAUACUUGGAUAACAGAGCUUCAAAAGGUUUGUUGCAAAAAUGAGCACCUCCAUCACUGAUUAUGGCUUUGGGCACCCCAUAUCUCGAGAAAAUGUUCUCUUUAAGAAACUUGAGAACCACCCUGUGAUCAUUUUGUUUACAGGGGAUUGCCUCAACCCAUUUAGAAACAUAAUCCACCCCCACCAAGAUGUAAGAAUUACCAAAAGACAUUGGGAAAGGUCUCAUGAAGUCAAUGCCCCAUACAUCAAAUAGCUCAACUAUUAGUAUGGGGUUCAUAGGCAUUUGGUUUCUUUUUGUUAGCUUUCCAAGCCUUUGGCAUCUGUCACAACUUCUACACAUGAUGUGGGCAUUUUUGAAAAGAGAUGGCCAGGUAAACCCUGAUUGCAACACCUUCAUAGCUGUUUUCUGAGAGGCAAAGUGGCCUCCACAUGCAUUCUCAUGACAAUGAGAUAGAAUCCCUUGCUGCUCAUCUUCAGGGACACAUUUCCUUAUAAUCUGAUCUGCACAAUACUUAAAAAGAAAGGGCUCUUCCCAAUAAUAAGCAUGAAUUUUGGCAAAGAAGUGUUUCCUAGCCUAUGCAUUCCACUCACUCGGAAUUUCACCAGUUACUAAAUAAUUAGCAAUAUGAGUAUACCAAGGAGUUUUCACUACGAACAUGAGUGAUUCUUCAGGAAAAUCAUCAUUAAUAGGCAAGGGAUGGGAAUUAUGUGCUAUAACUAACCUCGAAAGGUGGUCAGCUACCACAUUUUCCACUCCUUUCUUAUCCUUGAUUUUGAGAUCGAAUUCUUGUAACAAAAGAAUCCAUCUAAUCAACCUUGCUUUUGCAUCUUGCUUUGUCAAUAAAUACUUCAAGGCUGAAUGGUCAAUGAAGACAAUGAUGAAAGAGCCCACUAAAUAAGCAUGAAAUUUGUCCAAAGCAAAUACCACAGCUAACAAUUCUUUCUCUGUAGUUGUGUAGUUCCUUUGAGCUUCAUUCAGUGUUUUACUUGCAUAGUAAAUCACAUAGGGCUUCCCAUCUUCCCUUUGGCCAAGCACAGCUCCUAUAGCAAAGUCACUGGCAUCACACAUCAGUUCAAAGGGUAGUUGCUAGUUAGGGGCUCUCACUAUUGGAGUUGUUGUUAAAAAUUUCUUCAGUUGAUCAAAGCUAUUCUGACACCUUUCAUCCCAUAUAAAUUUAGCAUCCUUAGCUAACAGCUCACAAAGAGGUUUUGAAAGACUUGAAAAACCUUUUAUAAACCUCCUAUAGAACCCUGCAUGGCCAAGGAAUUGCCUUACUCCUUUUACAGUUGUUGGGGAUGGUAAUUUGACAAUAAGCUCCACCUUUGCUUUAUCAACUUCAAUGCCUCUUUCAGAGAUGAUAUGACCAAGGACAAUUCCUUGACGUACCAUAAAAUGGCAUUUCUCCCAGUUGAGCACCAGGUCUUUUUCAAUGCAUCUGUGAAGAACUGCUUCCAAAUUAACUAAGCAUUCCUCAAAUGUAUCUCCAUAUACGGUGAUGUCAUCCAUGAAAACCUCCAUAAUUCGCUCCACCAUAUCACUGAAAAUACUCAACAUACAUCUUUGAAAUGUAGCAGGUGCAUUGCAUAAACCAAAAGGCAUUCUCCUGUAAGCAUAUGUUCCAAAUGGACAUGUAAAAGUGGUCUUUUCUUGAUCUGCCACAUCAAUUUCAAUCUGAAAAUACCCUGAAUACCCGUCCAAGAAGCAAUAGAAUGGAUGUCCAGAGACUCUCUCCAGCACUUGGUCAAUAAAUGGCAAUGGAAAAUGAUCCUUCCUGGUUACAGCAUUCAACUUUCUAUAAUCAAUACAUACCCUCCAACCUGAAGUGAGGCGUGUAGUAAUUUCUUCUCCUUUUUCAUUCGGAACCACUGUGAUCCCUGACUUCUUUGGUACCACUUGAGUAGGACUCACCCAAGGGCUAUCAGAUAUAGGGUAAAUGAUUCCUCCUUGAAGUAGCUUCAGCACCUCAGCUCGCACCACCUCUUGUAGAUGAGGAUUCAAUCUUCUUUGAAGUUGAUGAAUUGGCUUUGCUUCCUCCUCCAUAUAUAUAUGAUGAGUACAAACUAAAGGACUAAUGCCUUUCAAGUCAGAUAUUUUCCAUCCUAUUGCCUUCUUACACCUCUUGAGAACUUCUAUUAAACAAUUCUCUUGAUGACUGGUCAGAGAUGAAGAUAUCACAACAGGACAUUGAUUAUUUUCUUCAAGAUAUGUAUAUUUCAGCUCCACAGGUAAAGGCUUCAGAUUGAGUUUUGGAAUUUCUUUUUCAGCAGCUGCCUCCUCUUCUUUAUUGAACAAAGGUAGAAUCUCUUCUAUCUUUCUCCAACUUUGUAGAGUAGCAAGCAUAGUAGGAGAUUCAGACAAACCUUCCUCAAAAUUCACAAGACUUUCAUUCAAUUUGUCUUGCAUAUUUUGAUUACAGUGCUCCUCCACCAAAGUAUCAAUAAUGCACAGCUCUUCUGGACCCUCUUUUUCUUCCAGAGUGAUUUGCUUUUUAGACAUAUAGAAAAUAUUUAGAUCCAGUGUCAUGUUGCCAAAAGUGAGUUGCAUCAGCCCAUUCCUACAGUUGAUGAUUGCAUUUGAGGUAGCAAGAAAUGGCCUUCCAAGGAUGAUAGGAACUAAAUUAGCUUCCUUUACAGUAGGAUCUGUAUCAAGAACAAUAAAAUCUAUCGGAUAGUAGAAAUUAUCCACUUGAACCAAUACAUCCUCAAUUACCCCUCUUGGAAUUUUCACUGAUCUAUCUGCUAGAGAUAGAGUGAUUGUUGUUGGCUUCAACUCUCCAAGUCCCAAUUGCUUGUAGACAGAAUAUGGAAGCAAAUUCACACUUGCUCCCAAAUCUAGCAAGGCUUUCUUCACUACCUUUCCUCCAAUCAUGACUGAAAUGGUAGGACUUCUCGGGUCUUUGUACUUCAAAGGAGACUUACAUUGUAAGAUUGCACUUACUUGCUCAGUCAAGAAGGCUUUCUUGUUUACAGUCAACUCUCUUUUGAUAGUACAUAAGUCCUUAAGGAAUUUUGCAUACGUUGGAACUUGUUUAAUCAUAUCCAGCAGUGGAAUAUUGACUUUCACUUGUCUCAAUACUUCAAGGAUUUCAGCUGCAUUUCUAACCCCCUUUUUCCCAUGUAAUGCUUGAGGAAAAGGUGGAGAAGUUGAUUUCUUCAGCAUUUCUUCCUUCAGAAGUUCCUUCUCUGGAAUUGCAUUCAUUGUUGAAUCAGAGUCCUUCUUUUCUUCACUGAUCUCACUUUCUUUAUCUUCCAUUUCCUUCCCUUUCUUUACUUCUUCUUCUUUCUCAACAUGUGGCUUGGAUGUUGGCUGCUCAAUUUUUUUACCACUCCUUAGAGUGAUCAAGGCUUUGACAUCUUUCAUCUUUGAUGAUUCUCCCUCUUAGCUUUCCACUUCAUGGACACCUUUGGGAUUUUGGUGAGGUUGAGAAGGAAAUCUUCUCUUUUCUUGCAAUGUGUUCAAAUUUGUAAGCCUUGAAAUUGAAUAUUGGAUGUUAUCAAACUUUUGGUUCAUAUCAUUUUGCAUUCCAUCCAUCCUUUUAUUCAACAUACUCUCCACUCUAUCAAUUCUUUGAUUGAUUUGAGCAUUGGUGGCUUCUUGCUUUCCAACAAAAUCUCCCACUACCUUGCUGAGAUUAGCCAUUGCUUGUUCAAGACUUGAAGAUUGUUGAGAUGGUGGAUCCGACUGCUGGUACUGAGUUGCUCUGGCCUUCCAUGAGAAAUUUGGAUGAUUCCUCCAACUUGAGUUGUAGGUAUUUCCAUAAGGCGCAUUGUUAUUGGGCCUGAAUUGUCCAACAACAUUUGCUUGAUCUCUAAACAUCUCCCUUUCAGCUGAAAUUGCAGGGCAUUCCUCCACCAAAUGUUCAUAUGAUUGACAAUUGGGACACAGCUUCACUUGCACUGGUGCUUCAGCAACAGCUUGCACUUCAUGUAUUCUUUUCAGCUCCAGCUCCUCCAAUCUUCUUGUCAUAGCUGCCAACUUUGCUUUCAUAUCAUCAUCUUCUUUUAAAGUAUACAUCCCAGCCUUUGCAUUGUAAGCAUUCAACUGAGACUUCAUCUUUCCCACUUCUCCUUUAGUUGGUUCAUCCCAUCCCCUUGAAACAUCAGCUACAUAGCUCAAGAAAUCCAUAGCUUCCUCCGGAUUUUUGCUCAUGAAAUCUCCUCCACACAUUGUCUCGAGGAGUUGCUUCAUUGAGGAGGACAUACCAUCAUAAAAAUAGCUCACCAAUAGCCAAGUAUCAAAGCCAUGGUGAGGGCAAGCAUUUAUAGCUUCCAUGUAUCUUUCCCAACACUCAUAGAAUUUUUCAUUCUCUUUAGCUGAGAUGUUUGAAAUUUGCCUUUUCAAGCCAUUUGUUCUAUGAGUGGGAAAAAAUUUCUUGAGGAAUUCAGCUUGUAGAUCAGUCCAAGAACGGAUACUCCUUGGCCUUAAAGAAUUAAGCCAAAUUUUGGCCUUAUCCUUUAAAGUAAAGGGAAAUAAUUUAAGCCUCAUCAAAUCAAUUGAAGCUCCUCCCUCUUUGGAAUGUAUUACAAACAUCUUCAAAUUCCUUGAUGUGUGCAUACCGAUUCUCACUUUCCAUCCCAUGGAAAGUUGGUAGAAGUGGAACAAGAUACGAUCUGAUCACUAGCUGCUCUGUAGGGGGCACUAUACAUGAUGGUGCACUCAUACGAGGUGGAUGCAUGCGGUCCCUCAUUGAUCUAAAUUCAUUGAGAUUGUCUUGACGACCUUGGUGACUAUGCUGAUCUUCAGGUGUAGCUUCACUGAUAUUCAAGAUCACUUCGAAUUCUUUUCUCUGAGGUGUAUCACACUUAACAAGCCUUCCUCGGCUGUCUCGUAUCCACUUUGGCAUACACAACUAGUAUCUAUCUAUAACUUAAAUAAAAACAAAGGACAACAAAAGGAAACAGGGCUACAACAACAAAAUUAAACUAGGCUAAAUUUUAAAAGAUAAACUUAGAUUAUGAACAAACAAAGAAAGAAUGAGAAUUAGUAAAGUGAAAGAAACGUUACCAACUUGUGAUGAAAAUCACAAGUGCUAAAAAAUGGUAUCACUAUAAACUUGACAUCUUCCCCGGCAGCGGCGCCAUUUGAUUCGUCCCUAGUAGCGGCAGUGGCAAAGGCACCAUUUGAUUCGAGGUUCGAUCCCCGGCAACGGCGCCAUUUGAUUCAUGCCCAGUUGGUGUCUCAGCUGAUUCGUGUCCAACUGGUGCUCCUUGAUUGAGGGAGUAAUCAACAAAAUUUAUAACCUAUAACACCAUAUACUAGGGUAGCAAAGAAAAAACUACUAUAGUAUAGUGGCUCUAGGAUCGUUCACUGGGAAGGAUUAACAAGCUAUCAAUGAUACCAAUUCAAAGUGAAUUGGUCUUGUUUCAUUUCAAGGUUAGCUUAAGAAAUAAAACACAAACUUUGGUUGGUAAAGAUUUAAACUAACUAACAUAACAAGUACUCGGAAUAACUUAGGAAGAAAAGCAUUCCUUGGAGAGUUAGGUUCACUGGGGUGGUUCCUCAUGCAAAAGACAUAGCUCCGGUCAGAUGGUUCAUUUCCUCGCGUUAGAGAUUCAACCUAUAGUCAAUUCUCUAACCGGUGUUGUACAGAUACAUCCUUCAAUUAGCUUUCACUUUAAUUCUCUCACUGAUGCAACUUGCAAUGAUUUAAGCCUCUCACUAAGCCGUAACCAUUCAAGGUGAUCUUUAACCUUGGAUUACCUGUCAAAAGCUCGCAAGAGAUAACUAAUGGAUGUCUCCUUGGAGUCCAAAAGCUUACCAAGUGUUGGCUAUUCUAGAAAAUCCUACCCUAAAGUCACCUCCCAGAGGCUCGCAAGGGGUAAACUAGUGCAUUUCCAUGGUUGGAAAUCACUUGCCUUACCAAGUGUUGGCCUAGGUGACUCUAAGGUGUUUUAAGUUAACUAAAAACAUAGAAAUCACUAAAGGAUUUCACUUCCUUUUCAUUAUUAGCUAAAACCACAAAGCUUUGCAUUCUUGCACUUGGAACCUUCCCCGGCAACCUUAGCUCCAAGGAACUAGAGGUUUAGUUACUCAUUCUCUGGGGAAAAUUCCUCAGAGAGUUCAUAACUUAGUAAUAAAAUAAAAAUACAAAGUGAGAAGGUAAGGCAACACAAAGAACUGAACUUUACUUGCUUACCCAAAACUUUACAAAAGGAUCUCCUCCCUGAGAACAGGUUCCCGAGAGGUAUAUAUAUGAACAUAAUUUAAAACUAAUUAUUACAUAGAUAUUUACUCUUUUUACUAACUUAAAAGCUAAGGAAUCUUGUAAUUGGUGGCUUACAAGGAGUAUUUUGGUAUUUAGACAACAAAAAUCUAAUGUAAAAUAUCUCCCAAUGUCGGUAGCAGAUAUCGGGAUGCUCCAGGAACCAUUUUGCAAGAGAAAAUGGUGUCUGCGAGAUUUCACUGACACUCAAGAGGGCUGCAAAAUCAUUUCGCAACAACAUGCUAUCUUCGCAGGGCUGCAAAGUUGGCUUCCACCUUGAGGUUCCCAGCUUCCCUCUCGCGGUAUAUGUCGGGCAUCUUCAGGAGGGAAUCCACAACACUGUACAAAAAGGCUGCGGAAUCACUUUGCAACAAAAGGGUGAUUUCGCAACACUUUGCAAAAUGCUUCCUUCAGCUUGGAGUGAUUGGCUUGCAAUGGCUGUAACUUCUUCAUUUCAACUCCGAAUUGUACACCGUUUGAAGCAGUGGAUUGUUGACUUCCUGAUCUUUGAAAUGGUAUAUAGCAUGCAUCAAUUAGACUUCAAAAAGUGCUCCAAAAGUGGCUGCUACGACUGUCAUCAAGAAUAUGCUUCAUGGCAGAUUCUCUUUACUUUUUCUCCUUGCAUUCCGGAUUCACUCUUGGAAAAUGACUUCUAAGCUUUGCCCAAGAUUCCUCAUAACUCUCCUCAGUCUUGAUUUGCUUUGGUGAUCAAAAUACUAACAAAAACACCAAAACUUACACAAAGUAAUUAAAAUUGCUUUCAAGGGUCCUUAACAUGCCAAUUGAGUUAAAAGGCCUAAACUACUACUCAAAAGUGUUUAAAAGGAUUAAUUAUAGGCUAUCAAAUAGCACUUUUUGAGUAGUAAUCAGUCCACACACAAGCUAAACGAGAAUAUGACAAUCAAAAUGAAUAGCAACAAAGAUAACAUGCUAAGAAAAUGAUCAAGAUAAUAUACAAGCAAGAGAAACAACACUAAGACAAAUGAGAUAUACAACAAUAUGAGCAUACAUGUCAAAAUGAGCAGAAUAAUCAUGGCAAAAGCAGAGUUAAUAUGUUAAGACAGAUAAGAGAAUCAAUGAAUAUCAUCACCAUGACAAUGUCGCAAAUGGAUAUAACAAUCAAGCAUAGAAAAUCGCCACAUCAAAAUCCUCAAUGUGCUAUGAUCACUCAAGCAUAGAGAAGCAACAAGGGAAGGUAUCCAUCAAUCGAUUAAUCAAACGCCACAUUUGUCUCAUCUUAAGUUCAAGUUUGACCCUUUAAACAUCCCCAACGGAGUCGCCAUUUUAUAGACCUUGUAUUUUCGCACAAUGCGUUCCUACUCGAUGGCAAAAUUCACUUUUUAUUUAUUUAUUUAUUUGGUGAAAAAAAAAUAUGAUUUUUAGAAAAGACUUAGAGUCACCACUUAUUUUUGUUUCAUUUUCAAAGGGAAAACAAAAUAAGAAAGAAAACCCUAAGUGUGACUCCUUAUUUGGAAAAGAUGGUAUGUGAAAAAUCAAAUCUGAGCUCGGGGGUCAGCUUACUUAUUAGGAAAGUACGGUAAAAACUGUAGCACCCCUCUAAGCCCCUAAAAUAUGUCUCUACUAAAUAUGAUGAAGUAGACAUGGCAAUUAACAAGUAGAUCAAGAGAUACCCAAAAAGAUAUUACACUAGAAGCCAAACAUGCAUGGAGAAUGGUCAAAGUGAAAAUGUAUGCAUACUUUAGCAGCAAACGAUACUGCGCUAUCAUGAAAUAGGGUUAGUGUACAAUAAUGAGCAUAAAAUAUGUCACAUGCAUAACUAAACAGGAUAAAAAAAAACUACUAAUGGCACACAUGGCACUUCACUCUAAUUUUUUUUUCUUCUUUUUUUUAAGAAAACGUCACUGAUGUUGGGCCUCCACCAAAGCCCAAUUUAUUUUUGUAUGAAUCAAUUCCAUAAAUUCCAUCACUUUGGAAUUACAAAAUUUAAUUCAUACUUAUUUUAAAACAUUUAAAAAUCAAGGAAAAUGUGAAUUGAUGCUUGCCGAAAAGAAAAUGGUAAUAAAUUUUAUUGAAAAAUGGAUUUUUGAGGCCUAAAAAAUCUAAGGAUGAAAAAUUGAAGAGUUGAAAUUAUUUGGAAACCAGAAUUUUCUAAAAUCAUUUUUGAAGGACAUGGGCUUUGACAAUGGGCCUAGGAAGGUGGCCAUGCAAAAAUGGGGUCAUGCACGUGGGCCCGAGGUACAACUAAUACUACUGAUUCGUUCCCAAUUGGUGUAUCAAUUGAUUCAUGUCCUCUUAAUGGUCCCCGGUAACGGCGCCAUUUGAUUCAUGGUCAACUGGUGUACAUUGAUUUCGGUCCUUAAACGGGAGUAAUCAACAAAAUUUAUAACCUAUUACACCAUGUACUAGGAUAGCCUCAGCUAGCAUAGCAUAGUGGCUCUAGGAUCGUUCACUAGGAUGGGCUUUCACUCCACAAUUGAUAUUAAUUCAAAGCUGAAUUUGUGCUUUUUCAUUUCAAGGUUACCUUUAAAAGAAAACAUAAAGAAGUUUGAAAAGGUUGGUUUUAAGCUAACUAAAAAUAGUAACUGAUUUUAAUUACAAAUAAAAGUGUUUCUUGGAGUUUCAAAUCACUAGACUUAGGUUCCUUAUACAAAAAGGGAGUUACGGUCACUUGAAUCUUUUCCUCACAUUGGGGAUUUAACAUAUAAUUAUUUCCCAAACCGGUGUGGUACAGAUGCUUCCCCUUAAUGGGUUCAAACACUAAUUCCCUCUCACUGAUGCAUCUUGCAAUGGCUCGUGCCUCUCACCUAGCAUUUGCCACUCAAGGUGAUCCUUAACCUUGGAUUACCCUUCAAAAGCUUGCAAGAGAUAACUAAUGGAUGUCUCCUUGGAGUCCAAAAGCUUACCAAGUGUUGGCUAUUCUAGAAAAUCCUACCUUUAAACUACCUCCCAAAGGCUUGCAAGAGAUAAACUAGUGUAACUCAAUGGACGAAGUCCACUUGCCUUACCAAGUGUUGGCCCAGGUGAUUUUAAGGAAUUUUAAGUUAAUUAAAAAGAUAAAAACCAUUAACGGGUCACACUUUCUCUUCAUUAAAAGCUUAAAUAACAAAACUUCCAAUUUUUGCAUGUGGAAACUUACUCGACUUUCUUCACUCCAAGAGACAAAUAGCCUAACCACUCAUCCUUUGAGGAAACAUCCUAAGAGUUUGAUUUGCUAGAAAUAAAAAUAACGAGAAAACAAAAAUAUGAAGGAAAGGCAGAGCAAGUGCUCUAUAGAUAUAUUUCUUACUAUGAUCCUCCUCUCGUCGGAUUACAUAUAUUGGAUCUAUGAUCCCUUAUCUUUACAUUGGUUCAAAGAUAUAUAUAUAUAUAUAUAUAGAAGAUAUUUUCUAAGAAAUAUCCCAAUAAUAUCUUUGACUGAUUACAAGGAGAAAAUAGAAAUUUACACAAAAUAUCUUGAGACAAAAUCUAACUGAGUCGGCUGCAAAUAUCUGAGAUUGCACAAGUGGAUUUCGCAAGGUGAUUCACAUGUUGAUUUAUCCAUUUUGCAAGUUUGAACUUUGAUUUUGCAAGUUGAAUUUGUGAUUUCGCAACUUGGUUGUAAUUUCACAACUUGGAGAUGAUUUACAACUUGAUUUGCAGCUUGGAGGUGAUUUUGCAACAUGGUUUGUAACUGCGAAAAUGGAGUUUCAACUUGCAAAGUGGCACAUGUGUGCUUGUAGGUGGUUUCGUAGCUAUGAAACACCUUGCGAAAUUUCGCAAGUGGAUUUCAUUUCGCAGCUCAUUUCGCAGCUGCAAAAUUUUUGCUCAGCUUUGUGCGGUUGUCUUCAAACGGCCAUAACUUCUUCGUUUGAGCUCCAAUUCGCACACCGUUUGAAGUGUUGGACUCCUAACUUCCCGAGCUUCGAAAUGAAAUAUAGUAUGCAUGAAAUAGACUCCAGUAAGUACUCAAAAUGUGUCCAAAAUUUGCUAUCCUCUUGAAUUCUUCAUGUUAGAUUUCUCUCUUUGCUUUCCCUCCUUGUAUUCAUGAUUUGCUUUUGGCAAAGGACUAUAAAGCUUCAAAGCUUGGGUUCUUCAUGUAAAUGAGCUUCCAUUUUCUUUGCCAUGGACUAUACAAAGAUCUCCCUCAUUCUUGGAUUGCUUUGGUGAUAAAAAAGCUAUCAAAAACACCAAAACUUAACAUAAUUUGAUUAAAAAUGAUUGCAAAGGUCCUUAACAUGCCAAUUGAGUUAAAAGGUAAUAACUACUACUCAAAAGUGUUUAAAAGAGUUAAUUACAAGCUAUAAAAUAGCACUUUUUGAGUAGUAAUCACUCCCCCCAACCGACAUAUUGCUACUCCCUUAGCAAUGAAGAAGAGAAAAAUAAAAAUAAACAGUACUAUAAUUUACAACAUCAUGCUGAUCACUCCAAAAAAUUUUCAAGUGGCAUGAUGUAGAGCAUACUCUCUCAUGGAACAUCAAAGAAGCAACACUCAACCUUCAACAAGAGUUAUCAAAUCUCUUGCCUAAUCACAAUGUAUAAAGAGUAGGCAUUAUGCAAAUUUAAGUAUCAAAAGAAUUUCCACUCCCAAAGGGUCAAACCUUACUCUUCCACAAAAAUCUAAGUUUUAUUUAUUAUCUUCCGAAUAUAGUAUGUUGAACUAAUCUCUCCCCCCAACCUAGUUCUUUUUCAAAGCUUAGCAAACUGAUCAACCUCCAAUAGGCUAAGAAGACACCUAUUUUAUUUCACACUUUUUUUCAUUGUAGGAGUACAUGGCUUAAAGGUAUUCUUUUCUAAAUUGUCCAUGUAACGGGGGUCCAUCGAUGACUCCCAACCAAUUAAGGCUUAGGGCAUCAAGCUUUAAGGAUCUUUCGACCACUAACUCCUCAGAUUUUACCCCGGACUUUUGAGAAUGAAUUUUAAUACCCAAACACCUAUAGUAUGUUAAACUCCACCUAUUCACCCUCGUAACGAGCAUUGAGGUCGGUGACUCCCAACCAAUGAAGGAUUAGGGCAUCAAGUUUUAAAGAUUUUCACCAUAUACCCCUCAGACCUUGCUCGAGUUUCAAGGCAAGCAAACAUUUUUCUUUCUUUCUUUUUUUCAAAAGCUCAUUGGCCUUUUAUAAGAUGUCCCAACACUAUUAAAUGAGAUCAAAAGUACAAGUCUAAAAUUUUCCUAAGUCAAGAGGGAAAUAGUUUUUCAUCUUAUAAUCGGAACCUAUUGUGCACAGUGUGUGAAUAGCUUAAAGUGGAAGAACUAAGGUUGAAUUCAAUAGAAGUUUCAACAAUUCCUCAACUUUAGUAAGCAUAAUACAAACUCUAAGUCAAGUGAAAAACAAAAAUUCAAUUUCUCUCAUUUUAUUUUCAGAAUUUUUCCUUAAUAACCAUAGAGAGUAGAUAAUAAAAACUUAAAAAAUUUUAAAAUUAAGCAAAAAGCAACUAAAUUACUAAAAUAACUUAACAUUAAUAACAAAACUUUCUUCCUCAACUCUCCUCCCAACCAAGCUGAACAUUGUCCUCAAUGUGACAAAAACGAUUGAAAAAUAGGGAGGAAGUGGUACCUCCUGAGUGACAUGGAGUUUGAGUCAUAUAGGAGAAACCACAUGUUUAAAAAAAAACAAAAGAGUUAGUGAGUAGAGGAAAUAGAAAAAUGUCAAGUUUAAACAAAAAUGAUGUCUAUAUAUGAUGUAUCAUCAGUAAUACAUCCAAUCCCAGAAUAUAAAACAUCAAAACAUAGAAUUAUUUAUACUAAUAUAAUAUGUAAAGACAAAAAUAAAGAGAUGAUCAAGUAAUGGUAGGGUCAUGUGGAGCUAAUGCAUCUGUGGUGGCCUCUUGAGUAGGUUGGAUCAGGACUUUGACCCUCUGUUCUGAUAGUCUCCUUAGAUGGAAUAGUCUCCUCGGUUGGAGCUCUUAGUUGGAGCUAUGGACUCUGAUGGUUUUAGGGAGCUCAGAAAUGGAGUGAGAGACUUCGUGUGUGUGAUCUCAGUGAGAGGGCUCUCCUCUUUAGAUGCAUGGUUACGUGGUUCUGUUGGCAUUUUCGCAACUUCCCUUGGCUUCACAAGGUGUUUUCGCAAACCUCCCCCAUUUCACAGCCUAGAGGCCAUUUCCCAGCUUGGAGGUUAUUUCGCAGCCAUUUCAAAGCCUGAAGGUCAUUUUGCAGCUAUUUCGAAGCCCUAAGGUGAUUUCAUAGCCAAAGGCCAUUUUCGCAGCCAAGGGGCAUUUUCGCAGCCCAUUUCACAGCCAAAAGGUGAUUUCACAGCCAAUGAGCAUUUUCGUAGCCCAUUUUGCAGCCAAAAGGUGAUUUCGCAGCCAAAGGCCAUUUUCGUAACCCAUUUCGCAGCCAAAGGGCAUUUUCGCAGCCCAUUUCGCAGCUUGGAGGCCCUUUCGCAGCCAAAUGGGGAUUUCGCAACUCAUGUCACAGCUUGGAGGCCAUUUUGCAACCAAGGGGCAUUUUCGCAGCCCAUUUCGUGGCCAAAGGCCAUUUUCGCAGCCAAGGGCCAUUUUCGUAGCCCAUUUCGCAGCUUGGAGGUUAUUUCACAUCCAUUUCGAAGCCUGGAGGUCAUUUCGCAGCCAUUUCGAAGCUCUAAGGUGAUUUCGCAGCCAAAGGCCAUUUUCGCAGCCAAAAGGCAUUUUCACAGCUUGGAGGCCAUUUCGCAGCUGCGAAAUGGGAGCGUGGGGCUGCGAAGUGGCACUUGUGUGCCAAGGGGUGGUUUUGCAGCUGCGAAAAUUUUCACAGGGGGUAGUUAUGGGGCAGCGAAAUCAUUUCGCAACGGAGGACCAUUUUCGCAGCCAACCCUUGAUUUCGCAGUGGGCACCUUGUGGUUGCGAAAUUAUUUCGCAGCAGAAGGCCAUUUUCGCAGGGGGCUAUUUUGGGUUGUGAAAUUUCACAGACCACUGAUUUUUUCUUGCUUCUAAGCUCCUUUUGGCUCCUUGAGACGUUUCUUCACUUCUUUUGCAAUUCCUACUGAUUUUGAUCAUUCAAAAACCUAUGUUAAAUCAAAACAAAGUAAAAUUGAAGCAUUGAAAUCAAAAUUAAAACAAGUAAUAAAAUAAAACAAAAAGAUAUGGACUAGUUAGUCUUUAAAAAGACUAAGUCCAUCAAAAAAUUUGAUCCUGGUUCAGCUUGCCCGGAUCCCAUAUGAAGUUUGUAUCUCUCACUUGAGACUUGCUCUAUAUGAUUUUGCCAUACAAAGCUUAGGGAAAAGGUGGAGGCAUGUGUUUCUUCAUCAUUUCUUCCUUGAUGACUAUCCUCUAUGGUUCUUCAUCUAUAUUAAGAUCAUAGUCAUCUCUCUCUAUGCUUUUCCCUUUUUUCCUUCCUAUGAUUUCCUCCCUCUUUUCUUUCUCUGCUUUACAUUUCAAGGUUAGCUUUAAAAGAAAACAUAAAGAUGUUUGAAAAGGUUGGUUUUAAGCUAACUAAAAAUAGUAACUAAUUUUAAUUACAAAGAAAAGUGUUUCUUGGAGUUUCAUAUCACUAGGCUCAGGUUCCUUAUACAAAAAGGGGGUUCCGAUCACUUGAAUCUUUUCCUCACAUUGGGGAUUUAACAUAUAGUUAUUUCUUGAACCGGUGUGGUACAGAUGCUUCCCUUUAAUGGGUUCAAACACUAAUUCCCUCUCACUGAUGCAUCUUGCAAUGGCUCGUGCCUUUCACCUAGCAUUUUCCAUUCAAGGUGAUCCUUAACCUUGGAUUACCCUUCAAAAUCUCACAAGAGAUAACUAAUGGAUGUCUCCUUGGAUUCCAAAAGCUUACCAAGUGUUGGCUAUUCUAGAAAAUCCUACCUUUAAACCACCUCCCAAAGGCUCGCAAGAGAUAAACUAGUGUAACUCAAUGGACGGAGUCCACUUGCCUUACCAAGUGUUGGCCCAGGUGAUUUUAAGGAAUUUUAAGUUAACUAAAAAGAUAAAAACCAUUAACGGGUCACACUUUCUCUUCAUUAAAAGCUUAAACAACAAAACUUCCAAUUUUUGCAUGUGGAAACUUACCCGACUUUCUUCACUCCAAGAGACAAAUAGCCUAGCUACUCAUCCUCUGAGGAAACAUCCUAAGAGUUUGAUUUGCUAGAAAUAAAAAUAACGAGAAAACAAAAAUAUGAAGGAAAAGCAGAGCAAGUGCUCUGUAGAUAUAUUUCUUACUAUGAUCUUCCUCUCGUCGGAUUACAUAUAUCGGAUCUAUGAUCCCUUUUCUUUACAUUGGUUCAAAGAUAUAUAUAUAUAUAUAUAUAUAUAUAUAUAUAUAUAUAUAUAUAUAUAUAUAUAGAAGAUAUUUUCUAAGAAAUAUCCCAAUAAUAUCUAUGACUGAUUACAAGGAGAAAAUAGAAAUUUACACAAAAUAUCUUGAGAAAAAAUCUAACUGAGUCGGUUGCAAAUAUCUGAGAUUGUACAGGUGGAUUUCGCAAGGUGAUUCACACGUUGAUUUAUCCAUUUUGCAAGUUUGAACUUUGAUUUUGCAAGUUGAAUUUGUGAUUUCGCAACUUGGUUGUGAUUUCACAACUUGGAGAUGAUUUGCAACUUGAUUCGCAGCUUGGAGGUGAUUUCGCGACGUGGUUCGCAGCUGCGAAAAUGGAGUUUCAACUUACGAAGUGGCACAUGUGUGCUUGCAGGUGGUUUUGUAGCUGUGAAACACCUUGCAAAAUUUCGCAAGUGGAUUUCAUUUCGCAGCUGCGAAAUUUUCGCUCAACUUUGUGCGGUUGUCUUCAAACGGCCAUAACUUCUUCGUUUCAACUCUAAUUCGCACACCAUUUGAAGCCUUGGACUCCUAACUUCCCGAGCUUCAAAACGACAUAUAGUUUACAUGAAAUGGACUCCAGGAAGUACUCAAAAUGUGUCCAAUAGUUGCUAUCCUCUUGAAUUCUUCAUGUUAGAUUUCUCUCUUUGCUUUCCCUCCUUGUAUUCAUGAUUUGCUUUUGGCAAAGGACUAUAAAGCUUCAAAGCUUGGGUUCUUCAUGUAAAUGAGCUUCCAUUUUCUUUGCCAUGGACUAUACAAAGAUCUCUCUCAUUCUUGGAUUGCUUUGGUGAUCAAAAAGCUAUCAAAAACACCAAAACUUAACAUAAUUUGAUUAAAAAUGAUUGCAAGGGUCCUUAACAUGCCAAUUGAGUUAAAAGGUAAUAACUAAUACUCAAAAUUGUUUAAAAGAGUUAAUUACAAGCUAUAAAAUAACACUUUUUGAGUAGUAAUCAACCACACUGGUGGUUGAAUGUGGGAUACUAACAACAGAGAGAGUUGAGGUGGACUAUCCAAAAGCAGAAGUCGUCUGCCCAAGAGAAGGUGUUGAAGAUUGGAACAAUGGUGAUGAUUGUGUGUUACCAAAAUUUAAGGUAGAACCAAAUGCUGGAGCUAUUCCCUAAGUUGAAGUGGAACAAAAAAUUGAAGGUGAUGACCCAAAACCUGAUGAGCUUGAUGCUCCAAAAAGAGACGGAGAAGAACUAGCUUCAAAUGGAGGAGUUGAUGAUGUUCCAAAUAUAGAGGUGUUGUAGAUGAAGUCGAUCCAAGAAUAGGGGUGCUUGGAGCGCUAAAUGCUCCACUAGAUGCAAAGACUACGACACUUGAAGCACUAAAUGCACUGCCUGUGCUACCAAAUGUUGGACUUGGCGUUGAACUAAAGGCAGAAGUGUUUAUAGCACCAAAUGUGGGCGUAGUACUAGCAACACAAAAUGCUGGUGUGCUUGUGGCCAUAAAGGUCGGGGUGUUACUAGCACCGAAUGCAGCUUGACUUGCACUAAAAGACGUAGAGGAACCAAAUAGACUACUUAUAAAUGUUGGUUGCGCAUGUUGAAAAGCACUUCCAAAAGGACUUGUUUGAAUAGGAGUGGACCCAAAACCUCCAAAACUUGGCUUGUGCCCAAAUAUAGAAGAUCUGCCAAAUGAUGAUGACACACUACCAAAAGUUGGAGUUGAAGAAGCUCCAAAAGCAGGCAAUGAACUUCCAAAAGACGGUAAUGAAGAAGCACUAAAUGUUGUUGUGGAAGGCAAUGGAGGAGAAGAUCAGGUUGCACCCAAACACACUAGUUAAAGUGCCACCAAAUAUUGAAGACACCAAGGUUGGGAACAAGCACGCAAGGGCUGCACACGCAUGAGAAGGAAAUGAAAGAAAUUCAAGUGAAAGAAAUAGUGAGAAUAAUGGGUUUGGAGAUGGGAUGAGUGGGAAAGGUGGUGAGAUAAGUGGGUUUAUAGGGUUGGGUGUUAAGUAGAACUGUAGACAGCGAAGAAAGUGGGUUCGGUGAUGGAACCAGCUGCUAGCAGUGGGCAUGAUAGAUGAUGAGUGAUUGGAUGGGCAUGAUGAUGGGUGUGUUGGGUAUGAAGGGUAGUAAGUUUUACAAAGGUUUUGUUGGGUCAUGCAUGCACGAUUCUCGUGCAUGUGGGUAGGAAACAAAUAGAUGGGCAAUAGGUUGGGCAAGUGUGAAUGAAGUUGAAGGUGGGAGUGUGGUGAUGGGUUCAGUGGAUUGGUAGAAGGUUGAUUAGUGGAAUGACCUAUCUCCUUUGCGAUUGACAAUUGAUCACCUGUAAUCAUCUUAACACAAACUCCAAGGUUAAGUGCCCUGCGGAUGGUCUCAGCACUGUCAUGCCUUGGAGGAUCAAACAAGGGCAAGAACCCACAAAAUGUCCAAGGACCUCAGGAUUUUCUUUAGUUUGUUCUAGAACCUCCUGAUAUGCAACCCCAAGAGAUCGCAGACCCCUUUCAGCGAACUUGUCAAUAAUGGCAUGGACUUUUCCAACAGUUUCUUCUUUCUCUUGGUGGAGAUUUAGAAUUUGUUCAGGAACUCCUUUGCUGGCCCGAAUCCAAUUACCAUUAGAAUCAAUGUAAGUAAUUACAGUACGCUUGUCCAUAGGAAUGAAAGACAGAAAAUGCAUUUCUAUGAUGUUUGCGCGUGCCUCCUUUUCGAGCUAGCAUCAAUAACUCUCCCUUGUAGCCAAGAUACAGGCUUGGCAUAUUGGAAUCAAUAAGCCCAAUAGAAAGAGUCAACUCCACGUCAAUCGCUUUGAUCAAAAGUUCUAUCAUUAUUCCUACCCAAAUAUAGACUUUGCACAGUGGCUUAUAAUUCUUGACUUCAAAGUGUUGCCAUGGUGGUGCCCUCCAAAUCCCACUUUGAGUGUCAAGAUGGUUGUGUGAAGAUUGGCAUCUGAUUGAGGCUUGAGCAUCCGAAGUUGAGAAGUUUUGGAAGAUAGCAAAUAUAAGGACCUUGAGAAUCAACCAAUCACUCACAUGAAAAUAUAGCAACGACACCCAUGCGGUCAUUGCCCAACUUAGAUCCUACACCCAAUAGCGGUGACUCAGAAUAUAUUUCCACUAAACCUAAUCUCAAAUUACAACAAUUGUCUUCUCAAGCAAACCAACAAACUUAGAUCAAGCCCAUGUUUGACAGUGAUUAGACACUUCCCAUAUGAAGAAAAUUGACAGCAUAUAACUUUACCAUUCUUGGUCCAUAUGCGACAAACUUUAGCAAGGGUUGAAUCAUCUGAAGAAAAUUGACAGCAUGUAGCUUUCCGGUUUGAUUUGGGACUCCUUUUAUGCUUAGUUGUGUCAUACAGAUCCUUACAACCACUGUUAUUGAUAUAGUGGUUAUGUUCCAAGUUUAGCAAACGGGAUGCAUCUGUUAGCAUGGUAAAGGCUCCGACCAAAGCAUUCACAACACCAACUUUCUCAUGAUGAUUGAACUCAAGUUUCUUUUCUAUAGACUUUCCAAUGCGGUCCAUAUAGUUUUUCAGGCAUCCGGAAAUCCCUAACCAUAUGGAAAAUGGCUCUCAUGGGGCUCUCCCAAAAACACCCCCUCCCCCCCAACCAAGGUGGCCAACCCUAAAUGAGAUAUUUAACACCCCAAACACAACAAAAAAUAUAGGAAUAAAAGCAAAGAAAGGAAUCAGAAGGAACACUGAGGGUAAAGUAAGUAAGAGAACAUAUAACACAUAGAUGUACAGGACCUCAUUUCAGGUGACGUCCAUGGGCUCAAAACAGAUGGGAUAAACAAAUCAAAGAAAACCCAAAAAUAGAGCAUGUAUACAGAAUACUACAUUCAACUAAAAAAAAUGAAUAACUCUUCUUACCCACACCAAAACAACAAAUUAAUGCUUAGAACCAGAGCUGGAAACAUCAGGAUGAGUUUAAACAGGAGUUAAAACAUGGCUCCUUGAACAUUAGUCGGCAAACAACAUUCAAGAGUCAACAGAAACACUAAACAACGUUUAUCAUCUAAUAAUCAAAAGAUGGAAGAAAUUUAAGUCCUUCCUUAAUUUAAAAUUUUCUUAUAGCUUCUCAUCAAAGAUAAGCUAUCAAUGAGACAACUCUUCAAAACCAUUUUAAUGUCCCUAUUGAUUACCCUCUUUCAUAAUUUAAACCAAGAAAUCAUAAUCAAGUAUAGUCUGUCUUACAUAAGCAUUAGUAUAACGGUUAUGAAGAGCUUGCUUACACACCAUCGGACUUAUAGUUUAUAUAUUGAGUCCAAGUUGAAAUGAUGCAAUCCAAAUUAUCUUAGUGUAUUCCACUUUCAAUCCUUUAUAAUUGAAAAAUCAAGAAAACAAUGUAACACAUGAUUACUGAAGCAUUGCAUUACAUUACAAUGUACAUUGUACAAGGUUAGUCAGACAAAAGAACUACAAGCAGUAGAAUUUAUCUUUCUCUACAUAAUAGGGCUUUUUUCAAAUUCAUUCUAUUUUUUCAUUGCUUGUAAUCUGAACCUUUGUCUAUGCAAUUAUAGACUAAAGUAGAAAUAACAUGAAAAAUGUAUAUAAAAGUAUAAGGCAACAACUAUCAUUCCCACAAAGCUUACAAAGAUGGGUUAUCUAGUAACCUCAAUCAGCAAAAAACAAGGAAUCCUUUUGAAGAAGGUGUCAGACAAAUGAUGAAUAUAUCAAAAAGUCUAUAAGAUAUUCUGGCUGUAAAUCAAAUGGCUCACCAACAACUAUGUGGAUUUUCAAAAACUAAAUCUAGUCACAAAUUUUAGCCCCCAUUUACUUUUUGCCUUUUUUUUCUCAAAAAAUUCCAUUAUGAUUUUUUUUGUCUUUUUUUUCUCAAAAAAUUCGGUUAGAAGAUUGAUAGCCCUUCGAUAUCAUAUCUCAUUAUCUUUGAAGAUAUGAGUAUUAAUCAAAGAAGAAAGUAAGUGGAUUUAAUCUACUUACAGGUUUCUAAAAACAAAAGUAAAAUGUUUGAACCAAAAUUAAUUCAACAAAAAACCUCAAAGCCCUUUUUCUCUAGUUCCCAUAACAAAAAUCAAUUGUGGUCUCCUUUAUUUUUUGAGUUCUUAACAACAAUCAAUGUGGUCCCCUCCAUUUUUGGGAUCUUUAACAAAAAAAUCCAUGGUGGCCCCCUCCUUCCACAUCUGUUUUCUUUAAUGAAAACAAAACCCUUUUUGUUUAUACCAAGCUCAAGAUGAAAAUAAAAUAAAAUAACCAAACACAUCUACAAUAACAAACUAAAAUAAAAUUAAACCAAAUAGAACUAAACAUAUUUACAAGAAAAAAAAUUACUUAAACCAAAAAACUCAUAAAUCUUACCUACACCAGUAACGAAAGAAAUAAAAUGAAAAUUUGGAAAAAUAGAACCUGAACCAAGGAUGAAGCAAAAAAAAAAAAAAAAGAAUGAAUGAGAGGCAAAACCCCUAAAAGGUAAGAAAUCUAACUAAAAAUGGAAAGGAAUUGAAACAGAUCAUAAAACCGUAGUUGGUGACUACGGUUUUGAUUGAUUUAAAAAAAAUAAAAAAAAAUUCAAAAUCGUAGUUGGUGACUACGAUUUUAUAAUGUGGAAUCUUAUGUGACUCAAACACACUAGAUUGGGCAUUAGUUUCAAUCCAGGUUUAAUUUAUGAUUUUUUUUUUUAAUGUCCUAUUUUGGAUCAAAACUCCUUAAAAUGUCUCUUGCUAGUGGCCCCAAAAGGGUGCGAAAAAGGGAACCCCCCAAAAUGAGGGGUCUCCACUAAGAUUUAACUAAAUAAAUUUUUUAUAAUUAGGAUCAUCUACUCACAAGUGCAAAUUAAUCUGCUAAUCCCUAUUCCACCUGAGAUAAUUGUCCAAAAUUUCUGUAAUAAUCUUUAAAUCAAAAUAUUAUCAAGCUCAUUUACAAAAAUAAUAAAAUAGAGUUUAAGUCACAAUCAUCCAUAUUACCCAAAUUAAUACAAGCCCAAAAUUUAACUAUCAAGCUCAUUUACAAAAAUAAUAAAAUAGAGUUUAAGUCACAAUCAUCCAUAUUACCCAAAUUAAUACAAGCCUAAAAUUUAACAUAAGUUAUAACAAUUUUUUUAGGUGAUUCCUCCACUUCCUAAAACUCUCUCUGAUUUGCUUAUGGUUGCUUAGAAAUUAUAUUUUUGCAUUUAAAAUUUUAAAAAUAAAAUAUAAUAAAAUAAAAUGGAGAGUGAGUAUAUUACAAUGCUUCAACCGUAAAAUCAUAUACAAGGAUAAAAUAAUUCUAAUUCAAAACCAUGCAACCAUAUACAAGAUAUAAUAAUUUAUUCACAUUAUAUCACUAGUAGAAAAAAUGCAAGUUAUGACGCUUGAUUCGUUGGCGCUUCAAAAAAAUGUCAAGGAAUUGGGUCAAUCUUGGCGCUUAUAGAAUAUUUUUAAACCUUGGCGCUUUUGUGAUACAUAUAUUGGAUUCAACGGCGCUUUUAAUAUGACACCUUUAAAAAGCAUCAUGGUAGGAAGUGGAGAGUAACCUUGGCACACUUUUAUAAGUGUCAUUGAAAUGAAGAGCAACAUUGGCACUUUUAUCAAGUGUCAUUGAAGUUACUGAUAUAUAUUUCAUUCUUUUUUCCCAUCUAAAUACAAUAACUCAUAUUCCAAACACUUCGAGCCCUAACCUAGGGAAAUCACCCACGUUGCCGGCCACUAACAACAACCAAUCGAUGAGAAAAUGUUACCAACACAAUGAAGGUACUCUCAUUUCUUUUCUUAUUGGUUUGUUUGGUUACCCAGAAAUGGGAGAAAAGAAACGUAAAUCAGAUAGAAAAAAUUUUAAUCUUAAAUCUUGAAUUGGUUGAUGCAAUUGUUUUGGUUAUAUACGAUUUAUUGGUUUUCUACAGUUGAUUGAGAAGAGGGUUAGAGGGAUCUAAGAAAGCAAGAGACCCACUCUUGAACCCUAACCCUUUGAACAAUUCGUCAUUGAAGCUUUCCCAAUCGUAGAGAAGUCGGGCACACUGGUUUUAUCCAAGGAAAGCUUUAGGUGUCUUGGCUUCUUGUAGGGCUUUGGUGUUAUGCCUUUCAAUAAGGCUUUGGGUCUCAGCUUCCAGUUGACUGCGUGGGGGUUGUCUUGAUCUAUGUUGGGUGGUUAACUUUCAAGGUUGUGACUUGAAAACUAUGGAAUCCCAUUUUUGUGACUAAACUGCCCUAUCAUAGUCUUUCUUGUUUUCAGUUGGAAUGAUUCUAGUUGGAAUGAUUCUAGAUUUUACAUUUCCCUCUAUUAAUUUUGUGUACAAAAGCCCAUCAUUAUGCAAAAAAAUAUAUUGCAUAUCACUGAGUCUACUGGAGAAAAAAAUCAAUAAGUGGAAACCAAUUCAAGGAAAAUUGAUUUAUGGUUAAGAUGGAAUGAUUUCCAGUGCAUUUUAUGUCUUUUUAAGUGGAAAAAAAAAAGUGAAAGGUCAGCAGUUUGCUGAAACAGAGCAAAAGCUAUAAGGUAGCUUCAAAACAGAGUAUUCCUUGUCCCCCAAAUGCAAUUCACUGUUCCUCAAAGGCGGGCUAUAUUUGAUCUAGAAAUUCAUAAUGGAAGUUUACAAUUAGAGAGGAACUUCUUCAAUUUAUUAGGCUAAGAGUAGAGGAUAUGAAGGCUAAGAGAAGGAAUGACUCGAAACUGAUGGUUGGAAUUUCGGUAUUUUGGUUAUCAUUCUAAUCCAGCCCCUGGAAGAUUGAAGAUGAAAUACAAAAUGCCUAAUUGACUAUCACGUGGUCCUUAUCUUCGUCAAUGAACAUUUUAAUAGGGUGGAUGAGUUUUUCCCUCAUGCUAAUUUUUAAAGGAUGCCUCUACUGUUAAGCUAAUAGCAAUUGCGAGCAAACCUUCAAAUUUUAAGAUACUUUACAGAUAGCUAGCUCCCCUUGUGUGGGAUGGAGGUAGCCAAGUUUAUUUGUUUUCAAAUUGGUUCGAUGAUUGUCAAUAAAAUGAAUAGCUAAAGGCAGCAAAAUGGUGAAACUGAGGCAUGAUUGUUGUUGUAUUCCAAAAAAAAUGUGGCAGGUGAUAAUGACAUGUUCUGCAUUACCUUCUUGCUUACAAUUUAGCUUAAAUAGAUUCCUUUAAUUUUGGAUUCUAACAAUCCUGUAAGCCUUUGAGACAUCAACUCACAAGGUUUUUAUAUGUUUUAAUUUGCAUUAUCUUUUAUUUGCUAAUUGAACUCAUAUUUAUCCCUUUUUUUCNNNNNNNNNNNNNNNNNNNNNNNNNNNNNNNNNNNNNNNNNNNNNNNNNNNNNNNNNNNNNNNNNNNNNNNNNNNNNNNNNNNNNNNNNNNNNNNNNNNNUGAAUGGUAGAAACCUAUCUCUAAGUUGGUUUUUUUAUUUAUAUCAAAUACUUGGUAGCUUGCACUUUGAAUUCUUAAUAUAUAUUUUUGGGAAUUUUUUUUGCAUGAUGAUAUUUAAAGAAUAUUAAUUGACUUGUUUUUAAAAUAAAAAAAAAUUUAAGAACUCAAUGAUUUUAAUAUUCAAAAAUCAAAUUUCAAAAUUUUAUCAUUUAAAAAAUUCAAUGAUUUUAAUAUAAUAAAUACUUGGUAGUUUAGACCCUACCGGUUGAAGUCUUAAUAUUUAUUUUUGGGAAUUUUUUUGUAUAAUGAUAGUUAAUAAAUAUUAAUUGAAAAAGUUUUUUUUUUUUUUUUUUUUAAGAACUCAAUGAUUUUAAUAUUCAAAAAUCAAAUUUUAUCAUUUAAAAAUUCAAUGAUUUUAAUAUUUAAAAGUUAUUCAUGACUAUCUUAUCAACUUAGAAAGGUAAUUUGGAUAGUGUUUGAAAAGCAAGACAAUAUUUUUCUAUUUAUGGAGAUUAAUUUGAUUUAAUAUUAACUUUAAAAUUUUCCAUUUAAUAUCUUUUUUUAACUAAAAGGCUAUACACAUUUUCAUACUUUCUUUUUUAAAGAAGUUGCUCCAUUAGGAAUUAUAUUAACUAGAAUAUAGUAAUUAAAAAUUAGCCUAAUAUAAUAAUAGCAUAUAAGUUAAACUUAUGGACGGAAACAACCAACAGUGGCUAAGAUUAUUUCCUUUUAGCAAGUGAUGCACUUCAACUUUUAAACAAAUUAGUUUAAUAUUCUUAUAGUGGGUUGAUACUUACAUUCCAAAUGUCAUAACACUAUACCUUAGUUAUUUAGUUAAUUUGCAUCCUUUAAUUAGUAAUUUGACUGGACAAAGUAAUAUCCCAGGGAACCUACCUCAUUGCAUCAUGGAGUGGAAUUCAAGUUGCCAUAAAAAGGCUUAGGGAUGAAGUGAUAAGGAUAAAUUGUGAGUUUUUCAAUACUAGCAAUGAAUUUUGAUUUUUAUUUGUUGCCUUAUUUCUAUCGGCAUAUUGCAUUUAUCUAUCUAAAAGCUAUUGGUUUUAUCACUUCAUGUAAUUCAUUGAGUAGGGUGGUCUUAAGCUAUUGAUUAAUGAUACUAUAAAUUGGCUUGCCAUUCUCCAAGUAUAUGUGAUUAUUUAGGUGUCUAGUUCUAUCAUCAGCAUGUUGCUCAAACUUAUAGGCAGUAAGAAACUAAUUAAAUAUGAUAUUGUUCAAUAAACCUGAAUAUGUGCCAAACACUACAAUGAUGAGAACAAAUCAAAUUAUAUAUGAAUAACUUAUUUUGGAGAAAUUGCAUGUUGAACAACCACACAAAUAUCCUCUUUCUUUUAUAACUCUAUGUAGCCCUUUUUGAUAAACAUCAAAUGUAAUAUAAGAAGAGUCUUAAAUAAUAAGCAAAUAAACCUAAAUACAUUCUAUAAAAAUGUAUCAAACCAAUAUUUACCUCUUGUGAAGUAGAAAUAUAUUUUACCAAAGCCCCAUCAAACACUUCAUCUCUCAAACUCUCUGGAAUUGAAUAUCCUAAACUUGUAAAUGAGAUUUCACCUAACCCCGCUCGGUUAGUGCUUGCUAGCUUGCCAUUACUUUUCUUUAGUUUAAUUGCAAUUUCAUUAUGGUUGUAAAGUAUAUAAUCAUUAUUAAUUACUUUCCUUUGGUUUUAAGUAAAAAUUUCAAUUUUCAAAUUUUCAAUUUUUUAGCACAAAGAUGACCACCAAAAAAAUGAGUUACUUGCUCCAUGGCAAGAUCAAAGUGCAUCUAACCUUUCCAGAUGUUAGCUUCCCCAAGGGGAUUACAAUUCUAGCCAUUGGUGAGGACAAGUGGGUAGCCAUGAGCUUGGAGUUUCAAAAUGAGAAAGGUAAUUAAAUUCUUUUAGUUUCCAUUUUAAAGUAGAUGUUUUAUCUAUGUUGAAAGUUAGUAUGACACUCUUGAUAUAUGUAAAAGGUAUAUUGGAAUAUUCACAAAACAAUUAUAGAUAAAAUACACACAACUACCAUGGGAAUGGGGCUAGGAAUUUACAGACAGACAACAAAUAAGAUAAUAAGCACUCUCAAAUUCAAGUUUAGUUGGAAAAUUUAUUAGAAAAAAUUAUAGUGAUGGUAGGGCAACUGAAAGUCAAAGGUCACACGAGUUUUAACUUGCAACAUUAGUAGUUGUGGAAAUGCUUGUGUAUUUUUUUUAUUAAGGUAAUAAUUAAGUGUUUUUUCCUUUUUAAUAUAAUUUGAAAUCUAGAUACCCCUAUGAUUAAUUUUCAAAUAAAUGAGCUAGAAUCCUUAGCCUCCUUGGAUCCCCAAAACGUAUCUCUCUUCAGCACCUAUAUAUUGUUUCCUACCCUAAGCUUCAGUCCUUAAGGCUGCCAAUAACACUGGCAAGUCUUGAAAUCAUGGGAUAUUGGCCCCCCAUUGCCUACAUCCCUAAAUUCAAAAUUGAUGGCAAAUUAAUGUAUUACAUAGGUCGUGGAACAUAAAUGCAUGUUGAAACCUAUUUGCAUGUGUGAACAUGAAUUGAAUAACUUUGCAUGAGUGAGCUAUAUAAACAAUCUAUGUUAAUUUUUAAUUUUUAGGCAUCUUUAAGGAAUUUUAGAAUAUAGUUAUCUUGUGAAUAAAGGUAAACAUGUCAAUCUUUAUUUUUUGGUUUUUUUUAAUUCACCUCUCUUUAAACAUGAAUGGAAUAACUUUACAUGGGUGAGCUACAUAAACAAUCUCUUUUAAUUUUUAAGGCAUCUUAAAAUAUAGCUAUUUUGUGAAAAGGUAAAUCUAUCAAUGUUUAUUUUUAUUUUUUUUUAAUUAACCUCUUUUGCUUUAUAUUACUCUAAUUUUAUUGAUAACCUCUCUGAAGCAAGAGCCUAAUGAAGAAGACUUUGAUGGGGAUGAUGCCAAUGACAAGGUAAAUGAAGAUUCAUUUUUCUUCACUAUCAACAUAGUAUAAAUCAUUUUAAAAUGGAUAUUUUCAAUAAUUAAGGGAACUAAGACAUAUUCAUGUGGUUGUACACUUAAUAAUUGAGAUAAUUAUCUUACUUAGUAGCAGUAUUUUUUAACACUAAUAAUUUAUAUACUCUAGUAAAACUUUUUACCUUUGAUCCAAUAAGAAGAAUAUUAGUAUGUUUGUUUUAUUGCUUUACUUGAACAAAAGCUAAUUAACGUGUUAGAUUAUUUUCUAUUCUUAUAUCCUCUUUGUUUCAAUUAUAUUGGUUGUUAUAUGUAUAAAUUAAAAGUUUUAUAUUUUUUUAUUUGCAGCUUGCAAAGGAAAUUGGCUUACAAGAAGAAGGGAAAUUAUUACAAUGAAGCAAUACUGAAAAUCAUGAAGAUGAUAUCAUUUAAAUCAUUAGGAGGUUUAACUAGGCAUUUGUUGAUGAUGGUUUCUUUUUGUAGUUAUUGCACCGGUAUUUAUUCUUCUAUUGGAUUUAAAAAUUCUCAUUGAAAUAUUUUGAUCUAAUGAACAAAUUUAUAAUUUUUAUACAAGUAAUUAUACUAAUUAUUCAAACUAAGCCAUUGAAUAUUAAUAUUUGGAGAUAUUUUAAUUUGUACAAUUCAAUUUAAUUUUAUGAUUUAUAAUUGCUUUUGCUUUUAUUUAAUUAUAUAGGAAAUUCAUUAUUUUAAAAACAUAAUAGCAAUAUUAUUAUUAAAAUAAAAUGCUUAAAGAUGAUGCUUCUAUUAAGUGUCAUUGAAAAAUAAUCCAAAGAUGACGCCCGUAGGAGUGUCAACAAUGACAAUUUUAUAAAAAUUAUUUUAGUAAAAACUACUCAAAGAUGGCACUUCUUUAAGUGUCAUUGAAAGUAUCAAUCAAAUAUGACGCUUCCUAAAAGUGUCAUUAUUGACUAAAACCUACAAUGACAGGGGAGAUGAGAACGCUUUAGAGAAGCGUCAUCUUAUACUUUUAAUAACGCUUAAAAAGCGUCAUUAAUUCCCUUUUUUCUUGUAGUGUAUAUAUAUAAAAUAAACUUCAGCCAUGCAAAAUUAAAUGAACCUAGAUUGUGAUUUGUCUAUCACAAUCGUAUAUCAUAUUAAUAUUUUCAAUUUUUUUACACAAAAUAAAUUAUUUAUUUCAUCCUCCAAUAUCAUAUUCAAACAUGUAUUUGAUAUUGUUAUUGUUGAAAUCCAAAAUAGAUUCAAAGAGAAAAAGAGAGAAAAGAAAAUUUAAGAUUUCUCAUUAUAAAUUCUCUUAAAAACAAUACAACACCAUUAUAAUUUAAAUAGGCCUAAUAAAAAGAAAAUAAAGACUAAUUUACCCUUACUUUUAAAAAGAAAGAAAAUAAUUCUAAUAUAGUAAGUAAAUAAAUAAAUAUAUAGUAACUAAAUAUAUAAUUUUAAUAUAGUAACUAAAUAUAUUAAUAAGUUCUAACUUUCUCCCAAAAACUUAUGAUGAAGCUGCAAGAAACAUCAAGAGUUUGUCAACUUAAAAUAAAAAAUGUGAAAGCGAGUGUGACUAGGUAAACAACUUUACUACCAUAUUGUUGAGAAAAUCUCUUCACAACCAAUCGAGCCUUGUACCGCUUAAUUAAAGUACCAAAUACCAAGUAUCAAUCUUAUGCAAAGCAAAAGGUUCUUCAUCCAAAACUUGCUGCAAAAAAAAAAAAAAAAAAAAAAAAAAAUCAAGAACAACUUCUAGGAGCAAUUGUAGGAGGAAAGGAAGGAACAUAAAAAUAAAAAACCAAAGUAUCAAUAUCUAUGUGAAAACCAAAUGUAUCAUCCAAGAAAGGAUCAAUGAGAAAUGUGAAUAAAUUUAGACUUAGAGACAAUGAGAGACUAAGUAGGAAUAAAAAAGGUACAUUCUCAAAGAAGUAGUAAAGAGAGAGAGAAGAAUAAAAAGAAGACAAAACUAAACCAUCAAGGAAAGUGAGAUAGAAGUUGUUACCCCAUGGGUUCUCCUAAUCACGUUUUGAUGAUAACAAACCAUGGUUAAGUUGUUAAUUGGUUUAAAUUAUAAAGAAUUUUAGGUGUUAGUUUGGAAAUUCAUCAAAGGACCCAAUGGAUGUAAGAUCAAGACAACUGGAAGACCUUUAAUCAUAGGAAACAUAUGUUAGAUGAAUACAUGGGUGUACUUAAGAUUUUCAUAUCUUUUCAUGUAUCUUUAAAAAACUCGGUUUAUGCAUUUAAGUUACAUUUCCAUCAAAACUCGAGUUUUAUCAAAUAAACCUUAGGUAAAUCAUUUCAAAACUGACAUAUUAAUUUACCUAAAGCCCUUGCCUAAGUGUUAGAAGAGAAAAUAAUAGAAAAAGAUAGGUUUUUGGUUCAAAAAUGGUGAAUUUGCUAAGGCACUGGCCAAUUGACUCAGCUGGUUAGGGUAUCGAUCGAUCGGUUACACCUUCCCAAUCAAGGUCCGGUUGAGAGAUACAAAAAAUCUUCUCUCUUCCAGUAGACUUGCAUUCCCGAUUUAGGGAUAUGCCUUCCCAAUCGAGGUUUAACGAUCACCUGCCAUGCAUUUAUUGUCCAAUAGAUAGUCAACCAGUUGGCCCCCAACUCAACCGAUCGAGGCAGCUUUUUGGCUUUCAAGGUUAGAAACUUAUAAAUUGAGAGUUCCACUUCAUUUAUGAGUAAGAGAACACCUGCAUUUAUUUGUCUACCUAUUUUUUCUUGCCUCAAAAACUUUCAUUAUUUCCUUGGUGUAUUAUAAAAUAUAUAGUAACUAAAUAUAUAAGUCUAAUAUAGUAACUAAAUAUAUUAAUAACAUCUAAUACUUAUUAUGCAAUUUCUUGCACACAUAAUCAAGUAAAUCAAAUCAUGUAUUAUUGUUUUCUAUCUUUUACAUAUAUGCAUUUGUAUUCAAAUAUAUCCCUCUUUUUAAGUCUUUUCAAGGUAAACUUUUAUUUUAUUUUUAUUUUUUUACGCAAGAACCUCAUUCCUUUUCUAAACUACACUCUUUGGGGUCUUUCAUUAUCAUUUUAUACAACUAUUUUUUUUUUCAUUUUUUAAAAUCUUUUUCCAUAUAACCAUGGAUACAAAAUUAAUGCAAUAUGAUAUCAUUACCUAAUAUCAACUCAUAUCAGUAGUACCCACUAAUAUACAACAAAUAUUUUAAACACAUAAAAUGUAACACUGAACAUAUAAUGAAGCUGAAAUUAUUGCAAUUUAAAUUAUAACCAUUUCAUUUUUCCAUAAAUAAUUUAUAUUCUUUUAAAUAGUAUGGAUCACUAAUAAAUCUUCCUAGAUUGAACUCUAUCUUCCAAACAUAAUCAAAUAAUCCCAACAUUUCAGGCCUUUAAACUUAUUUUAAAUUCUUGUCCUUAUUAAUUCCAACCUUUCUAUGUGCAUAUCAAUAAUUUUAUAAUUCCUAAAAAUAAAUUCAAGUUUAUUUUAUCUAUUCAUUUAUUUAUAUCAAAACUUCUAUAUUUUCAAUUUCUUAUCUUUCAUUUAUCACUCAACCAAUUAAAUUAAAAUUUUAAAAAUACUGCACUUUAUGGCUUUAAUUUUACUAGGCUAAUUACAUUCUAUCAUUAUAAUAAAUGAUUUUUAAUUUUUCAACUCUUUACAACCACAUUAAUUUAAUCCACUCCAUUUAUUAGUUAUAUCUCAUUUAAUGUAUUAGAUGGAACGGAAUUGGUCAUCACAUUUAGUUUGUAACAUAAUUUGUAUUAAAAAUAUAAUUGUUAUGAGAGAGAAUUUUACAUGAAGCAAUCCAGAAUAUAAUGGGCAUGAUGCACCUUCAUCUCCACCAUCGUCACUAGUAUUCACUCCUUCUUCGUCUACUGGACUCAUCUCCAUACCAUCUUCAUCAACAGCAAGUCUAUCACGGUCUUCAUCUUCAUCACCAUAAUCUUCUUUAUCUCCACCCUCCAUCUCUCUCCACCCACGUCCUCAAAUCAACGCCAUCCUUUCUAUCAACUGCGCACACAUCCACCUCCACCUCCACCACCUUCCAAAACCCAUCGCCCCCACUCCUCUCCACCACCUCCUCCGCAAACGAGGUUGUUCUGGGUGUCACGUAUUUCAAGACGGUGCUCCCAAGGUUCAAGCUGGCCAGAAUGUUAAAUACAUAGAGUUGGCGCAGUUGGGGCAGAUGAAACACAUGCACCAGCACUCCAAACACUCCGACGACUUCGGGACUCACAACAUCCUCUGCCAGCAUCUCCGCCGCUUCCAUCAUGUCUGUGCCUAUUACCAGCUGAUAUCAGUAUUUGACGCGGAUUUCCAUCACUCCAAUGGCUUCAGAUGUCGAAUGAAGACCGUAAAAGGACAAGUUGCAGAAGAGGGUGUUGGAUUUCAUCGUGGAUGAGAGACUGAAACUACGAUUUUGUAGGGUAAUUAAUUUUGUAUGAGAGAAGCGAGAAUUAGAAAGUGUUUGAAAUUUGAAGUUUCCCUUUUUCUGGUUCUGGGAGUUCCCUUAUUUGUUGAGAGUUUCCUUUUUGGUGAGAGAUAUAUAAGAGUUUAAGUCCAAUAUAGUCCAUUGGUAGACAAAAAUGGCAAGAAUAGUACUCAUCUCAAAAUAUUUGUCAAACUAAUCUUUUUGCAUCCACGUAAGCAUCUACAUGGAUUUUUUUUUAAGUGUGUAAAACCACCGUUGGUGACUGUGAUUUUAAAAUUUUCAAAAAAUAUCCUUAAAACCACAGUUUGUGACUAUGGUUUUACAAUUUUCUUUAAAACCACCAUUGGUGAUUGUGGUUUUACAAGUUUCAGAAAUUAUUUUUAAUUCAUCUAUGUUUUAAUGAUAUUAUGAUUUUAAUAUUAUUUUUAAAAUACUUUUUACCAUAAUAACCAUAAAACCACUUUUAUUAAGGAAUAACCUAAAAUCAUAAUCAUGGGCAUUAAUUUUUAUACGAAAAUAUAAAAUUUUAAAAUAAUAUAAAUAAUUUAUUUAGUUAUUUUAAAAUUUAAAAAUAAUAUGAAAAAAUAAUUUUCUUUAAUUCAUAUGUGAUAAAAUUCAUAAAACAAAUAAAUAUUUUAUUUACCAUAAAUAUAUAAAUUUUUAUGGAAAUGCAGGCGAAAUUAUUUUCUCAAAAUUUUAAGGAAAAUAUGAACAAAUAAAGAUAAUAUAUAUAUAAUUUUAAAACAGUUGUAAAGAAAAAAUUUAUUAAGGAUAAUUUGUAAAUAAAAAAAAUUUAAACUGAUAGUGAAAAAUUGUAAGAAAUUUUUCCCACUCCAAAAAGAACUUUAAGAAAAUCUGGUACAUCGUUAAGAAAUUUUGGUACAUCCAUAAUUUACACUAAAAUUAAAAAUAAAAAAGCAAAGUUUUAAAAUCUCAUAUUUUUUUAGUUGAUGUAUGGUUACAUGAGUUCCCCUUAAAGAUAUUUGUGAAACUCCACAGUUAGUAACUGUGGUUUUAAAAAAAUUUGUAAAACCAUAGUCUAUGAUAGUGAUUUUUAAGGAUAUUUUCAAAUUUUCUUAUAAUUUUCCAUUGUUGGUUUAAAAUUACUUUUUUUUUUUUUACAAAUUAUCCUUAAUAAAUUUUUUCUUUACGACUGUUUUAAAAUUAUAUAUAUAUUAUCUUCAUUUUUUCAUAUUUUCCUUGAAAUUUUGAGAAAAUAAUUUUGUCUGCAUUCCCAUAAAAAUUUAUAUAUUUAUGGUAAAUAAAAUAUUUAUUUGUUUUAUGAAUUUUAUCACAUAUGAAUUAAAGAAAAUUAUUUUUUCAUAUUAUUUUUAAAUUUUAAAAUAAUUAAAUAAAUUAUUUAUAUUAUUUUAAAAUUUUAUAUUUUCAUAUAAAAAUUAAUAUUAAUAAUUAUGAUUUUAGGUUACUCCUUAAUAACGGUGGUUUAUGGUUAUUAUGAUCAAAAAAUAUUUUAAAAAUAAUAUUAAAAUCAUAAUACUAUUAAAACAUGAAUGAACUAAAAAUAAUUUUGAAACUACAAUUACUAACUGUGGUAAUAAGGAAAAUUGUAAAACCACAGUCACAGACUGUGGUUUUAAGGAUAUUUAUGAAACUUUUAAAACCAUAGUAACCAACGGUGGUUUUACAUACUUAAAAAAAAAAAUCCAUGUAGAUGUUUACGUAGAUGCAAAAAGAUUAGUUUGACAAAUAUUUUGAGAUGGGUACUAUUCUUGCCAUUUUUUUUCUACCAAUGGAUUAUUUUGAACUUAAACUCGAUAUAUAAGAUCUCUCUUGAAUAUUCUUCACUUGGUUUUUGGAAAACGGGUAAACUAACGUUUAAGAGAAGAGAAGAGAAGAUAGGAUGUUUGCAGGUACGUGACCGUUGGAGUUCUAUACAAUUAGAUUGCCUUAGAUACCAUCAUCAUUUGGUUUCUAACAAAAUUACAGAAUGGGGUUGAUUGACAAGAAAUAGAAUUAUUUUCUAUAUUUUAGGGAAUGCUUUGGAUUGAUUGACAGCAAAGAGAAUUAUUUCUUAUCUUUUAGGGAAUAUAUAGAAAGUAAAUCUUAUAGAAAGAAUCUAAUUAAAAAAAUUAUUUUUAGAACUAUAUAUUUUUAAAAUAAAUUGUUUUGAAAAUUAUUAAAGUACUGUUUAGAAAUAGAUGCCUCAAAUAUAGGAUAUGGAGGAAUUCUCAAACAAAUUUUUCUUAAUCAAAUUUCCAUUGUCCAUUUUCAUUGUAGUACAUGGAGUGGACCCCAAGAAAACUAUUCGGGUAUCAAAAAUGAAAUUCUGGCUAUUGUUCUUUGCAUUCAAAAAUUUUAAGAGGAUUUUUUUAACAUCCUUUUGAGAAUAGAUUGCAAAAGAACUAAAGAAAUUCACCAAAAAGAUGUUCAAAAUAUUUUUUAUUUUAAAAUUGAAUUUAUCAAAGGUAAUUCCAACUCUCUUCCUUGAUUUCCCUUUUAGGGAAUUCUUGCAAGGAAAACGAGUAAUUCAAAGCCCAAAAAUAAGCCCAAUUCAAAAGCCUAGUAUGCUAUGAUACCUAAGAGCUUAGCCAUGGAAGGCUCCUUGGUAAUAAUAAUAAUAAUAAGAGUGAGGGAUUAAUUAUUGAGGUAGGGGGGAUGACCUCAUGGUGAAGGAGAGAUGAAAAAUAUUUGGAAAAUGAGUGAAAAUUUUUAAACAAACAUUUUUAAUUCAAAAAGGAUUGCUAAAAAUUGUGUUGAAAACAGGGAAACUUGAUGAAUUGGACUAAAAUUAAAUUAAAAAGGCCUACAAGAUAGUUGAGGAUUGAGGGAUUUCUUGAGCUCCUUUCUUCUCAUAAAAUAAUCGUAAAUUUAACAUAACUACGAUUAUCUAUGAUACUCUCAAACAGAGAAUUUGCUACAUAAACAUAUUUUAUUGAAACCUAAUGUCUUAUACUUGUGAAUUAGAUCUUCAUGUGAAAUCUUUAAAACCCAAUCACUACCUAUUUACUUGCCAAAUCAUCGUAUUAAGAGGUUCAUGAUGAUUGUCUGAAAUCAAAAUAGAUUUUAACCAUCAAGCACUUGAAAUACACUCAAGGAGCCCCUAAACUCUAAUUUCUAAGCAUUAGGGCAAAAUAUUCUAAUUUAAAAAUAGAGAGAAUAAAUUUACAAGUUUAAUUUAUUAACAAACACCUUAGUCUUGAGGGUCAUUUUAUGGGCACAAGGGAGGCCCUAAGGAGCCCCUUCUCCGUAGCUUAAAAUACUACUCAAAAGACACGAGUUUAAAACAAACUACAUCUAAGUUUAAUAAAUGGAAAUGAGUUUGAAACAUUACGGAUCGAUUGAAAAUUGUUCAAGAGAUGGCAAGAAAAGGAUUGUUGCGUAAUAAUGAUGUCAAAAUAUAAUUGAAUUUAUAUGAUGUCAAUGAGAUAGUAGGUCCAAAAGAGGAUUAUUGAGUGGUGUAAACUAAAUUGUAUUGAUAUUAAUUUCUUCAUAGAAGAAUAUUCUCAAUUAGAGGAGAUCAAUUAUGUAAAUGAAAAAUGUUCUUUAUUAGAGGUGGUCGUGUAAAUGAAGGAAGAUUCAAGUUUGAAUAAGAAAUGAGAGAGGGUUAGAAGAUUCAAAGGUAAUGUAGCGUUAGAAGGUUAUGUUGUUAUUCCUAAUAAAGAAAUUAGAGAAAACAAAGAAAAAUAAAACACACAAGUUUAACGUAGUUCAGAAGAAUCCCUACGUCCAUUGGAGAAGGGUUGAAGACUUUCACUACUACUAAAAUUAGGGUUACAAGAAAGGGUAUUAAUUUAUACUAACCCUUAGGUAUUGAAAAUUUUCAAAAAUACCCCUGAACCGUCCCCCCAUACCUCCCAACCUAUCGUUUGUCCUUAACAAUAAAAAUACAAGCUUGAAUGGCAAAUGUCAUCGUUCCACUCAGUGUGCUACAUUCCCCUCGUUUCACUCCGUUCCACUCCAGCAUUUGCUCUUUCUUCUCCAUAUGUCUUUCACUCAAUAUGAGCCACAUACUACAAUAGGUUAUCAAACGGAUAACCAAGAAGUGGGGUUUGGAAUGGGAGAGGUGAGAUUAAUGAAGGAAAACCUUAUCUCUUCAUUUUUUUUUUUUUAUCUUUGGCCUUAUUUAUAGGAGUUAUUCUUUAGUUAGAUAUGUUCGAUUGUGAAGCUUAAAUUAGUCUUGUUGCGUUUCAUAGGGGUGUUGGGGUCUAACUAGAAGUUUUUUUUUUUAUAAAAAAUUAGUCCCUUUUAGGACUAAGGGUUUUGUUUUUAGAGAGUGUAGUUGCAAUCGAGAGAAAAGUGAAAGUCUUCAUCAUUGUAUAACCCUUUCCUUUCAAAAAGUAAGAGCUUUCACCAUUGUAACUUUUUCGUUUAAUUAGUGGAUUUUUGAGUGUUGGUGCACUUCGUAGAUAUAAGGAUUACAUUGAAUGCCAAGCCACAUUAAAAAUCUCUUUUUACUUUUUUUAUUUUUUGCUUGUGUGAGUGUGUGGUUAGGUUAACAAGAUAAUAGCUGGACAAAUCAUGGACUAAUAAAAUAUGGCACUAGAUCUUUUGAUUUGAUACUGCAAAGAUAUGCAACCCCUAUAUAUAUAUAUAUUAAUAAAAAAAUUAAGGGCUAUUUGGAUACAUGGAUCAAAAUGAUUUGAUACUUUUUUUUUCCCCACUAAGGUUAGCUUUCCAUUAAGGAUAUCACUUGAAUUACACUAGAGUUAAGCUUAGUUUACAAAAAAAAAAACAUAUUUAAGGUUAGGUUCCCAAUUAUAAUGUUAAUAUGAACUACACUAUGGUUAGGUUUUCAUUUCAUCUACAAAGAAUUUAAUUAUAAACUAUACUAUGGUUAAAUUUCAUUUAAAAAGAGUUUAACUGAGGUUAAGUUUCCAUUUUAUUUACAAAUCAUAAUUAGAAUGUUCAUCUAGACUGAAAUGUUGGACCCUAGGGCUGGCUAAAAACAAAGUUGGAUUUGAGAUAUAACUAGCAACAACUUUCCAUUUGAUCUCAUGCAUCUUCAAAAAUGGAAAAAAAAAAAAAAACAAAAAACAAAAAACACAAUUGCAAAAAACUCCAACAAAAAUAAUUUUAAAAAAUCCAAACAAAAAACAACCAUAAAAAGUACUAACAAAAAGCAAUACCAAAAAACUUUAACAAAAAACAACUACAAACCCCAACAAAAAACAAUUACAAAAAAUCCUAACUUGAAAUAACUGUAAAACCCUAAAAAUUUGAAGAACCUCUAGCAAAAAAUAAAAAAGAAAGAUGAAUGUGAAGGAUCUUGAAGAUGAAAGAAAUAUGAGAGAGUUGUGACUAAUCUUUGUUCACCGAUCUUUGUUAUGAGCUUGAAUUUCAUUAGAAAAGAGAGAGUCUAAACCUAAAAAAAUAAAAAAUAAAAUAAAGAAUUGGGUAUGAGCAAUGAAAGAGAAACAAAUUAGGAAUGAGAGAGAAAUGAUAUUUUGAGGAAAUAAAGAAGGGUAAAAAGGUCUAAAAAUAGGUAUUUGUUUUAAUUUUUUGGAAAAAUAAGCAAGAGUGAUCAUUCUUCCAAUUUCAAAAGUAUUUUAGGUCUUAUAACCAAAUAUCAGUAAAAAUCAAUAAAUGAAUAUAAAGAAGGGUUAUUUGAUUAAAAGGGAUGGGAUAAUCCCAAAUUUGUAAAUCCAAUGUUGCACAUUUUUCAACCUACAAAAUGACUUAUUUUUGACAAAAAUACCAUCACUUCUUCUUGUAAAUGUAACUUUUUCUUUUAAAAAUAAUCAAAAGUUGGAGGACAUUUAUAUUAAAAAUGAGUUAUUUUUUAAAUUCAAUUAUGAGAGGUGUUAAAUUUAUAAAUUAGAAAUUAUUUUAUUCCUUUUAAUCAAAUAAUUUUAUGAAAAAAUGAUCAAACUAUCACUUCCCUUCGCAUACUAAGGGCAAUCUCUCUAUUUACAUUGUGAAGUGGGUACCUGAAUAGGCUACGUAGGAGAAUUGUCAUGAUAUGCAUCAACAAUAAUUGGACAUUUACCCUCACAAGUAUGUAUCAAAGACUACAACGUAGAGGUCAAGUACACGCACUUAGUUACUUCAAAACCUCGAGUAAGUUAAAACACUUCUUUCUUUUUCUUUUCUUUUCUUUUCUCUUCUUUUUUCAUAUUUUCAUUUCUUAUUAUUCAACACUUCUCUAUAUGCCAUUGUAUGAACAAUUUCCAAAUCUUGGCAUAGGCGGUGAAAAUGCAAUGCUGUAGAAGUUACUUGGAAUGACAUGUAGGUAUCUCUAGCAAUUAAUUGAUAUGACUUCUUGAAAAGUUAAAUUUGAUUUUAAAAGUUUCUAAAAGUUUUGAAUUUUAUUUACCCUUUAAAAGUCAAAGAAAUUAAAUAUUUUAUUUUGAGUUGUUGCUUUUAUUUCUAUAUUUGAGUAAUCAAGCCCCGGAAGGCUUCUAUAUUUUGUUAUUAGGAAUUUCUAUUUAAUUAAUAAGAUAUCAUAUAUUAGAAAAAGAGAGUGGUGUAAGACAAUAAAUUUUUAGUUCUCCCCAAUUUUUAUCUUCUUUUACAUAACUGUUUGUGUUCCUCUUGACUGUAAUGCAGAAAGGAAACCAUUACGCACAAGGAGAGUGAGACGCAUAAGGAAAUUGUAUAUUAUGGCAAGAUGGAAGAUUGACUUAAUAAAAUUUGAUUCAAGGUGGAGACUAGUGGAGACUAUUAAGAAGUGUCUCAAAUUUGCAAUUAAAAUACAUUUCUUUUGUAGAAGGAAUAUUAUAUAGAAUAUUUUUUUAAAGUUUAUAAGUGAUUAUAAUUAGAUUUCUCAUAGGAUAAGGAAAACUAGAAAGAAUACCUCCAUAAAUAUUCUAGUGAUCAUAUGGAAAGAAAGUUAUGAGAGAGAUAUGAGCUUGCGAAGACUAUAUAUGGUGGAUAGAAAUGCAAAGAAGAGUGAGUGAUACUCGAUGGAGUAAGAGGACAUAGGGUUUACAUUAUAAUUGUGAGGAAGAAUAAGAGACAUCAAGUGAAGUAAAAGGGUUUAAGGUUCAAACCAAAGAUACAAAGAGUAAGAGACAUCUAGUGAAGUAAAAAGGUUUAAGAUUCAAACUAGAGAUACAAAGAGUUAGAACAUAUACGGUGUUAUGGAAACCACUAAAUUAAUUUACCAUUUUUGUUAUUUGUAAUAUUAUUUAUUGUAUAGUAAAAUAUUCCCUCUCAUCCGUAAAGGUAGAUAUAGUUGGUUGAACUGUAGAAAAAUUUUAUGUAUCUUUGUAUGUGAUUUGUUUUAUUUUUUAUAUUUUUGCAUUAAUAUGUGUAGAUUAAAGCUUUGCUUGACAUAGUUUUUCAUUCACACAAUAAGUGGCAUAAGAGAUUUCACAUACACAACAUGAUAGUAAAACAUAUCUAAUCACAUCCCCAAAGACUGAUACCGUAACUACGACAAGAUAGUUAGCCAUACCUCCAUAAACAACCUAACCAAAGAAAUCAGGUUAGACCAUCUAACCUUUUCUGAGAAGGACAAGUGUUUCCAUGAAUCAGAUAGGCUCGAUAGGUGAUGCUGACCUCGUUAAAAGCCAUCUCUUCUUCACGUGCCUCCCACCGGCUUCUCUACCAAACAACCAAUGAAACCUGCUACACACGUCCUAGAAACCGAGGGCCACUCAAAAUUUUUGGUGGCAUCAGUCACAUGAAAGUGUUCUCACGUGGUCUCCACUUGCACCAACAAGAAAAUCAGAUCAUUCUAGAUCUUCUCCUAAGCCAUUUUUCAUGAUAUCGUUGGAUGGAAAUGGGCUUUCUUGAAAUUCCUAAACUCAAAACCAAUCUUCCAAAUGCUAUAAAUAUGGCUUCAACUACGUCCCAAAACCAUAAGUUGACUUGGUUUCUCAUCUAUUUUGUAGCGUUUCUUUUAUACCCAUCUCCUUUUGUACAAUGAAGUGGUCUCCUCAACAUGCCAUGAAAGCUUACCUGCAUACACUUCAACUGGUAAAUUCUCAAAUCCCCUUUUUUUUCUUCUUUAAAUAUUCCUCUUUCUUUAAAAGCCCCUUAUAUAUAUAACAACUCAAUUAAUUUCCUUGUAUAACAAAUAUUGCAAACAAAAAAAGUGAUAUAUAUAUUAUGUAAAUUUUAAUAUGCUUUGUAUUAUGUUUUUUGGAUUCUAAAAGAAAUGCAAAAAGGGGAAAAAAAAAAUUUAUGGAGAACAACUCCAAAAGAAAUCCAUUUAUAACAUUUUUCUUUCCCAUCUUCUUUUUAUAGAAAAUUCAGAUAUUUCUUAUUAUGAUUUCUUUGGCAGUCUAAGAUCCAAUAUGGUCAAGAUUGCACUCUUGGCACAACAAAACUUAUUCAACCUCAAUGCAUGGAGUUCUUAUCAGCUUUGGCAGCAGGAAAUCAAGCUAAAGUAAUGGUACAAGUUCUCUCAAAUGAAGGAGUGAACCCAUUAACAAUUGCACUAGCUGUGGCUACAAAGUAUUGCGAAGGUCGGUUCAUUUGUUUUCUUGAUCAACAAGAAGACAUAGAAAACUGCAAAGCUCAGCUUUCUUGCUAUGAUCUAGAAGAUGUGGUUGAGUUUAUGCAUGGAAAUCCUUGUGAGGUUAUCAUAAAGUUAAAGAAAAUUGAUUUUGCUGUUAUUGACUGUAAAUUUAAAGAUCACUUGAGAUUGUUUCAAAUUAUUGAUGUGAAUCCAAGAGGGUCUGUUGUAGUGGUGACUAAUCUUGUGAGGAAAGGAAAUGGAGCUGGUUUUGGUGAAGUUGUUAGAGAGAAGAGAGGAGUUGAAUGUGUGACUCUAUCAAUAGGAGAAGGAAUGGAACUGACAAGGAUUGGAGUGACUUGUAACCAUGAGAAUAAGAGAUUUCAUGUAACUUCUGAAAAUUGAAAUUAACUUUUAUAGAUCUUUGCAUUCAUUACUUGUUAGAUAAUUAAGGAAGUAUUUGAGUUAUAUUAAGGUUCCCCAUCAUAAAAGCUCAAACAAAUGAUAUUCUUUCAUAUGAAAAUUAUUUAUGGCUUGAUACAAAGAUGAAGAACAAUGGGGAAGAGAAUAAAGAAUUGCACAACACUACAGAAAAUGGUAUACAAUAGUAGGUGAUGGGAGAACUGAUAAUCAAGUGAUAUCAACUAAACCCACUUCCUGUUGACAGUAUGUAUGCCUCUAAUUAUUAGAUUAAGAUUGAUUCAAAAUGACUUUUUUUUAGAGUAGGCUAGAUUUAUAUAUGAGGGUAAGAUGUGCUAAUAAGAGUGGAGGGUUAGAUAAAAUGAGAGACAAGAGAGGUUGAGAAUAAUGGCAAUUGCCAUUUUAGAAUCUCAGGUGGAUAGUUCAUAAAAGGGAUUUUUCAGCAAAGUGAAUUGGUGAAAAAUUGCUCUUGCUUUUCCUUCAAAAUCUUUCCACACAUUCUAUGUACACAUGUCCUCUAAACUAAGAGCCACCAAAAAUUGAUCUUGCUUUUUAGCGCCAUCAGUCACAUGAAAGUGCUCUCAUGGAGCCACGACUCUCGACAACAUGCAAGUCAGAUCCUCCUAAGAGCUUUUCCAUUAAAAGCCAUUUGUUAUGAUCUUAUUGUAUCAAAGUCAGGUGUCAUGAAUUCCUAAAAACUGAUACCUUAAAAAAAUCAGAAAGAUACAGACGGGAGCCAACUACUAAGUGGUACACAUUUUAUCGUUUCUUUCGGGACAUAGAUAGUAUUCCACCUGCUUGUGUAAUUUCAUUUGAAGGUCAAAAACUCUUAUACCACUUGUUGUAUCAGCCAAAGUUUCAAUAUCAUGAGAUAGUGUAAAACAAAAAAAUUAUACAAAGACAGAUAAGGUUUUAACUUAACCUUGUUUGGCCAAUUGUGUUAAUAUUUACGGAUGAGAGAAAAUCAUUUUAUUAUAGCAAAAAGAAUAUUAUAGAGGAGAAAAAAAAUUGGUAUAAGUAUUGACCCCUCAUCCCAUGUUUCCUUGCUCCUUAUAUCUACACUCUAAAGUGGAGCCUUAGUUCUACCAUAUGUCACCUAUUGUUCCUCAAGUUUUUAUCUAUCAUGCAUAGUCAUCAACAACAUGAUAUAUGUUCCUUAAAUCUUUAUCUAUCAUUCAUGGUCAUCAACAACCCACCUUCAUAAGUUUUUCCUUGACAAAUUUUCAGUUAGAAGCAUGAUUAAAGAAUAAUAGAAUAAACUAAGAAGGAUUAUUGCCUUGAUUUAUUUAAGUUAUGGCAAUAAUAUAUACAAAUGCAUCAAAUAGCCAUUGGAGUUAGUCAACAUUAGUUGGGUGUCUAAGGAAGGACGUUGCUUAAGAAGGGAUUCUAUAGAAUACUGUGAUUGGAAAAUUGUGGGAAGAAUGGCUAAUCAGAAGGAAAAGUAUUCUGGGAAUGCUAGUGGUGAUCAAAAGUAAAGAAAUUCAUGCAAUUCUGGUAGUGAUCUUAAUUGAAGUAAUCAAAGGGAAGAUUUUGGCAGUGAUAUUGUUGGCGGUAAUUUGUCUCAACUUUUUGCUUUGGUUUCUUAUCAUUCCUUUCCAAGUUGGGAAAGGGAAUACAAUAAACUCCUAGCUUGAACCAAACAAUAGUGUUUGAGUUGCACAGAAGAGGCUUGGUGAGUAUGUCAACAAUCUGAGAUGUAGGAAUAUGACUAGCCACGAGUGCUUUGUUUGUCAUAUUUUUGUGUGUGAUGUGAUAAUCAAGCUCAUUAUAUUUUGUUCAAGCAAGGAGCAUAGGAGUUUUGGACAUGUAGGGAAGCCAUGUUAUCUAUGAAUAGCUGAGGUAGUUUGAGUAACUGAAUGCUAAUAUCCUAAAGAAGGAAGGUAAUCCAUGUGAGUUCAGUAGUUGUAGAAGCUAAAGAUCUAUAUUUAGCUUUAGGUUUAGAAGAAGCAACAGUUAUUUGUUUCUUUGAACUCCAUGAUAUAAAAUUUUCCCUAAGGAAAAUGCAGUAACCUAUUAUGCUCCUUUGUGUAGUAGGACAACCAACCCAAUAUGAGUUUGAGAAGCUAUAAAUGUUUGUAGGACUUUGAGCUAAAAAUCUGAGACUUUUAGGUAUAACCAAAGUCUAGUGUUCCUUUUAGGUAUCAAAGACAUUUUAUAAUUCCCCUAUUUGACCCAAUAGGGCUUUGAAAGUGCUGAAAAACAUAGUUUACAACAUAUGUAGUAUCAAGUCUAGUGAAAGUAAGAUAUUAUAGACUUCCAACCAUACCUCAAUAUUCAGUGGCAUUUGUGAGAUCAUUGUAAUUUGGUAAUUGAACAUCUUUGAGUGACAUUGGAGUAGCAAUGGGAGAGUAGUUGAGCAUAUGAGCUUUGGGAUUACGGUUUCAGAGAGAGAUGAAAGAACUACAUGGAGAAUUAACUGAUCUUGUCUCAGCCAAAGAACACGGGCUAUGUAGGGAGUUGAGGCACCAUUGAGUAGAAUGGUAGGCUCUGGGCAAAUGAAAGUGUCGUUGACAAAGUCCUGAAGAUCGCGGCCGAAUAGAGGACUGUUGAACUGAGCACGCCAGGAUGGAUAGUUUGAAGGUGUUAGCUUCAAUGGCAAGUGAGCCUGACAUUUUAUAGAGAUAAGGUUGGUUAGACUGGGGGUAGUGGGUGGGAUGGUGAGAACUUUUGGUGUUUGAAUACUUUUUGCAGUCUUUUGCCAUGACUUGAGAGGUUUUGAGGUGAAGAGAGAAAGUGGCUCGUUGGAGCUUUUAAAGCUCUGAUAUCAUGCUAAAGAAUAAUAUUGAUGAGAAGGUUGUAUUUUUCAUUUAUAGUCGAUGCUUGAACAGCAGGAUAUGACUCUGCUUGAAUAUGAGGAUGUGAUUCUGCACUGUUUCUCUGUACUUCAAAGAAAUGACUAGCCCUUCGAGAGAACCUUUAUACCACGUGAAAUCCAACCCAUCACGACCAAAUGUUAGAUUCUCCUUACAAUUCUCUAUAGCUUUUUGAAGCUCUUUGUCUGAAAGAUUACGUAUGGGGUUGGAGUACUUGUCAUCAAAAUAGGAAAUUCGCUUCUCCAAUAACAACCCUCCAUUCCUCAACAUCCAUAAUUCUCUAUCCUUCUUGCUCAUUUCAAUAUCUGUUUUCUCUCUUCUUUUUCACAUACCAAACUAAACCCAAGAAUAUCAAUGAAUUAGCAUCCUUGACUUUUCCUUUUCCCUUCCUUCACAUCAAGGAUGUCAAAUAUGAAAAAAUCUUGGCAUUCUUCCUCGAACUGUGCAUGAUGGGUAGCUACUAGUCUGCGAGGAGGAAAAAUAGAAAGUCAUAAUAUUCGAUAUUAAUCUUGGUUGUACUGUAGGGUUUUUUCCAUGCAUGCAUGUAGACAAACAGAAACUGAAGUACAGGAAUCCAAGAAAAGAACUGUUAUCAUAUUCAUGGAAGUGUAACAGUGUUAUAUGUUACCUGAAAGUGUUUUCUUUAAAAGUAUUUUUUAAACUCCGUAAGAGCCCGUUUGGCAGUGAUUUUUAAAAGUGUUUCUACCCUUAAAAACACUUUUAAGUGUUUUUGGGAUGAAAAUAAAGUGUUUGGCAAAUUUUUAAAAACACUUUUGAAAAUCUGAAAAAACACUUGAAGUGAUUUUUAGAGAAUCACUUGACAGGUGUUUUUUAAAAAAAAACACUUCAAUUUUUUUUAAAUAUUCCAAAAAUGCCCCCAGUGAUAAAUCAAUUAAAAAAAUCUUUUUUUUUUUUAGAAAUUAAUAGGUGGUCAUAUAUUGUUUUACUUUUAAAAUUAUCUUUUAUUCAAUGUUUUUUAUUUAUUUAUUGAUUUAGAUGUUUUUUGUAAAUAUUUUUUAAAAUUUUAGUAUAGUAAUAAAAAAAUUAUUAUUUUUAAUUAGAAAAGUCUUUUUUUUAUAGAAAUUAAUAGGUAAUCAUAUAUUGUUUUAAUUUUAAAAUUAUCUUUUAUUCAAUGUUAUUUUUUUAGUGAUUUAGAUGUUUUUUCAUUAAUAAAAAGUUUUUUUUGUUUAUCAUACCAUUUUUUUUAAUUAAAAUUGUAUGUCCUUUUUUGGUAAUUUAUUAAUAUUAAAAGUGUUUUUAUAUUUAUACAAUAUAUUAUCAAAAACGCUUUAGAAUCAUUUUUUCUAAUUAUCAUAAAAGUGUUUUUCACAGAAACACUAUAGCAGAAAACACUUCAAAUAAAAACACUUCCACUAGAAUCACUACCAAACGGGCUCUAAAGCACUAAAACUGAUUUUUAUCAAAUUUUUAAAGUGUUUUUUAAAUACUUCAAAAUAUUUGAUUUUUUAUUUUUUUUUCAAAAAACAUUUUUAAUACUACUUCUAAAGACAAUAUUAGAAUGACUUUUAGAGUGCAUUUAAAUAAUAUUUUUAUUAUAAAUGUUUUUAGGUGAAGUGUUUCUUCUAACAUUUUUAAAAUAAUCAUUUUAUUUUGGGGAAAUGUGUUUGAGAGUGAUUCUAGAAAACAUUUCUAACAAUUCUAACUCUUGUAUGAUAAAAAUUUUCAAGUAUUAGAAAUAUUAAAGGUGAUUUGUAAAAUCACUAUCAAAUGGGUUCUAAGUGUUUUUCUAAAAAACAAAUUGCUAUAAGCGAUUUUUCAACUUUCUAAAAGUGUUUUUUAAAUUUUAUUAAAUAUAUAAUUUUUCUUCAAAUAUGUUUUUUAAUAUAAAAAUAUUUUCUAAAUUCACUACAAAUAAACUCUUUGUGUACGUUUGGUAGGCUAUUAUAGAAAGUACUUUUAGUUUUUUUUUAAUACUUGAAAGAUAAAAAUCUUCAAAUGUACGAAAGUCUUAAAACACUUCCUAAAAUAACUACCAAACGCACUCUUAGAUAAUAACGUUCAAAACACUUUCAUAAAUUAUAUUACGUGAUCGUGUUUAGACUUCAUAGCGCCUUCUAACUUUUACAAAAUAUUGGCAUCCUUAAAUUUUUAUAAAAUAUUUUAUAAUACCAUAAUUUUGAAAAUUCAUUUAUAUUUUUUUUAAAAAAAUUUUAAAUACAAUAAAAUCCAAGUUUACAAGCUUUCUUUCAUACAAUGAGAUCAACUUGCAAAGAAUAGGAACAUGGUAAAAAAUCACUAAUAUUUAUGGUAUAUUCACAAACAUUUAUUUAGUUUCAAAACAAGUGAGGAUUUAUGGAUUGGUUGGCCUAACCAAUAUUUAUGGGUCAAGAACAUAGGGUCUCUAGAGCAAGUACCUUUGUUUAAGAGGAGCCCACACAAAAGAAUACUAAAAUAUUACCAAUAUUAUUCAUAGAAAAGUCAAAGAUAGAGAAAAAAAAAAUGUACAAUAAAAGUAACACAAAAAUUACUUUGGAAUCAUGCUCCUAAGCAUAAUAUAAAUAUAUAUAUAUAUAAGUCUCACCUAAAAAAAUAUAUAUAUAUAUAUAGAUGUAUUAGUCCAAUAUUGUACGAAAGAAAAUGUAUCAUUGUGAAUUGCUCUAUCAUAAAUGAAAUUUCCUCCACAACAUUUAUGUCAUGAAAAAAUAAAAUGGAAAAGCAAAUAUGGAAAAAAAAACAUGAAAAUAGAAAAAAAAACAAAAAAAAAGAGAAAAAAAAUGAAUAGAGAUAAAACGCAUAAGACGUAGAUUAAGAAAAUUAUAUUUUCUAAAGAAAGAACUUAUUAGAGAAAAUGCCUUUUUUUUUUUUUUUUUUGUCUGAGCAAAGACAAUCACUUUGGUUAGAUCACAAUAUGGCUAAUUCAAGUACAAUGUAUAUUUAAAUGUAUUGAAACUUGAUAUUUGAUCUCUAAUAUAAAGUGCUGACUUAAUUCAUCUCAACUUCAAUCCAAUCUUUUUAUUUUUUCAAACUUAAGUUGAGUUUGUGCUAGGCUAGGUAGUUAGAUAGAUUAAAUUCAAAUAAGUUUGACCCGAUUUUAUCCCCAAAUAUUUCUUAUUAUUCUUGUUCUUCUUGUUCUUUUUCUUCUUCUUCUUCUUAUUAUUAUUAUUAUUAUUGCUAUUAUUGUUAUAUAUCAAAAUUUAAAUAGUAAAUAAGUUAAAAAAAACUUGUAAAUAUCCUUUAAAAAUAUGGAAAAUAAAAUAAUAUAUAUAAUAAAUGUUAUUUAAAUAAUAUAAAAAUUAAAUAAUUUAUAAAAAUAUUAAAUCAGAUGGGCUAAGUUACACGGUCAUUAGAAAUGAAGUUGAGUAGAUAGUAAAAAUACUAAUUAAUUUAUGAAUCGUUUUUAUGAAAAAUAAAAUAAAAUGAAAUAAGAAGAAAUGAAAGAAACUUACCUUUGAAUUCAUCUGAGUUGUUUUGCUACAUCCAACAUAAUUGGCCUCUCCUCCGGAUUCGUUCUAGGACGCUCGUAAAUAAGUCGGAAUACUACUUGGAAUUGAUGAUGGUGGGGAACUCCUUCCUCUGCUAGAAUAGUAGGGUCUAUAGUCCCAUUAAUUCCAUGAUUUUUGCAUAGGAUUGUAUGCAAUCGAUCUCAGAAUCAUCCUUUAGAUCAUCCUCGAAAUCAUUGGAAAUUGACAAUAAUAAUUCACAAUAGCCUUUCCCGUUAGAAGGUUGAAUAAAAGUGAGCCAAACUAAAAAACAUCACUCUUCUCUGGAUACACUCCCUAGAAUACUUCAGGUGCUAGAUAUCCUUUAGUCUCGCAAACACCUUCAUUCUCUACUUGGGUUUUGCCCUCAGGGAUUGACAUAGAAAAUAUAAACCCAGAGAGCUUAGCACGUAAGUCUUGGUCCAAGUAGAAAUUUCUAGGAUGUAUAUCACUAUGAAUGCAUGAUUGGCCUGGGAAACGCAGUAUAGAGAGAUAUGUAAUUACUGAAGUAAUCUCAUUUGCAACUUUUAAUCUACUCUUCCACGAUAAACUGGUUGGAUUGAAUGUUGAUCGAUGCUUAAGAUUUCCAUUCACUGGAAAUUCGAAAACUAAAGAGGGGAUUUGUGUUUCUAAGCAACAUCCCAAAAGCUUUAAAGUAUUUUCGUGCCCGCUUAGUUGUGCUGCAACUGAUAUUUCAUUAGUAACGAUUUCAGGAUGACGAAAUCUAAGAGGAUGUGUUGCAAUGGAAUAAUCCACAUACUUUUAGAGAUCACAAUCAUAACACCGGUACUUAUCAAUAUACUUCUUCACAAAAACCACUCUACCUUUAUACCAAUUGAAUUAGACCCCAUAACUAGAUUCUCAUGAUUGUAGUUGUCAGUAACUUUUUGAAGCUCAUUGGCUGAAAAGCGACGCAUGGGAUUGGAGUACUUGCCAUCAAAAUAAGAAAUUCUCUUCUCCAAUAAGGGUUGUUCUAUGGUACCCACUCUUCAUUUUGGGGUACCUACCCACAUUUGACUCCAAUAAAAAGAUGACAUGUGUAAAGUACAUAUCAUUAAAAAAAUUAUAAAAACUUAUCAAACCGGUAAAGAUGACUUGUUGGUGAGAAAUAAUCAUAUGCAUUUCAUAUAUAUCAAAAUAUUACAACUUUUUUAUAAUUUAUUAUUAAAUAUCAAAUAUAAUUUGUUAUUUAAAGCAUUACCUAACUCUAUCUAAAAAAAGAAAAUCCUACCUACUACUCUUAUACUCUCAUUAUUCAUAUAUAAAAAAAAUGAUAGUAAUUUAAUAUGAAAAUUAAAUAAUUUCAACUACCAAAUUACAAAAUAUGUAAGAUGUAUUUUGAUGAAUCAAAUUUCAAGAUCAUGUUUAAAACUUUUUUAGAGAGAAAAUUUAAAAUUUGUAUUAUAUGAAGAAAAUGAAGGAUUUCAAGUGACUACAAGUAUCAAAGGUAAUAUUUGAUAUUUUUUUUAUCCAAAUAUAAUUGUUGUAGGAAGAAAUGUGAUGUUAAAUAACGAUUUUAGAAUUUUUUAUGAUUUUAUUAUAAAAUUUUGUUAUCAAAUUAUUAUCAAUAUUUUUAUAUAAUUUUUUUUUUUUGUUCACAGAUUAAAUUUGAAGAUGAAGCUUUAUAUGUCUUGAAGGAUGUCAAGUGAUUAUAAGUGUUAAAAGGUAACAUUUGAUUUUUUUUUUUCCAUUUACAUAUAACUAUUGUAGGUAGAAAUGUCAUGUUAAAUGGCAUUUAAAUAUGUAAUGAUUUUUAACAUCUACAUUUUUAAAUUUUUUUAUGAGUUAUUAUUAACCAAAUUGAGAGCAUUUAGUCAUUUGUUAUGAAAUUGUCAUCAAUAUUUUGUAAGAGAUGAUACGAAUUUUGUAAGAGAGGGUAUGAACUUUGUAAGAGAUGGUAUGAACUUUAUAAGAGUGGGUACGAACUUUCUAAGAGAGGGUAUGAACUUUCUAAGAGAGGGUACGAACUUUCUAAGAUAGGGUACAAACUUUUUAAGACAGGGUACGAACUUUCUAAGAGAGUGUACGAACUUUCUAAGAUAGGGUACGAACUUUCUAAGAGAGGGUACGGACUUUCUAAAAGAGGGUACGGACUUUCUAAGAGUGGGUACGAACUUUCUAAGAGUGGGUACGAACUUUCUAAGAGAGGGUACGAACUUUCUAAGAGUUGGUACGAACUUUCUAAGAGUUGGUACGAACUUUCUAAGAUAGUGUACGAACUUUCUAAGACAGUGUACGAACUGUCUAAGACAGGGUACGAACUUUCUAAGAUAGGGUACGAACUUUCUAAGACAGGGUACGAACUUUCUAAGAGUGGGUUCGAACUUUCUAAGAGAGUGUACGAACUUUCUAAGAGAGGGUACGAACUUUCUAAGACAUGGUACGAACUUUAUAAGACAGGGUACGAACUUUCUAAGAGAGGGUAUGAACUUUCUAAGAGAGGGUACGAACUUUCUAAGAUAGGGUACGAACUUUCUAAGAGAGGGUACGAACUUUCUAAGAGAGGGUAUGAACUUUCUAAGAGAGAGUAUGAACUUUCUAAGACAGGGUACGAACUUUCUAAGAUAGGGUACGAACUUUCUAAGACAAGGUACGAACUUUCUAAGAGAGGGUAUGAACUUUCUAAGACAGUGUAUGAACUUUCUAAGACAUGGUAUGAACUUUCUAAGAGAGGGUACGAACUUUCUAAGAGUGGGUACGAACUAGAUAAUGUAAUUUUCUAACUACUCUAUCUUUUAUAUUUCAGUUUCUUCAUAGAUACGAUGGACAAAGGCAAAUGAAAGGAAUUUAUCAUUGAUUUGAACGAUGAAGACUUUGAUUACCAAUAUGAUAGCAUUGUUAAAACUGAGUUUGAUGAAGAGGCCAUUCUAGUUUCGGAAAAGAUUUUUAAUGAUUUAAUUGUUGAAGUUGUAUCGAAGAUGGAGUUUAGCUCAGUAGAGGAGGCAGAAGAAUUUUAUAAUUUAUUUGCUAAAGUUACCAGAUUCAGUGUUAAAAAGGAUGAUCUGAAAUGAGAUAAAAAUCAAAGUAUAGUAUCUCGUAAGUGGGUUUGUUCGAAAGAAGGAUAUCGACAUAGAGUGUGUUUAGAGAAUGAAAAUUGAAAAUGAGAACCUAAGGUAGUAAACUCGAGUUGGUUGUGAGGCAACAAAUAAAUGAACAAGUGGGUUGUGAAAGAGUUUAUGGCUGAUCAUAAUCAUCCUUUAGUGGAAAAAAAUACCCAAUUCCUUUGAUCCCAUAGGGUCAUUAAAAAUGUAGAUAAGGCUCAACUAAAUGCAAUGCGAGGUGUUGGCAUAGGAACUAGCCAAAUUAUGGAUUACAUGGUGCAACAAUCAGGUGGAUAUAACAAUGUUGGCUUUUCAAAAAAAUAUCUAUAUAACCAUGUUGAUGUUGAUCGUAGAGUUCAUCUAAGAGAUGGUGAUGCAGAGGGUGCUUUGGCUUAUUUGUGUGGAAAGUCUGAAAUGGAUCCAUCAUUUUAUUACAAGUACAAUGUUGAUGAAGACAACCGUCUAGCAAACCUGUUUUGGGCAUAUUCUACAAGUAAAUUGGAUUAUAGUUGUUUUGGAGAUGUGUUAGCAUUUGAUGCAACUUAUCGGACUAAUGCUUAUAAAAAACCAUUGGUCAUACUAGUUGGCAUUAACCAUCACCAUCAAACUAUAGUGUUUGGAUGUGCAUUAUUGGUAGAUGAGAGUGUUAGCACUUAUACUAGGGUCUUGGAGACUUUUUUGGACGUAAUGAAUAACAAGAAGCCUCUUUAUGUUAUUACUGAUGGGGAUAAAGCAAUGCGUAAAGCCAUUAAGAGGAUAUUUCCAGACUCUUGUCAUCGAUUAUGUGCUUGGCAUAUUCAACGCAAUGCAUUCACUAAUGUCCAUGUCAAAGAUUUUACUAAUCAUUUUUCUAAGUGCAUGUUCAUGGAAGGCACCGUUGAAGAAUUUGAAUGUGCAUGGAAUGACAUGUUGGAAAUGUUUAAUCUUCAUGAACAUAAGUGGGUGACAGAUAUAUAUAUAUAUAUAUAUAUGCUAAGCAUUCUAGAUAGGCAGAGGCUUAUUUAAGGGGGCAUUUCUUUGCUGGUAUGAAAAGCACACAAAGGUGUGAGAGCAUGAAUGCAUACUUGAAUCGUUUCCUUAAAACCCGUUUGAAGCUGUUUGAGUUUGUCAAGCAUUUUGAUAGAGCACUCUCAUGUAUUCGUCAUAAUAAGGCAAAAGCAGAGUUUGAGACACAUCAUUCUUCAACUGUUCUAACAACCGAACUCUAUGCACUUGAGAAAUAUGCAGGGACUGUUUUCAUAAGGCAAUCUUUUCUAAAAUUUAGGGAUGAGAUGAAGAAUGCAUAAUUGUUUUUCCCUAUCAGUACAGAAAAUCAUGGACGUUAUCGUGUCCAUACAUUGACCAAGUUUAGAAGCCCUGACAAGAUUUGGAAAGUAUCUUAUGGUAAUAGUGAUCGGUCUAUGAAAUGUACUUGUAUGAUGUUUGAGUUAGUUGGUUUUCCAUGUCCCCACAUGAUUGUUGUAAUGAAGAUAGAGCACCUUGAAGAAAUACCUGAGAGUUGUAUUAUGAAAAGGUGGUCUAAGUUAGCAAAGGAAAUGUUCCAAGUUCAUCAUGAUAAUGAAAGUCAAGGUGAUGCAACUAACAUCAUAUGAUAUGGUGCACUCAGCUCUAUGUGCUCACGGAUGUCUUAUUUUGCAUCUCAAUCGAAAAAAGCUUUUAAAAAAGCUAGAUGUGAAAUACAAAGACUCACUUGUCAAAUGGAAGAACUUUGUAAAAAUUCAGUGGAAGAAAGUGAACGAGAAGAUUUGAAAGCUACAAAACACCAUGUUCGAGAUCCUAUCAUUGUGAAGACGAAAGGUAAUCCGGGUAACUUAAAAGACAAAUUUAAGAAACCAAGGCAUUGUGGGAAAUGUAAGAAAGUACGACACACUAUUCAAAAAUGCCCAGAGUUCGUCAACACUCACAAUGCAUUUAUCAACAUUGAAGAUUCAAUUGAAGAUAUGGCAUGUUCAAACACACAUUCACUAAAUUCAUUAAUUAUUCACUUUAUAGUUAUUUUUAUUUGGUUAAAUUGGUUGAAAUAAAAAAUUGAAUUCUUUAUAUUAAUACAGGGGGACAUGCCUUCAUUACUAAAUCACAACAUGGAAGGUGGAUCAAGACACGAGACAAAUGAAUUUUCUCAAAAUGUAAGUUUAACAUUUUUUAAGUAAUUUUUAUUAUGAUGUGAAAAAUAUUAUUUAUUAGAGUAAUUGAAAAAUUAAAUCAUAUUACAGACAACACUUUGCACAUUUCAGAAUGGUCUAGAAACAAGCUUAUAUGAUUCAUGGCUUGGGUUACAUCCACCAAAUUACUUCACAAAUCAAGUAAGAGUCAUAGAAUAACUUAUAUACAUCACAUAUCAUAUAUCUAUCUAUUGACAGAAGUUCCUAAACAUUUAGUAUUUAAUCAUAUGGAUUUUCAUUCAAAAUAUUAUGUAUAACUGUAAAUAUUUUCAAUGUAGGUCACCAUGAAUCACUUUACAUCCAGAAUUUCGGGAGCAAGUUCUACAUAUCAUAAACAAUGAGUUCUACUACAAUGCAAAAACUUAUGUACAAAAAAAAAAUCAACUCUUGAUUGUAUUCUAUACUCUUCUUCUCUUUAUUUUUGCAUGAUUCUGAACUUUAUCUAAUAUUAUAGCUUUCUCACUAUUUUCAUUAUCAAGAAGUAAUUCGAUUGCCAAUUUGUGUCUUAUAGUUAUAGAGUCCCAAUGGGAAGGGGUUGAACUUGAGUCCAUGAAAUCGGAUUUUCACAUAUGAUUAAUGACAUGGACUCCACAAUCCCACCUAACAAAUAAAAUGAGUAAACAUUUAUCUAGUUAGUACAUAGAAAUAUUAUCUUGAACACAUUAUAUUUGAAGAAACAAUUAUGCUUGCUUGCCCAUUGGCUUGCACAUCUACCCAUGUAGGUCUUUCAAUGGGAACACUUGAUAAAUUCUUUAGAUGCCCAUUGAGAUUAAAAAAAUGUGAACACUCUUCAACCUAAUAUUCAUAUCAUUAUAUCUUUUAGCAAAAUAAAACAUGCUAUUUAACAACUAACAUUAAAAAGUAAUAAAAUUCAUUAAAAUAUAAGAUAUACCACAGUUCUCACAGAUGAAGUUCGCAUGUCAUCCCUUUCUAUUGAUGGUAAUGAAUCCAAUAUAUGAAUAUUACGUUGAUGAAGAUUUAUAACACAGUUACCAAUGAUCCGGACAUGUAUCGUGCAUCAGGAUGUAUAUCUAAACAAAAAACACAUUUUAGCAUUGAUAAUUAUUUACAACUAUGAUAUGAAUACAACUUCAUAUAUGUACCUUAUCGCAAUCAUUCAUUUCAUCCAUGUGUUUGAUAAUAUGUGUGAACAUCUUGGUAGCAGUUGCCAAUUUUCUACCACCAUGUAAGAUUAUUUACUAUGCAAAAAAAAAAAAAAAAACACAUAUAUCACAAUAUUUAUUAGGUUUAUUUUUUUUCUUUAAUAAGAAAUAUAAUGGAUGAACAUACCGUAAAUGUGGUGGGUAAGUAGCAUUUGGUAGGCCGUAUUCCUUUGAAUUUGUUCUCAAAACUAUUAAGUUUGCAUGCAAAUACAUUUAUGAUCUAAAAAUGAAACACAAAAGUUAACAAUGUUAAUUAUGUAAUAUAAUUAAUAAGAAUUGGGUUUAUCCUUGUAUUACUCACUACAUCGAGUAAUUCUUGUCUAGGCCCCAAAGUUAAGAAGUAUGCUCGAUUUGCAUGCUCAUAUUGAAAAUUAACAAGAAGUUCACUACAAAAUAUAAGAUAUUUAAUAAGUAUAACUUUUAAAACAUGACAUACAUAAAGUAUAGUCAAAAUAAUUGGUUUACACACCUUUUGUCCAAUGAAAUAUCAAACACGUAAGCAGCAACUAGAGACUCAAGUGUACUCAAGGAAUGUGAAUCCUUCACGUUCGGCAAAAUGGACAUGGGGAUUGUCUAUAUUGAAAAAAUCUCUAACAAACAUUAGUUAUCUUUCACUAUAUUAUUAAGUAUUUAAAAAAUACUACAUCAAUGAAGUAACAUAUUACCUCUAAUACCUUUUGUGAUCCAACAACUAUGCUUGGGAAUCUCUUAGGCUUUGGAAUCUUAUUGGAUUGAUGAAUGUAGGGUGACACCUUGAAUUUACUAGGCUUGCGUUCCAUUGUUGUUCGUGUUUUCUUCAAUUGACGUGGGAGCACCACCAAUGAACUUAGUUGUUCUUCUUGUUUUUCAACAUAUGGAACAUCAACAUUAACCUAUCAUGUAUUUGAACAUUAGUGUAUAUAUAUAUAUAUAUAUAUAUAUAUAUAUAUAUAUAUAUAUAUAUAUAUAUAUAUGUAUGUAUAUAUAGAACUUUGUAAAAAACUAGGUCUUCAUAAUAUGCAAAUACCUUUUCAUCUUGACAUUGAUUGUUGACAAUGGGAGAAACAUGUAACUCCAUGUCACCAUAUGAGUCAUUCUCACUCAAUCUCUCUUCUACGACAACAUUGCUCAUAGGAAAAAACAAACGUUUCAAUUCCAUAUAUUUUUCUUCAAAUUAGCUAAAAGUUGAUUCUUUACAACUUUCAUCCAUAUCAGAAACAUUUGUUUAUAACACAAAUUUUUUCAACUUCUCAAAAGCUUCCUCCAUACCCAUCAAACUUUUUUCUUCAACCUAGUAACAAAUAAAAAUUUCCAAUAUCAUGAAAAAAAAAAGUUUGAGAUGAAUAAACUAAUGUAUAUAAAUAUAGUAUAAAAAAGUACCUUAUGCCCUUCUUCUUAUUGUUCAUGAACUUUUGCAUCUUAUUUAUCACCAUCUUCUUCAUUUCUCAUAUCAUUAUCUUUAUGAUCACUUGUUCUCUCAUCUUUCUCAACCACCUUCAUUUUUUCAUCAUUAUCAUUUUCUGCACCAUUAUUUUGCUCCAUAUCCACACUUUACCCAAUUUUUAUAAUCCAUAUCGUGACCUAUAAUUUAUCCAUAAACUUUAUUAUAAUUGCAACAUCACAUAAACAAAUAAGCUUUUCAGUUAGUAAAUGUAUCUUACCUUUGGAUCAUCAUAACCUCCAAGUGUUUUGAUUUUACGUUUCAUCCUAGAAACCUCAUCAUCUCCCCAUUCAUUUAUACGAGGGCUAUAUGCAUUGAAACGUAAGUUCAUACCCUUCUUUAUGGAAAUGUGGUCAAGGUAGAAAAUCUGCAAGAAAUAAAUUCCAAAAUAAUUAUAGAGUUGAAUAUAUCACAAACUCUAUUAUUGUUAAAAAUAUCAUAAUAUAUCAACUUUGUUAAAAGUGUAUUACCAUUAGAAAAUAUAAACAUCCAGAAAUCCCACUACUUCGUUUCUUGGAUUUAAAGUCGUUUAUGCCUCGUACAAGGAAGAAGAAUACUAUUUGGGCCCAAUUUAUCUUCUUUAUUGAUGCGGUGUCUUGAAGGAGAUGGAGGAAGGAAGGCUUGACACUAACUUUCAUCGUUGGACAUAACAAGGCACCUAAAACAAAUAAUACAAAACGAAUUUUAAAUUCAUCCCCACAUUCCUUUUUUUGUCGUAUUUGGUUUUCUAACAUCAACAAUGGCAAUUUUCCUUUCCCAUCACAAUACAUGUUGUAUAAAUCAUUCUGUUUACUUGUGCAUCUCUCUAUAUCUACCUCCACUCCCUUAGCCUUCAAGCCCAAAAUUAACUCAACAUCCAUUGGGGAUAAUUUAAUGGAAGUGUUAUGCACACUUAAUGUGCAUGAAAGAGUGUCAAAAUUCUCUACCAACCAAUGACAUAAACUAUGAUCAAGUUUAAUACAUCGCAAUCCUAAAAUACCUCCAAACCCUAUUUCUUGUAUGACGACCUUUUGAUUAGGUUGCAAGUGUUGAAGUAGUUUAUACACCCGAUCAGGCAAACAACGCAUGUGAAGAUACGACUAGAAGUUAUAAAUAUACAUAAGCAUAUAUAUUUUAAAUUGAAAGAAAAUAUUAUCAUAAUUUAAAAACAUAAAUUUCAAAUUUCUUACCUUUGAUGCAUUUUUUGAGUUUCGACCCUUUUGUUUUAUAUAUUCAUGAGGGCAUUUUUUAGACUUCUCUAAGAACUUUUUUUUUCUCCAUUUGAAAGGGAUUGCCACUUUUUCCCAAUCUCUUUUCGCAACUGUAAUAUUAAAUUAGUUAAUUAUCAUAUAGAGUAUAAAAGUUGACUAAAAAACAUAUUAUGCAAAUAUUCAUUUCUUUUCUUACAUCAUGAUUUAUUAUCAAUUCCUUGUUAUCUUCUUUUCUUGCGAGUACUUGUUCUCGACUGCAAAAAACAUCACAUAAAAAUGAUUAUAUUUUCAACAUAUGAAUAAAUAUCCAAAAUGAAUUAACUAUAUAUGUAUAUAUAUUCUUACAAAUAAUAAAGCCAUGAACCCAUAGGAAGUUUUGGGUUUGAAGGGGGAUCAUUCUCCUCAAAUGAUUGUUUGCUCCUGUUUAAAACACAACAUUAUGAAUGUAAUUUACAACUAAUUAAAACUAUGUACUAUAUUCAAAUAAUUAAGUGACAAAUAUAAAAUCUUACAUAUUUGGCUUUCUAAGUCAAGAUGUAGUAAGACUGCUCAAAAUAAGAUAAACUCCUCUUAUAUUAAGCAACUGUGUAGCCUGCAACAUAGUGAGCAUAUUGAUAAGAAUUAAGUUUUGAAUUUGACAACAAUGAGUUUGAAAAUAUUUGUAACAAAAUGGAGUUUUUUUCUAAAAAUAUUAAUCAUUAUUUAAUCAUUAGAUCGAUGAGUUAAACUAAUUAAAAUAAAUUUAAAUUAUCAAAUAAAAAUAAUUUAUUUACUUUAAAUAUAUAUAUAUAUAUAUAUAUUAUCUUUUUCACAUGGCAUAGCAAAAAGGCAAAUUUUAAAAUUAUAUCAAUUAAUUUAUAAUUUUUUUAAAUAUAAUAAUGUUGUAUUGGAUUAGAAAUAGAAAAUAAAAAAAAGGUUAAAUUUAGAGUAUGCUAUUUUAAAAAUUUUUAUCUUUAAAAAAAAGUCAUCAGUGAGCAUAUGUCCAAAUGUUUUAAGCUCUUUUAUCAUUCUUUUCAUCUCCUUAGGAUCUUGUUUCAUUGUAUGGUUCAGUCACAUUUUGUAAUUUCCAAAUUUCAUUACAAGUCCUCUCAGCUUCGUAGUUGAAAGUCCACCAUACUUUUCUUUUAACGCUUCCCACAUUUCAUGAGAAGUUUGAUAUACUUCAUACUCAAUCAUGAGAUCAUCUUGCAUACAACUUAACAACGUAAUGCGAGCUAAAGAAUUUUUUUUUGAGAGAGGCCACAACAACAAGAUAAAUAUACAUGUUAUGUCUGGCAUAUCAAAUUAUUUACAUGUUAUGUACAAAACAUAAAAGAAAAUGUAAUAAAUAGAAGGAAAACUAAUCUUCUCCCUUGAAACUAAAAGCAGCAAUGUUAGGAUUAUACACAGUGUCUUCUAUAACUCUAGAAGUUGUUUUCAAUAACCAUAACCCUCUAAGAUUUUUAUGCCUACUAGAAUUUGAAAAUCUUGCAUUUCGCAAGUUAGGAGAAAUAGAAAGCACUAUUGUUCGUCUAAUGGCAUUCUUCACGGAGCAUGUUUCCCUGUGUUCCUUGAAAAUAGCUACUAGGUCAUCAAAAGACCUAUUUGUGAAACCAUGAGGCCCUUCUUGAAUGGAUUCCCAUAUAUUUUCAAGAACUUUUUUCUCAGGUUCUGUUAAUGACAUUUGUAGAAUAUGCUUUUUACGGUUUGACUCUAAGAUAUAUUCCUCUUCGAAACGUUUGAACAUAUUAGCCACAUGAUCCACAUGUUCAUUUGUAGAAUGGCUAGGGUCCCUCUUGUAGUUCAAGAUUGUAUCCAAACACGGCCAAGGUCCUCUACCCCUUAGUACUUUCCUAGUUCUCCUCAAUCGUACCAUUUUGCACCUAACCAAAAGAAUUUAAUUUAAUUUUAAUGAGUAACAUAUACUCAUACUUUAAUUAAAUAUUUGAACAAAUGAAAUUUUAAUUAGAAACACACAAUUAUUAAAAAAAAAAUGUCUUUUAUUGUCCCUCAAAUUUUUAUUAUUAUUUUAUACACAAGUCAACAUUCAUAAUUUCAAAUAAACAAUAUAACACUAAUAAAUGGUAUUUUAUAUCAUAUCAAGGUACUUUAGUGGUAAUAAAGGAUUUUUUUAAAAUGAUAGAGUUAGGUUAGAAUCCAUGUUGCGUUAUUAUUUCUAACACUAAAAGGUUCAAUAGUCUAGAAUUUUAUUACAUUUUAAAUGAAAAAUAAAAUUAAUUUAUAUAAAAUAUUUUAUUUGAGAUUUAGGUUCGAAUCCAUGUUGCAUUAUUAUUUCUAACACUAAAAGGUUUAAAAGUCUAGAAUUUUAUUACAUUUUAAAUGAAAAAUAAAAUUAAUUUAUAUAAAAUAUUUUAUUUGAGAUUUAGGUUCGAAUCCAUGUUGCAUUAUUAUUUCUAACACUAAAAGGUUCAAAAGUCUAGAAUUUUAUUACAUUUUAAAUGAAAAAUAAAAUUAAUUUAUAUAAAAUAUUUUAUUUGAGAUUUAGGUUCGAAUCCAUAUUGCAUUAUUAUUUCUAACACUAAAAGAUUCAAAAGUCUAGAAUUUUAUUACAUUUUAAAUGAAAAAUAAAAUUAAUUUAUAUAAAAUAUUUUAUUUGAGAUUUAAUUUCUAAAAUUUUAUUAAAAAUAUGUGAUAACAAUUUUUUCUAUUAACAUUAAUUUAUUUAAAUAAUUAAAAUUAUUAAUAAUUUAUCUUACCAAAUUAAUUUUAAUUCAUAAAAUAUCGAUAAUAAAAUUCGAAAGUUCAAUGGUAAAGAUUUAAUCAAUAUACACAUGGAUAAUUACUAAUUAUUUAUAUAUAGAGAGGAAUUCCUAAAAAGCCCUAUUUUUACUACUUCUCUCACUCGAGGUUGAUGCGUCAAAAAGCCCUUUUCUCCCUCCAGACUAGAGAAUCCCUAAAAAGGCUCCAUUUUACUUUGCCACUCUCAAUCCUCGUAGGUACUAAUCUAAUCAUGCUAUCAUUUUUUUUUUCAAUAUCCGUUUGAUUCGCAACAAAAUCCAUCCCCCAUUCGAUUUUUUGGAUCUGUUUCAGGAGUCUUUUUGCUUUUGUGCCAUUCGAUUUAAAUUUCAUGAACCCUAAAUCCACGAUUUUUUAGCCAAGAUGAAAAACACAACCUUUGCCUGCAAAUCAUGAUCAGAUUACCAAAUAACAUCUUCUGUUUUUUUUUAAAAAAAAUUGGACAGAUUUUGUAUCCUGUGCGCGGCCUGGACUGGUAGGAAAUAUCGAAAAAUUUCCCAAAAAAAAAUCGAUAAAAAUACCAAAAUUUUGGUGAUGUUUUUUAAUCGGUCAAAGAUGAGUGAAGUACUUGUUCUAGGAGAGUGGGUAGAGUUGCCUGCAGGGGGAGAUUGGUUUCAGAUCCACCAAAGCCUGCCUAAUUCUUUUCUUGCUGAUUUCUCCUCUCUCUGAUUUCUCCUUCAAAAUCCCCACUCAACUCACUCUCUCUGUAAAUAUUCAUUUCACCUGAAAAUUCCAUUUCCACACCCUCAAAUUUCUGAAGCUUAACUCUCUAAAAUCCGGGAAAAGUUGUAAUGCCCAUCAAACUAAUAGCUCACUUCUCCGAAAAUAGGCGUCAAGUGUAAUACCCAUCAGACAAAUUUUUGUCUUUAGACAAGAUUAAGCAAGAUAGAAGUGGGAAAUCAAGGUGACCGAUAACCUGCUUUUAUUUUUUUAUAUAUUUUUAAAUUUUUUUAAAAUACAUAAUCUAAUUGGACGGUCCAGACUGAACCAUCUUCAUCCAAUGGUCAAAACUGUUUUUUCGGUAGGUACCGAAAUGGUACUGUAGAAUUUUCCCUUCAAUAAUUCCUCAACAUGCACUCCUUUCUCUCAUUCUUUCCCAUCUCAAUAUCAUUUUUCUUUAUUCUUUUCCACCCACCAAACUAAACCCAAGAAUUUUUCCUUCAAUUUAAGGAUGUAAAAUAUGAAAAAUUCUCAGUCUCCUUCCUCAAACUAUGAUGAUAUGGGUAGCUACUAGUCUGCUUGUAGAAAAAAGAAAAGAAAAGAAAAGAGCCAUAAUAUUCAAUAUUAACUUGGUUGUACCCUAGCUAGAAUUUUUUCCAUGUAGUAUAAAACAUAAUUAAUUGAGGACUAAGAAUCCAAGAAAAGAAUUACAAUAUCACCUAUCUAGAGUUCUAGUAAUUAAUCUAAAUAGAAAAAUAGCUAGGUAACUCUUGGAGAAGAUCAUCCUCCCAAACCUUGAGAAGGGUUUCAAAUCUUUAGGUAAGGUGAAGCUAAAAGAAAGAGAAUAGCCAUUCCCUUGAAGUCAUUGCAAGAUAGAAGUCAAUUUUAAAGAUGUUUCGGUGGAGUCCUCGUGUUUUUGUCAAAGUAGAGUUUGAACAUAAAAAAAAGUAGCUUGUUGACACAAAAGAGCUCAAGGGGUGUUUGGUGAUAGAUUUUUUUAAAAAAACAAUAGUGUAGUUUUGAAAAAUAUUUAUUAAAAUAUAACACUUUUUGUUGUAAAACAAGGAUAAAUUCAAUGCAAACAAAGUAGUAGAGAUAAAAUAUAUCUUACUUUAACAAUACAUAUAAUGGGAAGAAGGAAUCAGAGAAGAGAGUUGAGAAAGUUGAGAGAAUAUGAGAAAGUAAGAAAUUUCUUUCUUGCUUAGGGAUACAUAUUACAGGGGAUGGGAAGCCCUUUUAUAGGCUUUCCAAAUGGCUUCCAUUAAUAUUCCAAUUAAUGAAUAUUAAUGGAACUCAUAAAUAACAUUAAUGGUUUCCAUUAAUCAGUAUUAAUGGAAGUCAUAAAUAAUACUUAAUUAACAUUUAUUAUAAUUAAUGUGGUGACAUUCAUUACUUCAGUUACAACAGUCCCCCUUGGAUGUCCACCACAUUGAAGAAUUUGCCUCAUUAAAACCUUGCUAGUAAAAAACCCUAUGGAAAAAACCUAGCGAAAGAAAAAGAGUGCAAUAUUCUUAUACUUCUUUAAGUUUCUCUUGGUAUGUUAGGACUGCCUCAUUAAAAACCUUGCUAGUAAAACCUAGUAGGACAAAACUUGGAUGAAGGAAAAAAUAGUAUAGUACACUAACACCCUUUUACCAGCAUACUCCCCCUCAUGUUGAUAUCCUUAAGUUGAUGCAUUCCAAUCUUGUGUAUUAACUUCUUGAAUGUUGAGGUUGGUAAUGAUUUUGUGAAUAAAUAUGCUAGAUUAUCACUUGAGUGUAUUUGUUGCACAUCAAUUUCACCACUCUUCUGGAGUUCAUGUGUAUAAAAGAAUUUUGGUGAAAUAUGUUUAGUUUUAUCUCCUUUAAUAUAACCCCCUGUUAUUUGUACAAAUCAUGCAGUAUUAUCUUCAAAUAAUAUUGUCGGGUCACCUUUGAUAGAGGAGAGUCCACAUGAUUCCCAAAUAUGUUGGAUCAUAUAUCUUAGCCAUAUACAUUCAUGACUUGCUUCAUGAAUUGCCAAUAUUUCUGAAUGAUUUGAUGAUGUGGCCACCAUUGUUUGUUUGACAAAUCUCCAUGAAAUAGUAGUACCAUUACAAUUAAACACGUACCCUGUUUGUGACCUACCUUUAUGUGGAUCUGAAAGAUAUACUGCAUCUACAUAUCCAAGCAAUUGUUGCUUUGAUUCCCUUGAGUAAAAUAAACUUAUAUCAAUAGUUCUGCGAAGAUAAUGCAAUAUAUGUUUGAUACCAUUCCAAUGUCUUCGAGUUGGAGUGAAACUGUAUCUUGCUAAUAAAUGGACAUAAAAAACAAUGUUUGGAUGUGUACAAUUGGCAAGAUACAUAAGUGCACCAAUAGCACUAAGAUAUGGUACUUUAGGACCAAGUAAUUCUUCAUCUUUUUCGCAAGGACAAAAUGGAUCAUUUUUCACAUCAAGUAAUCUGACAACCAUUGGAAAACUUAAAUGAUGCGCUUUAUCCAUAUAAAAAUGCUUCAAAACUUUCUUAAUGUAUGUUGAUUGAUGUACUAAAACUCCAUUUAGAAAAUGCUCAAUCUGCAGGCCGAGACAAAAUUUUGUUUUCCCUAGAUCUUUCAUCUUAAAUUCCUUUUUCAAGUAACUUGUUGUUCUUGUGAGCUCUUCAGGAGUUCCAACAAGAUUUAAGUCAUCAACAUACACUACAAUAAUUGCAAAUCUGGUUUCUGAUUUCUUAAUGAAGAUGCAUGGACAUAUAAGGUUAUUCACAUACCUUUUUUUUAGUAAGUAUUCACUAAGGCGAUUGUACCACAUGCAUACAGAUUACUUUAAUUUAAUCUAUACAAGGAUCAUUGUAACUUGAUUAAGUACAUGCUACGAGGCUUUGUACUAUUUGCUUCAAGCAAUUUAAAUCCUUUAGGGAUUUUCAUGUAUACAUCAUUAUCCAUGGAUCUAUAUAAAUAUGUUGUAAUAAGAUCCAUGAGAUGCAUAUCCAGACCUUCUGAGACUGCUAAACUAAAUAAGAAACAAAAUGUGAUUGCUUCCAUGACAGGAGAAUAUAUUUCCUCGUAGUCAAUACCAGGUCUCUACGAGAAACCUUGUGCUACUAAUCAUGCUUUAUAUCUUAUGAUCUCAUUAUUCUCAUUGUGGUUUCAUACAAAUACCCAUUUGUACCCAACAGGCUUUACAUCUUCAGGUGUUUGGACUACAGGUCCAAAAACUUCCCGUUUUGUUAAUGAGUUUAACUCUGCCUGUAUAGUUUUUUUCCAUUUGGGCCAAUCAUUUCUAUGUCGGCAUUCUUCCACAUUUCGUGGUUCAGGAUCUUCAUUAUUUCUUAUAAUAUCGGGGGCCACUUGGAAAGCAAAAAUAUUGUUAAGAACAAUAUUAUUCUGAUCCCAUUUUUCUCCCGUGUGUACAUAACUUACUGAGAUUUCACAAUUUUCAGGUACCUAUGCCUCUUUAAGGGCUUCUUGUUCAAUAUGUGCCUCUUCAGGGGAUUUCUGCAUUAUUUGUGCCUCUUCUAGGGCUAUAGAUUUAUCAAUUUUAAACUGAUCAGUCAUUUUGAUGGUCUCUUCUAGAGUGCCAAGUUUUUCUUGGGUUCUCCUCUUUCGGGGAGUUAUAUCCUUUGAGCCAACAGGUCUACCACACUUCAGGUGUAUCUUAGAUUCAUUUGUUAAUUGUCCUACAGGGACAUCAAUCCGUGUUGGAGUAUUUGUAGUCAGGAUAUGUGACUUUGUCACUUUCUUUGUAUCAAUGAAUGCAUUUGGUAAUAGAUUUGUAAAAUUUUGCAAAUGAAUGAUUAUUUGAACUUCUAGUUCACAUUGACUUGUACGAGGAUCAAGAUGGGUCAUAGUAGAUGCCUUCCAACUAAUUUCUCGAUGUUCUUCAGGAAUCGACUUUUCUCUCCCUUGUGAGCAGGCAUCACAUGAGUAUUCAUUAGGCGAAAGAAUCUUCUGGUUCUUUAGUAGAUGCCCAUGUGAGUGUUCAUUAUUCGAUGCAUCAUUAAUGACCUUGGGUGACCUAGCUUGUCUUGCCAAAUGACAAAAACUUUUGGGUCAUUGAACUUUUGGUUCAUGACAACAUAUGAUUCAAUGGGCUUUAUAGUUUUAUGAUACAACCCAGAUGAGAAAGCCGAGAUUUUUUCCAUUAUAAGCUUCUAACCAGAUAUAAUGGAAGUAACGUAAAGAUAUUCUUCAUUAUAUUCAUUCAUAGUUUCAAUAUGAUAUCCAUUUUUGUGGAUAUCUUUAAAACUAAGCAAAUUUCUUCUGGAUUUGCUAGAAUAUAAAGUUUCAUUUCUAUGGAAUCUAGUUCCAUUUGGCAACGUUAUGUUUUCUUUUCCAGAGCCUUCAACUAAGUUUGUAGUACCAGAUAUGGUACUUACAUUAGCUUUUAUUAAUGUCAAUUUGAGGAAAUAUCUUUUAUCUUGAAGAAUUGUGUAUGUGGUUGCAUAGUUUGUCAGACAUACAUCAUCCUCAUUCAUCUUGAGACCAAAUAACACAUGGAUUUCAGAUAUAACUAAAUAAAAAAAACAAGGCAUAAUGUAAAUAAAAAAAGAAAAUCAUAUGUAAAUAUAAGAGAUAAUAAUAUAUUAUUUCAUAUAUAAAGUAACAUCAAUCAAUGUUAAUUUUCUCAUCAUUUAUUAAAUGGUUUUUUUUUUCACUAGGACCUCCAAAGAAAUCAAUGUCAUAGUAGGUUGGGUCCAAUCCAUUACUAUUAGUAAAGUUCAUCUCUAUCUCUUUUCCUUUUACUUUUAUUGAUGCUUGGUAAAGGUCGACCAAAUGUUUGGGUUUAUGACAGGUACGCGACCAAUGACCCUUCAUACCACAUCUAUAACAAUUAUUUUCAUGGUUCUUAGGAAGUUUAUCUUCUAAAUACUUCCCAUUUUCUUGUUUUGCCUCAGUAUUGUUCCAUUUCUGGUGGUGCAAUGAGGUUUUACUUUUCUAAGAAUUUGAUAAAUUAUUACCAUAAGAACCAUGGUAUCGGGGAUUUCUUCCAUGACCACUACCACGACCACGUCCUCGUCCUUAUCCACGUCCACGAGUUUGGGACGAUAUUGCAUUGACUUUAGAGAAUAAUUCAGAUCUAGUUGGACGAGACUGAUGAUUUUUCAUCAAAAGCUCAUUUUUUUUAAACCUUCAUGGAGAUGAUGAUGAAGGAAAAUCAAUGUUUUUGCGCGAUCCUGCAGAGAUGCUUGAUUUCCCUCUUUGAUCAUAGCUCCAAGAUUCAUUGCAUCAAGAUGUAUUUUAGCAUCACGGAUGCAAGAAAGAUAGUUCUUUCCCGAAAUGUUAAGUGCUACAAAUUUGAGUUUUGUGAGAUUCGACAUUGUCAAAUAACUUCAUAUAUAUAUGAUAAAACAAUAUUAUUAGAAUGAGUUAUAAUAAAUUGAUAGCAUUGAUACAACUUUGAUUAUAACCAAAAUCAAAUAACUUGUUUAUAACUUUUAACAAUAUAUAACAAAACACAUCAACAAUAAUAUAAAUAUGUAAAAUUUUAUUCUAUAUAAAUAACUUCAAGUUUAAGAUAUGAGAAUUACCUUCAAAGCAAUUCAUGCUAAUAACGUGUUGUAAAACAAGGAUAAAUGCAAUGCAAACAAAGUAGUAGAGAUAAAAUAUAUCUUACUUUAACAAUAUAUAAUGGGAAGAAGGAAACAAAGAAGAAAGUUGAGAAUGCAAACAAUAUAUAAUGCAAACAAUAUAUUUUGGAGUGCCGUCAUGGCCAAUUCCCUAGUUGUUCACAUCAUGCUAAAGGAAGAAAGUGACGUCUCCCCAAAACUUCAAUUCAAUUGGAGUUCAUAGGAGCAGGUUUGAAUAUGGAGCACUUGGGCUUGUUUCGAUCAUAUCUCCCUCAUCUGUACUCGGAAUCGCGCACCAUUUUUUUAAUGGACUCCUUGUUCUUCAAGGAAUAUUAUAUCAAAAUUUCAAAUUUUUUCUCAACCGGCUCAACUAGUCCCCAAAGUUCCAGUUCAGCCAGAGUUCAUUGGAGCAUGUCUGAAUUCGGAGCACUUGGGCUUGUUUAGAUCAUAUCUCCCUCAUCCAAACUUGGAAUCGUGUAUCAAUUUUUUUAUGGACUCCUUGUUCUUCAAGGAAUAUUCUAUCAAAAUUUCAAUUUUUUUUAUCAACCAGCUCAACCGGUCCCCAAAGUUUCAAUUCAGCCAAAGUUCAUUGGAGCAUGUCUGAAUUUGGAGCACUUGGGCUUGUUUUGAUCAUAUCUCCCUCAUCCGAACUCAGAAUCGUGCAUCGUUUUCUUGAUGGACUCCUUGUUCUUCAAGGAAUAUUCUGUCAAAAUUUUAAAUUUUUUCUCAACCAGUUCGUUGGGCUAGCUUGUAUAGAGCACUGAUUUUGGUGAUUUUGGAGCUCAAAUCUUACAUGGCUUGGGCCCAUAAGCUCCAGAUCGGUCUUGGGCAAUAUUUUGGAUCCAUUUGGGGCCUUGGUUCGGGUUCCUUGCAACCCACCAGGAAUCCAUAUGGAUUCUUGGUGGUGGAGCAAGAGAGUAAAUGUGGAGAGAGCGGCUCACCUCGUGACUGUGAGAAGUAUUUAUGGAGCUGGUUUCUGAGGUUGGUGGGGGCACUUUCCAAAGCUAAAGGAGGGAAAAAUGAAGGUGGAAGUGGGAAGAGCGGGGGUUCUGGUAUAAAAAGGCAGAAUGGAAAUAGAGAAAGACAUUUUUCCUUUGUAUUUUUUUUCUGUGGGGAAAAACUCUGUCCAAGUUUGGUGAGGGAAAAUAAUAGAGUGUGGAGAAGAUUUUGAGCAUCUAAGAAAGUUCUAAGUGCAUGUGAAGUGAGCAAAGAGGGAGGAAAAAUAGAAAGUUUGAGGUUUUAGAGUGGAAAGACUCUAUGUGGGGAUUUUUCUAGUUAGAUCCUUGGAGUGAGGUUCUACUUGUGAGCCUCUAUGUGUUAAGGCAAAUAGAAGGAAGGCAUUCUUGAAGCCAAGUAUAUUUCUGCUUGAGGGGAGAAUAAUAUGGUAAGCACUGAUUCUGGUAUCUCAUUCUUUUCAUUUUAGAUUUUCUUCUCUGUUUAAGAGUCUACUGAAACUUCUAUGGCUAUUUCAAAUAAGGAGUGUUUGAGGAUUUGGUAUUGUUCCUCUUUGCUUCCUUUUGAUCUAUUUCUUAGUUCAUAGUUCAGUUGAUAUGUUUCUCCCUACAUCGAUUUAGAAUGGCAUGGCUCUGUUUUGAGUUUUCCUUUGAGAAAUAGGAAUUUGCUUUAUUGUCCUCCCUCUAGUUGUAAGUUGUAUUCUGUUUGCUUUGCUAAUGGUGUGUCGAGUUGCACCCCUUGUCAAUACAUGAUGUUCAUGAAUGGAGCUCUAGGUUUAUAAUAUUCUUUUCCACCUUUGAAUAUCUCAGCUUUCAUGUUUAUCCUGGGAGGAAGGUUCUCAGUCAUGGUCUUUUGGAUUGUUGUUUUUCUUCUUUAAUUUUGUGGCAUAAAAGGGAGAUUCUACACUGCUCAUGAUUCUCCAUGCUUCUUUUUUUAAUAGUCACUUUUUGAAUGCUCUUGAUAUGUAACUGUUGCAUGGUUUCAUUUUUUAUGUUUGUUGUGGAUGUCUCAUUUUGGGUUGGUUCUGGUCAGGAAUUGGGGGGGGGGGGAGUGACCUACUUUUGAUGUGUGAAUAAUAGGGUAUCUGCCUUCAUUAGUUUUGGUUUUGGUUAUAGGUCAUUGUGACCUCUUAAUUGUUAGGGGAAGGAUUCUUAUGGCCUUGUAGCUUUGGAUUGAGGAACUUCUUACAUGCUAGAUUCAGGUGGCUAUGUUGGUAUGGGCGUUUCUACCACUUGGUUUUUCUUGAAACCUCCCUUGCUUAGUAUUGAGAAAGGGUCUCCAUGACCUUCUCUGUUUUUUUAAUUUGGGUCUACCCAUCAAUAAUCUGGACUUAAAACCCAGGUCUUGUGGCUACAUGUAAAAGUUUCAUGUGGCUGAAAUUUUGGUUUACUUCUUGGAGAUUCCAGUAGCUGCAUUGGGGGGGCUUUAGGUGGCUGAAUUUCAGUUGGAUUCAUAGGCUAUAGGAGACUGAAAUUUCAGUUUGUUCAAUGGGAUUUAAGUAGCUGUAGGUGGGAGGCUUCAGGUGAAUGAAAUUUCAGUUUGGUUUUAGGGGAUUUAGGUGGCCGCAUGUGGAUGUCCAUGUGGCCAAAUUUUCAACUGGGUUUCUUGAGUUCAGGGGGGCUGCAUUGUUGGUUGAUUAAUGAGCUAUGUGGCCUUAGUUUUAAUAAGGUUGGGUGGCUCGGGUUUGGCCUUCUACAAGGAACACGUUGCAUUGUUUUGGUCGGUUCUCCCUCAUUUGGGCUCAGAAUUGAGCGCCGUUUUUUUGUUGGAUUCAUUAUUCUUCAAGGAAUCUACUAGUAAAGUUUGAGAAUCUUUCUCAAUCGAUUGAACUAGUUGGGAACCGGUUCAACAGGUUCUGCUAGGCAGCCCCAUUUUAUAAACACAUUGCAUUGUUUCAGCCAGUUCUCCCUCAUUCGAGCUCGGAAUUGAGCACUGUUUUUUUUUUUUUUGGAUUCCUUAUUCUUCGAGGAAUCUGCCGAUAAAGUUUCAAAAUUUUUCUCAAUCGGUUGAACCAGUUGGGAACCGGUUCAACAGGUUCUGCUAGGCAACCCCAGUUUUAGCAUGUUUUGACCCUCAUUUUUGUUGUGGCUUGAGCCUUUAGGCUCCAAGGCACUUGUGGGCCACCUUUAGGGUUAGAGUUCUGUUUGGUUAGAUUUCAUGUGAGCUCACUUCAUAGAUGGAAAGAAUGUAGGUUAAGCGAGCAUGGUUUGGUUUGAUGGAAUUUAGAGCAAUGUGUACUAAAGAAAUCAAACCAUUUAUUUCAUUUCGACCUGCUUCCCUCCCUUUUGGGUAUGAGAUUUGAUGUUUGAUUGAGAGUGCAUGUUGUAUGCUUGUAUUACUUACCUCACCUUUUCCUUGCAGCGCAUAGCGGGGGACCACAGGUAUGCACUUCGACUUUGGAUAAUGAAAUUCACAUGAAUGCUUGGUGCAUGAUUGCUAUGUAUAUUUGUUGUGCAUUUGAGCUUAUUGACUGACCUCUUCUACAGCGCUUGGUUAGGGACCUCAGGUAUGCACUCUGAUUUUGACUUGUUGAGUGUAUGUGCAUGCUAAAUACUAGGCGGGUCUAUGUGAUUCAUGUCAUUUGUUUAGCCCAAGGUUUGUUUGAUAUUUGACCCAUAUGCUCCCAUAUACCCAAUUCAUUAGUAGAGACCGAGUUCCGAGCCUAGUGGGGUGUUACCUCGCAUGAAGUGCCUUCCCGAUAGGUAACCUGAUCCCCAAACCCAUAAUCUAGUUUUCACAGACCAUUUUUUCCUUACUGGAGUCAUGCUGGGGUUUUUGUUCUUACUUAAAUUUCCCCAUUUAAAAAUAAAAAUAAAAAUAAAAAGUAAGUGGCGACUCUAAACAAAACCAUUCCUCACUAGGACUACACAAUCCCACAUCCACCACCACCCCUAGUUCAAUCAGCGCCACAGACAGGGGCCUUUGUCUUACAUGGUCAGACUGAGACUACGCCACAUUUUGUUAUGGCCCCUACACAGGUUGCAGAUGAUACUCAAGCCCACAUUGAGAGGAUUGAGCAGAGGAUGAGGUCACUGCAUGUCACCAAUGGAGUCAUGAGUUAGGAUAGGUAUGAUGACCUACCUAUUGCAGCUUUGUCGGUUGAGUUCUGCAUGCCAGACAUUGAGAGAUACACGGGGAUCGGGUGCCCUCGUAUUCACUUGCAGUUGUACACUGUUGUUAUGCACGGGCAUAGGUUAGACGAGACACAGAUGAUCAUGUUGUUUCCUCUGUCCCUGAGUGGUGCCGCCCAGCCGUGGUUUGCUUCAUUGGACCCCUCAUGACGCCGGACAUGGACUGAUCUGGCAUAGGAGUUUCUCAGACAGUAUUCCUUUAAUACUGUAGUUAAUGUAUCCCGGAGAGAGUUAGAGGCCCUCAGACAAAGGCCGGAUGAGAUAGUUACCUCCUUCAUCUCCCGCUGGAGGGAGAAGAGAGCACAGAUUAUUGACAGACCCGCAGAGCAUGAUCAGAUCAACACGAUUAUGUGCAAUCUUCAGCCCUGCUGCGCUAGACAUCUCAUAGGCUUUCCGUAGAUAGACUUUGGCUACUUAGUGCAGGCCCUCUAUGGCAUUGAGGAGGGUAUAUCUAGAGGAUUAUGGGCAGAUUCUCCCUCCUCAGACUCAAAGGGGAAGAAACCAGGGUCAGGACCCAGGCCAUCAUAUGUUGGCACCAUUGGUAUGAUGGGGCAUAGGUCCCUGCGUCGGCCUCAGACUCAGAGGCAAUUUUCAGAAAACUCUUAUCAGAUGAUACAACAUGAUCAGUACAGGCCAACUAUUCCCAUCAGGCUAGCAGGGCUUGCUUAUCUGCAUCCGUCGCCACAACCAGUAUAUGCUACAAAGGCAUUCCAGAGGCCACCCAUGCAGUUCAUCAGUAUAGAGCACCGCCUCCACCAAGGCCAACUAGACAGUUCACACAGCUUGGGAUGCCAUUGAGUAAAGCAUUUAAGAGAUUGGUUGAGGGGGGAUUGAUUGCCCCAUUAUCGCCCAGACCACAAUUAUAGCCUACCCUACCAGGAUUCAGGACAGACCUUCCCUGUGCUUACCACCAGAGAGUGAGCCAUGAUACAGAUAGUUGCUCAGCACUGAGACAUGCUAUACAGGACUUGAUUGAUCAGGGUUUGGUUGAUUUGGGAUGACUCGUAGUGACCAAAGACCAGUUACCUACUCAUGACACUAGAGCUAUACCUCCACCCCCAAGGGGAAUCCAUUUGAUUGAGCACAUAGAGGGUGAUGUAUUUAUGAUGGGAUGGGAUGGAGAGGCUCCUCAACCGAUCAGUUUGUAUGAGGACUCAAUUUUAGUGGAUAUACCCAUGGACAGCAAGUCCUCAAGCCAUUCAGGUUAGCCCCAGAUGAGAUUCCCCUUCAGCCCGCAAUCUCACCAGUGUAUUUAUAGCAUGUGCCACCUUUGACACCCUUCAUUAUGUUCCUAGAAGGGUAUGGGCUCGCUCACAGAGAUGUUCAGAUAGUCACGCAGAGUGGGAGAGCAGCACAUCCUCCACCUGUCAAUAGGCCAUUUGCUGGUACAGCUACUAGGGAGGAGAUUCAGAGAGAGGAUGAUGAGAUUUUGCGCCAACUGCGCACUACGCAGGCUUGCAUAUCCAUUUGGAGCCUAUUGGCCUCAUCUAGCACACAUAGAGAUGCAUUGAUCAGAGCUCUCAGUCAUAUUAAAGUUGAUACUACUACCACCCUAAAGGGACUGAUUCACUUUCUAACAGUUGAUAGGGUUACAUGCAUUGUGUUUUCCGACGAUGACUUGCCACCAGAGGGGUCAGAUCAUGUUCGACCGUUGUUCAUUGAUGUUGCUUGUUUAGGCCGCAAAGCGUCGUCGGUCUUGCUGGACAACGGCUCCACCCUGAACGUUUGUUCUUUAGUUACAGCCAUUGCCCUUGGCUUUUCUCCAUCUGAUUUUAGGUCAUCUACAUAGACCAUCAGAGCUUAUGAUGGGACUCAAAGGACAGUUAUGGGUACUCUCAUUGCACACGUUAUGAUUGGGCCAGUCAGAUAUUCCGUGCUUUUCCAGGUUCUGAGGAUUCAGUCAUCCUUUAACCUGCUUCUUGGUCAUCCUUGGAUUGAUAAGGUUGGUUCCAUACCAUCUCCCCUUCAUCAGAAGGUGAAGUUCAUACACGAGGGUCGCAUUAUCACAGUAUAGUUUGACCAGGAUGUUGUCACUUUUUUCGAGCCAGUAUUACAUAUUAGUCACAAUGAAGAUGACUUGCUUUUGACCAAGUUUACUUUUGAUGAGGUUCAGGUUGUCAAUUUAGAGGAUGACAGCAGAGAUAUGGUGCCUAUGUCAUUCGACUAAUACAGUAGCACCUUGGUGCUUAACAUGAUGAGGGGCAUGUCUUAUAUACUCGGCUUGGGAUUGGGUCACCGCCAGCAUAGACCACGCGAGUUUAUUUUCACAGUUGAUCAUGACAUACCUUGUGGGUUAGGUUACACUCCUAUGGAGGAGGAUGCACGUUACAUGGCAUGACUAUGCAAGGACAGAGUAAGGGCCCGCUUGUCUAAGGUUCCAUUUGAUUACCUCCUUCGCCCAUACACCUUUCAGUUGACUGAUUACUUUGUCAGAGGUUUAGAUCAUGCACCCCACAUGGAGGGGAUCAUUUGUAUUUCAGAGGCUGUUGAGGUUUAGGACCUCCAGCGAACCGUGGGGCAGAUGCAUUUGGGUACCGAGAUCCCCAAGACACCUGAUGUUAUGAUAGUUGCACCCCCGUCGCUUGACCGAGCCAACAUGUUCUCUGUAAACUUCCCGGAUGCAAUUUCUGAUUAUGAUAUACUUAUGGAUACUGUGAUUGAUGCUAAUGGAGUGACUCUACCUGAUGCUCGUAUCGACGAGAUGGACAUGAUAGGGGUAGGUCGUAUUCUCGAUGCAGCCCCACACGGUUCCCACUCUGAUUUCAAUUUGUUCAGAGUUUCUAUGAUUGAAACUGAUGAUGUGACUCUUUAUGAUGCUUGCACAGACGAGAUGGAUAUGAUUGGCAAUAGCCGUAUUCUGGAUGCAGCCCCACAUGGGCCUCGUUCUGCUUUGGAUAUGUUUGGGGCUUUUAUGCUUAAGAUAGAUGAUGAUGACUUUGUUACUAUUGUUACUCCUGAUGUUAUUAUUGUUAAGGGAGUGUUUGAUUCUAUGGACCCACCUCUUUCUUUUGACACUAUGUCCGGGUUUGUCACCCACUUUGAUGAUGUGGCUAGUGGAAAUAAUAAUGAUAUGAGUGUUUUCGAGUAUUCACCUGUAUCACUGCAUUUUCCUUUGAUUGUAUCAUCGACACCCAUGACAUAUAUACAUGAUGUUGAUGAUGUGAGAGGCCCAGAUGGCUCAUUAAGUGAUAAGUCGGAUUUUGAUUCAGAUUCGGAGAAAAGGAAAGUAACACCCAUUUCUGGUAUCACUGAGUUGGUAGAUUUCGGGACCCCUUAUCAGCCCAGGGAGUUGAAGAUUGGCACCUCCUUAUCUCCUGACGAGAAGAGCAGACUGAUUGACUUGCUUAGGUCAUACCUAGAUGUAUUUGCAUGGUCAUAUGAGGACAUGCCAGGCCUUGAUCCCUCUAUAGUCCAACAUCGCUUUCCCAUCCUGCCACAUGCUAAACCAAUUAAGCAGAAAUUGAGGAGAUUACACCCUCGAUGGAGUUUGUAGGUUAAGGAAGAGAUUUAGAAAUAGCUCAAUGUUGGUUUCCUGUUAGUGGUUGAAUAUCCUGAGUGGCUGGCUAAUGUCAUCCCUGUUCCUAAAAAGGAAGGCAAAGUUAGAGUCUGUGUUGACUUUCGAGAUCUGAACAAGGCCAAUCCUAAGGAUGAUUUUCCCCUCCCACACAUUGAUAUGUUGGUUGAUAGAACUACAGGGCAUUCGAUGUUAUCAUUUAUGGAUGGGUUUUUUUAGGUAUAAUCAGAUUUUGAUGGCUCUAGAGGAUAUGGAGAAGACUUCUUUCAUCACUAAGUGGGGUACUUACUGCUACCGGUCAUGCUAUUUGGGUUGACGAAUGCAAGGCCACCUAUUAGAGAGUUACUACUACUCUGUUCCACGACAUGAUGCAUAGAGAUGUUGAGGUAUAUGUGGACGACAUGAUAGUGAAGUCUCGAGACAGGGCAGAUCAGCCUUAAAGAGAUUCUUUGAGAGGAUCAUAUAGUUCACGUUAAAGUUGAAUCCCAAAAAGUGCAUUUUUGGGAUAACUUUUGGGAAAUUGCUAGGGCAUAUCAUUAGUGAGUGUGGUAUAAAGAUUGAUCCAUAAAAGAUCAGAGCCAUACUUGACAUGCCUACUUUGAGGACUAAGAGAGAGAUCAGAGGCUUUUUUGGUAAAUUACAGUAUAUCAGUCGUUUCAUGGCCAGAUUGACAGACAUAUGCGAGCCUAUCUUCCGUCUUCUGAGGAAGAGCCAGCCUACAGUUUGGGAUGAUGAUGGCCAGCGCACUUUUGAGAAGAUUAAGGAGUGUCUUCUUUCUUCUCCAGUUUUAAUACCGCCUACGCCAGGACGCCCUCUACUUCUGUACUUGUUAGUAUCGGAUAUUGCCAUGGGAUGCAUGUUAGCUCAGCUCGAUGAUUCAGGAAAAGAGCGAGCCAUUUAUUAUCUGAGUAAGAGGAUGCUCAAGUAUAAGUACAGAUACAUUAUGAUUGAGUGCCUCUGUUUGGCACUGGUUUGGGGCACCAGAAGGCUGAGACACUAUGUGAUCGAGUAUUCUUUAUUAUUAGUCUCACGAUUAGAUCCAUUGAGAUAUCUAUUCGACAUGCCCAUUUUGACUAGUAGGCUCAUGAAAUGGUUAGUGCUACUGAUAGAGUUUGAUAUUUAGUAUGUCACACAUAAAUCAGUAAAAGGGGGCAUUGUUGCAGAUCAUUUGGCUUCUUUGCCAGUAUCUGAUGAUAGACCGGUUGACAAUGAUUUCCCUAAUGAGCAGUUUCUCUCAAUGACUAGUAUUGUAGGAUAGCGGUUGUACAUUGAUGGUGCCGCCAAUUAGUCGGGGUUUGGUAUUGGCAUCCUAUUGAUAUCACCUCAAGGUGAUCAUAUUCCCAGAUCAGUCCGGUUGGCAUUCUCUGAUCAUCACUGACCGACGAAUAAUGUUGUUGAGUAUGAGACAUGCAUUACAGGUCUAGAGAUUGCGCUCAAUCUUGGAGUUAGACAGUUGGAAAUCCAUGGGGAUUCCAACUUGGUUAUUCAGCAGACUCAGGGUAUCUGGAGGACUCGGGAUGAGAAGUUGAAACCCUAUCAUGCUUAUUUGGAUUUGUUGGUUUAUAGGUUUGAGGAGUUGAGAUAUAUACAUCUGCCUAGGGUAAAAAAUCAGUUUGCUGAUGUGCUAGCCACCUUAGCUUUUGUGAUUGAGAUCCCUGCGGGAGUGACUGUGCGACCAUUGCUAAUUGAGAUCAAGUUCAUACCAGCUUAUUGUUGUCUAAUUUGAUAUGUUGAGGAUCAUGAUGGACUACCAUGGUACCGUGAUAUUUAUCAAUUUUUGUCAUUUGGCGCUUACCUUGAGUCAGCCACUGUCAAGGAUAGGAGAGCUUUGAGGUAGUUAGCCACUAGAUUUGUGAUUUGUGGAGAGUCAUUGUAUAGACGAUCGCCCGAUGGCCUAUUGUUAUUAUGUCUAGACCAUGCCUUUGCAGAUCGAGUGAUGAGAGAGGUUCAUGUAGGAGUUUGUGGCCCACACAUGGAAGGAGACAUGUUGGCUCGAAAGAUUAUGAGGAUAGGUUAUUUCUGGUUGACCAUGGAGGCAGAUUGUUGUCAGUUCAUUCAGAGAUGCCCAGAGUGCCAAACGCAUGAUGCGACUCAUGGUAGCUUAGCUUUAAAGGUGUAUCAACAAAAUUUAUACCUUAAAUACUAUUACUAAAGUAGCCAAGCUACUACAGCAUAGUGGUUCUAGGAUCGUUCACUGGGAAGGGUUUUCGCAAACACAAGUGAUAUUCAAAUUAGGAAAAUAGGUGAUUUUCUUAUGGAUGUUAGCUUUAAAAGAAGAUGUAAAUGUUUUAGAAAGAUUUAAACUAAUCUAAGCUAACAUUAAAGACUAAAAUGAAAGGGUGUAAAAACAAGUUUCUCAAAGAUAGGAUAGCUAUGCUCUGGCUCUUAUGCAAAUUGGAAAUCUCAGGAUAGGCUCCUCGCGUUGGGGUUGCAACUAUGGUGAUGCUUGCUUCCCGAACCGGUAUGGAUUUAGCAAAUCAAGUUUUAAUCCUUUAAAAUGACAAAACAGAUGGUAGUGAAUUUCAUCAAUGGUUAUUCACCUUAGACUUCCUUUGAAUGGCUCGUAAGAGAUAACUAAUGGUCUAAAGCCAAAAGCUUACCAAAUAUUGGCAACUCAAAGUCAUUCCAGGUGAUAAACUCACCUUUCAAUGGCCAUUGAAAUUGGUUCUAACAGAUUAAUGCAAAACUUGGAAUUGAAAACCUCACCUUCCAAUAGCUCGUAGGAGAUAACUAAUGGAUAGAAAUCCAAAAGCUUAUCAAGUAUUGGCCGUUGGAAGUUGUCCAAAGGAAAUAAAAACCAAACUUUGCAUUAAUGAACCGUUAAUGAAAAACGACUACCUUACCUUCCAGGUGCGAGAAAUUUCCAUGGGAUUGCAUCCAAGCCAUCACAUAACAUCCAUACUUUGAGAAACUAAAAGUUUUAGCCAAUCAUCCUCUGAGGAAAAGCCCUCAGAGGCUGUUUGGCUACUAAGAAAAUAGAAAUGGGGAAGAACAGGAGAAGAGAGAAAAACAGAGCUUUAUAUAUUCCUAAGUUAAUGUACAGAGGAUCGAUUCCCCAAUCAUCCCAUAUCCAAUAUCCAAUAUCCCAUUUUGGAGGUGUUGUGCACCUCUAUAUAUAGCAAAAUUACAAGAUAAAGCUUUAUGUCGGCUGAAUACAAGGUUACAAAAGGAAUUUACACGAGAAAAUAUCAAGUUAAAAAUACUUGGGAAGUCGGUGGUGCGUGCGUGGAGAAACAGAGGAUUCAAAGGAAUUUUGCAAGGUGCCUAAAUCCUCCUUGUGAAAUUUUCGCAAGGUAUUUCUUCAUGGUGCGAAAUGGCCAAAUUUCGCACCAUGAGGAAAAUCUCCUUGCGAAAUUUUCGUAAGGUAAAAUUCACCUUGCGAAAUUGGUCAUUUGGCAUGAUGCAGUUGUCUUCCGAAGGCCAUAUCUUCCUCAUUUUAGCUCCAAAUCAUACACGGUUUGAAGCGUUGGAUUCUUGACUUCCUGAGAUUUGAAAUGGUAUAUAGAAUGUAGAAAAUGGACUUCGGGAAGUGCUUCAAAAGUACGAAAGAAGACUGCAGCUGUUUUCUUCACUCUGUUUUCCUCUUCUCCAUUGCUUGUGCUCGUGUUUCCACUUGAAAUUCAAGCCUGUAAUCAUCCAAAAUCCUUGCUUAACUCGCCCAAAUAGCUCCUCCAUCAAUUGGCAUGCUUGAAUUGGUUCAUAAGCUGAUAAAAACAUGUAAACUUGCCACAAAAUGGUUAAAACCAAUUACUAAGGACCUUAAUGAAUUAAUUGGGUUAAAUGAUUAUGAUUACUACUCAAAGGUGCUUAAAACCAUUAUUAUUAGGUCUACAAAAUAGCACUUUUUGGUAGUAAUCAACGCACGAUGAUCUCAUUCACAUGCCACAUUCGGAGUUGCAUGCAUUCACAUCCCAUUGGUCAUUUUCAGUGUGGGGUAUUGAUAUUAUUGGAAAGAUCUCGCCUAAGUCUUCCAGUAGGCACGAGUACACCUUAAUAGCCAUUGAUUACUUUACCAAGUAGGUGGAAACCGCUUCUUAUGCCAGAUUGACAGCAGCCAAGGUGGCCAAGUUUAUCAGAUCACAUAUCAUCUACUGAUAUGGAGUCCCUCAUGAGCUGAUCUCAAACAAAGGGUUGCAUUUUAGAGGCGAGAUGGAUACAAUAGUUAAGGAGUAUGGCAUUCAACAUCAUAGAUCGUCUGUGUAUAGGUCGUAGACUAAUGAGGUAGUUGAGGCCGCCAAUAAGAAUAUUAAGUGGAUUUUGAGGAAGAUGAUUGAGACUUCUCGGGAUUGGUCAGAGAAGCUCCAUUUUGCGCUAUGGGCUUAUCGCACUUCUUUUCAUACCUCUACCAGAGCUACGCCUUACUCCUUGGUGUAUGGUAUGGAAACAGUGCUAUCUGUUGAGAUUGAGAUAGGAUCUUUGAGAGUAGCAUUAGAGCAGCAGAUAUCCGAGAUCGAGUGGGCUCAAUCUCGUUAUGAUCAAUUUAGACUUCUAGAUGAGAGAAGAUUGAGGGCAACAGAUCAUGUUCAGGCUUAUCAGAGGAAAAUGACCUGUGCAUUCAGGAAGAGGGUUAAGCCUGGAAAUUCCAAAAAUAUGACCUAGUUUUGAAGGUCCUCAGGGGAUUGAUCAGCAACCCUAGAGGCAAGUUCAGACCGAGCUGGAGCAGGCCGUAUGUUAUUCGAGAUUUGACCUGAGAGGAAGUUGUCUGGUUGACAGAUCUGGACGAAAAUCAGUUUUUGGAGCCAAUCAAUGUGGAUCAACUGAAGAAGUUUUACUCGUGAGAUCAUGGUUAAAGGAUGGGUGGCUAUCAUUUUGAGUAGCCAUAUUCCUUGCUACAUACCCACACAUUGAUAGAUCCCAUUACUAGCUUGUUGAGCCUCACACGAUUCAUUAUGACCUAUUCGUUCACUUAGCCUUGCAUACCUUUUCUCACCUAGGUUGGGGGCCUCCUCUUGUGCACUUUGCAUUUAUUGUCUGGAUUGGUGAGUAUUGUGAGUCCAUUGUGUCAUUGUUCGUUUGUUUCAUUUUUGGGUCAUUCAUGAUUUCUUCUUUCCUACAUUGUGCAUCUUCACUUUGUUUGUCUUCGAGUUUUGUUUUUAUCAUUUUGAUUCUUUUCGCUUCUAUCUUCUCUUGUGUGAUGAUGACGCGCUCUCGUGUCGAAGCUGCAGGUUAGGCUUGUCAUACCGUUCCACCCUUAGGUUUUGAACUAGGAGUUUUAGUUUGAGGAGACCAUUUGGGUUUGGAAUUUGAGGUACAUUUGUUACAUCAUGUUGGUAUGGCCGUUGGCUUACUUUGUCGGUUGUUCCGCAAAAAAAAAGAAAAAAAACUUGUGCUUGUUUGAUGUUCAUGUCAUUAAUAUUUGGCUUUUGCAUGGUUUGCCAACAGUAUCACGACUUGAUCUUCAGAGGUCAUUUUGGGUUUGAGAGACUUAUUAUUCUUCUUUAAGUCGAUGAGAGCAUUGUACAAUCCUUUUCUUCAUGGAUUUGGGAGACAUAUUGGGAGUGAGGUUUGGGUUUCCUUUGCACUAGGUUCCUUGGAUCAUUAUCUAUAUCACCACUCCCAUCAUACAGUGACUUGCUUCGAUUUGGCGUUCAUAGGAUGAGUUUUUCGUCAUUAUCACACAUUGCUACACUUUUAUCCCAAUUUGUUUCUUCAUUUUCUUCUACACCCAUUCAUCAUUCAUCUUAUCCCUUUUUGUCUUCUUUUACCCUCGUCGAUCAUCGUCUCGCUUCAUGAACGACAUGUUCUUUAGUGCACAUCACUUGUCGUUGGACAUUGUUCAUUUGGAUGUAGGGUUGAGUCACCUUACUCACAUGGUCCUCCGAUAUUUGACAUUUCACACACAAAGGCUUGGCAUUAUCUAUUGGGUAUUUGGGUCUUUGUUUCUCGUUGUUUCAUUCAUCUUUUACCCCUAGCCUUCAUUACGGUCCAAGUCAUAAGACCACUCUAAGGCCAUGAGAUCUCGUGUUUGCUUCGACGGAUUUCAUUUGGAUAGGCUCCAUCUACUGAUUGAAGUACGGGAUGACGACAGGGCUCCAUUUCUUGAGGGAUAUCAAGGAUCGCAUGCUGCUUUUCUGUUUCGUCUCUUCGCCUUUGGUCUACGAUCAGAGACAGAUGAUGCAAAGAGCCAAGACUAUCCAGGGCCCCCUCCGCUUGCUGGUUUAUUAUAUUCAUACUAGGGAAUACCCCUAUCCUUGCAUAAUGGCAUCAGUUUUUACACUGGGACACAGACAACCUAUUUCACCAAGUGACGCUUGGCAUCAGUGUUUGAGUAGGCCCCCAUAUUUAGCUUGGUUUCCUUAUACAACAGCUUGCUUCUAAGAUAUGGCCCGGGAUCAGAUUCAUGUGUAUUCGUCGACCCAGUGGGUGUGCACACUAGGGCAUACCCCAUACUUUGUCAUGUUCGCUUAUCCACACGAUUGGGUCUUCAGUGAUAUAUUUUAGAGUUGUUUUUUUACUAAGGCACUUGCAUAUUAGAUGUACACACUGGGACAUACGCCCUAUCAGUUUUUUUGUGGAUAUUGGAUGUUGCGAAAUAAAGUCGAUGUUGUUAUAGGAAUGAAUGUUUGUGAUGUUUUCAGCUCUCUGACUUUGACCAUAUGUACGGUUAUGGGAUUCUAACAUGGUAUGAAUAUCUUAGACUGGGGCAUAGCCUUUUCUUUUCACCUCUAGUCACAUUUCUGAGUUGUUCUAUAGGGGCAUACCCCAUUUCUUUCCAUCUUGUUAAUGGUGUUCUUGUUUUCUCGCUUGUCAUUUAUUGGCAUUUUCUAGACGUCACACUCAGGCAUACCCAUUCGUCUUUCGUGAUUGAGAUGUUUGAUUUCUUGCUUAUUCAAAUCAUUUAAUGGCGUUCUCAUGUUCAUACCGGGGCAUACAUCUUCUUUCUUUGUGUUAUUAUGCUUGGCUAGUUUUGUUUUUAGGUUUUUCGGUACUCGCCCCGACCCUUUUGCGGUACUCACCUAGAUUCUAUCCCUUUCCCGAUACUCACCCGGACCCUUCUCCGAUACUCACCAUGAUUCUACCCCUUUCCCGGUACUCACCCGGACCCUUCUCUGGUACUCACCCAGAUUCUACCCCUUUCCCAGUACUCGCCCAGAUAGGAUCCCUUCUCUAGUACUCACCCAGAUUCUACCCCUUUUUGGUACUUGCCCAGAUACGAUCCUUUCUAUCUUGGAUUCUCCGGUACUUGCCCCGAUUCAAUCCCCCAUCUGUUUCAUAUUCUCCGAUACUCACCCGGAUACGAUCUCUUUUCCAGUACUCACCCGGAUAAGAUCAUUUCUAUCUUGAAUUCUUCGGUACUCGCCCGGAUUCAAUCCCCUGUUUGUCUCGUAUUCUCCGGUACUUGCCCGAAUAUAAUCUCUUCUCCGGCAUCGUGCUCGGAUUUCCUUGGAUUCUUCAGUACUCGCCCAUACUUGAUCCGUUUUCCUUUAGUCUACUUCGGCAUCGUGUCCGAAUAUCCUGAUCUUUUCAAGCAUCGCUUCCGGUUUCCUUUAGUCUUCUCUGGCAUCAUGUCCAAAUUCCUUUAGCUUUCUCCGGCAUUGUGCUUGGAUCUCCUAGUCCAUUCAGUCAUAAUGACUCAUUUCCCUUAGCCUUCUUUAGUGUUGUGUGGGGACAAAAUUGUUGGUCAUUUGAAUUCUUCACUAGAGUUCAUUUCACUCAUUCAUUGCUUGCACUUCGCACUCGCGUUUCACUCAUUCAUUCACUCUACUAAAUAGGGGCAUAUUUUUAGACCCUCAAUUUUGUCCUUCGACACUUGCAUUUAUCUUAGGGGUGUCACAUGCACCUAAUUUUUUCCGUAUGGCACCACCAUGGCCUCCCUUUUGGGCUUGAUCGAUUUUCGAGCCUCGUGUAGGUUCAUCUGCAGUCCAAUGUAGUACAAGUGUGUAGUUCAUUUUGGAGUAUCGUCAUGGCCAAUUCCCUAGUUGUUCACAUCAUGCUGAAGAAAGGAAGUGAGGUCUCCCCAAAACUUCAGUUCAGUUGGAGUUCAUAGAAGUAGGUUUAAAUACGGAGCACUUGGGCUUGUUUCGAUCAUAUCUCCCUCAUUCGAACUCAUAAUUGCACACCAUUUUUUUUAUGGACUCCUUGUUCUUCAAGGAAUAUUCUUUAAAAUUUUCAAAUUUUUUCUCAACUGGCUCCACCGGUCCCCAAAGUUUCAGUUCAGCCAGAGUUCAUUGGAGCAUGUUUGAAUUUGGAGCACUUGGGCUUGUUUCGAUCAUAUCUCCCUCAUCUGAACUCAAAAUCAUGCACUAUUUUUUUUUUUCUGGACUCCUUGUUCUUCAAGGAAUAUUUUAUCAAAAUUUCAAUUUUUUUCUUAAUCGGAUCGACUAGUCCCAAAGUUUCAGUUCAACCAGAGUUCAUUGGAGCAUGUUUGAAUUCGGAGCACUUGGGCUUGUUUUGAUCAUAUCUCCCUCAUCCAAACUUGGAAUCACACACAAUUGUUUUCAUAGACUCCUUGUUCUUCAAGGAAUAUUCUGUCAAAAUUUCAAAUUUUUUCUCAACCAGCUCGACCGGUUGGCAACCGGUUCGUUGGGCCAGCUUGUAUAGAGCACUGAUUUUGGUGAUUUUGGAGCCCAAAUCCUACAUGGCUCGAUCCCAUAAGUUCCAUAUCGGUCUUGGGCAACAUUUUGGAUCCAUUUUGGGCCUUGGUUUGGGUUCCUUGCAGCCCACCAUGAAUCCAUAUGGAUUCUUGGUGGUGAAGCAAGGGAGUAAAUGUGGUGAGAGCAACUCACCUCGUGACUGUGAGAAGUGUUUAUCGAGAUGGUUUUCGAGGUUGAUGGGGGCACUUUCCAGAGCUGAAGGAGGGAAAAACAAAGGUGGAAGUGGGAGGAGCAGGGGUUCUGGUAUAAAAAGCCACAAUGGAAAGAGAGAAGGACCUUAUUCCUCUGUAUUUUUUUUCCUGGGGGGAAAAACUCUGUCCAAGUUUGGUGAGGGAAAAGAACAGAGUGUGGAGAAGGUUUUGAUCAUCUGAGAAAGUUUUGGGUGCACGUCAAGUGAGCAAAGAGGGAGGAAAAACAAAAAGUUUGAGGUUUUAGAGUGGGAAGACUCUGUUUGGGGAUUUUUCUGGUUGGAUCCUUGGAGUGAGGUUCUGCUCGUGAGCCUCUGUGUGCUAAGGCAAAUAGAAGGAAAGACAACCUUGAAGCCAAGCAGAUUUCUGCUUAAGGGGAGAACAAUCUGGUAAGCACUAAUUUUGGUAUCUCAUUCAUUUUCUUUUAGAUUUUCUUAUCUGUUUAAGAGACUGGUGAAACUUCUAUGGUUGUUUCAAAUAAGGAGUGUUUGAGGAUUUGGUAUUGUUCCUCUUUGCUUCCUUUUGAUCUAUUUCUCAGUUCAUAGUUCAGUUGAUAUGUUUCUCCCUACAUCGAUUUAGAAUGGCAUGGCUCUGUUUUGAGUUUUCCUUUGAGAAAGAGCAAUUUGCUUUAUUGUCCUCACUUUAGUUGUAAGUAGUAUUCUGUUUGCUUUGCUAAUGGUGUGUCGAGUUGCACCCCUUUUCAACACAUGAAGUUCAUGAAUGGAGCUCCAGGUUUAUAAUCUUCUCUUCCACCUUUGAAUAUCUCAGCUUUCAUGCUCAUCCUGGGAGGAAGGUUAUCAAGCAUGGUCUUUUGGAUUGUUGUUUUUCUCCUUUAAUUUUGUGGCAUAAAAGAGAGAUUCUACACUGCUCAUGAUUCUCCAUGCUUGUUUUUUUAAUAGUCACUUUAUGGAUGCUCUUGAUAUGUAACUGUUGCAUGGUUUCAUUUUUUAUGUUUGUUGUGGAUGUCUCAUUUUGGGUUGGUUCUGAUCAGGAAUUGGGGGGGGGGGGGGGGGUGACCUACUUUGAUGUGUGAGUAGGGUCACUACCUUCAUUAGUUUUGGUUUUGGUUAAAGGUCAUUGUGACCUCUUAAUUGUUAAGGGAAGGAUUCUUAUGGCCUUGUAGCUUUGGAUUGAGAAACUUCUUACAUGCUAGAUUCAGGUGGCUAUGUUGGUAUAGGCGUUUCUGCCACUUGGUUUUUCUUGAAACCUCUCUUGCUUGGUAUUGAAAAAAGGUCUCCAUGACCUUCUCUGUUUUUUUAAUUUGGGCCUACCCAUCAAUAAUCUGGACUUAAACCCCAGGCCUUGUGGCUACAUGUAGAGGUAGAGGUUCCAUGUGGCUUAAAUUUUGGUUUACUUCUUGGUGAUUCCAGUAGCUGCAUUGGGGGGCUUUAGGUGGCUGAAUUUCAGUUGGAUUCAUAGGCUAUAGGAGGCUGAAAUUUCAGUUUGUUCAAUGGGAUUUACGUAGCUGUAGGUGGGAGGCUUUAGGUGAAUGAAAUUUCAAUUUGGUUUCAGGGGAUUUAGGUGGCCGCAUGUCUCCGUGGCCUUAGUUUUAAUAAGGUUGGGUGGCUCAGGUUUGGCCUUCUAUAAGGAACACGUUGCAUUGUUUCAGCCGGUUCUCCCUCAUCCGAGCUCGGAAUUGAGUGCUACUUUUUUUUUGGAUUCCUUAUUCUUUGAGGAAUCUUCUGGUAAAGUUUCAGAAUCUUUCUCAAUCGGUUGAACCAAUUGGGAACCGGUUCAAUGGGUUUUACUAGGCAGCCCUGUUUAUUAAACAUGUUGCAUUGUUUCAGCCAGUUCUCCCUCAUUCGGGCUCGGAAUUGAGUGCGGUUUUUUUUUUGGAUUCCUUAUUCUUUGAGGAAUCUUCUGGUAAAGUUUCAGAAUUUUUCUCAAUCGGUUGAAUCGGUUGGGAACCGGUUCAACAGGUUCAACUAGGCAACCCCGUUUUAUAAACACAUUGCAUUGUUUCGACCGGUUCUCCUUCAUUCUGGCUUGGAAUUGAGUGCUGUUUUUUUUUUGGAUUCCUUAUUCUUUGAGGAAUCUGAUGGUAAAGUUUCAGAAUUUUUCUCAAUUGGUUGGACUAGUUGGGAACCGGUUCAAUAGGUUCUACUAGGCAGCCCUAGUUUUAGCAUGUUUUGACCCUCAUUUUUGUUGUGGCUUGAGCACUUAGGCUCCAAGGCACUUGUGGGCCACCUUUAAGGUUAAAGUUUGGUUUGAUUAGAUUUCAUGUGAGCCCACUUCAUGGAUGGGAAGAUUGUGGGUUAAGCGAGUAUGGUUUGGUUUGAUGGAAUUUAAAGGAAUGUGUGCAAAAGAAAGCAAACCAUUUAUUUCAUUUCGACCUACUGCCCUCUCUUUUGGGUAUGAGAUUUGAUGUUUGAUUGAGAGUGCAUGUUGUAUGCUUGUAUUACUUGCCUCACCUUUUUCUUACAGCGCAUGGCUGGGGACCAUAAGUAUGCACUUCGACUUUGGAUAAUGAAAUUCACAUGAAUGCUUGGUGCAUGAUUGCUAUGUAUAUUUGUUGUGCGUUUGAGCUUAUUGACUGACCUCUUAUGCAGCACUUGGCUGGGGACCUCAGGUAUGCACUAUGAUUUUGACUUGUUGAGUGUAUGUGCAUGCUAAAUACUAGGCGGGUCUAUGUGAUUCAUGUCAUUUGUUUAGCCUAAGCUUUGUUUGAUCUUUGACCCAUAUGCUCCCAUAUACCCCAGUUCAUUAGUAGAGACCGAGUUCAGGGCCUAGAGGGGUGCUACCUCGCAUGAGGUACCUUCCCGAUAGGUAACCUAAUCCCUGGACCCAGAAUCUAGUUUUCGUAGACCGCUUUUUCCUGACUAGAGUCAUGUUGGGGUUUUUGUUCCUACUUAAAUUUCCCCAUUUAAAAAUAAAAAUAAAAAGUAAGUGGCGACUCCAAACAAAACCGUUCCUCAUUGGGAAGAAUUUUUCAAAAUUAAAAAACGAGUUUUCCCUUUCACCUUUAAAAUUACGAGUGGCAUCGGUCGAUAGAUCAGGUGAGGGUCCACAGUAUUUUCUAAGUGGAGAUUAUUUUUCAAAGUUACACCUACUGUACAAGACCAAUUCUAGAUAGAUAAUAUGUUUGUGUGAUUUAAAAAUUGUUUUGCAUGCCUUUUUUUUAUGUAAACUAGACACUUGAUUGAUAUUUUUUUUUUUUUUGUAUGAUUUUAGGAGACCUUUGGUUAUUUUUUAAAAUAUUGGUUAAUACAUGCCAUUCCUCUUUAAUUAGUUCUAGAUCUUUCAAAAUUUUUGUAAUUUUGGAAUUAAUCUAAACCUUGAAUGAUUAUUCAACCACUUGGAUGAUGAACUAGACAUAUAGAGGAUAUUUCUUAGAAUUUUUUGUAAUUAAAUUCACAUUCUAGACCUUUUUUAGGAUUUGUUUUAUGAGGGCUUCUAUUUUAACUUAUUGCUAAUGAUAUUGUAUUGUACUUAACAUGUUAUUUAUUUUGGAGUUAUUUGACAUAACUUGAUUUGACUUUUGACUUGUGUUCUAUAAUAUAGAUAUGAUGAGAUUGUUGUAUGAUUUUUUUCCAUGAUGAGGUAUUGGCUCUAGAUAUUUAUUUAGGAUUUUUCUUAUGAAUGUCUCUAUUCUGAGUUUGCUUAGUGUUUGAAAUAAGUUAUCCAUUUUGACAUCUUUAGUUCACUUGUAAAUUAAUCUAACUUUAGUUAUGUGUUAUGAGCAUGUCAUUCAACACAAGAUUUUAUUUAAGUCUUAGGAGAACUUUUGGCACUUUAUGAGGUUUCAUUUUGUAAUUGAAUGUUUGCUGGAAAUAUGAACCUUAGUGUUGUAAAUUAUUCGAAUUUCCUAACUUUUAAUUUAAGUUGUAUAUUCAUCAUGUAGAAUAUGAGAUUUUGAUCAUGUUAAUUAUUACUGCUUGUAAGCUAACCCUCUUCUAGCUAUAUGCAAGCACAUUAUGAGUUAUGUAUGUUAUUCAGGUACGUUCCUUGCACUUUCUACUUUAUUUUUGUAAAUAUACAAACCUUGUUUGUGAGCUUUCUAAUGUAUGAUAUCGUUUUGAUUACUUUGAUUAUUGCUUGAUUAUUUGAAUGGAUUGAUCGAAUACAUGUUAUAUGCUAUAUUUGUUAAACUAGUUUUUAUGUUUUCAUGAAAACACUUUGGGAUGCAGCUCAGGUAUGCCAAUCUCCUUUUUCUACAUGAGUGUUUCUUUUAGUAUGAUUGUUUUGUUGUACUUAACAUGUUGUUAGAAUCACCUUCAACCUUUCUUGGUACCAAAAGUCAAUCAAUUAAUUGUCACACUUCCCUCAACCUAGCCAAUAGAGACCUUUUUAAGGCUUAAAGGGGUGUUAUUGUUUUAAGGUACCUUCCCAAUAAGUAGUCUGAUCCUUAGACCUAGACUUGGGUUUUUCGAAGACACAUUUUUUCAAAAGUUUAAGGAGUUUUUUUUUUUUUUUUUUAGGAUUUUAGUUUCUUAUUUUAUUUUCUCUAUAGAAAAAUAAAAAUAAAUGAUGACUCUAAUUUUUUCUUUUAUGUAAAAUACAAUUUGUCACUUAAAAAAGGUGAGUCUCGUCAUCGAGUGAGGAUGCACAUGAAAAAUGCCCACUCAAUAUGACAUAAAAAUAAAUUUAAAAAAAAAACACAAUUUUCAUAAAUAAAGAAUUUCAUUAAAGUCAAUUGCACUUGGAAAUCAUAUGUGAUUCAAAGAGUCAUAGAGAAAGAAAAAAGAGGAUCUAUGUUUUCUUAUUCUAACCACUUUAAAAAAAAAAAAAAGAAGGUAAAACUCAAAUGGAAUUUAAACAAGUUAAAUAAGAAAGAAAAUGACUAAUUUACCCUAACUCCUAAAAAGGAAGAUAAUAAAUCUAAUAUAAAAAAUAAAUAACUCUAUCAUUAUUAUAAUUUAUUAUUAUUUAAUUACAAAAAGAGAGGAUUUAUGUUGUUUACCGCAGGAGAUGGUUUGAGUAAAAAGAAAUUCGGGAUUAUAACAAAAGAAUACUAAAAUAUUAUCCAUAGCAAUGCCAAAGAGAAAGAAAAAAAUGUAAAGAAAAAAGUAAAACAAAAAUUAUUUUGGAAUCAUGCUUCGAAGCAUAAUAUACAUACAAAUAUAUAUAUAUAUAUAUAGUAUAUAAGUCUCACCUAGAAAUUAAAAUAAAAUGUGCAGUCUUUAACACACUGAUUUAAUACCAUAUUACUCGAGAGUCUUUUGGUGGCACAAGAGAUGUGUUGUACGUUUAAAUAUACUAGAAAAGAAAAACAUUCAAUUAGUCACCGGAAUCUUCUGCCGGCAUGCUCAGAGGAACAUUGUGAAUAAAAUGAAAAGCAAAACUACUAUCGAUGUGUUUCUGUACUUCUGCCAAUUAUGAGGCUUGCUGAUCAGGCCUUUUCUCUGAGCCAUAUAUUAUGACCAAGGCCUCACUCCUUCCCAUUCUCAGAUUCCUGGAGAACUCUAUUUUUCAAAAGAUUCAGUGCAACACUUCAUGUUCUCGUCUUUCUUGGAUGUCGGUUUCUCGGUCUCUCUGCUUUUCCCUUAUAAAUAUGCCUUCGGCUUUAUUAUGUUGUUUUUGGUGAUGCCUUACUUGUAUGCCAAUAUGACCAAGUACUUUCUUUACAAGAUUCCUGUCAUUUUCUGUUCUUUAAAAGAUUCAAAGUAACACUUCAUUUCCAUCUUAACUGGAUGCUGAUUUCUCAUUCUCUCUGCUUUUCCCUUAUAAAUGGCCACAAAGAGUCACAAUUGUUAGACAUUAAGAUUGGAAUGCCAUAAAAAAUCAGUUCCAGCAGAGCCAACAAUGCUAUUAAUUACAUGUAAGUUCAUAGUCAUCCAAGUAACUAGCUCGUUUUUUUAUGUUUUUAUUAUGUAUGAUAUUCUUUUCCCAGAUAUCAUCUUUUGUUCUUCAUUUCUGGCUCCAAUAUUUUUGAAUGUUUAGUUGUCAGCAGUUUGAUUUUCAUGGAGACCAGGCGGGUAAUGCAGAUUUUCCAAAAAGUGUGCUCAGGCUUUGGAAUGAAUGGGAGGUCGUGCGACAGUUCUACUAAGCCUCUUCCUAUCCGAAGAAAGCACACAGUUAAACCCUGGAUCAGAAUCCUUGUUUGGUUUAAUACUCGUCAGCAGAUUGAGUGGCAGCUGUUUCACUGGGUACCCUCUCCAACAGCCAAGGAGAUUUAGGGGUAUCCUCUCCAACAGCCAAGGGGAUUUAGGCAUAAUUUGAUAAUUGCUUUCUAAAAGAGUUGUAAAAAAUAGUUUUUAAAAACUAUUUUUUAAUAUUUUUUAGAGCAAAAAUUUAUUCAAGAACUUGAAAUGUUUUUAAUUUAUUUUUAAUAUUUUUAAAUAUGUUUUAAAAAUAAAUUUUAUAUUUAAUGUUUUAUUUCUAAUCAUUUUACGUGUUCUUAUAUUUAUUUUUUAAAAGAGCUUUUAGAAAAUAAGUGAAAACAAUUAAUUUUUUUUUAUAUAUAUAAAACACUAUAUUUAUGUUUUUAAUAAUAGAAAAAAAAUUAUUUUCUGAUUAUCAAACGUGUUUUUAUGAAUUUUAUUUUUUUUUUAGAAUAGAAAACUGUUAUUGAAAAUAGUUGCCAAUAAGACCUUACCUUGUAAAUCUCUGGAUCUAAGCUAUAUGCUAAUGGUGUUAUGGACACCAUUCCUUAAUUCAGAGGCUCCUUACUUCCAUCUCCUAGAUAUCUUAAAUUCGUGCAAGAGUGAUUUUUUUUUUUUUUUUUUUUUUGAGAACAAAAAAUUGUUAUCGAAAAUAGUUGCGAAACAAAGCCUUACCUUAUAAAUCUCUAAAUUUAAUCUAUAUGUUUUGGGAACCAUUCCUUGCUUCAGGGGCUCCUUACUUCCAUGUCCUAAUUAUCUCAAAUUCAUGCAAGAAUAUAGGUAACUUAAAGUUCAAAAUCAAAGGGCGACAUUCCUCACCAUCUUAAAAUCUUUUAGAAUAAGUGCAAAGCUAUGUUUGGUAUGUGGAAAUAAAUAUUUUGUUUUCACUUCUAUUUUUUCUUGAAUAGGUAUGAAUUUGGUGAUUUUAAUUCUUGUAUUUUUUAUGGACUUAGAGAGGUAAAGUUAGAAUAAUUAUUUGUUUUCAUUUUAAUGUUUGAUAAUGAAUGGGAAAAAAAUGAUAAUAAUAACCUUACAUUUAGUUUAAAAUUAUUAUUAUUUAUUUCUUAUUUAAAGAAAAACAUCAAUUAAAAGUUUUUAUUUCAUUCCCAUUGUCUUUUAAAUUAUCCAAAUAUAAGAUGAGAUGAAAAAAUGAAUGAGACGUCCAUUCUCACUCUUAAUUUCCUUACAUCAAAUAUGACCUAAAUACUUUUGAGAUGUAAUAGUGUGCAUGAAUUCAACAUAGUUUGACAAUAGCUUAGGUGAGGUAGUAGUUCCUCGCUCAUAUUUGCCUGAUCUUGUGGCAUAUCUUGGUUUUAUUAGUGAACAGAUCCAAAUCUUAGAAAGUGAAGUCAAAAGGUUGAAUGACUCAUAUGUUACCUUCUCUCUUCUUCUCCUUAGGCAUAGGGUUUUCAAUUUUCUCUUCAUAAUCAGUUCCUUAAUUCACUUGGCCCACAAUUUUACACAGAUAAAUAUCUUCAACCUGCCAUAAGUUACAGAUAUAUUUAGAUGGAAAAGCCACAAUAUCAUCACCCUAACAAUAUGUUGGAAAAAAUAUAUAUUUUCAUUUAUUUUAAAAAUAUUUCCGAUGGAAUAAUUGUAGAAUCUAUGCUUCAGAAUGAUCCACAUACAUAUAUAGAGAUAUCUGAUUUUUUAAAAAUUCAAACAUGUACAUCAUGGUGGCUGCAUACACUCUCUCUUGAUUUGGACCUGGGCCGGGUAGAAUAUAUCCAUGGGUGACCCGUUUCACUAACUCAAGUCUAUUAUUCCAUGGAGUAAAAAUUACUAUUAUUAUUGUACUAAUUUUGGGGGACCAUUGUCUAGUUGAUCGAUAAGUAAUUAAGCCAUUGCUUCUUUUGGUUAAUUAGUUUUAACCUUUGUUUGGUUGCAGAAAAAUUUAAGAGAAAAGAGAGAAAAAAUGGAAGGAAAAAAAAAUUGAAAGAAAAUAAAAAAUAAAUUUAAAACUAAUAAAUUAUAUUUAUAUAAUAUUUCAAACUCAUUUAAUUGAUUUUAACUUCCUUUAUUCUUUUUUAGUAUUUUUUAAAGUACAAUUAAAUUAAAUAUGAGAAAAUUAUUAUUAACAUUUUCAGGAAUCGAAUAUAACCCUAAUGUCAUAUCCUCGAAUCCUAUAUGACCCAAAACCCGAUCAUCCCGGAUUCCAAGUGACCCAAAACCUGGUCAUCGUCUCCUCUUUUCUUCAUCCUAUCAUCCUCCCAUACUGCAAUCCAGGACUUCUGCAUUAUACUUGACAGCCCCCAUGCCACAAGCCUUAUAGGCUACUCAUGCAAGAUCAAGCUUGAUCAAACAAAUCUGUGAUAAACAUAGAAUGCUAGCUUUCAUGUUAUCCCACAAGUUGGACAAAUGGUUUAUCUUCUUCAACAUUAAUGCUAUGCCAUGACUUGGUCAUCCUCUUAAUUACCUCUAAUAUGAUCAACUCUCCAAAAAAAAAAAGUCUUCUUUGGAAUGAUGAAGAUUGAUGACUAAGCAUUCACUUGCAUCUUUAUCCAUGAAAAUAAUCACAUGCAAGGGAAGGCCACUUUGAAUUUGAAGUCCCACCAACUUCUGAUCUAUAAGAGGUUUUCCAUACAAAAAGUAAUUCCCUUUCCAUACAAAAAAUGGCGCUCCCCCAAGACUAAAACGCUUCAUGCUAUAAAUACUAAUCAAGGUUUGGUGUAAUGGAAUCAAGUACUUAGCACCACAUCUAUCAUAUACCAAAAUCACCAGACAAAAUGCUUCACAUUCUUGCCUUGUUUUCCUUCCUCCUCGUCUCCUCCUCCCAUGCAGCAGUCCAAGACUUCUGUGUGGCGGACUUGACAGCCCCACAAGGCCCUGCAGGCUACUCCUGCAAGACGCCUGCAGAAGUAACAGCUGAUGAUUUCGUGUAUUCAGGCCUAAGUGUGCCUGGAAACACCUCAACCCUCUUCAAUGCCGCCAUCAACACAGCAUUUGUUGAAAAGUUUCCAGGCUUGAAUGGCCUUGGCGUCUCCAUGGCACGAGCAGACAUAGCCCCUGGCGGUGUGAUUCCAAUGCACACUCACCCCGGCGCUUCAGAGAUAAUUCUUAUAGCCAAGGGCUCUGUCACUGCUGGUUUAAUUUCUUCGGAUAAUACCGUCUACUUGAAGACACUCAAAGAGGGGGAUAUCAUGGUUUUCCCUCAAGGGUUGCUGCAUUUCCAGGUGAAUACUGGUCGGACACAGGCACAUCUUUGGGCUAGCUUCGGUAGCCCGAACCCUGGCCUCCAAAUCCUCAGCAAUGCGCUGUUUAGCAACAACUUGCCUUCUGAAUUGAUAGAGAAGACCACUUUUCUUGAUGAUGAUGAAGUGAAAAGACUCAAGGCUCUUCUUGGUGGAUCUGGGUAAUUCAGCUUGGCGAGAACUUGUUAAUUUCUUGUCACCCUCCCACUAAGUAUGUAAUUCACUUUAAUUAGUCUUUCAAGCUAUUGAUUCUUUGGAUCAAUGGCAUGUGUGGAGUUCUAUAUUUGGUUUUCCAGUGUGAGAUUAAUUACCUUGUAAUAAUGUUCGUAUAUUGCUUUGCAACAUCAAAUGUAGACCAUAAGUCUUGCCUGUUUUUCUUCUUUUAUAUAUGCUAAAGGGGUGUUACCGUGCUGAAAACCCCACGCGUGGAAAGAUAACUUUUGUAAAAUCUAGAUGAAGUUAUUUUUUUUUAGAGAAUCAUCCUCAAAGUAAUUUUUUAUUGUAAUUUUAGAUGUAUAAAAUACCAAUAUCUUAAUGUUUAAAAAUUAAUUUUAAUUAUUAGGUAGUGUUUGGUUUGAAAAGCAUUUUUAGUUUUCAUUUUUUUUUUCUUUUUCGAAAAUACAUUUGAUUAAGAAAAGUAAAAACUGUUUUUUUUUUUAUAAAAAAAAAAACAAAUUUGUAAAAUCUUGUGUGAUUUUAAGCCUUCAUUGAUCUAAACACUUAUGAAAAAGAAAUCUUAGCAAAAUUUUAUAUAAUUUAUAUGUAAUGUUAUAAGAUCAUCAUUUUAAUGAAUAAUAUUGAUUCUUUAUAAUAUAAAUAAUGUGAUAUUAUAUAUUAUUUUCUAUUUUUUUUUUAAAAAUUAAUAAAAUAUUCUACUAUAUUUAUAAUUAAUCAAUUAAAUUAUUUUAAUAUAAAAAUAUAUUCAUUUAUAAUAAUCUAGUCUAAUAAAUAAAAAUUAUUUAUAACGCAUAUAAUAUUUAUUUUCAAACAUAUAAAAUAAUGUUUUUUAUAUUAAUAUUUCUUUCAUAUCAAACAAAAUUUUAUUUCUUACAUAUCCCCACCAAGUCUUGUAUUUAAUUUUAUUAUUUUAUUGGUUUCAACCUUUUUGAAUAAUGUAAAUUAAAUUUUUAAUUAUAUAUAUAUAUAUAUAUAUAUAUAUAUGUAGAUUUAUUAUUAGUUAUUGCAUCUUUGUUCAUCAUCUAAUGUAUUUCUUCCAUCUUUCAUUUAUAACCAAUCAUUUAUUCAUGAUAAUCAUAGUCAUAUAAAAACAACGAAACAAAAGAAAAAAAUGUUAAUUUUUUAUGGAAAAAAGAAGAGAAGGAAAUAAUGUUAAUUAUUUUUUAAUAUAUUAGAUUAGAAAAUUUACAUUAAAUAUAGGAGUUUUCAAAAUAUAUUUGUUAUUAAAAAAAUAGUUUGUUGAAAAUUAUUUCCUUUAAAAAUUUUAAUAAUUAAAAUAAUAUAUAAAAUAAUAUAAUGAUUUAUUGUGUUUUUAAAAUUAGGAAAUAUUAAUGUCAUUUAUAUCAUAAAUCGUCUAAAAUUUUUUAUUAACUUAUGUCAUUCCGUUGUGUUCUUCCUCACCAUCAUUGCCCUUUUUCACUCAUACUUCUUCACAUUUUUACUAUAAUUUUACAUUUCUAAUCUUUUAUUAAUUAUUCCUAAAUUUUUCCAAUUAAUCUUCUAUUUUUUGAAAAAAAAACAUUUAAAAAAUGUGGGUAUUCAAAUUAUAGAACAUAAAGUCCCUUUCAAAUAAUUAUCAAUUAUAUAUAUAUUGAAAAAUGUUAGGAAAUUUUUUUAAAGCAAGAAAUAUAAGAUUUAUUUCCAUAAAAACAUAUCCAUAAUUUAGAGUUUUUUUAUCCAUUUUUGAAAAAUUAAAAAGUUUUAUUUUUAAACUCAAUAAGAGUUUUUAUGUUUGUGACUAAUUUUGUUAAAGAAUUUUAAUAUGGAUGUAGGAAAAGGUUGUUUGAAAGUUUUAUUUGCAUUUAUACAAUAAUUUUUUUCAUAUAUAAUGAAAAUUUUAGAGUAUUUCUUUAAAAAUCAUAAUAUUAACUUUCAACUAAGUAAAAAAUAUAGAACUAUCCAAUCGAAACCUUAUUUUAUAUAAGAAAUUACUUUUUAACUAAUGAAUAUAUAAUAUUAAAAUUAUAAUUAUAUUUUGAACCAUAAUAUUUAUCUAAAAUGAUUUUUUAUAAUGUUUUCAUUAUUUCUUUAAAAUAAUUUCUUUAACUUUGAGUUUAUUUUAAACUAAGAAAAAAUUAUAAAAAUAUUUAAAAGGAAACCAUAUAAUUAUUUAAAAAUCUGUAAUUUAUAGCUUUAAAUAAUAAUAAUAAGUUUUAAAUUAUUAUUAGUAGUAGUAGUACUAGAAGGUAAUGUUCAUUAUGGUGGGAGAAGGAAAAGCCUAUUUGAAAAAGACAUCUUUUAUUAUUAUUAUUAUAUUAUUUGAAGAUAAUGCUUAUUAUGGUUGAAGAACGAAAAGUGUAUUUGAAAAAGAUAUUUAUUAGCAUCAUUAUUAUUAUUAUUAGAAGAAGAUGAAGAAGAAGAAGAAGAAGAAGAUAAUGUUCAUUGUGGUAUGCGAGAAUGAAAAGUCUAUUUGAAAAAGUCAUCUUCAAAUACUGAUUAGAAGGUAAUGCUCAUUGUGGUUGGAGAAUGAAAAGUCAAAUGCUCAUUAAAAGUUAUUAUUAGAACAAGAAGGUGAUUAUCAUUGUGAUUAUUAAAGGCAUCUUCUUUUAUUAUUAUUAUUAUUAUUAUUAUUAAAAGAAGAAGAAGGCAAUGCUCAUUCUGGUGGAAAAUGAAAAGUCUAUUUGAAAAAGAUCUCUUCAAAUGCUUAUUAGAAGGUAAUGCUCAUUAUAGUGGGAAAACGAAAAAGUCUAUUUGAAAAAGACAUCUUUUAUUAUUAUGGGAAAGUUGUGUUUUCAUGUGCCAAUAUGGUAAUAAUAUUGUUUUGGGAACCCAAUUUUACAUAUUUUAAAAUUGAUAAUGUAAUUAGAAAAUAUUUGGAGAAUCAUGCACUUUCAGCUUAUGUGUAUUUCAAUACCAAAAAUACCCUUCAUCUUGCCAGCUAAGCGUUCCACAUCUGAAAAUUCAAAAGAGAAAAACCCUUCGAAAAGCCACAAAACCAAUAUCUCUCUCGUAUUCUGCUUUUCCCCUUCUCUCUCCCAUUCUCAAUCUCAGAAACCCAAAAUGUUGUAAAACCUAACCUCUUUCAUUUCUGUAACAUUCUCGUCUCCCAUUUUCGUAACCUUUUCCCCAAAUUACUUGAUCCAGAAACCCUAAUUUCUGAAACGAAGAUCAGAUCCGGGGAAAAUUGGUAAUCAGAAUCAAUGGUGGGUGCAUCGAGCUCAUGGUCUCGCGCAUUGGUUCAGAUCUCACCCUCCACUUUCUCCGUCAUCGGUAUCGCCAUCGGCAUCGGCGUUUCCGUCUUGGGUGCCGCUUGGUACUUUCUUUUCCCUUCCUCCCCUGCAAAAUCCACCAAAAUAGAACAACUAAUAAAAUUUUUGCAUUCUUGUCAAACCAGCGGAGGUUUAGGUUAAAUCGAUACAUUAUAUUUGAUUUUUUUUUUUUGUUGGAUCGUUGUUUUGAUGGUUGCGUUAUUGCUGCAUUUUUAGGGGAAUUUAUAUAACUGGAAGUAUUUUAAUUGGUGCCAUCAAAGCUCCUCGGAUUACUUCAAAAAAUCUGAUUAGAUGAGUACUUCAACUUUCUUUCUUUCUUUUUUUCUCGCUGGUUUUAUGGAUCAUUGAUGUGGCUGGCUUAUUAAUGAGAGGUAACUGACAACUUUCAUGUGUAAAAAAAAUUGAAUUAUGCCACCACUUGCUAGAUUGUCCGGGCAUAGGUUACAUGGUCGUAGGAUAACCUAAUACGCCUAUUUACCAUCAAUAUCAAUGAGUGUCAAUUCUGAAAUCUUACUGAACAUACAUUUGGACAAAUCAAUAUCAAUAUUGCGGCCAAUAUUUCAAUAUGGUUCAUGUUGAUAUUCUAUAAUAUUAUUGGUAUUCCUCAUUUACUUUGAUGAACUGAAGAUUUUUGUGCUCAUUUCCUAUGCAAUACUUGCUUGUUUUGAGCUUAAUUUGAAGACUCAUUCAAGAUUGCUGCUAAAUUCACAAAGUAUCGGCACGUUGUUGGUGACUUGGAGGCAUGAAGGGGCAAUUUAGGAACAUAAAAAGGAGUCAGUAGAGAGUGCAUAAAAAUGAUAAUAUUUUCCACUUUGACGGUGCAAUUUCCUAUUCCAGCUCAUUGGGGUUUAAAUCCCAUAUUAUUUUCAAAUAGUUGUAUUAAUACAUGCAUAAUGCUUGUAUUGUUAGUCAUUUUCCUACUAUAGUGGCUAUUUUUCAUUGCAUUUUUGAAUAAAGAUACUAGUUUUAGAUUUUUAUUCACAUGAUUUCUCAUUUGCCUAGCCUCAUUGCUUAUAUUGGAUUUUCAGAAGUUCUAUGCAAGUAACUAAACAAUUGUGUCAAGUAGUUGUGGGAGAAAGAGAUGGAGAAAUCCAAAAAAGAGAAUGGAUAUAAAGGAAGUAAUAGGGUAGGUUCUCAUUUUUUGACUUUGCAUCAUUUACUUGAGUGAAAACACAGUAAGCUGGUACUACUCUUCCAUAUCUGGAGAAGAAACUUGCAACUAGAAACAUCUAACACCCCUUUGAUGGCCCUUUGACCCUCUCACGCAAUAGUUGCUCUAUCUAUUUGGCUCUAAUUUGACAUGUGAAAUUUACUAAUUAUCUAUCUUUCUACUUAAAGCAUGUCCCGCAAUUUUUUGUUGAUGCAUUUGUUGAGAAUCAUAGGCGUAUAUAUGAAGUGGUUAUAUUGAUUAUUACUUCAUCUGACAUGAUUUUUCAGUAGUGUAAUGCCUGCAACCUUUAACUACCAUGUUACAAAAUUUUACAUCAUAUCAUAGUGAAUUAUUAAAUUCCAAGCCUCGGGCUUUCUUUGUGACCCUUAGAGUAUCCCAUUAUGUGGUUCUCUUGAGUGCUCAAGAGGUCCACCAAAUGUUUUUUGGGACUGUAGCUUAGGUACUACCUUAAGGGCCCUUAGGUACUACCUUAGUGGCCUUGAGGUACUACCUUAAGGGACCCUAGGUACUACCUUAAGGUAAACUUGAACUCAACUUCUCCCAAGCCUCGGGUCUUCCUUGGUGACCCUUAGAGCAUCCCAUUAUGUGGUUCUCUUCAGUGUUGAAGUGGUCCACCAAGGGUUUUUUGGGACUGUAGCUUAGGUACUACCUUAAGGGCCCUUAGGUACUACCUUAGUGGCCUUGAGGUACUACCUUAAGGGACCCUAGGUACUACCUUAAGGUAAACUUGAACUCAACCUCUCCCAAGCCUCGGGUCUUCCUUGGUGACCCUUAGAGCAUCCCAUUAUGUGGUUCUCUUCAGUGUUGAAGUGGUCCACCAAUGGUUUUUUGGGACUGUAGCUUAGGUACUACCUUAAGGGCCCUUAGGUACUACCUUAAGGGCCCUUAGGUACUACCUCAGUGGCCUUGAGGUAUUACCUUAAGGGACCCUAGGUACUACCUUAAGGUAAACUUGAACUCAACCUCUCCCAAGCCUCGGGUCUUUCUUGGUGACCCUUGGACCAUCCCAGUAUGUGGUUCUCUUCAUUCCUCAAGUGGUCCACCAAUGGUUUCUUGGGACUUUAGCUUAGGUACUACCUUUAGGGCCCUUAGGUACUACCUUAGUGGCCUUGAGGUACUACCUUAAGGGACCUUAGGUACUACCUUAAGGGACCUUAGGUACUACCUUAAGGUAAACUUGAACUCUACCUCUCCCAAGCCUCGGGCCUUCCUUUGUGACCCUUAGACUAUGUCAUUAUGUGGUUCUCUUGUGUGCUCAAGUGGUCCACCUUUGGUUUUUUGGGACUGUACCUUAGGUACUACCUUAAGAGCCUUUAGGUACUACCUUAAUGGCCCUUAGGUACUACCUUAAGGGACCUCAAGUACUACCUUAUCUAAAGUUUGGUUUUUUGUGACUGGCUUGUUGGUUCAAGUGGGUUUUCCCUAUUUUAUGCUGUCUCUCUCGGUUUGGUACUUCUAUCAUGCUACAUUGAACUUCCCAUGUCAAAAUUGAUGAUUUUGUGAAACCUUCUACACAUACCAGAUAUAGGAUUCUUAGUGCCUUAUUUGUGUUCUAAUACAGAUAUCUAUUCAUAUUUGCAUCUACUUGGUGAAUUUAUUCUAUCAUAUGGUAUCAUGUAAGACUUGGCUUUCUUGCUAAAUUAUUUCAUUAAUUAUUUGUUCAGGGAAAAUCAGCUAAUCAUGUGAGUGAAGUAGAGCUUGGAAGGGCUACUUGGACUUUUCUCCAUACUCUUGCAGCUCAGGUCUGUUUAAACUUGUUGCUUUGGAGGUUUGGAUAUGAUUUUGACAUUAUCAAUUGGUUGACUUCUACUUAGGUCUCAACUGUCAAUUGUUAUUUACUUCAAAUCAAUCUAAUUUGGACAAUCUUGAUGCAAAACUAAUCUAAGAAACUUAAAAGCAAAACCACUUUAUUUGAUAAUCUCUGCCAUAAUAGUUUAUCUGAACUUGAAUUUUAAACACUAUUUCUGAAGUAUGUUAAUAGCUUCAUGUACUUUAACUUGUCAAACUUGGUAAUUUGUGAUUGGUAUGGUCUUCAGAAGGAUUUAAGUUGGGUUUAAAUCAAAUGUCUAAAUGCACAAGGAGAAGGCCAAGAUGUGGCUGGAGUUGAUGGGAAAAUGUUCCAUUUCACAUCUCUAACCAAGUAUGACAUCUGCAUUCUGAAAUGGGUGAAACUUAGAUAGAGUAGAUCCAAUUGGUAGGGAAAAAGCAUUAUUGAUCAUUUUAAUGUUAGAUAUAUGGAUAACCAAAGAUAAGGAAACUAACUUUCCAGGACAUUCAUUUAUGCACUUUUUGCACCUUCUCAGAUAGAAAAGUAUCUUACCUGGAUAUAUCUCGUAAUCUUGUUAAAAAAUGGAUAUUUCUUCUGUGAAUCAUUGACAGAGCCAAUCCUGUACAAGCUGGAUCUCAAGCUGAGUUCUCACAGUGGCUAUGUCACGUGCACAAUGUCGUUAACAGAAGGUGAGAGAUUACCCAUACUGGUUCCAUAGAAUUACUAUUUUACUAAUGUUUCAUAUACAUAUUCUCCUAAUCCCCCCUGCUAGUUGGUUUUUCAUCUACUAGUUUGAACAUUCAUCUCCUGAAAAUACGAUGGAUACAAAGAUGAAACCAAAUAGGUAGCCAACCAUCUGUUUUUUUGCUGGGUUUUCAACAUGACCCAUUUUACCAAAUCAAUUCAGGUUUCUGAUUUGAUGAAUGAAACCAAGUUUCUCAUAAACCAGAAUGGGUGUUGCUCGACAUGCAAGUUGGUUUUGUUUGUGCUAAUUUGCAAUUGUUUUGUGUUUCAACAGCCUUAAUAAACCAAUAUUUCCUUGUAAGAGAGUUGAUGCAAGGUGGGGCAAGCUGAAAUGCGAGCUGCGUGCAUGUUAUCUGCAAGGAACUCCAGAUUUUGGUGAAGGAUGACAUUAACAUAAUUACCAUAAACCAUCAACUGAUGUUAUUGUUUGAUUUUCAGUGUUACUAUUGCAAAUAAUAAGAGUCAUAUGAAAUUAAUUAAUAUAGGAAAUCAUUUGAAUGUCUUGUAUAACUCUCUUUGGUAUUGUAUAAAACAAAAUCAGUUUCCCUUAAUUAUUUCAAGGAUAAUUUCAACAAUGGUUGUGAACAACUGGUUUUUUCUUAACAACCAACCAGAACCCAACAUCCUUCCCAAUUUCCAAAAUGAGAAGAACAAAAAAAAAAGGACUCAAUAUGUACUAUGUUGAAACUUAAUUGCCUGAAGUUGAAGCUUUUGCUUGAUUAUCUGUGGUUGGAAAUGGAGGGGCCUGGCCAAAUUUCAGUAUACAUGCAGUUUCAUAAACAAAGUGGAGUUACAAAAUCGCUUGAGCAUCCAAAUAUGCAUCGCAUGAGAAACACUAAAAAGAUAAAUCACUGUUCACAAAGUCAAAAGAGGAAACUAAUGGAGUUGGUGUAGAGCUUCCAUCCGAUGAUGUCAAACAAGGAUUUGAACUUGUUUUUACAUUUAGCUCAUUCCCAGAACUCUGAACACCAACCAAUAACUGGUGCGGGGGCGGGACAACACCAUACACCUUACAUGAGGAAGCCCUGCAACAGUGAAAAAAUGACCAGAAGUCAUUACCUAAAUCAAACUACCAUAUGAUGUGAAUUUAUAUAAAUUCUAAUAUACGAACUUAUUCAUAUAGACCGCAUAUGAAGAAAUAUGCAUAAAUUGAUGUGAUAUUGAAAACUGAAAAAGUAGUUAAAAACAAAAUUUCCCACGACCAUCACAUGGAACUUUAUAGGCUGGUUGAAAUUCAUAUUAAUAAACAUCAGAAUAAUACUAAAAUCUAUACUCAUUAAAUGAAGUGGCACAAUAUUUUGUGAGGGAUAACAGCUGGUAAUGAUACAGACCUUUUAUUACAACAAAAUUAUAGUAUUUAACACAGUCUAAAUAGAAGCUAUCUAUGAAGAAAAUAAUAUUCACAUUCCCCUCAGACUAUAUUUAAGAGGGUUAAUCAAAUUACCUCCAAACCCAUGGUGUGCCAGGAACACCAUUCUUUGGCUUUUUUUUCUUUUUGAUAAACAAAGAGAAGAAAAAUGAUUAAAACACGCCUAAAAGGGGGCGCUCCCCAUGUACACAGGCAGUAUAUAAAGAAAGCCAAACCCAAGGCCACAAAAACAACAAGAGACUAAAAAGGAAAACAGCUAAACUUCAACCCCAUCACCCAAAAAAAUCAGAAAGGAGAGAUAAUCAUAAUUUAGUAUACUCAACUUAUAAAAUUUAGUAUCCAUCAAUUCACUAUAAUGAAUUAAUUUCAAAAUUUCCUCCCUCCUCACCUCUGAUCCAAGUUUCAGAUAUGAAAAAGAUUUAAAAAUACUGUUUCAAUUCACUUAAUUAUAAAUCCAAAAUACCCGGUUCCACAUUCAAAUAAAUUGGUACUAGAAUGAGCCCUGCCCCACUACUAUGUGUGCCUGUUUUCUCCUCCCUCUUUCAUAAUUUUGACUUGAGCUACUUCAAGGGAAAAACAAAAUAACACCUACUUCAAGGGAAAAACAAAAUAACACCACAAUGUUUUUUUCCUUAACAAAGAAAAAUAAAAAUAUGUUAUGCCAAUAUAAGAACAUAAUUCUUAACCAUUUGAUGUUUGGGGCAUGUAAGCCAUUUCCAUGUGAGCCUUAGAAGUUCAGAAUAGUGAGAGAUUCUCUCUCUCUCUCUCUGUAUCUUCUUCUAUUUUUUAUGCAGUAAGGACUUGUCACUUUAAACACAUUGAUUCCAAAAAUAAACAAAACAAAUAGAAUGUAAAAAAGAGUACUGUCCAUUUCUUUCAAUAUACUUGUAACAGAGAAUUAAGGACUCACAAAUGAGGGUUGGCAUCAAUCUUGCUGAAAAAAUCUCCACCAAUGGGAUGCAAAGAGCUUAUUAAUCUGUUCAGGACAACAUCUAUAUCCAUAUUGAAAUAUUGUGUAUAUGAUGAGAUGCUAAAAACUCCCUUCCAGUUGCUCAUUGAUUGUUGUGGUCCAUCUCCUUCUGCAUGAACCGACAUAUAGAAAGAUCAUUUGAACCAACGACCUUUAUCCCAAAAAGAAAAGAAAAAAGGAAGUGAUUAGAACGGAAUGCAUUAGGUGCGAAGUCAUACUCGUUUCUGAAGAAAUAUAUGCAAGGAAAGCCGGAAACAUACCCACAGACAAGGUUGGCAAAACCCAUAAUAAUUCCAGAGGCAAAGAUUGCAUAUCCGACUCUAAGGGACUCUGGUGCAUAAAUAUUGGAUGCAGGCACACUCUCUAGCUUUGUUUGAAGAAUGAUUGCCACAAUAACUCCAUAUAUAGCAACAACCUCACAGAAUAUGACACUAAGAACUGAACACCCCAAAAGAGAAAAUGACCAAAAAAAUAAGUCAAAACCAUCAUUUCUUAAGGGGUCUGCAUUUUGUAGUAUCGUUGUGCAUAAAGUGCAGCAAAAGAAGUCUAAUUUUUGUUCACAAAAAACAUUCUACAAUUCUCCAAAGUGGAGGAUUACUUUCCUUUUCAUUUUGUUUUUUCUUAUGCUUUGAAGAAAACUUGGAUAAGCGCAAUGUGUUCAUCUCCUAUUAUGCAACUACUUCGCUAGCAUAUUAACAUGAUACAUGACUCAUCCAACACAUAAAAAUCCUCUUUUUGGUGUUUUCAUUUUCCACCAGGCUUUUCCAUGCACACACAAAGGCAAAAGUACCAAGACAUUAACUCACCCAAGCCACAAAUGGACAUCUACAUUGCAUAGAUGCAACUCUGCAAUUAAAAUAACUAUUGUAGGCGACUAGAAAAAAAAAUUCCUCCUAUUGGCUUUUAUUUUUCCUUUUAUAUUGUUCUCUCAACAAUACCAGAAGUGGUCAACUACUUUCAGCCACAAUCAUAACUUUACUUGGGAAGUGACAUAUAUCAAACAUGUGGGAACAAGGUUGGCAUAAGGGAAAACAAAUAACCGCACUACUCACUGCAUGCAAGCUCUAGUUUGGUGGCAAUUCAUAUCUGACCAUCAUUAGCAAGUGAAGGGGGGGCUUUUUUAUAAAUGACUUUUUUAUAAAAUUGAAAUCAAUGUUGUAUACAUAACUUUGCAAAAUGUGAGUCCAAGGAAGCCAAGAGUCCAACAAGGCAAAAGACAAAAAGUGCAAUAUAUCUGAGUACUAAGAGGAUAACUACAACAAUAUAACUGCAUCUGAUCCUCACUAUCUUUAGAUUUGAUUCCACUAUUUUUUAACUAUGCUCUAAUAGUUAUAUCCCCAUUAUUCCAUAUCCCAUUGUAAUUUACAGUUGGUUAUUCCAUCAAAAGGCCAUCUCCUACCACUAUUGCAAAGCAACAAGGUUUUUUACACCCUCUUCUUCUAAACAAUACUGUGAACAAAUUAUUCUUAAUAAUUUUCUCUUCCUCUGUUUCUUCUUCAUGAUAUUUUUGGUAUUCAGCCACUUUAAGCUUGCUUUGGUAUUCAGCCACUUUAAUAUUAUUAUUAUUUAUUUUUCUAACUUCUUUUGUCCACAUCUCAAUUUUUAUCAGAAACUGAUUAUAAUAACUUGUGAUCAUAUUCCCUUCAGAUCACGACUAGGGGCUAUACAACCAAAGAAAUUAAGAAAUUCUUAUUAUUCCAAUUACAGGCAUUGUAUUGUUUAACAUCAACUUCACAUGAAGUACAAAGGGAAUUAGAGUUUGAAAUACAGUUCUAGACCUAUUUCAAUAGCUGUUAUAACUGCUAUGACCAGAAGCUUUAUGCAUAUUAUUCAUUACUCUAUUUCUUCCUUUCAGAGACCUUAUACCUUCUAAGAGGGUGCAUACCAUAGGAUAAUACAUCAAGUACUUGAACAGUCAACAAGUACCCAUCUUGGAUGACAAAGAAAAACAAGAAUUUCAAAGAUGCAUAAAAACUUAUAAUAAGAACCUCCCUUCACUCCACUAGGCACAUAUCUACAAUGCAAGAGACAAAAAAUAAAUAAAUAAAUAAAUAAAUGGCCGCUAAAAAACACUAGGGUUUCAAUAUUAAUGAAUUCCAACACAUUGAAGCAGCUGGAAUAAUCCAAAGGAACAAACAGGUUGUAAUCCAAAUGAAAAAAUAAAAAUAAAGUCUAUUACAAUUCUAUAAUGCCGAUACUUUGUGAAUUUAGCAGCAAUCUUGAAUGAGUCUUCAAAUUAAGCUCAAAACAAGCAAGUAUUGCAUAGGAAAUGAGCACAAAAAUCUUCAGUUCAUCAAAGUAAAUGAGGAAUACCAAUAAUAUUAUAGAAUAUCAACAUGAACCAUACUGAAAUAUUGGCCGCAAUAUUGAUAUUGAUUUGUCCAAAUGUAUGUUCAGUAAGAUUUCAGAAUUGACACUCAUUGAUAUUGAUGGUAAAUAGGCGUAUCAGCUUAUCCUACGACCAUGUAACCUAUGCCCGGACAAUCUAGCAAGUGGUGGCAUAAUUCAAUUUUUUUUACACAUGGAAGUUGUCAGUUACCUCUCAUUAAUAAGCCAGUCAAUGUAAUACCACAUCAAUGAUCCAUAAAACCAGCGAGAAAAAAAGAAAGAAAGAAAGUUGAAGUACUCAUCUAAUCAGAUUUUUUGAAGUAAUCCGAGGAGUUUUGAUGGCACCAAUUAAAAUACUUCCAGUUAUAUAAAUUCCCCUAAAAAUGCAGCAAUAACGCAACCAUCAAAACAACGAUCCAACAAAAAAAAAAAAAAAUCAAAUAUAAUGUAUCGAUUUAACCUAAACCUCCGCUGGUUUGACAAGAAUGCAAAAAUUUUAUUAGUUGUUUUAUUUUGGUGGAUUUUGCAGGGGAAGAAGGGAAAAGAAAGUACCAAGUGGCACCUAAGACGGAAACGCCGAUGCCGAUGGCGAUACCGAUGACGGAGAAAGUGGAGGGUGAGAUCUGAACCAAUGCGCGAGACCAUGAGCUCGAUGCACCCACCAUUGAUUCUGAUUACCAAUUUUCCCCGGAUCUGAUCUUCGUUUCAGAAAUUAGGGUUUCUGGAUCAAGUAAUUUGGGGAAAAGGUUACAAAAAUGGGAGACGAGAAUGUUACAGAAAUGAAAGAGGUUAGGUUUUACAACAUUUUGGGUUUCUGAGAUUGAGAAUGGGAGAGAGAAGGGGAAAAGCAGAAUACGAGAGAGAUAUUGGUUUUGUGGCUUUUCGAAGGGUUUUUCUCUUUUGAAUUUUCAGAUGUGGAACGCUUAGCUGGCAAGAUGAAGGGUAUUUUUGGUAUUGAAAUACACGUAAGCUGAAAGUGCAUGAUUCUCCAAAUAUUUUCUAAUUACAUUAUCAAUUUUAAAAUAUGUAAAAUUGGGUUCUCAAAACAAUAUUAUUACCAUAUUGGCACAUGAAAACACAACUUUCCCUAUUAUUAUUAUUAUUAGUAGUAGUAGAGUAGUAGAAGAAGAAAAGGUAUUUGCUCAUUGUGGUGGGAGAAUGAAAAGUCUAUUUGAAAAAAACAUAUUCUAAAAAGGCAUCUUCCCAUUAUAUGAAGUCAUUAUACAAGGAAAUAACAUUUGAAAAGAUAUUUUUCAUAUAAAAAAGGUAUUAUAUAAGAAAAUUAAAUUAAUUAUUUUUUUAUAGCGUGUUUUUCAGUAAAUUAAAAUGUUUUACAAUAUUAUUUUUAAUCUAAUGAAUAUUUAUAAUAUUAAAAUUAUGCUUUUAAAAAUUUAGUUUUAUUCUCAACCUUAAUAUUUAACUAAAAUGAAUUUUUAUAAUAUUAUCAUUAUUCCUUUAAAACAAUUACUUUAGCUUUGAUUUUUAUUUUAAACUAAUAAAAAAGUAGGAAAAUAUUUAAAAUGAAACCAUAUAAUUAUUUUAAAAUAGUUAAUUUAUAGUUUUGAAUAUUAUUAUUAUUAAGUCUAAUUAGAAAAAGGAAAUGAUCAUUAUGGCAGGAGAACGAAAAGUCAAUCUAGAAUAAUGGUCAUUAUUGAAAGAGUUACUAUCUAAAAAAGGCAUAUUCUCAAUAUAAUGGGGAGUUGCGAUAUGAAAAUAGUAAUUAUUGGGGAGUUGUUAUAUGAAAAAAACAUCUUCCUAUUAUACAAAGAGUUGCAAAAUAUAUCUUCUAUCUUUCAUCAUGUAUUUGUAGACUCUUCAAUUUGUCCCAAAUUUAUUUUUACAUUGAUUUAAAACCCAAUUUUAUCCUUAAAUUUAAAUCUUGAUUACAUUUGAAUUUUUUUGCCCACUCACUCUUUAAUUUUGAGUUUUUAUUAUUAAUUAUUUUGUUUUAUUUUUAUUUUGUAUAUUAUUUUAUUUUUCACUAUUAAUAAAUUAUUUGUCAUUAUUAUUAUUAUUAUUAUUAUUAUUUUCUAUUUUUCUUUUUCCUCUUUCCUCUCUCUUCCCACUUACCUUCAACUACUCUACACCUACCCCCAUUCCCCACGUUAGGAAACCUAUCCCCCCCUUUCCUCUCUUUCAUCUUCUCUCUCUUCUCCUUUUCAUUUUCUUUUCAUUUUUCUUCCCUUUUUUUUGGGGUCGACCUUUUUUUUUUCUUCUUCCUCUCACGCCCCUUUCAUUUCCCCGUUUCCUUCUUUCCAUUUCUUCUUCUUUCUUUUCCCUUUUCUUUUUUUUUUUUCUAUUUUUUUUUAUUUCACGUGAAACCCAUGGCCAGUCAAUCAUCGCUAGCGAGCACGGAUGACCACCCUCUCCACCUAUUUCUCAACUCACUCAUUUUUUCCGUUUUAUUAUUAUUAUUAUUAUUAUUAUCAUCAUCAUCAUCAUUAUUAUCAUCGUUAUUAUCAUUAUCAUCAUUAUUAUCAUUAUUAUUAUUAUUAGUAUUAUUAUUAUUAUUGCUUUGAUUUUAAUACUAAUGAUUGUUUGUGAGAUUUGGAUUGUUGAAUUAAUAUGAAAUUUGGGCUAAUUUAUUGUUGGUGAAUUAAUUUGAAAUUUGUUAAUUUGGAUUAGAUUAGUUGAUAAUUUAUAUGGUUGUACUCAUUUAAAUUAUUUAAUUUCGACUUGAUAUACAAUUGUAGUAUAUUUUGAAUGUUAUUUUGGGUUUGCAUAUUAAAUUGGGUUGAUUUUGGUUGUAAAUUUGACUUUGUAUAUUAAAUUGAACUUGAAUUUGGGGAUAUUGAAUUUAGGUCUAGUGGAAUUUAUUUUAAUUUGUCAUAUUUUGGGCUCAUUAGAUUGUGCUUGCAUUUUGGUUAUUAUUUCUAAAAUUUUGGACUAAGGAUUAUGGCAUAUGAGAUAUUUCUGUUGGUUUAAAUUUGCUAAUUUAGGCCCAUUUUUAAUUAAUAAAAUUUAUUGGACUAAUUUAAAGUUUGAAUAUUUAUUUUUAACUUUGUACAUUUCUAGAUAUUUACUUUUGGGCUAUUUUUGUUUUGCAUGGGUCCAUUCCACUGAGUAAGGAUCAAUGACACAUGGAAAAUUGAAUUUCAUGGAGGAAAUGGAGGCACAUGAAGACAUUGAGCUUAUUGUAGGCUUGUUGGGGUACACAUUUCGUUUUCCUCUUUUAUUUGGUUUUAUUACUAUUGGUUCUUGUAAAUAUUUGUUUGUAUAUAUUUAUUAAGUGUGUAUAGAAUUGAAUAUCGAACAAACCAAAAUUUUUGUUUAAAUAAGAAAAAAUUAGUAAAUAUGUUUUAAUAAAAUAAUAGUUCUAAAAUAUUCUCCUUAAUAAAAGAAAGUUUUUUUAUGAAUAAAAAUUCAAAAAAAUGUUUUUAGGAAAAUAAAAAAAAGAAAUUUUUUUAACAAAAUUCAAAAAAAUUGUUUUUAAUAAUAAUUGUCCGAAAAUUUCUUUAUUUAAUAAAAAUUGUUCAAAAAUUUGUUUUGCAAAUAAAGUUGUCCCAAAAACUAAUUUUUAAUAAAAUUUUCCAAAAUUUUUUUUCCUUAAUUGAAAUGAGAUUAAAAGUAUUUUUUAGAAAUAGAGGAUUUAAAUCAUUUUUCUUAAUGAGAAUAGGAUGAGAGUUAUUUUGCAAAUUAAAGUUGUAAAAAUCAUUUUCUUAAUAAAAUUGGAUUGAAUUUUAACAUUUUUGUAAAUAAAGCUAUAAAAGACUUUUUUUUUAAUAAAAAAUUCUUUUUCAAAUAAAGUUAUAUUUUUAAAAAUAAUUUGUAUAAAUCACUUUUCUUAAAUAAAAAUAAAUCAAAAUACUUUUGUAAAUAAAGUUGUAAAAAUUCAUUCAUUUCUAGUAAAAGCAAGUAAAAAUAAUUUUGUUGCCAAAUUGAAAUUUUGUAAUAAAUUCUUUUGAUACAAUAAGUGUAAAGAACUUUUUUGAAAAAUGACUACAAUGAAAUUGAAUCAAAUCGCUUGAAGAAAAUAAAUUGACUUUUUUUUUCUUUUGUAAAUAAAUAAAUUGAAAUUAUUAAUUCAAAGUUGUUUUUAAUAAAAUCCUUUGAAGUUUCUUGAAAACUAAUUUUUGAAAUAUCUUUUCUUUAAAAUUAGUUUAAUAAAUCAAUUUGUAUAAUUUUCAUGUCAUUUAUCAUAUGCAUUCUCGUAAUUUGAUUUCAUCAUUAUUUUUGUGUAUAUUUAUGUUCACCAUGACUUGUACAUAUUUAUUUGUAUUAUUCUUGUAGUAAAGACCAUAUGCAUAUGGGCUUAGAGGAGUACUACGACUCACUACCGUACCUUCCUAAUAAGUAACUUGAUCCCCAAAUUUGGACUCGAUUUUUGCAAACAUGUCUUUUCCAAAUAAGGAGUCACAAAGGGUUUUCGUUCUUAUUUUGUUUUCCAUUAAAAAAAACUAAAAUAAGUGGCGACCCCAAAUCUUUUUCUAAAAAUCAAAUUUUCACCAAAUAAAAAGUGAAUCUUGUCGUUCAAGUGGGGACUCACAUGAAAAAUGCGGGUCCACAAAAUGACGACUCCACUAGGGAUUAAACAGGGUCAAACUUGAAUUCAAGUUGAUUAAACUGUGGCGUUUGAUUAAUUGAUCGAUUAAUACCUUCUCAUAGUGCCUUUGUUAUAUAUUUGUAUCUUUUAGGGCAUGUGAGCAUUGACAUAAUGAUUUUUUUUUUAUAUAUUGCACGUGCCUUACUAUAUGUUGAUUCUUGUUAUCAUGUGUGUUUGUACAUAUCUAUUUUGGCAUGAUUUUGGAUAACAUGAUUACUCUUUUUCUAUAUGAUGAUUGUCUAUGUUUGAUUGCUAUGUUCAAUUUUGAUAUAGACUUAUUGAUUAUAUCGAUUGAUUCUCUUGCCAUGAUUAUCCUGCUCGCUUGGACAUGUAUAUUCACAUUAUUGUAUAUCUUAUUUGUCUUGAUCUCUCUUAUACAUUAUUUUGAUCAGCUUUGAGUAUGUUAUUAUUUAUUCUUGGUGUAUAUUCAUCUCGCUUAUCUUGUUUCAUGUUUAGCAUGUGUGUAGAUAUGAGUGAUAUACAUGUUCUUUGCAUGACUGCUAUUUUUCUAUGUGAUGCAUGUGUUGCUUGUCUAUGUGGGUCACACAUCUAUUCCCCUACCUCCAAUUUCUUAGUUUUAGUCAACCUUGUUUCCCUUGAUCUUGUAUUUGAUAUGAAACUUGUUGCUUCGUUUGUUCUCCGACCGAGCUAGUGAUUUGGAGUAGGGUUUAGUGCUGGGCUAUAUCUAUGUUUGGGAGCAUUUUGGAGGUGGUCGACACAUUUAUGUUGAUUGGAGUCCGAUCUUUGCAAACAUGUAUAGCCUAAAGCAAGAUUUCAAGAUAUUUGUGUGACUAGUAUGUUUUCUCUUUGCUUUAGCUUCAUAGUUCUUCGGAUGCACCCACACCAUUCACUGUGCACCUUAGAUUACAAUUGAGUAUUGAGAGAUGUGAGAGCCUUCACCAUUAGGAAACCCCUUACAAUGCGAAGUAGUGCAUGUGUAGAGGUGAUGACCACCUUGCAUGGAAGCACCCCGUCUUUUCAGAGGUGUGCAGGAGGUUGUGCACUGUCAGAGAGUACAAUCGUUUCUACUAGGGAUCCUUUAAAGUCCACUCCAUUUUCUUUUUAGAGUCAUCUUGACCUUGUAGGUUGAGCCUUAGAUCUUUCAAUUAGAAUUCCUUUCGUACACAUGGGUUCAUCUAAGACCCUUCGGGGUUGUUUUAGUAAUAGCUUAGGUCUAAUACUCUCUCUUUUGGUAUCUAGUUGAGAGUGCUCAUAUAUUAGUGUGAGUUUGAUAUCAGUUGGACCACCCUUUGUCAUAUAGUGUUGACUCAUUCUAGUCUUUUGUUCUGUCUAACAUGCUCUUUUCUUGGGGUUUUAGAUAGUUUUCCUUUCUUGAGUUAGCAUUAUUCAGUUGUUUUUCACUAUGCUUGACAUUUUAGGAUAUGCUCAUUGAUCAUGCUCUCCCCUUUACAUUCUUCACCUAUCAUGGGCUUGAUACUUCAUUCUUUGGUCAAUUUGUCUGAUUCUAUUUUCAACUCGAUAUUUUCAAUACAAAAAGGUGAAAGACAUGUGAGAAAAUAAAGGUUAUGCUUAAUUAAGAAAAACACCCAAAAUGGGGGAGGGGGGGUGUGAAUUGGGUUUCUUUUUCAAUCACAAAAAAUUCAAGCACAAUAUAAGAAAAAUAAAGAAAUGGAGUUAGAGAAUUCAAACUCGGGUUUUAUAGUGGUUCGGCACUUCCUUGCAUACGUCUACUCUCCUCAAUCUUCUAACCGAGUGAGGGUUCCACUAACUUGAAGCUUUAACCAAGCUUCCAAUCUUCUUACACUUGGAUUCCGAUUCCAAUGGGCUCUUACACAAUCUCUUCAAGAUUCAAAUCUCUUGAAGGCUUUAACACUCAAAUUUUACAAGAAGGAAUCCCUCAACCUAGCUUAAGGAUAGCUCAAAUACAAGACAAAGCUAGGAUCACACACAAUAGUGUACUAAAGGAUAUGCAAGUGAUGAUUUAAUGCACUAAGAAAAAAAUGAGAGCUUUGUGGUCAAGAACAGGUAGGUAGACAAUUGAUUGCAAGUGUUCUCUUGUCAAGAAAUGAAGUGGAGCUCUCAAUUUAUAGGUUUCUAAGCUCGGGAUUCAAAAAUAGCAAAAGCUAACCUCGAUCGGUCGAGCUAGGGGUCGAACGGUUCACUAACCAUUGGAGCACUUAAUGCAUGACACGUUACCGUUGCCUCGACCGGACCUCGACUGGGAAGAGAAUCACCUCAACUGGGAAAAGAAGGCCACUAGGAGAGAGAGAAAGUUUUUGGUACAUCCUAGACCGGUCCUCGACCAGACGAGGGCAACCGGUCGACCGGCUCCUCAACCGGUUGAGCCGGUUGGCCCCGAAAACCUAUCUUUUUCAAUUCCUUUCUUUUCUAACACUUAGGCAAGGUCUUUGAGUGAAUUAUUAUGCCAAUUAUAAAACAUUUUGCCUAAGGUACAUUGGUUAAAAACUCGGGUUUUAAUGAAAUCGAAGUUUUAAAGAAUAAAUCAAGUUUUCUAAGUUGCAUGAAACGUGUGAAAAUCCUAAGUGCACUCAUGCAUUCAUCUUACAUUAGUUUCCUAUGAUCACAGGUCUUCCAAGCGUCUCGAUCUUGUAUCCAUUUGGUGCUUUGAUGAAUUUUCGAGUUUAUGCCUGAGAUUCUUAACCAUUAAACCAAUUAGUCACUUAACCAUGGUUUGUUAUCAUCAAAACCCGAUUAGGAGAACCCUUGAGCUAACAAUCUCCCCUUUUUUUUAUGAUGACAAACCUUGGUUAUCUAGGAGAGAAAAAAAAUCCCCCUCUCAAACCAAUCAUGGAUCAAUCAAACAAUUUUCAAUAAGAAACAAUGUAAAUCACGAAAAUUUAAAUAGGAAACAAUGGAUCAUGAAAAUAUCAUAUCAUAUAUAUGGUAACCUCACAUGUACAUAACAUAUAUGCUAAUCAAGCUAGAUAUGACAAUGAUAUGCAUGAGGGUCUCCUAGAUCUUAUAUAUUUCUCCCUCUUUGGCAACAUAAAAAAGAAACUGAAGGGGAACUUUAGAUAAACUCAAGGCUGAGGGAAUGGAGAAGGAAACACAAAGCGGAGGUAAGCCAUCAUCUCCUCAUGCUGACUCGCCUGGGACUCUCAAUGCCAUCAAUACUCUAUUAGAGAUGCUCGAAUGUAACCUACUGCUGAUCCAUACACUCCUCUAUGUGCUCAAAUCUCUGCUGGAAGUGCUCAAAUCAAGAAGUGAAGCCAGUCUGAUAUUAAUCUAUGCGCUCCUCCAUAUAGUAGAAACGAGUGUCAUAGACUAAAGCAAGCUCCUCCGUACGAGUCCCAAGGGAGCUAAUCUGAGCUGAUACAUCCAUCCAAUGCGCAUGAUCAGGAGCAUGAGGUGCCUGAGAUGGUAUCUCUAUGUGAGGAAGCUCGAUAAAUGAUGGUUGAGAUGCUGGUUCUGUUGUGUAAGACGGCUCAUUCAUCAUAGGCUUUGAGAAAGUGGCCUCAACAUGAAUACUCUCUGACUGAGGUGGAGGCGAAAUGUCAAGCUCGGGCCCUCUCUACUCAAAAUCCCUCUAAGGGUCUAACCCAUCCUCCAUCUCUCUGAUCUCAGCCUCCUCCUCUGCUUCGGGAUGCAUCUGUCCCUGUCCCUGGACCUGUCGCUCAGCUCUCCUAAUUCAGGAGCCAUCGGGUGCCUUCUCGAACUUCAUUCGCCCCAAGGACUGCUCAUCGUAAGUGUCAUAGCUAGUAGGGGCCUCGAAGUCCGUCUCUCUACUCAAGUUCACCCCAACAUCCUUGAAUACUCGGGUAAGGAAGCGGUCGUAGGGGAGUACUCGGGUCGUGCUCUCAAUGCAGGAUAUCAUAUGCAUCAUCAUCAGAUACCCCACGUGAAUCCGUUCCCCUGUCAUAAUCGAGUCCACAAUGAAUGCCUCAAGGUAGGAGACCUCAUCUCGAUGUCUGCCUCGUGGCAAUAAGAUGGAGUAGAUCAUGUGAUGAAGGACUCGGCUGGACACGGUUAAGCUAUGUGCUGAUGGUUUGCCCAUCCCCUGGCCAUCUGCAAGUCCACACAACCUUUGAAUAGCCUCUCUAGGCUUGAAUCCCGGCACAGUGGGCCACGCCUUGGCCUCAUAUACCCGGAGUCCAAUUGAAGGAAUGUCGAGAAUGUGGCAAAUACUCUCCGAGUUUAAUAUGAUCUCACCUCCUCUAACCGUGAACAUGACCGGUCCUCCAAGACCAUAGGUCACCCGUGAAUAAAAUGCCCACACCAGAGUCGGGAAGAUCGGCUCGAAAAUCGUCAAGAUUGGCAGCCAUCCCAUCCGACUGAAGAGUCCCUCAAACCCAAAGUGCUGAAGUUGGGAGAAAUUGAUACUUUUCCUUGGAACGACUUUCCUCUGGGCUAAUUUUUGUUUGUACCAUUGAUAAUCUUCGACAGAACUGAAGAGGGUCGUGUCAUACCUCACCUUUCGGCAAGCCUCCAUCUACUUAGGCUGAGAUGGCUCAGCAGGGCGCUUGCCCUGAGCCUUGGAGGUGCCUGUCUCUCACCUAGGCGCCAUCCAAAGAACGAAAAAGGGAGAAAAAGCACAGAGAUGAGGUUGAAACCAAACGAGAGAGGAUGAAGUCCAACCUGAAGCCCUAAAUGCACGGAGAUGAGGCUAAAUCCAAGCUUGAGGUGCACGAUCAGAGAGAAAAAGCUCCCAAAACUGAAAAACCUUAGGUUUCAGAAUGAAACCUAGCCUCAAAAGUGUUCCAAGAUCAACUCCAAAGCCUUCAAUCAAUCCAAAAUCUAACCCAAAAUUGUCUCUGGAAGCAGGUAUGUGAAGGGUUUUCAAGGAGUGGAGGAGAACAGUGAGAAAAAUAACGUGAGAGGGCCUAUUUAAAUUCCCAGCCCUGAAGAAUCAGUCAACCGCUUGGUCAACAGUCAAUGGUCAAUGGUCCAAUUUUUUGCAUUUUCUUGUCUCGUGAUCCUCCCCUUGCCCUUUUCAGUUGAAAUCCCCAAUUUUUUUUUAUGUCCAAUGCCAAGGGAAUUUUGAUUUUUGGUCAAAAUUUGACAUUUUUCCUAAGAUUAUUUCUAUAUGAUGCAUAUAAUAUGAAAUUCACGCAAUCAUAAGGUAUAUUCAAUCAAAAAUUCAUCAAGCAAUCAUUUGAUCAUAAAGAAAUCACCCCUAGUUGUCUUCUAAUAUCAACAAAUUGUUCUUCACUUAGAGGUUUUGUAAAAAUAUCGGCAAGUUGAUCUUUUGUGCUUAUAAAUUCAAGUGUAAUGUCACCUUUUUGUGCAUGGUCUCUAAGAAAAUGGUGUCUAAUCUCUAUAUGCUUAGUCCUAGAGUGUUGCACCAGAUUUUUUGAAAUGUUUAUGGCACUAGUGUUAUCACAUUUAAUAGGAACAUGUUCAAAAAACAAGUUGAAAUCACUAAGUGUUUGUUUCAUCCAAAGGAUUUGUGCAAAACAUAAACCGGCUGCUAUGUAUUCGGUUUCCGCUGUAGACAAAGCUACCGAAUUUUGCUUCUUACUAUGCCAUGAAACAAGUGAGUGUCCUAGGAAAUGACAAGUGCCACUAGUGCUUUUCCUUUCAACUUUAUAACCGGCAAAGUUGGCAUCCGAGAAUCCAAUUAAUUCAAAGUUAUCACCCUUAGGAUACCAUAAGCAUAUGUCCAUUGUCCCUUUUAAAUAUCUAAGAAUUCGUUUUAUGGCACUUAAAUGAAAUUCUUUAGGACAAGAUUGAAAUCUAGCACACAAGCAUACACUAUACAUGAUGUUGGGUCUACUAGCGGUCAAAUAUAGUAAUGAACCUGUCAUGCCUCUAUACAUAGUUUAGUUGACGGACUGACCUUUUUCAUCCUCACUUUUAUAUUAAUUUUGUGUAUUUCAAUUUGUACAUACUACAUGGAGUGGCUCAUAUGCAUUUCUGAAAUUUAUUAGACAAUUGAACAAGUGGAUGAGAAAGGUAAUGCAUUGUGAUUAUUGAGUGUGAAGUUUAGACUUUGUCCAUGCAUGUCAUGAUGAAUUGGAUGUCAAAAAAUUGCUAGGUUAGUUCAUGGUACUCAUGGAUUAAUGGGCAGUAGUUCCUUGCGUGCCUAGGAUAGCGAACAUUUUGGUCAUGGUUACUAAAACCAACAAGUGGGUUAUCAAUCAUGACUUUUCCUUUGCAUGCUUAUCCACCUCCUCCUGAACCUUAUAUUCUAUUAUAAGUAGUGGCAUUCAUAUUACUUGUUUUGUAGGUGCAAUUCAUUUGCAUGAUCAUAUCACUAUGGUUUUCUUUUAGUUGCCUUAUUAUUUGUUUUUCAAGAUAAUUACUUAUUGUGCAUUUCAAAUUUUCAAAUCAUAUUAAUUUGAUUAUAUUUAGUGUGAACCCUUUUUGUAGAAGAUGUUGGUCUAAGUUGUGAAAAGGUUCUUAUGGCUCCAUCUUAAAUGUUAUAUAUUUGAGAUAAACAUGAUAGAAUGAGAGUUAUGUUGCUAUGUUAUAAUAAUUCAAUAAAUCAUUAUAAUGUUUUAAUUUUAAUCAAACAUGCAUGCAUAAAACCUUAGAGUUCCCAUUCAAGUAUCAUUGGAAGACAAAAGAUUCUCUUAUUACAUAAUAAAGACAUUUAAGUUGUCAAAUGGUGAAAAUGGUCUAUCUAUGCCAUUUUCAAGUUGACGACUUUUAAAUUUGUCUAGCAUGUGAUAAAGAUCUUUUCUCUACAAAUGAUGCUUGAAUUGUAAACAUAAUAUAUAUGAAGUUAAUUGUUUGUUCUUAAUUCAAUUUUUAGAAAGUUUGAUAGUCUUUCCUCUUGUUCUCUGGGUACAUAUUUGGACAAGGUUACCUAUUGUGCAUUGUCCAUUUUGUGUACUUAGAGAACUAUAGGAAAAUGCUAUUGAAAUUUCUUUAAAAUUAAAUUGAGUACAUUGGUAAUCAAUACAUAUAGGGAUUAUGUAUUCCUAUAUGGGAUAGGAACCACUACUUAAUUAAGGAUGUUGGAGAUGUUAGAAUGCAUAAAUCACUUGCUUUUACUCAUCGAAAGCUUAGCCACAUUAGUUCACUUUUUUAGUUCAUGUUAUCAUUGUCUCCUCUAGGAGUAAAUUCAAUGAAACUGUUGAAAGCUUUAUCAUUGAGUAUCAUCCUUCUACUUACCUUCCUUAUUUUGUGCUUCAUCGAAUAAGUGAACUUUUAAGUCUCAUUUUAAGUACUCUAUCAAAUUUUGAUGGAGUAAGCCCAUUUUUUCCUAUUAAUUGAAACAUUUGGAAACUUUUGUUGUUUUCCAUAGUGAUAUUUAUGUAUUAGUUGGUAUUAUCUCAAUUAUUACUCUUUCAUAUGUCUAUGUUUGAUACUAUUCAACAAUCAAGAUGAUGUUAAGAAGAUACUUAGAUUUAAAAGAAAUGAUUUUCAACCCAUAAUUAAAAAGAUAUUUCUAUCCAUAUGUCUUGCUCAUCUUGUGGCAUUAUAGAAAUGAUAUGUUUUUGUAUUUUUAAACCUUUUAAAAUUUCAAACUUGGUGUACUUGAUAAUAGAACACAAGAUUGAGAGUUACAUCUAACUUUUGAUUCCUAUUCAUGCACAGACCAAACAUAAUGAUGGAAUUCAGAUCCAUUUUUUAUUCUAAUUUUUUAAUAACUUAAUAUACUAAUUAUAUUUGUUGUCAUAUUGUUUGUAGUUAGAUGACUUACACAUUAUUGCUUUUUGGAUUGGUAAAAGUUUUUGUGACAAUGUUUGAAAUUUGAAAUUGGUGGAUCAUAUAUUUUGAGGCUAUUAAUAGGACAAUUAUUAAUAACUUUAGUGGCUGGUGGUAUCUAGGAGCUUUGUUUCUCUCUUAUACAUCAAAUGGAUCAUUCUUGGAUGUCAAAGGAUAGGAGAUCAAGGGAUUAUGCGAAUGGGGUAGAACAUUUUAUCGCAUUCACAUUAAAACAUUCCACAUAUUAAAACACCAUUAAAUGCCCAUGCCUUCAAUGUGGUAAUAUAAUAUUCCAUACUUCUCAAAAAAUGAGAGAGCAUUUAUUUUUCUAUGGAAUUGAUCAAAGUUACUAUACAUGGUAUUGGCAUGGAGAUGUUGCUCCAAGUGGAUCACCAACUAGUAGGGCAAAAUGUCAUCAUAAGGUUCAAUUUACUGAUGUGGAUAGUACAGUAGAAAUGGUUCAAGUUGCACAUGAUGAUUGUAAGAAUGACCAUAAUUUUAUGAAACAUUACUUGAAGAUGCUCAAAAACCUUUAUAUACUGGUUGUAGAAACUUUACAAAGUUGUUUGCAUUGGUCAUCUUGAAAGCACGAUAUGGAUGAUCUGAUAAAAGUUUUUCAUGGAUUUUAGGAAUUGUUGGAGAUAUGUUACCUCUAAAAAAUGAGUUGCCCUUGUCUAUGUAUGAAGCAAAAAAGACAUUGAAUGCAUUGUGAAAGAAAUUUGAGAAAAUACAUGCUUGUUUGAAUGAUUGCAUAUUGUAUAAGAAUGAUUUGAAGGAUUAUCUUCAUGUCCAACUUGUGCAACUUCACGAUGGAAGUUAGAUAGAACAAAAACUAAAAAGAGGAAAGGAGUCCCUGCAAAAGUAAUGUGGUAUUUUCCUCCUAUUCCAAGAUUUAGAAGAUUGUUUCGGUCCCCAAAAAUUGCAAAAGGCCUCAUAUGGCAUGCCCAAGAAAGAGAAUUUGAUGGCAAAUUGCAUCAUCCAUCCGACUCCUCAUCAUGGAAACUAGUUGAUCACAGAUGGCCUAAUUUUGCUUCAGAACCUAGAAUCCUUAGACUUGUCAUUUCAAUAGAUAGUAUAAAUUGUCAUAGUUCAAUGAGUAGUAAACAUAGUUGUUGCCCUAUUAUAAUGGUCAUUCAUAACCUUCCUCCUUGGUUAUGGAUGAAAAAGAAGUUUAUGAUGUUCUCUUUGUUAAUAUCAGGUCCCCAACAACCUAGAAAUGACAUUGAUGUUUAUUUAGAACCAUUAUUGGAUGACCAAAAAAUGUUGUGGGAGGUGGGGGUUGAAUCUUAUGCUACACAUCAACAAGAGCUCUUUACAUUAAGAGUUGUUCUACUGUAGACAAUCAAUGAUUUUCCUAUGUAUGGAAACUUAUUUGGUUGCAUAGUUAAAGGAUAUUUUGCAUGCCCCAUAUGUGGGGAAGAUACAUACUCUCAUAGAUUGAAGCAUAGGAAAAAGAACUCAUAUACAGGUCAUAAAAAAUUUCUUCCUUGCAAUCAUCCUUUUAAGAAACUAAAAAAGGCAUUUAAUGGGGAACAAGAGUUUCAAUCACCUCUGCAACCAUUGAGUGGAGAGGAAAUUCUAAGGAAAACUGAUGUCAUUUGUAAUUCAUGGGGAAAAAAUAAUAUCACUUGAGGUAAGUUGAAAGUCAAAACUAGAAAUUGUUGGAAGAAAAAGUCCAUAUUCUUUUAUCUUGAGUUUUGGAAAUACCUACAUGUUCAUCAUAACUUGGAUGUAAUGCACAUAGAGAAAAAUGUUUAUGAAAGCAUCAUCAAUACCUUACUUAACAUUCCAGGUAAGACAAAGGAUGGACUUAAUUCUCGUUUAGACCUUAUGGAGAUGGGCUUAAGGUGUGAAUUAAGGCCAAGGUUUGAAUCAAAUCAAACUUAUCUCCCAUCUACAUGUUACACACUAUCUAAAGUGGAGAAUAAGCUUUUUUGCCAAACUUUAUCACAAUUAAAGGUUCCUGAAGGUUAUUGCUCUAACAUGAGAAACCUUGUGUCAAUGGAAGACUCGAAACUUUAUAGUCUUAAAUCCCAUGACUAUCAUGCAUUGAUGCAAUAGUUAUUGCCAGUGCCAUUACGAUCAGUUUUUCCAAAGCAUGCAAAACAUGCUAUUUGUAGAUUGAGUUUUUUUUUUUCAAUGCUCUUUAUAGCUAAGUGGUUGAUGUGCCUGCAUUGGAUAAGUUACAAAAUGAUGUAGUGGUGACAUUAUGCUUACUUGAGAAGUACUUCCCACCUUCUUUCUUUGAUAUCAUGCUUCAUCUUACUAUGCCUCUUGUAAGAGGGGUCAAACUUUGUGGACCAGUUUACCUAAGGUGGAUGCAACCUUGUGAAAGAUUCAUGAAAGUUUUGAAAAGGUAUGCACAAAAUCGUAACCGGCCCGAAGGUUGCAUUGUCGAAUGCUAUAUUGCGGAGAAAGCUAUCGAAUUUUGUACAGAGUACUUAUCAAAUGUAGAUGCAAUUAGGAUUCCUGUUAGUGUAAACAUUAACCAAAAAGUUGGGGCACCCAUACCUGGAGGUCAAGUUGUGAUCGUUGAUUCAAAUUUGUGGUUGCAUGCAUAUCAUUAUGUUUUAGAGAAUACAACUAUUGUCCAACCUUAUAUCGAGUAAGAAUUACUAACACUUAAUAUUUAUCUGUUAUACUUAAAUUAAAUAUAGGACAAUAACUUUGAACUUCUUAUAAAUAAUUGUAUAGAGAGCACAUGGAAUGGUUGAAAUUGAAAAAUCCUCAUCAAUCUAAAAGACAAAAGUGGCUUCAAGAUGAACAUAUGCGAACAUUUACUUAUUGGUUUCGAAAAAAGGUAUCGAAUUGGUGCUAAAAUUUGAACUAUUCUUUUGACUAAUGUUGAACAUACAUAGUAACUAUUAUUUAUAAUUGCAGAUUGAAGCUGAAAUUAGUAACAAUGAACCUAUCUUUGGAAACCCUUAAGUGGAUAGCUCAUGGUCCUAGCCACUAUGUCUCGAAAUAUCAUGGAUAUGUCAUUAUUGGAUGUCGAUACCAUAACAAGGAGCGUGAUGACUUACGAGCUACCCAAAAUAGCGAAGUUAGUAUUGUAGCUUCAACAAUACAAAUUGCAAGUGCCAAUGAUCAAAAGCCAGUGUUUGGUGAGCUUUGUUUCUAUGGGAUUAUUAACGAUAUCUAGGACCUUGAUUAUACCAUGUUUAGGAUACCAGUUUUCAAGUGUGAUUGGGUUGAUAAUAAGAAUGGCAUAAAAGUUGAUGAUCUUGGCUUUACAUUAGUUGACUUUAACAAAAUUGCUCAUGAAUCAGAUCCUUUCAUUUUGGCAUCUCAAGCCAAGCAAGUACAUUAUGUGCAAGACCAACUUGAUCCAAGAUGGUUAGUUGUUUUGUCAACUCCUCAAAAAGGUUUCUUGGAUAAGGAGAGAGGUGAUGACCUUGUGGACAAUUCUAUUGAACACCAUCCCUUUAUAGGGACAUUCCUAGAAGUUGAAGCGUUUGAUGCAAUGGAUGACUCAGAUGCAAUAUGUAUAAGAGGUGACUAUGAGGGGAUUUGGAUUGACAACAAAUCCUCUAUGUAGCUGAAUUGUAAACUUCUAAUAAUGAUGUACAAAUAAAGGAUGUCGAGUGGGUUGCAGAUCCCACAAAAUAGGUAAUUUUUAUUCUUUUUGUUUCUAGAGAACAUCAAGUUGAUUGCCUAAGUUGAUGCCAUUUUGAUGUUAUUAUUAUUAUUAUUAUUAUUAUUAUGAAUUGUAAACUUCUAAUAAUGAUGUACAAAUAAAGGAUGUUGAGUGGGUUGCAGAUCCCACAAAACAGGUAAUUUUUAUUCUUUUUGUUUCUAGAGAAAUCAAGUUGAUUGCCUAAGUUGAUGCCAUUUUGAUAUAAUUUUCUUCUCAUUAAAAUUUGAUAUACUAAAGCAAAUAUCAAAUAUGAUUCUUGUAAAAUUCUUGUUUGUAAAAAAUAAAAUGUAAUAAUUCAGUUACAUGAAAUUUUUAGUUUUGAUAUGAACAAGUUAACCAUUUGGGAAGUUAAAUAUGCAAUUCUAAAAGGCUUUCAUAGGAAAAUACAAAAGAAAAUGACAAUGGAUUAGCAAAAAUAAUAAGAGAAACACAUACUAGAAUAUACAACUUCAUAAAAUAAAACAAAUUUAAAUUAAAAUAAAUCAAAUGAUCAAGAAAGAUGGAGAAAAAAAUAGCUAAAUUGAAAUGUCAACUUCGUUAUGUGAUGAACCAUUCCAAAAAAAGGUCCAUGAAAUUUAUGAUCUAAAUACAUACAAUUCACUAAAAAAAAAAAAAAAUUAAAUAACAAAAGGUAUAAAUAACUUAAGCACACAACUAAAUGAAGCUAAUUAAAGACUGUCUUUGUCUCACUUUUAUGGCACAAGUGAAUAAGAAACUGAGAAUAGAUUAGGCCCUUUCAUUGGUGGCAUUUCAUUAUGCAAUGAUGAGGGAUUGUUUUGUCUAAAAUUUUAUUUUUACAACUCUUCUCUAACAAGGUUAUACCUAAUAUAAUGUUAAGUAAUCUUUAUUAGUUUUGUUUUGGUUUUUUUUUUUUUUUUUUUGUUACAAGAAUGGAUCUAGAGAAAGGAGAAAACCCCACAAAAAGGAAGUACAAAGGAAUGACACAAAAGUCCAUGAUUACCAAGAACAUGAGCAAAGGGAUCAAAUUGCAGGUUAAGUACAAUCUUAAUGGCAUUUUCAUAGGAGAAUCGACAGUUCAUUGAACAAGCUGUUUAGGUGUAUUAGCACGCACUAUGGUGCUAAUAAGAUAUCAAACUUAGCACAUUGUACAUAAAUGGUUGAACAAUAAGUUAUGGGACAACAUUGAGGUAACACAUUCUUACCUGCAUCACCUUUAUGCAAAACACCAAUCAUUGCUAACUACAUGAAGUUACUAAAACGUAUACUAUUAAUGUGUAAGGUGUUUUUUCAUUAAAUCACAAAAGUAGGAGGAAUUGUAUGCUAACAAUUGGAAAAUGUUUUUGAUCAUUUAAGAACAUGCUAACAAUGAAGUACAUUCUUCCUUUCAAAGAUCAACCGAAGCUCCUCAAAAAACUAGCAAUUCAAUAUAUUUUUAUUGAGGAUGAAGAUUGGACAAUGUUUGUUAAAGAUCGAUUUUCUGAUAGAUUUAAGGUAUAAUUACAACUCCUUACAUAUCUUGUAUUCACAUUCAUUAAUUAUACAUUUUUAAUUUAUAGCAAUAUCAAGAAGUUCAAAAAGAAAGAAGAAAGAAACACAUUUAUAAUCACGAUCUAAGUAGGAAAAGAUAUGUUGGUCUUGAGGAAAAGAUGGUAAGUUUAUACUAAUUUAUAGUUUUUUAUUUAUUUUAUACAUAAUACAUAAUAGUGUUAUAUAUUUAUUACAUUAUAUAUUGUCUCCUUUUAGAAGAUGGUUGCAAGUGGGUCAACUGAAUCUAUUGAUCAAAGCAUAUUAUGGAAGAAAACAAGAGAAAAAAUGAUGGCACCUUUGAUGAAGUGGCCACACCAGUGAUUGAGAAAAUAGUAAGUGGAUAUUUUCAACCUUAAUUUCAUUUAUUUAUAAUAACUAAUUUAUGAUAACAAAUUUGUAAUUGAACUUCAUAAUUAACAUUUUUUUUUAAGGAUAAGCUAUUGAAAGAGUCUCAAGAGAAUGAUAGGAGUGUCAAUGGGAGUAAUGAUAUACUUGUAGAAUCAUUAGGUACUCCUGAGUAUAGUGGUCGAGUUAGCGCCAAAGGAAAGCACCACACACCUCGUCAAUAUUUUAAUAGUGUUGUAGAUCAUGGUGUCAGGGAUUUUAUAGCAGCAUCUAAAGAAGAACAAAUAAACUUUCAGGCAGAAGUGCUAGCAAAAUUGUCUCAAGUGAGAGCAAUCACUCCCCAAUUUGAUGUUAGCAAUUCGAACAUGAAACAAAAACAAUUUCUCCUACUAGAAGUAUUGGAGAAGCUAAUCCAUAGAGGUGAAGAUUCAGCCCCACUAGUGCCAAUAGAACCAAAGAACAAGGUAUUUAUCUAGUUAAGCUAAUUUGAUGAUAAUGUUUGUUGUAAUAGGAGAUAUAAUUUAUGUAAAUUUUUUUGUUUGAAUUUAAUUCAAUUGUUGGUGGCAUAUAUAUGGUCUUCUUUUAUGUGGUGCAAUAUAAGAAAAUCAAAAGGUCGUCAAAAAAAUAUUUUAGCAUUUUGUUCAUUCACAAAAUAGAUAAUAUAAUUUAGUUGUCUACAUAAUUAGAUCAUAUGGGAUUUUUAUUUCAUAUAUUAUGAAACUUUUAAUAUUCAGUAAUUAUUUUUUAUUUAUUAUGCAUUACUAACCUCUUUUAUUUUAAGAAUAGCUAUUAUUUAUAUAACCACAUAAUAAUUUUCAUGCCUUAAUUCAAUCUUUCCAAUGUUAUUUAAAAUUACUUCAUAUCUCAAAUUUUUGCUUGUACCUUAUAAAUGGUUUUCAAUAUUCACCAGUAUUAAUUUGAAGAUGUAGACUUGAAAGAAUGAAAUAGAGAAAUAUUGGCUCAUAUCUAAUAAUAUUACUUCAUUUUGUAGGUUACAAAAUGUGAGUUGGCCAUGGAGACCAAGGCAAAUAUAGUGGCCAGUGGCACAAUUAUACCUGAAUGUGGUCCUAACUAUCUAGUAGUUGUUGAUGCUCCUUAUGAUUCAAGUGCACCCCUUCCCAUUCCUAUUCCUGGACAAACUACUAUUGUUGGGACUGAAAUUGGUUACCAAGUUUUAUGGCUAGCUCACUUAGUUAUCAUUCAUACUCCUAUCUCAGUAAGUAAAUUUAAUUACCAAGCUUUAUGAUAACCUUAAAUAAAAUAAAAAAAAUCAAUUUUUUUUGCAUAUUCAACUAGUUGAUUUGAUUUGUACCAUGGUUCUUAAUUGUAUAGACAUCUAAGAAAGGAAAGAAACAAAAAGAAAAUGAAGUUGAAGUCAAAUCUAAGGGUGAAAAAACACAAGAUAUCAAGAAUUUUGAGGCAUUGGUUGGCCUCAUGCUGAGUACCUCAAGAGUACAUCCUAUUGACUUCCCAAAUGAUGUUUUUGGUUAGAGUUUCAAGACCUUCCUAAUGAAAGAAGAUAUGGACAUGAUUGUAUCAUUAAAAGAAGUGUCAUCCAAUUAUAUCUUAUACUACAUCUGGUGAGGGAUUUUAUAAUUUUUUUUAAUUACUCUUCACAAUUUUUUAAGGUAAAAGGUUAUUUGCUAAUGACCUAUAAUGAUUGUUGAUAACUUAUUAUGCGUCAUUUAAUUAGACACCUACAUAGAAAGUUGAUUGAUGGAAAGUAGGUUGAACGAUAUGUUUUUGUCAAUCUAGCAUUGGUUUCAAAAACUGGAAUGAGAGAGGGAAGUAGAGAAAAUAGGUCAAGGGUCAUUGCGGAUCAACUAAGGAAUGCAAAACAUGUUGAAUAUAUGCUUAUUCCAUACAAUCCAGAGUAAUCUUUUAUCCCAAAUCCCGAUAUGGUGUAUAUAAGUUAGUUUGUGAUGUAUUAAUUUGUGGAUAUUAUAUUCCAAAAUUAAUUUUUCUUUUCUUUUUUCUUUAGUUUCCACUAGAUCUUAGUGGCACUAGAAAUGAAGAUAAUGAUCGCAUAUUACCUUGAUCCAAUGGCUUGUCAACCAUGUGAUGAUCUUAGGGAGAUAGUUAACAUGUAAGUGUGUACUUAUCAUAUUUUAGUAUAAUGCAUAUUGUCUAUAAAACAUCAUUUCUUUUUUAUAGGGCAAUUAGAAUCAACCCACUAGAAAAACAGAAAACAUAAAAGAGAGAGCUGACUUGGGUGAAAGUGGUUGUAAGUACUUAUUCCUUUAGAUUAAAAUAUAUUGUUUGACCACUUAAUUCACUACACAAAAUUAGGAAAUGGAUGGUUAUUAAUAUGAUGAUCAGUUAGAUACUAAAGAAGUAAGAACAUUAUUCUAUGCUUGUUGUAAUUGUUGAUACUUUUGCCAUAGUGUCCAAGACAACCAGGUAGUGUGGAAUGUGGGUAUUACGUGAUGAGAUACAUGAAACAAAUCAUUGCUAAUCCAAACCAACUAACAUCAAAGGUUUGUACGCAAUGCAAUUCAUAUGGUUGGUCAUUUUAUUAUAGCACUUGGUUUUUCAAUUCAACUUAGUGAAGGUGUAUGUUAUUCCAUUUCAGUUUAAUGGGAGAAAAACAUAUAGUGAAAUGGAGAUUAAUGAAGUUUGCUCAGAUUGGGUUAUGCUAAUGACUCAAUUAAUCAUUACUCAUGCUUGAAAGUACUUUGUUUGACUUAUAGUCUAAUAUAACUUCAUAUUAUUCUAAAGAUCUAGUGAAUAUUUUGUUAAUGUUAAUUUUAUAAUUUAUUCUUAUUCAUGAUUUGUUAAUGCAUAUCUUGGUACUCCUAGUUGGUAGUGUUUUCAAUAUGGAUCAUGCAAUGGUUGCUCUAUUUUGAUGGAUGUGUAAUUGGCAAAUUGAGAGGUGAAGCCUAGUAAACAUGGUAGGUGUCACAACCUUGGUGUAUUUCCUAUACACAUCCUUAUUAGUUGGAUUUGUACAAAUCCUAGUGUUUUAAUGGUACUAAAAUUCAUGCAUUUUCAAAGUCUUUAGUCUCAUUAUAUGUGCAUGCAUUAAGAAUAUGUCUAUCCUCAAAAAAACCAUUUUGGAUCCUUAAGAUCACUUGCUUUAUAACUUUUUUCAAUCUAAAUUUGUAAAGGGCUCCUCCUAAACUAGUGUGCUAAAAGUUUAAAAUAUCUUAUACUUAUGUUUUCUUUGACAUUAAAAAAUAGAAAGUUAGAUUAAGACUUCUUACAAAUAAGCCUAUGGAAAAAAAAAUAGCACCUCAUUCUCCCUAAAUAGGCCUCCAAAGCCUCUUUGUCUAGAAUAGGGUAUCAACUUGAAUACUAGCUCCUCAAUCUAAAUACAAUUGUAAGGAAAGAAACUAGUCAUUCUGACAUAAUAUUUUUUUCCUCCACAAAGGCCCUUUUACUUUAAGUCUGUUGAUGAUUGUUACAAAAAUAAACCCUUUGUCCAUAUCAUGUAGUUUUUGCUAUCUUUGGUGUUAUUUUACUCUUUUAAUCAAUAAAGUAUUGCCAAUGUAUUAUUUUUCAUGGAUUCAUAACAGUCAAGUUAAAAGAUUAAUUUAAUUAUAAUGUUUUAGCUAAAAUUGAUUUCUCUUCAUUCCUAGUUUCUUUAUCUCAAUUAUUCUACUACCUUUGGCUACCAACCUUCUUUGAAAUUAAUAAGCUUAUUGAAUUUAAUGUGUUAAAACUUUUAAGAAUCUAAUUUGUUGCUAAAUUGCUUAUUGUAUAUUCUUCAGGUUGUAGUGAAAGACAUAGGUCAUUAUCUUAAGUACGCCACUACUACUCUUGCUUAUUUAGACCUGAACAUGAUCAAUGACAUGAAGGACACCCUGCAAUAGUUGAAAAUUUUCAUAAAAGAAUAUUGAGGUAAGAUGUUUAGGUUAUUGUUAGUUUUAUGAAUAAAUUCCAUGUUUAAAAAAUGAUUUCAUGUAAGUUUCAUAUUUAGAAUGUAUACUUAGGAUAAUAGAUAUCCUCACAUGAUUAGAUGUUAAUGUACCCAUGCAAGCUAGCCCUUCUCUUGACAUUAUACUUCAUACCAACUACAUUAAUAGGUUAAAUAGAUAGAACCAAUAAAUUGUAAAUUUCAUGUAUAAUAGAUAUUAACAAUAGGAAGAACAUAGAUAUUUUGACAUACAAUUUCAUAAUUUUACAUAGAUAUUUUAACUUAUAACUUCAUAAUUUUUCAGACUUGUAGUCUUUUCCUUUUAAUUCCUUACUUGCUUUCUUUGCAAGACAUCCAGUGUCUUGUAGGACCUAUAAGAAGGAUGAAAAGAUGUUAAUGGUUAAAGUUUCAUAUAUAAGAUAUAAGUCAUACCAAAAUAGUCACUAAGAUCAAGACUUUUCUUUUUUGAGUUUUUUAAGAGUCUGAGAGACAUUUGUUUAUACAUAUAAUUGAUGACUUGUAAAGGCCAAUUAGGUAAAAGGGCUAAAAGAUCAUUAAAUAAUGGAGAUAGUUGAUGAACAAUGGGUUCCUUUGGCUAAUUGUAAUUCAUAGCAAUGCCUAAUUAGGGAAGAAGGUGAUUCGUGCCCAAUUGGUGUCUCAGCUGAUUCAUGUCCAACUGGUGUUCCUUGAUUGAGGGAGUAAUCAACAAAAUUUAUAACCUAUUACACCAUGAACUAGGGUAGCAAAGACAAAGCUACUAUAGCAUAGUGGCUCUAGGAUCGUUCACUGGGAUGGGUUUUCACUUCACAAAUGAUAUUAAUUCAAAGUUAAAUUGGUGCCUUUUCAUUUCAAGGUUAGCUUUAAAAGAAAACAUAAAGAUGUUUGAAUGAAAAAGGUUUGGUUUUAAGCUAACCAAAAAUAGUAACUGAUUUUACUUAUAAAGAAAAGUGUUUCUUAGAGUUUAGAUCACUAGGCUCAGGUUCCUCAUACAAAAAGGAGAGUUCCAGUCACUUGUUUCUUUUCCUCACAUUGGAGAAUUAACAUAUAGUUCAUUCUCCAAUCGGUGUUGUACAGAUGCUUCCCAUUAAUGGGUUCAAACACUAAAUCCCUCUCACUGAUGCACCUUGCAAUGGCUCAUACCUCUCACCUAGCACUUGCCAUUCAAGGUGAUCUUUAACCUUGGAUUACCCGUCAAAAGCUCGCAAGAGAUAACUAAUGGAUGUCUCCUUGGAGUCCAAAAGCUUACCAAGUGUUGGCUAUUCUAGAAAAUCCUACCUUCAAACCACCUCCCAAAGGCUCACAAGAGAUAAACUAGUGAAUCUCCAUGGACGGAGAUCACUUGCCUUACCAAGUGUUGGCCCAGGUGAUUUAAAGGCGUUUUAAGUUAACUAAAAAGAUAAAAACCAUUAACGGGUCACACUUUCUCUUCAUUAAAAACUAAAACAACAAAACUUCCAAUUUAUGCAUGUGGAAACUUACCCGACUUUCUUCACUCCAAGAGACAAAAAGCCUAGCCUCUCAUCCUCUGAGGAAAAAUCCUCAGAGUUUGUUUGGCUAGCAAGAAAAUGAAAAUGAAAGAGAAGGAAAAAAAACAGAGCAAGGCUUUGUAUAUUCUAUAUAUUUCUAUAUCUAUCUCCCAUUGGAUUACAUGAUGCUAUAUUACAUGAUAUAUAUAUUACAAUGGAUGCAAGGGAAUAUAUAUAGAGAAGUUUUUCCAACCUUCCUAGCUAAGAAAUCUUAUGGUUGGUGGAUUACAAGGAGAAGAAUGGAAAUUUAUACAAAAAUAUCUGAAGAAAAUAUCUAAAAGAGUCGGUCUCAAAUAUCGGGAAGCACUAGGGACCAUUUCGCAGGUGAAAACGAGGUCUACGAGAUUUCGCAGAUGCACACAAAGGGCUGCGAAAUCACUUCUCAGCAAAAGGGUAUUCUCGCAAGGCUGUGAAGUUGUCUUUCAUGUUGAGGUUCUCAGCUUCCAACUUGUCGCAUAUAUCGGGCAACUUCAGGAGGAAUUCCAUAGCACUAUGCAAAAUGGCUGCGAAAUCAUUUCGCAACAAAAGGGUGAUUUCGCAACACUUUUGCAAAAUGCUUUCUUCAGCUUAGAGUGAUUGACUUGCAGUGGCUGUAACUUCUUCGUUUCAACUCCAAAUUGCGCACCGUUUGAAGCAUUGGAUUGUUGAAUUCCUGAGCUUUGAUAUGGUAUAUAGAAUGUAGAAAAUGGACUUCGAAAAGUGCUCCAAAAGUGCAAAAGAAGACUACAGCUGUUGUCCUCUGUUUUCUUCACUCUGUUUUUCCUCUCUCCAUUGUUCUUUCCUUGCAUACUUUGAACGACUUUGGCAAAGGGCUAUGGAGCUCCAAAGCUUGGUUCUUCAUGAAUUUGAGCUUCCAAAAUCUUUGCCAUGAACUAUAUACAGCUCUCCCUCAUUCUUGGAUUGCUUUGGUGAUCAAAAAGCUAUCAAAACACCAAAACUUAACACAAUUUGAUUAGAAUUGAUUGCAAGGGUCCUUAACAUGUCAAUUGAGUUAAAAGGUAAUAACUACUACUCAAAAGUGUUUAAAAGAGUUAAUUAUAAGCUAUGAAAUUGCACUUUUUGAGUAGUAGUCCCUCCCCCCAACCGACAUAUUGCUAGUCCCUUAGCAAUGAAGGAGAGAAAAAUAAAAAUAAACAAUACUAUAAUUUACAACAUCAUGCUUGAUCAAAAAAACAAUUUUCAAGUGGCAUGAUGAUCUAACUCUCACAUGGAACAUUAAAGAAAUAAAACUCAAACUUCAACAAGAGUUAUCAAAUAACUUGUCUAAUCACAAUUCUUAAAGAGAAGGCAUUAUGCAAAUUUAAGCUUCAAAAUAAUUUACACUCCCAAAGGUCCAAACCUUACUCUUCCACAAAAAUCUAUGUGUUAUUUAUUAGUUUCCGAAUAUAGUAUGUUGAACUAAUCUCUCCCCCCAACCUAGUUUUUUUUUUCAAAGCUUAGCAAACUGAUCAACCUCCAAUAGGCUAAGAACGCACCUCUUUUUUCACAAUUUUUUUCAUUGUAAGAGUACAAGGCUUAAAGGUAUUCUUUUCUAAAUUUUCCAUGUAACGGGGGUCCAUCGAUGACUCCCAACCAAUUAAGGUUUAGGGCACAAGCUUUAAGGAUCUUUCAACCACUAACUCCUCGGAUUUUACCCCGAACUUUUGAGAAUGAAUUUUAAUACCCAAGCACCUACAGUAUGUUAAACUCCACCUAUUUACCCUUGUAACGAGCAUUGAGGUCGGUGACUCCCAACCAAUUAAGGCUUAGGGCACCAGGUUUUAAAGAUUUUCACCAUAUACCCCUCGGACCUUGCUCGGGUUUCAAGGCAAGCAAACAUUUUUUUUUUCUUUCUUUUUUUUCUUCAAAGACUCAUUGGCCUUUUAUAAGGUGUCCCAACACUAUUAAAUGAGGUCAAAGGUACCAAGUCUAAAAUUUUCCUAAGUCAAGAGGGAAAUAGUUUUUCAUCUUAUAGUCGGAAUCUAUUGUGCACAGUGUAUGAAUAGCUUAAAGUGGAAGAACUGAGGUUGAAUUCAAUAGAAGUUUCAACAAUUCAUCAACUUUAGUAAGCAUAAUACAAACUUUAAGUCAAGUAAAAAGACAAAAAUUCAAUUUCUCCCAUUUCAUUUUGAAAAUUUUUCCUUAAUAACCAUGGAGAGUAGAAUAAAAACUUUAAAAAAUUUUAAAAAUUAAGCAAAAAACAACUAAAUUAUCAAAAUAACUUAGCAUUAAUAAAAAAACUUACUUCCUCAACUCUCCCCCCAACCAAGCUGAACAUUGUCCUCAAUGUGACAAAAACGAUUGAAAAAUAGGGAGGAAGUGGUACCUCCUUAGUGACAUGGAGUUUGAGUCGUAUAGGAGAAACCACAUGUUUCAAAGAAAACAUAAGAGUUAGUGAGUAGAGGAAAUAGAAAAAUGCCAAGUUUAAACAAAAAUUGAUGUCUAUAUAUGAUGCAUCAUCAGUAAUACAUCCAAUCCCAGAAUAUAAGACAUCAAAACAUGGAGCUAUGUAUACUAAUAUAAUAUGUAAAGACAAAAAGUAAAGAGAUGAUCAAGUAAUGGUAAGGUCCUAUGGAGCUUAUGCGUCUGUGGUGGCCUCUUGAAUGGGUUGGAUCAGGACUUUGGCCUCUGUUCUGGUAAUCUCCUUAGGUGGCAUAGUCUCCUCAGUUGGAGCUAUGGGCUCUGAUGGUUUUAGGAGGUUAGAAAUGGAGUGAGAGGCUUAGUGUGUGUGAUCCCAAGGUGCGCGGGGCUCUCCUCUUCAGAUGCAUGGUCGCGAGGCUCUAUUGGCAUUUUAGCAACUUCCAUUGGCUUUGCAAGGUGUUUUUGCAAACCUUCCUCCAUUUCGCAAGUCAAUUUCGCAAUUUGAAGGCCAUUUUGAAGCUUGGAGGUGAUUUCGCAGCCAUUUUGAAGCUUGGAGGUUAUUUUGCAGGCAAUGGGCAAUUUUGCAGCCCAUUUCACAGCUUGGAGAUGAUUUCGCAACCAUUUCGAAGCUUGGAGAUCAUUUCGCAGCAAAGUGGCAUUUUCGCAUACCAUUUCGUAGCCUAAAUGUGAUUUCACAUCCGUAUCACAGCUUCGAAAUGAGGGGAACUGUGCUGCAAAAUGGCACUCAUGUGCCAAAAAGUGGUUUCGCAGCUGCGAAACACCCUUCCAAAUGGCGUCUCAGCUGCGAAAUUCCCGCUCAGCUUUGCGCGCUCGUCUUUAAACGGCCAUAACUUCUUCAUUUCACCUCCAAAUCGCGUACCGUUUGAAGCUAUGGACUUCAGACUUCCCAAUAUUUGAAACGAGAUAUGGUAUACAUAAUUUGAGCUCCAAUAAGUGCUUCAAAAAUCUGUCCAACAGUUGCAAAAUGGAGGUGCGACAUUUCCGCUCAUGGUUUGCACAGUCAUCUUCAAACGGCCGUAACUUUUCCGUUUCAAAUCCAAAUCGAGCACCGUUUAAAGCUAUGGACUUCUGACUUCCCAAGAUUUGAAAUGAGAUAUUGCAUGCAUAAUUUGAACUUCGGGAAGUGAUCAAAUUGUGUCCAACAAUUGCCGAAAUUGGGGUGCGGUUGUGACAUGUCUGUUCAUGGUGUGCGCGCUGAAGGAUUUUAAGGUGUGGAGGUUUCGCAGCCAUUUCGCAGCUGCGAAAUGAGUGUACGGGGCUUCCAAAUGGCACUCAUGUGCCAAAAAGUGGUUUCGCAACCGCAAAAUACCCUGCGAAAUAGAGCUUUGGCUGCGAAAUUGGAAGUUUUUACGCUUUGUGAUUUCGCAGCCAUUUCGCAACUGCGAAAUGAGGGUCACUAUGCUGCGAAAUGGCACUCGUGUGCCAAAAAGUGGCUUCGCAGCUGAGAAAUCCUCUGCGAAAUGGAGCUUUCCCUGCGAAAAUAGGAUCUUUCAUGCUUUGGUGGUUCACAGCCAUUUCGCAGCUGCGAAAUGGGGGUUCCUGUGCUGCGAAGUGGCACUCGUGUGCCAAAAGUGGUUUCGCAGCUGCGAAAAUUUUCGCAAAGAGGGGCCUGAGGCUGCGAACUGGUUUCGCAGCAAAGUGCCGAUUUCGUAGAGGCUGCGAAAUCUCGUAGACCCCUAUUUUUCCCCUGUUUUUGCCCUGUUUUUGACCCGUUUUUGCUCCGAAAGACUUCCUUUCAAUUUCUUUGCAAUUCCUCCUGAUUUUGAUCAUCCAAAAAUCUAUAUUACAUCAAAACAAAUUAGAAUUAAAGCAUUGAAAUCAAAAUUAAAGCAUUGAAAUCAAAAUUAAAACAAGUAAAAAACAAAAUAAAAAGAUAUGGACUAGCUAGUCUUUAAAAAGACUAAGUCCAUCAAAAAAUUUGCUCCUGAUUUAGCUUGCCCGGAUCCCAUAUGAAGUUUGCAUCCUUCACUUGAGACUUGGUUUGUAUGAUUUUCCCAUACAAAGCUUGGAGAAAAGGUGGAGGCAUGUGUUUCUUCAUAAAUUCUUCCUUGAUGACUAUCCUCUGUGGUUCUCUUUGUACAUUAACAGUAUAGUCAUCUUUCUCUAUGCUUUUCCCCUUUUUCUUUCCUUUGAUUUCCUCCCUCUUUUCUUUCUCUGUUUCACUCUCUACCUUAUGCUCUAGCUUGCAUGUGGGCAGAUCAACCUCUUUACCACUCAAAGUGAUAACCGUUUUAACUUCCUUCACCAUUGAAGAUUCUCCCUCUUGAGCCUCCACUUCAUGGAUACUCAUGGAAUUUUGAUAAGGUUGAGAAGGAGAGUUUUCUUUCUCUUGCACUGUGUUGAGGUUGGCAAACCUUGAGAUUGAAUCUUGGAGAAUAUCUAUCUUCUGAGAUAGAUCAUUUUGCACUUCAUCCAUCCUUUUAAUCAAUGAACUCUCUACACUGUCAAUUCUUUGACUAAGCUGAGCAUUGAUGGAUUUCUGAGCUCCAACAAAGUCUCCCACGAACUUGCUAAGAUUCACCAUAGCUUGUUCAAGGCUUGAGGCUUACGGAAGUGCUUGAACAUGUUGCUUGUACUGAGGCGGCUGUGGUUUCCAAGAGAAUUUUGGAUAGUCCCUCCAAUUGGAAUUGUAGGUGUUGCAAUCACCAAACAUUUCCCUCUCGGUUGGAAUGGUAGGACACUCAUCCACCAAGUGCUCAUAUGAUCGACAAAUGGCACAAGGCAUAGCUUGCAAUGGUGUCUGAGAGAUGGCUUGCACUGGUUGCAUAUUCAUCAUUUCUAGCUCUUCCAAUCUCCUUUCCAUAAUUGCAAUUUUUACCUUCAUGUUUAAGCUGUCAUUCAAAAUAUACAUCUCACCCUUAGCAUUAGGUUGAGACGUCAUUCUUCCCAUAUCUCGAGCAUUUGGUUCAUCCCAUCCUCUUGAGACUUCAACCAUAUAACUCAUGAAGUUCAUGACUUCCUCUGCUAUCUCGUAUUCAAUAUGGCAUGCACAACUAGCAAUUUGUGAAUUAAAAACAGAUAACACAAAAGAAAACAAAAGAAAAACAAUUCAAAGAAAGAAAAUUAAGGUAAACUAAAAACUAAAUAAAAGGUAUACUAAAAUAUGAACAAUAAAGAAAUAAAAAGAGUUAGUAAAAGGAAAAGAAAAGUCACCAAACUUGUGAUGAAGAUCACAAGUACUCUGAAAAGGUGAUAUCAAUGUAAAGUGGCACCAUCCCCAGCAACGGCGCCAUUUGAUUCAUGCCCAAUUGGUGUCUCAACUGAUUCAUGUCCAGCUGGUGUUCCUUGAUUGAGGGAGUAAUCAACAAAAUUUAUAACCUAUUACACCAUGAACUAGGGUAGCAAAGACAAAGCUACUAUAACAUAGUGGCUCUAGGAUCGUUCACUGGGAUGGGUUUUCACUUCACAAAUGAUAUUAAUUCAAAGUUAAAUUGGUGUCUUUUCAUUUCAAGGUUAGCUUUAAAAGAAAACAUAAAGAUGUUUGAAUGAAAAAGGUUUGGUUUUAAGCUAACCAAAAAUAGUAACUGAUUUUACUUAUAAAGAAAAGUGUUUCUUGGAGUUUAGAUCACUAGGCUCAGGUUCCUCAUACAAAAAGGAGAGUUCCGGUCACUUGUUUCUUUUCCUCACAUUGGAGAAUUAACAUAUAGUUCAUUCUCCAAUCGGUGUUGUACAGAUGCUUCCCAUUAAUGGGUUCAAACACUAAAUCCCUCUCACUGAUGCACCUUGCAAUGGCUCAUACCUCUCACCUAGCACUUGCCAUUCAAGGUGAUCUUUAACCUUGGAUUACCCGUCAAAAGCUCGCAAGAGAUAACUAAUGGAUGUCUCCUUGGAGUCCAAAAGCUUACCAAGUAUUGGCUAUUCUAGAAAAUCCUACCUUCAAACCACCUCCCAAAGGCUCGCAAGAGAUAAACUAGUGAAUCUCCAUGGACGGAGAUCACUUGCCUUACCAAGUGUUGGCCCAGGUGAUUUAAAGGCGUUUUAAGUUAACUAAAAAGAUAAAAACCAUUAACGGGUCACACUUUCUCUUCAGUAAAAACUAAAACAAUAAAACUUCCAAUUUAUGCAUGUGGAAACUUACCCGGCUUUCUUCACUCCAAGAGACAAAAAGCCUAGCCUCUCAUCCUCUGAGGAAAAAUCCUCAGAGUUUGUUUGGCUAGCAAGAAAAUGAAAAUGAAAGAGAAGGAAAAAAAACAGAGCAAGGCUCUGUAUAUUCUAUAUAUUUAUAUAUCUAUCUCCCGUUGGAUUACAUGAUGCUAAAUUACAUGAUAUAUAUAUUACAAUGGAUGCAAGGGAAUAUAUAUAGAGAAGUUUUUCCAACCUUCCUAGCUAAGAAAUCUUAUGGUUGGUGGAUUACAAGGAGAAAAAUGGAAAUUUAUACAAAAAUAUCUGAAGAAAAUAUCUAAAAGAGUUGGUCACAAAUAUCGGGAAGCACUAGGGACCAUUUCGCAGGUGAAAACGAGGUCUGCGAGAUUUCGCAGAUGCACACAAAGGGCUGCGAAAUCACUUCGCAGCAAAAGGGUAUUCUCGCAGGGCUGCGAAGUUGGCUUUCAUCUUGAGGUUCUCAGCUUCCAACUUGUCGCAUAUAUUAGGCAACUUCAAGAGGAAUUCCAUAGCACUGUGCAAAAUGGCUGUGAAAUCAUUUCGCAACAAAAGGGUGAUUUCGCAACACUUUUGCAAAAUGCUUUCUUCAGCUUAGAGUGAUUGACUUGCAGUGGCUGUAACUUCUUCGUUUCAACUCCAAAUUGCGCACCGUUUGAAGCAUUGGAUUGUUGAAUUCCUGAGCUUUGAUAUGGUAUAUAGAAUGUAGAAAAUGGACUUCGGGAAGUACUACAAAAGUGAGAAAGAAGACUGCAGCUGCUGUCCUCUAUUUUCUUCACUCUAUUUUUCCUCUCUCCAUUGUUCUUUCCUUGCAUACUUUGAACGACUUUGGCAAAGGGCUAUGGAGCUCCAAAGCUUGGUUCUUCAUGAAUUUGAGCUUCCAAAAGCUUUGGCAUGAACUAUAUACAGCUCUCCCUCAUUCUUGGAUUGCUUUGGUGAUCAAAAAGCUAUCAAAACACCAAAACUUAACACAAUUUGAUUAGAAUUGAUUGCAAGGGUCCUUAACAUGUCAAUUGAGUUAAAAGGUAAUAACUACUACUCAAAAGUGUUUAAAAGAGUUAAUUAUAAGCUAUGAAAUUGCACUUUUUGAGUAGUAAUCAGAAGGCAACCAUAUGGAUAUACCAUCUUCAUUGAUGAAGGGAAACCACCUAACCUAGUUAUUUAAUUGGUUCAGUUCUAUCAAUAAUGAAUUAGUCCAAGUAAAUGAUUAAGUGUAUACAUGCUUUAAAUUUAAGACCUACUUGGACUUAUGGCAACCCCAAUAUGUUGGUAGCAUAUUUUGAUAACCAUAGGAGAAAGUCAUCAUCCACUCAUGGUUACAACAUGAAUGAUAACAUGAGUUGGACAAAAUUAAUUAUUGCAUUCAACCCAAGUUAGAUAUACUUAUAACAUAUUUUGAUAACCAUGGGAGCAAUUCAUUAUUCACUCAUGAUUACAAUAUGAAUGAUAAUAUGAGUUGGACAAAAUUAAUUAUUGCAUUCAACCCAAGUUAGAAAAAAUCAAAUAUUGCAUUUGGGAAAACACUAUAAAGUGGUUUAUUGUUUCUGUUCUUAAACACAUAACAAGAGUUCAAGGAAUAGUUAGAAAUUUGGUGUAACAAAAUUGAUGACUACUCAAAAAGUGCUAUUUGAUAGCUUGUAAUUAACUCUUUUGAAAACUUUUGAGUAGUAGUUAUUGCCUUUUAACCCAAUUAACAUGUUAAGGACCCUUGCAAUCAAUUCUAAUCAAAUUGUGUUAAGUUUUGGUGUUUUGAUAGCUUUUUGAUCACCAAAGCUAUCCAAGAUUGAGGAGAGUUCUUUGGAAUCCAUGGCAAAGCAAUGGAAAGCUCAAAUUCAUGAAGAACCAAGCUUUGGAGCUCCAUAGCCCUUUUCCAAAGUCGUUCAAAGUAUGCAAGGAAAGAACAACGGAGAGAGGAAAAACAGAGUGAAGAAAACAGAGGACAGCAGCUGCAGUCUUCUUUUGCACUUUUAGAGCAAUUCCCGAAGUCCAUUUUCUACAUUCUAUAUGUCAUUUACAAGCUCAGGAAGUCAACAAUCCAAUGCUUCAAAUGGUACGCAAUUUGGAGUUGAAACGAAGAAGUUACAGCCACUGCAAGUCAAUCACUCUAAGCUCAAGAAAGCAUUUUGCAAAAGUGUUGCGAAAUCACCCUUUUGUUGCGAAGUGAUUUCGCAGCCUUUUUGUACAGUGUGGUGGAUUUCCUCCUGAAGUUGCCCGAUAUAUGCGACAAGUUGGAAGCUGAGAACCUCAAGAUGAAAGACAACUUCGCAGCCCUGCGAGAAUACCCUUUUGCUGCGAAGUGAUUUCGCAGCCCUUUCUGUGCAUCUGCGAAAUCUCGUAGACCUCGGUUGCACCUACGAAAUGGUCCCUAAUGCUUCCCGAUAUUUGCGAUCGACUCUUUUAGAUAUUUUCUUCAGAUAUUUUAGUAUAAAUUUCCAUUCUUCUCCUUGUAAUCCACCAACCAUAAGAUUUCUUAGUUAGGAAGGUUGGAAAAACGUCUCUAUAUAUAUUCCCUUGCAUCCACUAUAAUAGAUAUGUAGAAAUAGAUAGAUAUAUCAUAUAUAGAAUCAACGAACAGAGCACUUCCUCUGUUUUUCAUAUAUAUUCUUGUUUUCUCGUUAGUUUUCUUUCUAGCCAAUCAUUCUCUGAGGAUUUUUCCUCAGAGGAUGAGAGGCUAGGCUCUUUGUCUCUUGGAGUGAAGAUAACCGGGUAAGUUUCCGAAUGCAUAAAUUGGAAGUUUUGUUGUUUUAGUUUUUAAUGAAGAGAAAGUGUGACCCGUUAAUGGUUUUUAUCUUUUUAGUUAACUUAAAACGCCUUUAAAUCACCUGGGCCAACACUUGGUAAGGCAAGUGAUCUCCAUCCAUGGAGAUUCACUAGUUUACCCCUUGCGAGCCUUUGGGAGGUGACUUGAAGGUAGGAUUUUCUAGAAUAGCCAACACUUGGUAAGCUUUUGGACUCCAAGGAGACAUCCAUUAGUUAUCUCUUGCGAGCUUGUGACGGGUAAUCCAAGGUUAAAGAUCACCUUGAAUGGUAAGUGCUAGUGAGAGGCAUGAACCAUUGCAAGUUGUAUCAGUGAGAGGGAUUUAGUGUUUGAACCCAUUAAUGGGAAGCAUCUGUACAACACCGGUUGGAGAAGGAACUAUAUGUUAAUUCUCUAAUGCGAGGAAAAGAAACAAGUGACCGGAACUCUCUUUUUUGUAUGAGGAACCUGAGCCUAGUGAUCUGAACUCCAAGAAACAUUUUUCUUUGUAAGUAAAAUCAGUUACUAUUUUUGGUUAGCUUAAAACCAAUCCUUUUUCAUUCAAACAUCUUUAUGUUUUCUUUUAAAGCUAACCUUGAAAUGAAAAGGCACCAAUUCAGCUUUGAAUUAAUAUCAUUUGCAAAGUGAAAACCCAUCCCAGUGAACGAUCCUAGAGCCACUAUGCUAUAGUAGCUUUGUCUUUACUACCCUAGUAUAUGGUGUAAUAGGUUAUAAAUUUUGUUGAUUACUCCCUCAAUCAAGGAGCACCAGCUGGACACGAAUCAGCUGAGACACCAAUUGGGCACGAAUCAAAUGGCGCCGUUGCCGGGGAUCGAACCCCGAAUCAAAUGGUGUCGUUGCCACUGCCGCUGCUAGGGACGAAUCAAAUGGCGCCGUUGCCAGGGAUGGUGCCACUUUAUAGUGAUAUCACCUUUUCAGAGUACUUGUGAUCUUCAUCACAAGUUUUGGUGACUUUUCUUUUCCUUUUACUAACUCUUUUUAUUUCUUUAUUUUUCAUAUUUUAGUAUACCUUUUAUUUAGUUUUUAGUUUACCUUAAUUUUCUUUCUUUGGAUUGUUUUUCUUUUAUUUUCCUUUGUUUUCUCUGUUUUUAAUUCACAAAUUGCUAGUUAUGCAUGCCAUAUUGAAUACGAGAUAGUAGAGGAAGCCAUGAACUUCAUGAGUUAUGUGGCUGAAGUUUCAAGAGGAUGGGAUGAACCAAAUGCUCGAGAUAUGGGAAGAAUGAUGUCUCAACCUAAUGCUAAGGGUGAGAUGUAUAUUUUGAAUGACGGCAUAGACAUGAAGGCAAAGAUAGCAGCUAUGGCAAGGAGAUUGGAAGACCUAGAAAUGAAGAAUAUGCAAGAAGUGCAAGCCAUCUCUCAAACACCAUUGCAAGCUAUGCCUUGUGCCAUUUGUCUAUCUUAUGAGCACUUGGGGGAAGAGUGUCCUACCAUUCCAGCCGUGAGGGAAAUGUUUGGUGAUUGCAACACCUACAAUUCCAAUUGGAGGGACCAUCCAAAAUUCUCUUGGAAACCACAGCCGCCUCAGUACAAGCAAGAUGUUCAAGCACUUCCGCAAGCCUCAAGCCUUGAACAAGCUAUGGUAAAUCUUAGCAAGGUCGUGGGAGACUUUGUUGGAGCUCAGAAAUCCAUCAAUGCUCAGCUCAAUCAAAGAAUUGACAGUGUAGAGAGUUCAUUGAUUAAAAGGAUGGAUGAAGUGCAAAAUGAUCUAUCUCAGAAGAUAGAUAAUCUCCAAGAUUCAAUCUCAAGGUUUGCCAACCUCAACACAAUGCAAGAGAAAGAAAACUCUCCUUCUCAACCCUAUCAAAAUUCCAUGAGUAUCCAUGAAAUGGAGACUAAGGAGGGAGAACCUUCACAAAAGAGGGAAGUCAAAGAAGUGAUCACUCUGAGGAGUGGUAAAGAGGUUGAUCUGCCCACAUGCAAGCUAGAGCAUAAGGUAGAGAGUGAAACAAAGAAAGAAAAGAGGGAGGAAAUCAAAGGAAAGAAAAAGGGGAAAAGUACAGAGAAAGAUGACUAUAUAGAUGAAGAACCACAAAGGAUAGUCAUCAAGGAAGAAUUGAUGAAGAAACACAUGCCUCCACCUUUUCUCCAAGCUUUGUAUGGGAAAAUCAUACAAACCAAGUCUCAAGUGAGGGAUGCAAGCUUCAUAUGGGAUCCGGGCAAGCUAAAUCAGGAUCAAAUUUUUUGAUGGACUUAGUCUUUCUAAAGACUAGCUAGUCCAUAUCUUUUUGUUUUACUUAUUACUUGUUUUAAUUUUGAUUUCAAUGUUUUAAUUUUGAUUUCAAUGCUUUAAUUUUGAGUUCAAUGCUUUAAUUUUGAUUUCAAUGCUUUAAUUCUAAUUUAUUUUGAUGUAAUAUAGGUUUUUGGAUGAUCAAAAUCAAGAGGAAAUGCAAAGAAAUUGAAAGGAAGUCUUUCGGAGUCAAACGGAGUGAAAACAGAGCAAAAACAGAGAAAAACAGGGCAAAAACAGGGGUCUGCGAGAAUUUGCAGCCUCUGUGAAAUCAGCACUUUGCUGCGAAACCAGUUCGCAGCCAUAAGCCCCUCUCUGCAAAAAAUUUCGUAGCUGCGAAACCACUUUUGGCACACGAGUGCCACUUCGCAGCACAAGAGCUCCCAUUUCGCAGCUGCGAAACGGCUGCGAACCACCAAAGCAUGAAAGAUCCCAUUUUCGCAAGGAAAGCUCCAUUUCGCAAAGGAUUUCACAGCUGCAAAGCCACUUUUUGGCACACGAAUGCCAUUUUGCAGCACAAUGACCCUCAUUUCGCAGUUGCGAAACGGUUGUGAAAUGCCAAAACGUAAAAACUCCCAAUUUCGCAGCCAAAGCUCCAUUUCGCAGGGUAUUUCGAAGCUGCAAAACCACUUGUGCCAUUUGGAAGCCCCGUACACUCAUUUCGCAGCUGCAAAAUGGCUGCGAAACCUCCACACCUUAAAAUCCUUCAACGCGCACACCAUGAACAGACAUGUCACAGCCGCACCCCCAUUUCGGCAAUUGUUGGACACAUCUCGAUCACUUCCUGAAGUUCAAAAUUAUGCAUGCAAUAUCUGGUUUCAAAGCUUGGGAAGUCAGGAGUCCAUAGCUUCAAACAGUGCUCGAUUUGGAUUUGAAACGGAAAAGUUAUGGCCGUUUGAAGAUGACUGUGCAAACCAUGAGCGGAAAUAUCGCACCUCCAUUUCGCUACUUUUGGACACAUUUUUGAAGCACUUCUUGGAGCUCAAAUUAUGCAUACCAUAUCUCGUUUCAAAGCUUGGGAAGUCAGGAGUCCAACGUUUCAAACGGUACGUGAUUUGGAGGUGAAAUAAAGAAGUUAUAGCCGUUUAAAGAUGAGCGUGCAAAGUUGAGCGGGAAUUUCGCAGCCGAGACGCCAUUUGGAAGGGUGUUUCGCAGCUGCGAAACCACUUUUUGGCACACGAGUGCCAUUUUGCAGCACAGUUCCCCUCAUUUCGAAGCUGCAAUACAGCUGCAAAAUCACCUUUGAGCUGCGAAACCACUUUUUGGCACAUGAGAGCCAUUUCGAAGCCCCGUACACUCAUUUUGCAGCUGCAAAAUGAGCUGCGAAAUCAAUUUUGGGCUGCGAAAUCACUUUUGAGCUGCGAAAUGGCUAUGAAAUGAUCUCCAAGCUUUGAAAUGGCUGUGAAAUGAUCUCCAAACUUCGAAAUGGCUACGAAAUCACCUCCAAGCAUCGAAAUGGCCUUCAAAUUGCAAAAUUGACUUGCAAAAUGGAGGAAGGUUUGCAAAAACACCUUGCAAAGCCAAGGGAAGUUGCUAAAAUGCCAUCAGAGCCCCGCGACCAUGCAUCUGAAGAAAAGAGCCCCGCGCACCCUGGGAUCACACACACUAAGCCUCUCAUUCCAUUACUGACCUCCUUAAACCAUCAAAUCCCAUAGCUCCAACUAAGAGCUCCAGUUGAGGAGACUAUGCCAUCUAAGGAGACUACCAGAACAGAGGCCAAAGUCCUGAUCCAACCUAUUCAAGAGGCCACCACAGACACAUCAGCUCCGCAUGACCUUACCAUUACUUGAUUAUCUCUUUACUUUUUGUCUUUACAUAUUAUAUUAGUAUAGAUAAUUCCAUAUUUUGAUGUCUUAUAUUCUAGGAUUGGAUGUAUUACUGAUGAUGCAUCAUAUAUAGAUAUCAUUUUUUGUUUAAACUUGGCAUUUUUUUAUUUCUUCUACUCACUAACUCUUUUGUGUUUUUUUGAAACAUGUGGUUUCUCCUAUAUGACUCAGACUCCAUAUCACAUGAGGUACCACUUCCUUCCUCCUUAUUUUCGAUUCAAACAUUGAGGACAAUGUUCAUCUCGGUUGGGGGGAGAGAUGAGGAAGUAAGUAUUAGUUUAAAUUUUUAUCAUACUUAGUUAAAUUAGCUACUUUUUGUUUAAAUUUUAAAAUUUUUGCUUUAAACUCCAUGGAUAUUAAGGAUUAACUCUCAAAAUUAAAUGAGAGAAGUCGAGUUUCAACUUGAUUACAUGAGUCUUAGAGUUUGUAUUAUGCUCUUCUAAAAGUUGAUGAAUUGUUGAAACUCCCAUUGCAUGCAAACUUAUCUCUUCCACCUUAAGCUAUUCGCACACACAUACAUUAGAUUCCGGUUAUAAGAUGUGAAACUAUCUCACCCUCUAAGCUUGAGAAAUCAUAAUUCGACACCUUUAACCUCUCUUUAAUAGUGUUGGGACACCUCAUAAAGACCAAUGAGUCUUUGUAGAAAAAAAAAAAUUAUAGAAUAAACUUCUUUACUUACCUUAAAACCUGAGCAUGGUCCGAAGGGGUGGUGAAAGCCUUUAAAGCCUGGUGCCCUAAGCCUUUAUUGGUUGGGAGUCACCGAUCCUCUGCUUGUUACAUGGGUGAAUUGGUUAAGUUUAGUAAGUGAAAAGAAUUGUGAAUAAGAGGCGCGUUCCUAGCCUAUCAAGAGAUGGUUAAUUUUGCUAAGCUUAAAGAAAGACUUAGGUUGGGGGGAGAUGAUAGUUAUCCAUACUAUACUCGGAAGCUAAUCACAUUAACACUUAGCUUUUAGUGGAAGAAUUUGAUUUGGAUCUUUUGAGAGUGGAAAUUCUUUUGAUGCUUAAACUUGCAUAAUAUCCAUUCUUUGUACUCUAUGAUCAAGUGAAUGCUUUGACAACUCUUAUUAUAGGUUGAGUUUCACAUCUUUAUUGAUCCAUGGAUGUCCGUCAUGCCACUCAAUUAUUUUUUGGAGUGAUUUGCAUGACCUCUUUUAUGUAUAUUAUUAUGUUUGCUUAGUUUUUCUCUCCUUCAUUGCUAAGGGACUAGCAAUAUGUCGGUUGGGGGGAGUGAUUACUACUCAAAAAGUGCUAUUUGAUAGCUUGUAAUUAACUCUUUUAAACACUUUUGAGUAGUAGUUAUUGCCUUUUAACCCAAUUAACAUGUUAAGGACCCUUGCAAUCAAUUCUAAUCAAAUUGUGUUAAGUUUUGGUGUUUUGAUAGCUUUUUUUAUCACCAAAGCUAUCCAAGAUUGAGGAAAGUUCUUUGGAAUCCAUGGCAAAGCAAUGGAAAGCUCAAAUUCAUGAAGAACCAAGCUUUGGAGCUCCAUAUCCCUUUUCCAAAGUCGUUCAAAGUAUGCAAGGAAAGAACAACGGAGAGAGGAAAAACAGAGUGAAGAAAACAGAGGACAGCAGCUGCAGUCUUCUUUCUCACUUUUGGAGCAAUUCCCGAAGUCCAUUUUCUACAUGCUAUAUGUCAUUUCAAAGCUCAGGAAGUCAAAAAUCCAAUGCUUCAAACGGUACGUAAUUUGGAGUUGAAACGAAGAAGUUACAGCCACUGCAAGUCAAUCACUCUAAGCUCAAGAAAGCAUUUUGCAAAAGUGUUGCGAAAUCACCCUUUUGUUGCGAAGUGAUUUCGCAGCCUUUUUGUACAGUGUGGUGGAUUUCCUCCUGAAAUUGCCCGAUAUAUGCGACAAGUUGGAAGCUGAGAACCUCAAGAUGAAAGCCAACUUCGCAGCCCUGCGAGAAUACCCUUUUGCUGCGAAGUGAUUUCGCAGCCCUUUCUGUGCAUCUGCGAAAUCUCGCAGACCUCGGUUGCACCUGCGAAAUGGUCCCUAAUGCUUCCCGAUAUUUGCGACCGACUCUUUUAGAUAUUUUCUUCAGAUAUUUUAGUAUAAAUUUUCAUUCUUCUCCUUGUAAUCCACCAACCAUAAGAUUUCUUAGUUAUGAAGGUUGGAAAAACGUCUCUAUAUAUAUUGCCUUGCAUCCACUGUAAUAGAUAUGUAGAAAUAAAUAGAUAUAUCAUAUAUAGAAUCAACGAACAGAGCACUUGCUCUGUUUUUCAUAUAUAUUCUUGUUUUCUCGUUAGUUUUCUUUCUAGCCAAUCAUUCUCUGAGGAUUUUUCCUCAGAGGAUGAGAGGCUACGCUCUUUGUCUCUUGGAGUGAAGAUAACCGGGUAAGUUUCCGAAUGCAUAAAUUGGAAGUUUUGUUGUUUUAGUUUUUAAUGAAGAGAAAGUGUGACCCGUUAAUGGUUUUUAUCUUUUUAGUUAACUUAAAACGCCUUUAAAUCACCUGGGCCAACACUUGGUAAGGCAAGUGAUCUCCAUCCAUGGAGAUUCACUAGUUUACCCCUUGCGAGCCUUUGGGAAGUGACUUGAAGGUAGGAUUUUCUAGAAUAGCCAACACUUGGUAAGCUUUUGGACUCCAAGGAGACAUCCAUUAGUUAUCUCUUGCGAGCUUGUGACGGGUAAUCCAAGGUUAAAGAUCACCUUGAAUGGUAAGUGCUAGUGAGAGGCAUGAACCAUUGCAAGUUCUAUCAGUGAGAGGGAUUUAGUGUUUGAACCCAUUAAUGGGAAGCAUCUGUACAACACCGGUUGGAGAAGGAACUAUAUGUUAAUUCUCUAAUGCGAGGAAAAGAAACAAGUGACCGGAACUCUUUUUUUUGUAUGAGGAACCUGAGCCUAGUGAUCUGAACUCCAAGAAACAUUUUUCUUUGUAAGUAAAAUCAGUUACUAUUUUUGGUUAGAUUAAAACCAAUCCUUUUUCAUUCAAACAUCUUUACGUUUUCUUUUAAAGCUAACCUUGAAAUGAAAAGGCACCAAUUCAGCUUUGAAUUAAUAUCAUUUGCAAAGUGAAAACCCAUCCCAGUGAACGAUCCUAGAGCCACUAUGCUAUAGUAGCUUUGUCUUUGCUACCCUAGUAUAUGGUGUAAUAGGUUAUAAAUUUUGUUGAUUACUCCCUCAAUCAAGGAGCACCAGCUGGACACGAAUCAGCUGAGACACCAAUUGGGCACGAAUCAAAUGGCGCCGUUGCCGGGGAUCGAACCCCGAAUCAAAUGGUGCCAUUGCCACUGCCGCUGCUAGGGACGAAUCAAAAAUUAUUGGGGUUUGUUUAGUUCUUCGAACAUGUUGAAAUUUAUUGUAGUGGAAGAAAUAUAUCUUGAAAAUUUUAAAAAUUAGUAUAUACACAUUUCAUUUAUAGAGUUGUUUUUUUCUUUACUAUUUGUCAAUAUUAGUUAUAUGUAAACUCUCAAUUAUUUUUGCAAGUUGAGCAUCUAGAACGUGAGUUGUAACCAUCCUUAUGCAUUUUGAAGAAAGAUGAUGUAGAACUAGAUGCAGCAAAAGACUAUGAACAACUCAAAGUUGAAAAAGAAAUUGUAAAAUUUUUGGUUUUUUGAACAAUUUCAACUAAAUUUAAUGCUAAGCAAAUUCAUAAUUGAUUAUGUCUAACGUUUAUUGGUAAAUUUUAAUAUUGAAAGAGGAACACCACAAUUAGUACUUUUUCUCCUAGGACUUUCUUAAAUUAACUUUUUAUUACUCAUUCAUUGUUUGUGGAAAAUUAUAAAAUAGGGCAUAAUUAGGACUUUUAUGGGUUAUUAAAAUUUCGAAUGAGAUAAGAUUACACUUUUUAAAAGUGUCAUGCUUUGUUCUCAUAGGAUAUUAAAGGCAAAAGAUGACACUUAUUAAGAGUGUCAAAUGUCAACGUCACUUUAAUCUAUACAAUAAUGCCUUUCAUAAGCAUCAAGGUUGAGGAUUUCAAAACAUGCUUUUUUCGAGCAUCAAGGUUGAAAAUUGCUAUAAGAUGACACUUAUCAAUCGUGUCGAUGUUGCUCCUACCUGUACAAUGACGCUUUAUCGAGUGUCAAUAUUGAGAUGAAUGAAAUUGCAAACUUAUAAUGACACUUAUAGAGGGCCAAGGUUUAGACUAAUGAAGCUUUCUAUGAGCGUCAUGGUUAACCGCCAAAGAAGAUGGCGCUUGUGAAAAGCAUCAACAAUUGGGAAUUCAUAUGAUGACAGCCUAAGAUAUGAUGCUUUUGGAAAGCAUCAUCUUAUAUAUCUAUCUUGACGCUUAAAAAACAUCAUCUUUUGACAUUUUUCCUUGUAGUGAAUGGAUUUCAUUGGAGCACAUCAAACCUUGUAUUACAAAUUUGUAGAACUUUGAUGACCUCAAUAGAAAAGCCAAUAGUUGAUUUCAACCCCUCUAGACUCAUACUCUUUAGUAGACCUUCAAAGCCCACAUUACACGACUUGAACUAUGAAAACCAAACCACACUAGGGUUUUCUCACCCACAAUCUGAUCAUUGUAUAGUACAUGAUUUAUUUUUUUGUCUCGUCCUUACCCAAAAGUUUGUUUGAAUCUUCUACAUAUUGUGACAUCCAAUAUCAAAAUCCAAAAAAAAAAGUAGGAAGUAACCGAACAUGGUAAAGGGCUUUUAAAUAAUCAUAAUUAGCUUUCCCUAUUUGAACACAUUAUUGUUAAGUUCCCUAGGGGUUAUCAUUAAUAGCUUUUUCUUGUAUAUCCUAAUCUGGCUCUAAUCUCUUGAUAACCUCCUUUAAUCCAAUUUUAAUUUUUGGAUGGUUGGAGAAAUACUUUGAAUAUUGGAACAUUGGAUUUAAAAAAUAUGUUGCCAUAAGUUAAAUAAUGAUCAGUUUAUAAUAAUUUGUACUUUAAAAAAUAAUAAAAAAUAUAUAAAGAAUUUUUUUAUUACCUACAACAUGCAAAUAUCUGUGCAAUUGACAUUCUCACCUUCUAUCAAUGACUUCCCAAUACUUUUCCCAUUGCUUGACCGAUGCCUUGAUAACCAAUUUAGUUUUGGCCAUUGCUUCAUAAAUGAUUGAUAGUGUGGGCUUUUUAUCUUGAUCAACCAAUUUCAAUACUUUGACGAGAGGUUCCAUGAUGGUUUGAACUUCCCCUACCUUCUUAAAAAAUCGAUCAAUUAAGAUAAGGUUGGAUACCUUAUCUCUUAGACUUUUUCUGCUCUUAUCUUUAUUGAAUUCAUUCCACUCAUUUGUUGUGCACAUUCUCUUCAAAUCAGCCUCAUAACGUAUAAGACUCUCAAGCGAAAUGAAUUUAGUGGAAAAACGGUCUAUUCUUGGUCUUAAAAGAUCUUCAUCCUUGGUGAACACUUUCAUCAAAUUCACUACUUUCAAGCUAUUAUAAAUAAAUCCUUUGAUCAUCUUUGCUUGAUCUAAUGUCUCUUUAAUCUGCUUCAUGCUUGCAAUAUCUUCAAGCAUUAAAUCAAUACAGUGGGCUGCAUAAGGAGACCAAAACAAAUGUUUCUACUUCUCCAUCAACAACAUACCGGUUGCUUUAAAACUUGUCUCAUUAUCAGUGACUACUUAAACAACAUUUUCCUCCCCAACCUCCUCUACAACUUUAUCUAUAAGGGAAAAGAUGCAAUCUACUAUCUUAGGUAUGUUGGUAGUGUCAACUAAAAAAUGGUAUAUCAUACUUCUAUCACAAUUAAUCAUGAAUCGAUGAUAGGAUUUCUAGUCCUAGAACUCUAACCAUCACACAUGAUUGUGCACCCAUAUGUAGGUCAUUUAACCUUCAAUGUUGUUAUAUAUACCUCAAGCUCUUGCACCUCCUCUUCCAAAUAUGUAUUUCCAAUUUGGUAUCCUGUGAGACCCUUGAUGCCUGAACCUGCUUCUGCUAUGGUAUCAAUCAUUGAUUGAUAGUAAGUCCUAGUGUCAGUUGCAUUAAAGGGUAUUGCAUUAAAGAGAAAGAAUUUAGAAAUAGCUUUACCCACUUUUUUCACGUCUUCAGUAGAAAACAAGCUUUUUAUUGAUUUCUACUUUGAUGGGAACAUGUAGGGAUCAAUUCUUUUUGGAGGUAUGCUAGCUCCUUCUCUUACACUGAAGCUACAUGUUGGUCCGCGCUUAAUCCUAGCAUUAGAAGGUUGUGAGGAACUAGCACCCUUCUGAUGCUCUUGUCUACCUUCUUCAAAAAUUCGACAACUUUCUUUCAUUGCUAGUUUCAUUUGUCUUCUUUCAAAAUCAGUCAUAGCAACUUCCUCAAUUUCAUCAUCAAAAUCACCCUCAUCAAUUUCAUAAAAAUUUUCUUUAUUUAAGGAACUCAAACGCAGUUCUUUUUUUUUUUUCUUUAAUUGUGCUUUUUCUUUUGAAGUAUCAGACAUAUGUUGUCUAGCACUAUGUCACACUUCUACCGGUACACGUGGACAUCCUUCCACUUGUCCGAAUAUGUGCGAUGUGUUGCUUUAAUCUUGUUAUACCGACAUGUAUAACUUUCUAACAAUAUUUACACUUCGUGGUUCUUUUACUACAACCAACAGGUUCUGCAUGCUCCCAACCAAUAUCAUGUUUUGAAGCCAUUUUGAAAUUUUAACCUAACCAUGUAUAAAAGGAAAACAACUUACUUUUCAAAUUAAAUAUAUAUAAACACAUUUAUAUAAGAAUUAUGAUAUUCAAUUUUCCACUCACUUAUAUGUUUCAUAUUGUUACCAUAUAAAAAUAAAUUAUACUAAAAAAGCAAUAAACACGAUCUCAGCUAAGUUCACCAUCGUUUAUUUUCCACGUAUUUAUAUGUUUUUUUUAAUUAAAAUAAAUGAACAUUUUUAUAAAAAAAAAUCUUUUAAAAAAGUUUGUUUUGAUAAUUAUUGAUUUCUUAUUGUAGUUUAAUUAUAGAAUAUUAUAAAAUAAAAUAUCUACAUGAUAUAAUGAAGUAAAAUUGAUUUAAAUAUAAAUGUAAUUUCUCUAUACCAUGUAAAAGCAUACCCUUCAACCCGUAUUAUUAAAUCAUUACUUUUAUAGUUAUGAUUAUUUAAAAAAAUUGUUUUAAAUAAUUAUUAAUUUUCUAAUGUAAUUUAAUUUUGCAAUAUUAUAAGAUAAAAACAUAAAUUAAAAAUAUAAUAUCUAUACCAUAUAAAUGUAUUUUAUAUUAAGAAAUAUAAUUUCUAUACUAUACAAAAAUAAUUUAGUGAACCAAUUUAAUAUUAUAAGAUAAAAAAGUUACAUAAUUUAAUAAAUUAAAAAUAUAAUCUCUAUAAAAAAUAAAAACAUUACAUAUAAAUAUAUUUAAUAUCAUCAUAAUAUUAUCAUUAUGAAUUCUCCAAUUUCAUAUAAACAUUACUUUCCAAUUCUUCAAUUUCAUAACAUUACAUCUAAGCAUUACUUUACACUACAUACAUGAAUUUCCUAAUUUUACCAAUUUAAAUACAUGUAAAUCAAUUUAAUAUUAUAAAUUUAAAAAAUUACAUAAUUUAAUAAAUUAUAAUUAUAAUCUCAACAUAAUAAAGUAAAUCAAAUUUUAAAUAUGUUUUUAAUUGAUUCAAAUUAUGUAAUUUUUUUAAUCUAAUCUCAAAUUAUGAAUCAAAUUAGCCAGUAAAAUAUAAUUUACCAAUUUAUAUAAUUUGAUUCAAUAAAUUAAAAAUAUAAUCUCAACGCGGUGUGAUUGUGUCAAAUUUUAUCUUCACCAAUAUAUCUUCAAUUUCCUUUUUGUUGGCUUGUCUUCCCCAAUGACCCAACACACUACGAUUUGUUGGCUAUCUUCCCCAAUACACCACAUUUUGCAGAUUGUCAGACCUUCCCCAACACACCCACACUACCACACACAGUCACACGUUUGUAGUAGUCAUGACACCACACAACCACAAUCAGAGGAAAGAGAGUUGCCUUACCGGCGUCCAAUCACUGUUGCGGCACUAGUGGUGCACCAAAGAUCUACACUCUGACAAUGGUAGAUUUUGGGUCAAGUAAGUAAAUGUUCAACCAUGUCUCAUCCUUUGUUGAUUUUUCUCUUUUUAAAGGCUUUUGAAAGGGUCACAUGUUUGUUUCAAACUUGGUUUUUUUCUUCUUCUCGUUUGAUGUUGUGGUUGAAAGAUUGGGUUCGUGAAUCACAGAUUCAUGGGUGUUUUCUUUUGUAGAGGAAUCUCUUAUUUCUCUGAAAAUCUUUUAUUCUUGUUGUGAUGGGAAAUGACAAUGAAUCUCUUGAUUAGUUUUUUUUUUUUUUAAUCGAGUCUGCCAAGUUAACUCGGAAUAUCAGCCAAGUCAUUCGAGUCCAAUCGAUUCAAGGUCGAGUCUAGGUAUAAAUUUAUCUCUGGUAUCAUACUUCACGUUGCCGACGUCGAAGCGGAUACGACUCGACUGAUUUUUUGAACCUUGACUCUGAUAGUCAUGAAUAUGACCUAUUUGUUUAAGUUUGAUGAGGUCACCAAAGAGGUCUAUUAGUUACCAUUUUUCCUUUAAACUAAAGUUGUUAGAAUUUGAACCCACAAAGUAUAUUAUAUGCUAACACCUCCCUCACAUGUGACCCCAUACUUGCAUGUAGGAAGCAUAUAGCAAUAACUGUGGAAAUCAUAAUGCAACCUACAGUUUGCUUGAGAUCUAAUACCAUGUUAAGUUAUCAACUUUUUCUACAAGAUUAAGCUAUUAAAAUUUGAACCCAAGAUGUGUAUCAUACUCUAUCAAAGUCUUUGGAUUGAGUGGGUCCAUGACUCUAUAAUGUGUAUACAAACCCUCUUUAAAAACUUACCAUGUGAUGAACCUCCUCUUCUUUAACAAUUAACACCAUGAUUGGGCAUCUCCUUCUAAAAAAGGAUUAAAAGAUCAAAAAUGAUGAAAAUACUAGUGAUUAGAUUUUUCAAAAUAUUGCAAAAUAUUGGAAAUAUUGAACCAAAAUUUGGACAAAAGAUAUUGAUAGUACGAAAAUUGAUUAAACAUAGAAAUGUUAAGAAAAACUUCAAGAAAUGAUAUUACUACUUCAAUAAUACACAUAUUAAAGUUGUUUAAUAUAUAUAUAUAUAUGAAAGAAUUGGUUUUUUUUAUAGGUAAUAAAAAGGUACUUGCAUUAAAAGUUUUUAAAACACGACAAAACAAGUACACACAAAGUAUACAAACAAAGCCCAAAAAAAACUAGUUUGUAAGGAAGAAAAAAGAAAAAAAAACAAAAUAUUUCCCUUACCUGACAAAUAACUAAUCUACAAAAUCAAUCAAAGAUGUGUGAUCCUCUAUAUACACCCUAACUCAAUUCACAAAAGUAUACAUGAAAAUAGAUUUAAUUACUUGGUCGGACCACUCGACGUCAUUGAAAUCUCUUUUAUUCCUUCCUUUCCAAAUACUACACAAUAAGCAUAAGGUGGCAGGCCUCCACUCUUUCUUCCAUUUUUUUACCCAUAAAAGAGUUGUGUCAACCCUAACAGAUUUCUUCUAACUAAGGAAUGCAUAACUAGGGUUCAAAAAAUCGGUUGAGUCCGAUACAACUCAAUUGAGUUGUAUCUGCCUCAACGUCGAUCGCGACAAGUCCAAUACCAAAUACAAAUUUAUACCUAGGCUCAACCUUGAAUCGGUUGAACUCGAAUGACUCAGCUAAUAUUCCAAAUUAACUUGGCAAACUCGGUUAAAAAAAAAAACAAAAACAAAAAACCUAAUCAAUAGAUUCUCUCUCAUUUCCCAUCACAACAAGAAUCAAAUAUUUUUAGAGAAAUUAGAGAUUCCUCUGCAAAUAAUAAUAAUAAUUAUUAUUAUAAUUAAAUUUUUUAAAAGAAAAAGUCAACCUUGAAUCUAUGAUUCACGAACCCAAUCUUUCAAUCACACAUCAAACGAGAAGAAGAAAAAACCAAGUUUGAAGCAAACCCAUAACCCUUUCAAAAUCCUUUAAAAAGAGAAAAAUCAACAAAGGAUGAGACAUGGUUGAAGAUUUACUUACUUGACCCAAAAUCUAUCAUAGUCAUAGUGUAGAUCUUUGGUGUGCCGUCGGUGCCGCAACGGUGACUAGACGCCAACAAGGCAACCCUCCUUCCUCCGAUUGUGGGUGUGUGGUGUCAUGACUGCUACAAAUGUGUGACUGUGUGUGGCAGUGUGGGUGUGUUGGGGAAGGUCCGGCAGUCUGCAGAACAUGGUGUGUUGGGGAAGAUAGUCAGCAAAUCGUGGUGUGUUAGGUCCUUGGGGAAGACAAGCCAACAAAAAGGAAAUUGAAGAUAUAUUGAUAAAGGUAAAAUUUGAUUUACCUUAUUUAAAUCAACACACCCACACAGUCACACCACGUUGAGAUUAUAUUUUUAAUUUAUUGAAUCAAAUUAUAUAAAGUGGUAAAUUAUAUUUUGCUAGCUAAUUUGAUUCAUAAUUUGAUAUUAGAUUAAAAAAAAUUACAUAAUUUGAAUCAAUUAAAAAUAUAUUUAAAAUUUGAUUUACCUUAUUAUGUUGAGAUUAUAUUUUAAAUUUGUUAAAUUAUGUAAUUUUUUAUUUUGUAAUAUUAAAUUGAUUUACAUGUAUUUAAAUUGGUAAAAUUAGGAAAUUCAUGUAUGUAGUGUAAAGUAAUGUUUAGAUGUAAUGUUAUGAAAUUGAAGAAUUGGAAAGUAAUGUUUAUAUGAAAUUGGAGAAUUCAUAAUGAUAAUAUUAUGAUGAUAUUAAAUAUAUUUAUAUGUAAUGUUUUUAUUUUUUUAUAGAGAUUAUAUUUUUAAUUUAUUAAAUUAUGUAACUUUUUUAUCUUAUAAUAUUAAAUUGGUUCACUAAAUUAUUUUUGUAUAGUAUAGAAAUUAUAUUUCUUAAUAUAAAAUACAUUUAUAUGGUAAACUUUAUAUGGUAUGGAUAUUGUAUUUUUAAUUUAUGUUUUUAUCUUAUAAUAUUGCAAAAUAAAUUACAUUAGAAAAUUAAUAAUUAUUUAAAACAAUUUCUUUUUUCAAAUAAUCAUAACUAUAAAAGUAAUGAUUUAAUAAUACGGAUUGAAGGGUAUGCAUUUACAUGGUAUAGAGAAAUUACAUUUAUAUUUGAAUCAAUUUUACUUUAUUGUAUCAUGUAGAUUUUUUAUUUUAUAAUAUUCUACAAUUAAAUUACAAUAGGAAAUCAAUAAUUAUCAAAACAACAAUUGGUUCACUAAAUUAUUUUUGUAUGGUAUAGAAAUUAUAUUUCUUAAUAUAAAAUACAUUUAUAUGGUAAACUUUAUAUGGUAUAGAUAUUAUAUUUUAAAUUUAUGUUUUUAUCUUAUAAUAUUGCAAAAUUAAAUUACAUUAGAAAAUUAAUAAUUAUUUAAAACAAAUUUUUUUUCAAAUAAUCAUAACUAUAAAAGUAAUGAUUUAAUUAAACAUAUUGAAGGGUAUGCAUUUACAUGGUAUAGAGAAAUUACAUUUAUAUUUGAAUCAAUUUACUUCAUUAUAUCAUGUAGAUUUUUUAUUUUAUAAUAUUCUACAAUUAAAUUACAACAGGAAAUCAAUAAUUAUCAAAACAAACUUUUUUAAAAAAAUUUUGUUUUAUAAAAAUGUUCAUUUAUUUAACUAAUAUUUAUUUUAAUUAAAAAAACAUAUAAAUAAGUGGAAAAUAAAAUAUGGUGAACUUAGGUGAGAUCGUGUUUAUUGUUUUUUUAGUAUAAUUUAUUUUUAUAUGGUAACAAUAUGAAACAUAUAAGUGAGUGGAAAAUUGAAUAUUAUAAUUCUUAUAUAAAUGUGUUUAUAUAUAUUUAAUUUAAAAAGUAAGUUGUUUUCCUUUUAUACAUGGUUAGGUUAAAAUUUCAAAAUGGCUUCAAAACAUGAUAUUGGUUAGGAGCAUGCAGAACCUAUUGGUGGUAGUAAAAGAACCAUGAAGUGUAAAUAUUGUUAGAAAGUUAUACAUGGCGGUAUAACAAGAUUAAAGCAACACAUCGCACAUAUAUUUGGACAAGUGGAAGGAUGUCCACGUGUAUUGGUAAAAGUGUCACAUAGUGUUAGACAACAUAUGUCUGAUACUUCAAAAAAAAAAGCAUAGUUAAAGAAAAACAAAAAGGAACGACGUUUGAGUUCCUUAAAUAAAGAAAAUUUCUAUGAAAUUGAUGAGGGUGAUUUUGAUGAUGAAAUUGAGGAAGUUGCUAUGGCUGAUUUUGAAAAAAGACAAAUGAAACAAGCAAUGAAAGAAAGUUGUCGAAUUUUUGAAGAAAGUAGACAAGAGCAUCAGAAGGGUGCUAGUUCCUCACAACCUUCUAUUAAGCGCAAACCGACAUGUAACUUUAGUGUAAGAGAAAGAGCUAACAUACCUCCAAAAGGAAUUGAUCCCUACAUGUUCCCAUCAAAACAGAAAUCAAUAAAAAGUUUGUUUUCUACUGAAGGCGUGAAGAAAGUGGGUAAAGCUAUUUCUAAAUUCUUUCUCUUUAAUGCAAUGCCCUUUAAUGUAGUUGAUAAUGGGCCUUACUAUCAAUCAAUGAUUGAUACCAUAGCAGGAGCAGGUCUAGGCAUCAAGGGUCCUAUGGGAUACCAAAUUGGAAAUACACAUUUGGAAGAGGAAGUGCAAGAGCUUGAGGUACAUAUAACAACAUUGAAGGCUAAAUGGCCUAUAUAUGGGUGCACAAUCAUGUGUGAUGGUUAGAGUUCUAGAACUAGAAAGCCUAUCAUCAAUUUCAUGAUUUAUUGUGAUAGAAGUAUGAUAUACCAUUCUUCAGUUGACACUACCAAAAUACCUAAGAUAGCAAACUACAUCUUUUCCCUUAUGGAUAAAUUUGUAAAGGAGGUUGGGGAGGAAAAUGUUGUUCAAGUAGUCACUGAUAAUAAGACAAGUUUUAAAGCAGUCGGUAUGUUGUGGAGAAGCGGAAGCAUUUGUUUUGGUCUUCUUAUACAGCCCAUUGUAUUAAUUUAAUCCUUAAAGAUAUUGCAAGCAUGAAGCAGAUUAAGGAGACAUUAGAUCAAGAAAAGAUUAUCACAAGAUUUAUUUAUAAUAGCUUGAAAGUGUUGAAUUUGAUGAAAGUGUUCACCAAGGAUAGAGAUCUAUUAAAGCCAGGAAUAACCCGUUUUUCCACUAAAUUCAUUUCACUUGAGAGUCUUAUAUGUUAUGAGGCUGAUUUUAAGAAAAUGUGCACAACAAAUGAGUGGCAUGAAUUCAAUAAAGAUAGGAAUAUAAAAAGUUUAAGAGAUAAGGUAUCCAACCUUAUCUUAACUGAUCGAUUUUGGAAGAAGGCAAGGGAAGUUCAAAUCAUCAUGGAACCUCUCAUUAAAGUAUUGAAAUUGGUUGAUCAAGAUAAAAAGUCCACACUAUCAAUAAUUUAUGAAGCAAUUGAUGGAGCUAAAUUGGCAAUCAAGGCAUCGGUCAAGCAAUGGGAAAAGUAUUGGGAAGUCAUUGAUAGAAGGUGGGAAGGUCAAUUGCAUAGACAUUUGCAUGUUGCAGGUAAUAAAAAAAAAUUAUAUAUUUUUUAUUAUUUUUUUCAAGUACAAAUUAUUAUAAACUGAUCAUUAUUCAACUUAUGGCAGUAUAUUUUUUAAAUCCAAUGUUCCAACAUUCAAAGUAUUUCUCCAACCAUCCGAAAAUUAAAAUUGGAUUAAAGGAGGUUAUCAAGAGCUUAGAGCCAAAUUUGGAUAGACAAGCAAAAGCUAUUAAUGAGGUAUAAUAAUAGUUUGUGACCUUUAUAUAAUACAUUUUGUAUAUGUAAUGUGUAUUAACAAAAAAAAAUGUUAAUGUAGGUGAAAUUAUUCACUGACAGCUAAGGAGAAUUUGGAAGUGCACUUACAAAGAAAACAAUAAAUCAAUCUCUUCCAAGUACUCAAUACAUUUACAUCUAUAAAAAAUAAGAAAUUAUCAUCCUUUUUUGUUAAAAAUAUCAUAGUGACUAAUAAGUAUGCAUUUUCUUUAUUAUAGCUUAAUGGUGGAACAACUAUGGCAAUGAAGGACCACAUCUACAAAAGAUUGUUGUUAAAAUUUAAGCCAAACUUAUUCUUCAUCAGGUUGUGAAAGAAAUUGGAGCACAUGGUCAUUGAUUCACACAAAGCUGCUCAACCAUUUGACAAUGAAAAAAUUGCAAAGUUAUUUAUGUGCACUACAAUAUACGACUUCGAGUUAAGAAUUUGAUGCAAUAGCAAAACAAUGAAGAUUUAUACAAUCCAAUUUAUCUUAAUCAUAUCUUUAAUGAUGAUAUAUUAGAUGAGUGGAUACAAGAAGGAGAGGAGCCUAUUUUAUCAUAUGAUAAUUUGGAUUGGUUGGAUAAAGGUCUUUCCCCUAAUGAAGAAGGUAGAGAAACGGUUCAUGAAAAUGAUGGUGCCAUAAAUCGUAGAGUUAGUAGGCGUACAAGUAAAGCUACACAAGAAAGAGAUAUUGAUUCCCAUCGUAAAGGUAAGGCUCCUAGAACAAUUUCGUCUAGUUCUAGUAGUGAUGAUGGUGACAAUGGGGGCAGUAGGUGGGGUGGUGGCACUAGUGGGGGCAGUAGAGGAGUUGGUGGCACUGAUGAGGGUACUAGAGGAGAUGGUAGCAUUGGUGGCGGUUAUGUUAGUCAAGUAGAUCCUGGCAUGUCAUGGGCACAAGGAAAUGAAAAUUACUAUGCCACACAAGAUACAGAUCAUGGAUAUCGACCAGGGAUAUGGGAACAACAAAAGCAUUUGGAAAGACUAACUACAUUUCCUAGUGGGCAGGAUUAUCAUAGAUCAAAUUAUCACCAUAUUGAUGAGCACUUACAGCAUUUGGGUAUAGGAUCAAGGCCGUAUUUCAAAGGAGUAGAUGAUAGACUAUAUCACAAUUUUAGAGAUCGUGAUAGUUCUUCCUGUACUUUUAGUAGAAAUGAUUUUGAUUGAUUUCCAAUGAUGCAUCCAAAGGAAUAUUCAAAUACUAGAACACAAGCUAGUGAUUCUUAUGGAUAUGAUCAAUCUUUUAGUAGCAGUAGCAUUGCUUAUCGAGGUUUUGGAUACUAUUAAUACGGUGUUGAUCCCGAACAACCUUUGAAACCAUAUUUUCUUAAUUAUGGAUCAUCAAGCCAAUCAUCUCAGCCAACAUAUUUGAGUUAUGAAGAACUCUUUCAACCAUAUUCUCACUACGGGGAUUACCAUUUUAAUUUGUAAACUCGUCAUAGGAUUGAUGAUGAUGAUUUUGAACCCCCUCGUCAUUCAACAUGGAAUUGAUUAUUGUAUUGUAUGUUUGUUAGUAAAAAUGUUAUUCUAUUUGAAAUAAAAUAAUUUUCUUUAUUAGCAUUAUCAUAAAUAACUUUGAAGGGAUACUUUUAUAACUAUUUAAAUAAUGUUAAAUUGAGAAAAUUUUAUUUUAUUAAUUUUUUGAGCUUAUUUAAUUGUUUUUUUUUUUUUUUUGUUGAUUUACAUAAUAUUUUUAUAAUUUUUUGAAUUUUCUAAUUAGCUUAUUUUACAUACCAUCCAAUACCAAGUCAAUACACGGAAACCGAUAUGCCUCGGGACCCUUCGAGUCAAUGAUCGAUACCGUGACUUUGAACCAUGUGCAUAACACACUAUACACCAAAGAGGGAGUAAGUAAAGUUCCAAAACAUUCUAGUCGGGUCACAAAACAGAAGUAGGUGAUUUGUAGUUUCCUUUUCUUUUUUUUUACACAAGUAACAUUUAUUUGGUAUGUUCCAACCCCUCUUUUUCAGCUGGUCAAGAGUCAAAAGUUUGCUCCAAGUCACUUCCCUAGAUAAAAUUUGAAUUUCUGAUAUUCAGUAAUAUGCAAAAUCUGAAAACAUAUUUACUAUUAAAAUAAUGAUCUAAUUAGUUUAGAUGUUGUUAAGGGUAAAAAUAGAAAUGAUGAUAUAUGUAUAGUUAUUUUUCAAUUUAAAAAUCUUUAUAAUUUUAUUUAUAAGUUUAUGUUUUUAAAUAUUUAAUUACUGUAUAAAAAAUAUUCAUUAAGAAGAUUAUUAUGAUGGUUUUUACAUUUUAAUUUCAACAAUCAAUCAAAUGGAAUUUGAAAAUAAGAUAAUUAAAAUUAAUUUAUUUUAAUAUUUUAUUUUUUGCAAGGAGAUGGUAAAAGAUUGUAUUAAUAGAGUUUAUAAUAUAUAUUAAAAGUGUGCAUCUAAAGAAAUAUCAAUUAUUUUGGUAGAUUUUCAGCUAGCCGAAUUUUUCACCCGAUUUUCCAUAUUUGGUUGUGUGAUACAUGAAAUUUCAGCAAUAUUUCGCCGAUACAUGAAAUUUGGGUGAUAUUUUGCCAAAAUUUUGGGAUAUUUUCAUCUGUGGUUCUAAAUGAUAAUCAACUAAUGAUACUUGCUCCUCUACACAUGGGUGUGCUGAAACUCAAAAGUUACUCAACGAGGCAUGUGCAACUAUGAGGGAAAUUUAAUUUGGCAAGCUUAGGAAGAAUUGAGUAAAGUGAGUUGAUUUGUCUCAAUUCCAAAUUGUCAUUAACUAGUCCAACCAUAUUUUGAUGGGUAUAACUCUCUCCUUCGCCACAACCUAGUAAAAGCUAUCAGAGAAAAUUAAUGUUAUCCUUAAUUUAAAUAUUGAUAUUUAUCUAUUUAUUAUAUAAUAGUUUGAAUUAGAAUAUAAUAUAAAAUUUGAAUUAGAGUAGGAGAUAGAGUUUGAAUUAUAGUAGGACUCAAAUAUAUUUGUAUAUAAAUAACUUUCAUCAUCAAUGAGAAUGGUAUGUCAUAUUUUCUUUCUCGAUAUGGUAUCAAAGUCUUCAAAUCCUAAACCCUAGUCUCAACUUGAACCAAAUUUAGGGUGCAAGGCUUAGGCCCAACAUGCCUCCCCCUUCCCCUACCCCUACCGCAAAUGGUAGUGACUUUGCUAUGCCUAUGUAUUGUCAAUGUCUCCUUCCCUAUGGUCUCCAAUGUAAUAUCGUAGUUUCAAUGCUUCUUUCCCUAUAGUCUCCAAUGCAAUAUUUUGAAAUACCUCUUCAUAGCCAAGAGCUCCAAAUUUUCUUGGUUCAAACCUACUAAAAGUUCCUUUUCCUUUGCUUCCUACCAGUAUUGGGUCCCUUAAUUUAACACGUACUUUUUUUUAUUACCUUCAACUAUACCUUCCUCUCUUUCUCUAAAAGCUUCCUCAAAGAUUUGAUUGUUUUCUUGCAUGUCUUAGGAAAACAAACAUGCUCUUCCUUCAACAAACUUUCUUUCUACAAGUUCCUUAAAGUUUCCUAAUCAUCUACUACAUUAUCUAGUUUGAUGCCAAAUAAGGUUCCUAAUCAUACUCUUCCUUCAACAAACUUUCUUUCUACAAGUUCCAUAAAGUUUUUAGAAAUUCGGCUUAGAAAGAUCCUACUACUUUUGCCUGAUCUUUUAGCCAUCAAGUCAAAUCCACAUGUCAUCUAGAUCCAAGGAGACAACCCUUCACAGAAACAAGGAGACCGCUCUCCAUUAAAACAAAGAGACCGCCUUCCACGAAAGGCUAAUACAUCACAAUCUAUUUUCUUUCUCUCAAGACCAAGAUUGGAAUCUUCGAUCGGAGCUCCAUCUUGCUGAGAAAAUUAAUGUUAUCCUUAAUUUAAAUAUUGAUAUUUAUGUAUUUAUUAUAUAUUAGUUUGAAUUAGAAUAGAAUAUAGAAUUUGAAUUAGAGUAGGAGAUAGAGUUUGAAUUAGAGUAAAACUCAAAUAUAUUUGUAUAUAAAUAUCUAUCAUCAUCAAUGAGAAUGGUAUGCCAUAUUUUCUUUCUCUAUAAAAUCUUAAGUUCAUGAUUGGGAACAUGUCUUGCAUUUCCCUCAAAGUUCUUUCCUACCAGAGCCUACUUCAUCUCUUCGGCCUCAAGUCUAUUAUCCAUUGGUCAUCAAUGUUUGAAUUUGGCUCUUCUAACAAGAUGUUAUCUUCAACUCAGACACAAUGACUGCCUCAUGCCUUUCUUGGGUCUAUAUUGAUAAAUUACAUAAAAGAGAAAGAAAUGUAGAAAAAAAGAAUGGAUAAUGGCUUUACUUUGAGGAGUACCUACCUCCCACAAACUCAGUAACAAUAAACUUUUCUCUGACAAUCUAAUUUUAUUGUGAAAGACUAAUAGGAAUGCUCAAUAGAUAGGAUAAUAUCACUCUUAAUGCCUAAGAAACUAAUCCACUAAAACUAAAUAAUACCUCUGUCUCUCUCGUAAAAGGUAGCUAACUGAUCAGUCAAAACUAAUUGCCUAAUCACUUCAAAUAUGUUUCAGUUAAAUAAGUGCCUAACUCUGUGUGGAUGGGUGUGUGGAUGUGGGUGUACUUGUAAUUUUAUACUAUGAUUUCUAUUUGUUUGAAUGAGGACUUGCUGUUGUCCAAUGGUUACUAUAUAAUCAAGAACGAACACUCUUUUGUUUGUGACUAGUCAUGGAAAAUUGGGACAAACUUGUAAACUUCUCUGCCAAGUGCUACACACUACUAUUCACUAAUGCGUAUUACUGUUUUUCACACACAUAUGCAAGUUGAAGCACUUACAUAAUUAUAGAACUGUUUUGGUUUAAAAAUUGAAGAGUACCCCUCCUUGGCAUUGAAGAAAAUUAUUACAAAAUAGUAGUAUAUGCUUUUAUGUCGACUAUUACUCCUUCCACCACAGCCUGGGUAGUUGUCAAAGUGUGUAUCUCUUCUUUCUGGUGUUGAACCAUGUAUAGUAAAAGAAUUCAACCUAUGAUUUUCUAUUUGCCCUAAUGCUGGCCUCAUAGCUGGUGAUAAUUUUACUGGCCACUAUUGAUUUGGCUGUGAUUGAAUGGACCUAAUUCAUUUAUUGCCUCAGCAAUAUGAGACCUUAGUGAAGGAACAAAUGUUGCAUGAGCUGUUUGCAUGCACUUGCCAUCUAUGCCAAAUAGGAAGACAUAGGUAUGCAUGCCAGUUUCGGUGUUUGUUUAGGUGCGAGACUGGUCUAAUUCCCAGAUCUUAGGACCUAGGGACAUUAAGUCAACAUGUAAAACACCUGUUCACAUGGGUUCUUCAUUAACUCCACACAUAUCAGCUAGAUCUGGCAAAACAUAUAGUUCAGCUGGAAAAUGUUGUUAUCAUCUUUUGGACACUUGUGUUAGGUGCAUAUCAGGUAGUAGGUGUUUGGAUGCAUAUCCCAUACCCAUACUCAUGCUGUCUCUUGUAUGAAAUGGGAAUUUAUCUGUGUAACACAAGUUGUUCUCUUCACAACAUUUCAUGGAAAAGAAAUCACUACAUGGUUACUUAUUUAAGCUUGGAUUGAUUUGAGUAUGAUCUUGGACUCAUCACCUAUUGCCGGUUUGACAGUCAGCAGACCUUCUAGUCCACAACAUAAAAAAUCCUAAUGGAAACAUCAGAAGCUGAGAACCUAAAAGUUAUUCUAAUACAAGCAAAUGAAUGAAACGGUUAAAGAAGAAUAUAUUGAGUGAAAGAGCCAUGCUAAAUUAUAUAUAAAAAGGUACGCAGAAGGCCCAGUUCAUCAUUUGCCUGUUGACCUCUCAUUUUUAAAACACUGCAUCUACUUGCCUUUUUAUCCUGUUAGCUGCCAGCAGAUGAAUAAUGUUCUUCAAUAUAACAAAAAAUAAAUAAAUAAAUAAUUAAAAAUAUGCUUUUUGACUUCCUCCGCUCUGCCUUUCCUUUUCUUUCAAAAUUUUAUUUGCUUGUGGGUCUUUAGCUCUCCUCCAUUGAAUUUGGGUGUUUGGAGAUAAAAAGUUUGCUUCUUGUAUUUGAGAAAAAGAAAGUGCAUAAAUUUGGUAGCCAUACACAUGUAGAUUCUCUCUCCCUCUCACCCUCUCUUUUAUGGCAACUUGAUAGGUGCAUAUUCCCAUUUCUGUUAUUAUAAAAGUUGACCCUCUCUUUUGUUUGAUCUUGGUAUAAUGUAUGUAUAGAAUUUCAGGGAGGGAGGGAAGGAGCAUUUGAGGCAAAGAGAGUGGUGGACAUCCAUCCCGAGUCCAGACAUGAGUCUAGCAUGUCUUGUGUGCCAGAGCGUAGAAAGCCCAUCUCAUUCAUUUAGGAGUUACUCGGUCUCAAGUUCAGACAAUGAAGGAAUAUGCUCUGCAAUUGCCAACUUCCUGGCCAGGAGGGCAUCUCUUCCAGCCCCAACAACAAACUCCUCGAUCAUACGGUCAUCCAAAGUGACACCACACCCAUCCAUCCCAAAAGGUAGCGGCAUUCCAGGGUCGCCAAGGCUGGUCCGAAGCUGUGCAGUGAGAAGGGAUAUUGUGAGGGACUGGAAUUUCGAGGAGGUAGUGAUGGAGCAUUAGUAUUUUACUAGUAGCAAGUAUGAAAUAUAGCUAGCUGCUUUGUUUUGGGUACAACUGGAUCCCCAGCUUCUUCUCUGUACAAGAAGAGUUUGAGCCUCUGUCUCUGCAAUCAUCCCAGACAAAAAUCCAAUGUGAAACUUUGUUCAUAUUUUGGCUAAUCGCAUUCCCUUCUAUAAUUGCUGCUGCUGCUUUCAGUGCCCCUCUCACUCCACUUUGUUUCCAUUUUCUAUUAUGCUUGCCUUCCACCAUUUUCAUGUUGAUUUGCUGCCUCCACUUCCCACGGCUCUUACCAAUUAUUCAUUUUCUUUUUUCUUUUUUUUUUUUAAUUAAUUACAUCAAUCUUAAAUAUACUUACAACCCUGCAUUAUGUUUGUUCCAAGUAAAGAAAUAUCCUUUACUUCGAUGGCGUCUAAAGUUCUUCAAACAAUGUGAUAUUUCGCACCAAGUAAAUCCUUAACUCUUUCCCCUCUUACUAAAAGACUACAUAUUGUUCUUGUGAAUUAUGACCAAUAUCUAAUAUAUAAACAGUGAUUUUAAAUCCAAAGGUUAAUCAUACUUGACAAUUUUACUCAAAGUUUGGUUUUUUUGGGGAUGAUAGUAGAAAAGUUGAUAGAUAAAUCACCUUUACCGCCACUCUUUAAAAUCAUAAAUGAGAUUUCCACCUCAUACAACUCUUUAUUCAAUUUUUUUGAAAUCAUUGGGCCUUUUCCUCGUCCGAGAAUCUCCUCCCCUCUUCCACUCCAUCCUAAAGAGUAACUAUGAGCAAUUCAAUCACAUUUUCAUGUUCCAAUUGAACACUUUCCAUUUUUUAUUAUUCUCAAAUCAAAAGAGAAUAUUAUUUUUACCAUAUAAAAAGUAUAAAUUUGUUUGUUUUUUAAUUAUUUAUCUUUAUAUAGAAGGGUUAAAAUAAAUUAAAUAAUAUAUAAAAAUAGUUUAUUAAUUUAAAUUUUUUAUUUAUUUUCUUUUUCUCAAUUUUCUUGAAUCAAACAUAACCUUAAUUUUUUUUUAAAAAAAAAUUAUAACCAUGUUACAUAUAUAUAUUAAAAGAAAUUAUAAAUUAUAUAUAUAUAAGAGGCAAAAUCCUAAAUGGCAAUGUAUUCAAACAAAUAGAAAUGUUUAUAAAAACCUAAAAUAUUUAUCAUUUAACAAUGACUCGACAAAAUAAAACCUAAUUAAUACAAUAAAACUAAAUCAGAAAGAAAGAACAAAAUUAAAUGAGUCCAUCGAGUGUUUGAUGUGGAUUUCCAUGAUCCCAAUGGCUUCAGAUAUGGAAUGGAGACCGUAAAAGGACAAAUCGCACAAAAGGGUGUUGGACUUCAUUGUGGGUGAGAGUAGCCGAACUACAAUUUUGUAUGAGAGGGUUUUGCUAUAUCCAAAUAUUUAUAGAUAGACACGAAGGAGAAUUAGUAACCGAUUGAGCUUUGAAGUUUCCUUAUUGGUGAGACAUGUUGAAGACUCUGCUGGUUUGGUUUGGUUUCUAAAACCGGUGGAAAGUAAAGCUUCAAAGGAGAGGAGAAGAUAUAGGAUCGUUACACGUAGGUUACCGUUGGACAAUAAAAGGAAAGUUUAUUCUCUAUUUCUAAACAAUUGGAUUUCCUUGCAUACGUGAUUAUUUGGUUUCUUUUGUCGCUAACAAAAUUAGAGAUUAUUUUUUUCCAAAAAAUAGAAAGCUUUGGAUUGGUUGAUAAGAAAUAUAAUUACUUUCUAUUAUUAGUUUGCGAUUUUAGCCACGUCAUCGACAUUUGGAGUGGUUUUUGAAAUUUUGAAUUGGGCUUCCAUGGACCGGGCCAAGGGACAUCCUGCACGCAUUCAUAGUAUCUUUUAUGCCCAGCCCGCUAGGCACAUUGGAUACCUUCCAGCACUUUGUAUAUAUAUCUUGUUGCCGGCCGAUGUGGGAUGGCCUCGCCGCACCAUUAAGCCAACCUUGCUGUUGUUGUCAUAUCGUGCAUGUUUUAUAUAUGUAUUUAUAUUACAAACUAACAUUAUAUCUAAGAUUCAUGAAUGUAAAUCCUACACUUAUGUAAUUAUAUUAUAAAUAUCUCAUAAUACAUAUAAAUUAAUUAGAAAAAAAUUAUUUUAAAUAAAUUAUUUUAAAUAUAGUGUAUUUUACAUAAUAUUUAAAUAUAAAAAUAAAUAUAAAUUUAUAAAUAAAAUUAUCAAUGUUGAUACAUAUAUCAUUGUUUAUUUUUUUUUUUAUAUCAUUGAAUACAUCCUCUAAAUGUAUAUUUAAAUUAUGAAUAUUAUCAGUGAUUAUCAUAAAUUAUAUCUUAUAUAUAUAUAUAUAUAUAUAUAUAUAUAUAUUAAUAAAAAAAUCUCAAAAUAUCUAUUAUUACUUCUUAUAUAAUUUCUUAGAGUUUUUCUCAAUAUUUUCAUGAAUUUUGAUCAAUUUUUAUCUCAUUAAUAUCUUAUAUCAAAACAUCUAUCAAUAUUUUUCGAUAUAUUCUGAUACAUCCAUAAAAUUAAAUUACUGAUAUAUUCAUAAAAAUGAAUAUUUUUAUCCUUGAUCAUAGUCAUAUAUUUUCAAUUGUCUUACACAAAUAAAUUAUUCAUUUUAUUCUUUAAUAAUAUAUUCAAAUAUACAUUUGAUAUAAAUCAUCUUCCAAAUAUCAUUAUGAUCCAAAUGUCUUAAUUUACCAUCUCUUAGCUCUUCUGAUUUCUCAUUUUCCUUUUCUUUUUCUUUCUUUUUUUAAAAAAAAAAUCUACAUAUUAUCCUAUUUAGGAUUUUUUUUAUUUUCAUUUUUUCUUUCACUUUUAUUUCCAUUUUACAUAAAUAUUUAUUUAUUUUUAUUUCUCAUACAAGCAUAGAUACAAAAUGAAUGCAUUAAUAAUACCCAAUUUUAAUACUUUUUUUUAUCACAAUUUAGACAUAUAAUAAACCUGAAAUUUAUACAAUUUAAAUUGUCACCCUUUCAUAAUUCUAUAAAUAAUUUUUAUUAUUUAUAAUAUUAAUAUAUCAUUAACUAAGCAUCCAAAAUUUCACACAUCAAAUUAUUUUAAAUUUGAUUCCUUAUUAAUUCCAACCUUUCUGAUUUUAUAUACUAAUAUUCCGAAAAAUAAAUUUUAUUUUAUUUUAUUUAGUCAUUUAUUUAUAUCCCAAGCUUCUAUAUUUUCAAAGAUUUCUUCUCAAUUAUAAUUUCAACUUGAAUCUCUAAAGGUCAAGCCUCUCUGUAAGUAGCCAUGUUUUUAGAGUUUUAUCUCAAUGUAAGCUAACGGAUAGGCAUUUGUGAGACUUUUCAGGGAAAUCCAUGCAAAGCCAAAGGAGGAUAUGUGAAAAUUGAUUUUUGAAAGCAAAAAUGUUUAGAAUAAUUAGAGUUUGUUUCAAACAAAGCCCAAGAGAAUACAUGUGUAAUAUAAUGUAGACCCUCUUUGCAAGCCAGGUGUUAGUAGCUUGUUGCUACUAGCCUUAUGAUUUGAAACAAGAGGGCAUUGCAUGACCCGGGAGAGAAAAUUUUCCAUUUUUUUUAGUGAAGGGGGGGACACCUCCCAUGAACCCAGCUGCAUUGGACGUGUGGCAAGGGAGAAUGGCUGCCCAUGAGGGUGGUUGCAAGGCCAUGCUUGCUGAUGGAGAAACAGGAGAGUAGGUGAUAGCUGGGAUAGGAGGGCUUUCAGGUUGGACGGCAGGGGGGAAGCUGGAGUCUAAGGUAGGGGGAGUUUUCUGAGCUUGGGAGGACUCUUGAGGAGGAUGAACAUCAAUGGAGGGGGAUUCUCUAUGGUAGAAGCUAUUACAGAUGGAGUGAGAAGGGUAUCCUGAGUUCGGAAGAGAGGAUUGGUCAGAGAGAAGCUAGGGAGGACAUCUUGUGCAAUUUACAGGUAUAUCAUAUUUAACCAUACUUCUUGUUAUUCUGAGCAUCACUCCCAUGUCUUUGUUGAUUUACUUGACGUUUUUUUUCCACUUAUGCUGUUGGUGUCUUCUCUGUUGCAUCAAUUUGGCUUGAAUAAUGGAUGAGGGUCUCUAUCAUAUUCAUUGUGACAUCCAGAUUUAUGUAUGGUAUUGUUUUUUUGGUUUUGUGCUUUGGAAUCCAUUUUUUUUUCUCACCAGCAUGAGCGUUGAGAACCAUGCAAACAUGGCUGCAUCAUACCCAUCUUCCACCUCACCACCCCAUCACUCACAUUUCCCAUCCACUUUCCCCCAUGCUCAUCCCUAUCUCACCCACGUACCUUCCCUUCUUCAAUGGGCGGAAAUUCACCCUGCGCCUCCUGCAAGCUCCUCCGCCGCCAGCACGCCAAGGACUGCAUCUUCACCCCCCUGCUCUCUCUCUCUCUCUCUCUCUCAAUGGUUCUUCUCAUCCUUCUUUCCCUUGCUUCACUCCUCUCCUUUCUCACCUUGGUUCAUGCUUGAAUCCUCGGCGUUUACGCCAAUGGUGCCACUCCGGCAGCCCCCUCCAUCUUCGUCACCGCCACCAACUUCUGCCCGCCUGACUACGCUCUUCCCAGCGACAAUGGCGGCUGGUGCAACUCUCCUUGUCCCCACUUCAACCUUGCCAUGCUCGUGUUUCUCAAGAUCGCCGGGUACCGGGCCGGAAUUGUCCCCGUUGCUUUCCGUCGGGUACCCUGCUGAAAGAGUGGCUGCUUGUAGAGCUGGUUCAGCUAUCCCGCUGUCCACUGAUCACAAACCUGACAGAUCUGAUGAACGUCAAGGGAUUGAAAAUGCUGGAGGUUUCGUUAUUCCCAUUUCUGUUAUUAUAAAAGUUGACCCUCUCUUUUGUUUGAUCUUGGUAUAAUGUAUGUAUAGAAUUUCAGGGAGGGAGGGAAAGAGCAUUUGAGGCAAAGAGAGUGGUGGACAUCCAUCCCGAGUCCAGACAUGAGUCUAGCAUGUCUUGUGUGCCAGAGCGUAGAAAGCCCAUCUCAUUCAUUUAGGAGUUACUCGGUCUCAAGUUCAGACAAUGAAGGAAGAUGCUCUGCAAUUGCCAACUUCCUGGCCAGGAGGGCAUCUCUUCCAGCCCCAACAACAAACUCCUCGAUCAUACGGUCAUCCAAAGUGACACCACACCCAUCCAUCCCAAAAAGUAGCGGCAUUCCAGGGUCGCCAAGGCUGGUCCGAAGCUGUGCAGUGAGAAGGGACAUUGUGAGGGACUGGAAUUUAUGGAGGUAGUGAUGGAGCAUUAGUAUUUUACUAGUAGCAAGUAUGAAAUAUAGCUAGCUGCUUUGUUUUGGGUGCAACUGGAUCCCCAGCUUCUUCUCUGUACAAGAAGAGUUUGAGCCUCUGUCUCUGAAAUCCAAUGUGAAACUUUGUUCAUAUUUUGGCUAAUCGCAUUCCCUUCUAUUAUUGCUGCUGCUGCUUUCAGUGCCCCUCUCACUCCACUUUGUUUCCAUUUUCUAUUGUGCUUGCCUUCCACCAUUUUCAUGUUGAUUUGCUGCCUCCACUUCCCACGGCUCUUACCAAUUAUUCAUUUUCUUUUUUCUUUUCUUUUUUUUAAUUAAUUACAUCAAUCUUAAAUAUACUUACAACCCUGCAUUAUGUUUGUUCCAAGUAAAGAAAUAUCCUUUACUUCAACGACGUCUAGAGUUUUUCAAACAAUGUGAUAUUUUACACCAAAUAAAUCUUUAACGCUUUUCCCUCUUACUAAAAGACUACGGAUUGUUCUUAUGAAUUAUGGUCAAUAUCCAAUAUAUAAGUGGUGAUUUUAAAUCCAAAGGUUAAUUGAACAUUGACAACUUUACUCAAAGUUUGGUUUUUUGGGGGUGAUAGUAGAAAAAUUGAUAGAUAAGUCACUUGUACCGCCACUCUUUAAAAUCAUAAAUGAUUUCCAUCUCAUACAAGUCCUUGUUCAAUUUUUUUGAAAUCAUUGGACCUUUUCCACGUCCGAGAAUCUCCUCCCCUUUUCCACUCCGUCCUAAAGAGUAACUAGAACCAAUUCAAUCACAUUUUCAUGUUCCAAUUGAACACUUGCCAUUUUUUAUUAUUCUCAAAUCAAAAGAGAAGAUUAUUAUUUUUACCAUAUGAAAAGUAUAAAUUUGUUUGUUUUUUAAUUAUUUAUCUUUAUAUAAAAGGGUUAAAAUAAAUUAAAUAAUAUAUAAAAAUAGUUUAUUAAUUUAAAUUUUUUUUUUAUUUUCUUUUUCUCAAUUUUCUUGAAUCAAACAUAACCUUGAUUUUAAAAAAAAAUUAUAACCAUGUUAUAUAUAUAUAUAUAUAAUUAAAAGAAAUUAUAAAUUAUAUAUAUAAGAGGAAAAAUCCUAAAUGGCAAUGUAUUCAAACAAAUAGAAAUGUUUUUAAAAACCUAAAAAUAUUUAUCAUUUAACAAUGACUGGACAAAAUAAAACCUAAUUAAUAAAAUAAAACUAAAUCAGAAAGAAAGAACAAAAUUAAAUGAGUCCAUCGAGUAAGUCUUUCUUGCAAUUAAUUUUGAACCACUCCAGAAUACAUGACUCGACCACUGAAUAGGAUCUAAACAACAGCAAGCCUAACACAGUCUUCGUCUUCAUCAUCAUCACCGUAAUCAUCUUCAUCUCCACCCUCCAUCUCCCUCAACUCAACAACAUCCUCUCUAUCAAUUGUCCUUACAUCCACCUCCACCACCAUCCAAAACCCAUGGCCCCCACUCCUCUCUACCACCUCCUCCAUAAACGAGGUUGUUCUGGGUAUCAGGUAUUUGAAGACGGUGCUCCCAAGUUCCAAGCUGGCCAGAACGUCUGAUACAUAGAGUUGGCGCAGUAGGGGCAGAUGAAGCACUUGCACCGGCACUCCAAACACUCUGACGACUUUGGGACUCACAACAUCCUCUGCCAGCAUCUCCUCCCCUUCCCUCGUGUCUGUGCCUACUACCCGCUGAUAUCGGUGUUUGAUGUGGAUUUCCAUGAUCCCAAUGGCUUCAGAUAUGGAAUGGAGACCGUAAAAGGACAAAUCGCACAAAAGGGUGUUGGACUUCAUUGUGGGUGAGAGUAGCCGAACUACAAUUUUGUAUGAGAGGGUUUUGCUAUAUCCAAAUAUUUAUAGAUAGACACGAAGGAGAAUUAGUAACCGAUUGAGCUUUGAAGUUUCCUUAUUGGUGAGACAUGUUGAAGACUCUGCUGGUUUGGUUUGGUUUCUAAAACCGGUGGAAAGUAAAGCUUCAAAGGAGAGGAGAAGAUAUAGGAUCGUUACACGUAGGUUACCGUUGGACAAUAAAAGGAAAGUUUAUUCUCUAUUUCUAAACAAUUGGAUUUCCUUGCAUACGUGAUUAUUUGGUUUCUUUUGUCGCUAACAAAAUUAGAGAUUAUUUUUUUCCAAAAAAUAGAAAGCUUUGGAUUGGUUGAUAAGAAAUAUAAUUACUUUCUAUUAUUAGUUUGCAAUUUUAGCCACGUCAUCGACAUUUUGAGUAGUUUUUGAAAUUUUGAAUUGGGCUUCCAUGGACCGGCCCAAGGGACAUCCUGCACGCAUUCACAGUAUCUUUUAUGCCCAGCCCGCUAGGCACACUGGAUACUUUCCAGCACUUUGUAUAUAUAUAUCUUGUUGUCAUAUCGUGCAUGUUUCAUAUAUGUAUUUAUAUUACAAACUAACAUUAUAUCUAAGAUUCAUGAAUGUAAAUUCUACACUUAUGUAAUUAUAUUAUAAAUAUCUCAUAAGGUUAAGAAGGAAAGGUCAAUAUUGUAUUAAUUGUAUAUGGCAAAAUAUAUUGUAUUAAUUGUAUAUUUAUUCAGUAUUUAUUCAGUUGCCUUUUAUACCUAGAAUAGAUUAGCAUGAUUGUAGGAAAUCUCUUGUAUAAAUCUUCGUCUCCUGAUUCAAUAAAAUUAUUCAAGGCAAAUAUUAUUUUUCCUUUUUACAU